ACAAUCAACAAACCAAACUCAUCAUCUUGAAUCCAAUAGAAUGAUUUAUAGAAGCUAAACACACAUCAAGAAAAUCUGAUAAAACUACAAAAAAUAAAAAAUUGAAUAAAACAUAACGUCAUGAAUUAUAUUACCUUAUAAGCCUCCUCCUUUUUCUUGCUCCUCUUCUUCUUUCGACCACAGCUUCAAAAAGCACCCGAAGAAUCCAACUUCCUCAGUCAACUACUAACAAGUCUCCAUCAAUCAAUACAAGUAGAUGCAAGAGCAUAUAGUUUCCUUCAGAAAGACAACAAAACAUUCAAAUCAACACAUGGGCAAGGGCCAGCCUCUAAGUUGACUUAAGAAACUCUCCAAGAAAAACAGCGACAACAGACAAACAUGAUUCGAGGCCUUCAAGAGAAGCCCAAAAACCAUAAAGAUUGCUGCUUCCAAUGCAAUAAUCAAGAGCAAUAAAUGCCAAGCCAAGAGAACAAAAACCAAACUUCUUAUAUGGGAAAAAAACACAGCAAAAUUUUUCUUAUUUAUACUAAAUUCAAGCACCACCAGCCCACCCACCAGCAUUUUCUAUGUACUGCAAAGAAGUACAAGGCAAGGCUGCGUUGUAGUACAACACCUAUCAGAGCUCCAACGACGGCUGCUAUACAUUUGAACAGAUGUCAGGUUCAUAAUUUUGAUCCUCGUCUCGUUGACUUAUCAGCACCACUUUUCACUCUCUCUUCAUCCUUGUAGUACAGAUAUAGAGCGAAGAAAAGUGGGCAAUCGUAAGCAUAAAAUUGCUUAAAGUGAAAAGCACAAAAAGCAAGAAAUGGAACUGCUAACUGGCUUGAACUGGCUACUUCACUUGAAAGUGCCUUCCCUUUACAGUCAUAACAUGUGUGUGGCAAGUUAAGAGUGCAUUUUGGUCCCUCUACUCUUAUUUCCCUUAUUUUAUCACCUUUUGUCUUGAUAUCAUUCUCUUUAUUAUAUUCUUUAUUUUUAGUCAACUUUAACCUAGCAGUUAGACACCUCAAUCCCAACCUAACUUGUUUGGAUUAGAACCCAAAGACUGCUUCGUUAAAGAUUGAGAUUUAUUUAAUCAACUAUUGUACUAUACUAGGGAAUGACGUCGUUUAAUACUAAACAUUUUCAAUAGGAUGUUCUCUUAUCCCACGCAUAAGAAAAAAAAAUGUUACUAGGGAUUAAUUGUUAAGGGGUUAUAUUGAAGAAUAAAAUAGUAUAAGGAUCAAAUUAAGAUAAAAUGUAUAGUGGAAGGAUCAAAAAAGACAACAUUAGCAAAAGGCGUGUGGCCAAAACAUGUCAAAGUCAGUUAACCAGAGGAAAAAGGCCAGUUUUGAGGCCAAUAAUAUAAAAAUCCUAAAAAAACGAUUGAUGAUUGAUGUAAGAGAGAGAUAUCAUUUGGAUGGUGUGGUGGGCCCCAGAAAUGGUGGGGAUGGUAUUCAUCGAGUGCUAAUUUUAUCAACCUUUAGAUGGGACCACUAUUUCUGACCAUUAAUUUCCUUCCAGUUUAUAAGAUAAUGUGAUAAGAAUCGUUAUUUUAAAAAAAUUAUGUUUUGAAUUUUAAAAAAAAAUUAUUUUUUUAAUGUUUUUUUUAUUUUUUAUGUGUUAAUAUAAAAAUAAAUUUUAAAUAAUAAAAAAUAUAUUAUUUUAAUAUAUUUUCAAAUAAAAAAUAAUUUUAAAAUAACUGUUAAAAUAAUAAUAGGUAGGCAAUGACAUGGUUUGUUAAAUAUGAUUCUUUUCAUGCUACUUGGAAUUUAUGCAGGUUUACCAUUAUAAAAAAUAAAUUUUAAAAAAUAAAAAUAUUAUUUUAAUAUAUUUUUAAAAAUAAUUAUUAUAAUAAUAUUGAUCUUACUAAAUUUAAGAUAAUAUUGUUUUAAGAUUUUUUUAUAGAAAAAAGUUAAAACGUUAUCAACUUCACUGGAUUUAGUGUAAUAUAUAUAGGAAAUUGUUUUUAGUAAAUUAGAGUAGGUCAUAAAAAUUUAAUUUAUUGGUAGAUGGAAUAAACUACACGAGAAUUUAUAAUUUGAUUGAUUUACUUCAUAUAAUUUAAAUUUAAGAAAAAAAAACACACAUUUCCUCUGCCUCAAAAUAAAUGAAAACAAAAAUACAAACGAAUUAUUGAAUUUCCAAGUGAUUUUAUUAUUCCUAUUUUCAAACUUGGAAUGUAAUAAUUCCUCAUCUAAUUUUUUAAUCGGAUGCAAUCAUUUAUUAUUCCUAUGAAAAUGAGAAAAAAAAUCACUAUUAUUUAUCUCUUAGUUUACAAAAAAAAAAAAACAUUUAUUUCAAAGGGUAGAUUUUCUAAUUAAUUCAAUUGUUUUCUACUGUGAUCACUUUGUUUCUGGGAUUGAGAGUGAUAAAAUUAUCAUCUAAUUAAUUUUGCUAAGAAGGGAAUCACUUAGCGUGAGUAUAUAUCUCUCUCUUAAUGGGAGCCGAUCGAGUCAAGACAGAUAGUUACGUGCAAAAGGGGAACCCUCUCGUCCUUUCGUUCUUUUGCACCAAAAAAGUCAUCGAGAAAUUAUUCCAAGACGAACACCACAGACACCCACCCUCCCACCCUCCAAGAAGCAAACAAUUUUGCUGAGAGGAAUAGGGAAUAAAUAUCUCCGUUUAAAUAACCUUAAUUCAGUGGAAAAUUAUGUGCGCAUUAUUUGUACAUUAAGCUAUGAGCAUGCAUCAAAGUGUGGUUAAUUUGAUUAACUACUUGACAUAAAUAAAAUGAAGAGAGUUCUUUGGCAUUUUCUAGAGACAAAAAGUUACUUUAUUAUGGGCCAGAAAUGUUUGUGAUAUUUGUUUUUCUCUAACCCAAGUUUUGUGGAUACGUAAAAAAUCUGGAUCAAGGUUAAGUUCUAUUAAUUAAAAUAACAUUACUUUAAACUUUUUAAAAUUAACUUAGAUUUUGAUUUUAUUAACUAGAUCAUGAACUAAUUCAUCAGAUCAUUUAAAUUACAUUGGUUCAAUUUCCACUUAAUUUUUAAAAAAAAACCAACAUGAACUAAUCGAGUUUAAUAGCUUGUUACUGAUAAAUUAUGCCAUUUUACAUUUACUUAUGUUUUGGGAGUAAGAACUCAAUUUUGAAAGGGUUUCAAUUUUGCACUUUCUUUUCAUCCAAUAUUGCACUUUCUUUUUACCUUUUAUUGGAACUCAAUAUUGAAAGGGACGGUGAGUUUUAGUUUUAAUUCUAGGUGGGCUCGAUUGUAUUCCUUCGUUAAAAAAAUAAUAACAUGAUCAAUAUAUAUCUUCAAAUCAACUUUAGUGAUGUCAUUGAUAUAACAUUUUCGAGAAUCGAUUAUAUUGUGGAUUAGUGAUAAAAUUUAAAAGAAGGAGCAUUCUUGUUUUAAUUUCUUUCAUGUUAAAAGCAUUAAUUACAUGUCUAAAAAACAAAUCAUGAUUAAUUUGCUAUAGCAUACUUGUUUUAACAAACAAAAAAUAGAGUUAAUCAUGCAUUGCAUGCGUGAAAAAAAUAUAACUAUAGGUUCAGACCUAUGUAUCUCGUAUCAAUAUGUUAAAUAAAAAGUGUGGAAUACAUCUCAUUUUGUCUAUAACUAGAUAUGUUUCUCACGUGUUUUUUAAUGUAAAAAAAGUAAUAGAUUAAAAAAAUCCAAAUCCCAAGUCAUUGAUUAAAUUAAUAAUUUAAAUAUUUACAAAAAUAAAAUAACAACAACAACAAUAAUAACAACAAAUAAACUGAUAGAAAAAAAACCAUACCUGAGCCUAUUCGAAUUAUCAAAUAAUCCAAUGUUAACCUAACUAAAGGAAAAUCCAAGAAAAAAAAAGUCAAACAAAAAUAAAACAAAAAACAUUGGCUUAAAAAAAAAAGAUAAAAACCAAGCAAACCUAGACGAAUCUCCUAAACCUAGUCUUAUCUAAAAAGUUAUAAUUUGUUAAAUCAUGAACCCGAGUUCAAUUAAAAAACUUAAAUGUCAUCCAAUUUAAUUUUGAAAGUUGCGUUGGAAAAACUAUUAAUAAAAAAUCUUGCAAAAAAAAAAAGGAGCAACAAAAAAAGUAUAGAGCUAAAAUUUAACAGGAAAAAACUCGAUGAGGAUGGAAACUAAAAAGACAUUAUCGCAAACAAAAAAAUUUCAAUUAAAAUAAUUAUGACCAAAAUUGAAAGAUUAAAAAAAUCAUAGGGGGUGAAAUUAAAAUUUAUUUAUAUAUUUAAAAAUGGUGGGGGUAAAAUAUAAAAAAAAUUAUUGACGGCUAACUGAAUAGAAUCAAAUUGAAAAUAAAAGUUAAAAAUAGAUAAUUAAACCAAAAAAAUAUAAAAAAAGGUUAAAAUAAGGAUAAAAAAUAAGACAACAUCAAUUUAGAAAAAGAAAAAAAAAAACAAAGCAAACAUCUUAAACAUGAUCUAAUCUCUAAAAUUCGCAUCGCAUUACAUUUUUAUCUUGAUUCAAUCAAGAAUCGUAAUUUUCAACUAAUUUAAUUCCGAAGGAUGACAUCAGUGGAAAAGUAUUAAUAAAAAACUUGCAAAUAAGCUCGCAACCUAUUAAACUCCGGAUCAGGGUUCUAUCAAAAAGUUUAUUAUAAGUCAAUUUAAAAAACUUGUCAAUAGCAAAACAAAUAUAUAUAUAUAAAAAAACCUAGAGAAAGCUUGACAGUCAGCUCGAGUCAACAAAUCAAACACAUGGUUUAGGACAUGAAAUUAGGAUGACCAUAUAAAUAGAAAAGCUAAAAAAACACUGUCAAAAAAAUACUUUUUAAAAAAUAAAAGUCGAAUCAAGCUAAUCUUUCAAAUCUAUUACUUGUGUCAUGAGACUAAGGUGACCCAUUCAAAGGCAUAUUUGAAAAAACAAAGAAGCAACAUUCUUAAUCAAACAAACUUUGAAGGAUAAAAAUGAAAAAAAAAUCAAUAAAAAAACAUUGCAAAACAAAAAAAAACAAUUAAAAGAAUUAUGAUUAAAUUUGACAUAGAAAUUAAAUGAAAUAAAAUGUUUUGGUAAAAAUCAAAUCAAAUAAAAUGUUUAGGGAUGAAAUUGUAAAAAACAAAUUCAUUAAGAAAAUAAUUAAAAAAAUAGCAAUUAAAAUAAUUAAACCAAAUUUGACAUAAAAAUUAAAUAAAAAUAAAUGCAUAGGGAUGAAAUUGUAAAAGAGUAAAUCAAUCAAGAAAAUGAUUAAAAAACAAAUAGAAAUUAAAAUAAUAAGGACCGAAUUUGACAACAAAAUUAAAAAAAUCAAAUGACCAGAGAUAAAAUAAAAAAUAAAACUCAAUUAGAAAUAAUCAAUGUAAAUAAAACAAUUACAAAUAAGAGAAGAGAGACUGAAUCAAAAGAAGAAAUAAAAUGAAGGAUUGGAAUGAAUUUUUUCAUUGCCAGCACGCAAUCUGAUAAAGAAAGAAAAGGAAAAGAAAGAAAAAAAGGAAAAGAAAAGAAAAGAAAAGUAAUUUCAAGUUAAAUCACGCUGAACCACGAUACACGCGCCACUCAAAGAAAAAAAUGAUGUCAAGAUGAAUCAAAUGAUGCUACAGAAUCACGGCUACAAUCGCUCGAGUUAACCACACACACUGCUAGAAUUAAAAAUAUUGAAAAUGUCCUUUGGACUAAAUGAUAUUAACAAAUAAACCAUGGUGAAAUUACAAUUAAGCCCCUAAAACCAAGGUUAAAAAAUAAAAAUUAUAUGGACAAUGUAGUAAUUCAAUUGUCCUAUAAAAAAUAAAAAUAUAAAAACACCCUUGUGAAGAAAGCAUUGAAUUUUUUUAUUCAAGGAUUAAAUUAAUAAUUUUUAUAUGUAUUAAAAAAUAUAAUUAUCAAAAUAACCCCACACAAUUCUUAAAUAACAUCUAUGUCAUUGUAAAAAUACCACCUUACUCUCGAAGCAAAGACAAAGGAUAAAAUAAUGAAGGGAUAAUGAAUAAUAACUUAUGUCUGGAGUGUUGUGGAUAAUUGUAUAAAUAUUCAAGUAUGUAUAUUAUAUCUAUAAAAAAAAUAGAGAUAACAGGGCCAAAUGAGAUAUGUUUUCAUAUGCCUUUUUAUUUUAAAACUACAUAAAUUCAUUAUCAAAUUAUUCUAGAGAUUAAUUUCUUUUUGUCCCGUUUCAUCCCUACUGAAAGACUAUAAAAAAAUAGUAACCAAAAUUAUAAAAAAAAUGUUAAAUAAAUGAUAAAUGGGUACAUAUUUGUUUUUUCUCUUGAGAUCAAGUUGUUCAAAGAAAAUUGAUUACUAGAACCUCAUGAAAAUCAAUUGUAAUUUUUAUUAUUUAUAAUCUGAUUUCUAUGGAAUUCUAGAAAAUUUUCCAUACCAUAAAUGAUAUACAUUUAAUUGGGUUUGGAAAAUAUAGCCUCGUUGAUUAAAAUUAAAUUUGGCCUUAUAUUAUUUCUUUUUAUAAAAGUAUUAUUAUUAUUAUUGUUAUUACUAUUUCAUCACAGGGCUUUUAAGGAAACUUCAUUAAACCUAGAAGUAGAAAGCGAGCUUGGCUUUAAUGAGGCUUCUCCCCAAAAAUUCAGCUUGUCCUUUCCCAGCCCAACCCUAACCACCCAACAUAGCUCAAACCCUAACCGCCACCACCAGGUCUACUAGCACAUAAAUUUACAACACAGCCCCAACAAACCACCCAAAAAGAACUGCAACCCAAGGAGAUUACUGUACUUUAAACACAAAUACAAAAUCAGAGGGGGUUUCGUCAGAGACCAUGUUUUUGCAAGAACCAGUGUUAUAUGUAGCAAGUGCAGCUUUAAGGUGUUUGGUAUUGUUUGCUGAGCUCCGGAAACCUGAUCCGAAUCGUGAAGCAUCAAAGAAAGCCCUUGAACAUAAGAAAGAAAUCACUAAGCAUUUGGGUCGUCCCUUUAUCCAAACAAACCCUUAUGAGGUGUGUGUGUGUGUGUCAAAGUUUCUAUUUUCGUUGAAAAGAUUGGAUUUUUUUUGCAUUUUUUGAUUUGGGUUUUUUUUUGGGUUUUAGAGGAUUAUGUGAAUCUUGGUUCUAGGGGUAAUUAAUGGAAUUUAGGUUUGUUUUGGUUUAUUGUUUUCUGGAGGAUUCUGUGAAUUUUGGUUAUAUGGUCAGAUAAUGAAACGAAGAAUUUUGUGAAUUUGGAUUAUAUGGUUAGUUAAUGGCAUAUAGGCUUUGUUUUUAUUAUGUGCUAUUGGUUUUAUUAUAUGCUUGAAUUGUCAUUUAUCUGCAAAAGUUUGAGUUUUGUUUGUGAUAGUGGGGUUGGGGUUGAUAUUGCAAUAAGGGAUGUGGGUGGUUUAUUGUAGGGAAUAGGGAUUGGGGGGGUCUGGGUGUUUUGAUGUAGAUAGGUGCUUUAAUCGGUGUUUGGGAUAUGAGGGAGUGAUUACUUGUGCCAAAUGGGAUGGGAUUAAGUUUCCAGUUUUGCUGUGAUGAAUGAAGUUGCUUUUUGGCAGUUGAAACUAAGUUCAUUUCAGAUUGAGUUAUUUGUUGAACUUUUGAAAUGAUGGGUUGGAGCUUAGGCCUCUGGGUUGAUGAAAAGUUCAAAUUCUUGUGUGACAAUGGAGAUGGGGGCCAUGAGAUUAAGAUUGCGAUGAGGGAUCUUGGUGGUUUAGUGGGUUAUUGUAGGGAAUAGGGAUUAGGGGAUUUGGGUGUUUUAGUGAAGAUAGGUAAUUUAAUCAGUUUUUGGAACGGCGGGGAGUGACUCCUUGUGCUGAAUAGGGUGUGUUUAAGUUUCCAGUUCUGCUGGGAUGCAUGAAGUUGUUUUGUGUGUGUUGGUAGAAACUAAGUUCAAUUCUGAUUGAGUUGUAUAUUGAGCUUUUGUACUGGAGCGCUGGAGUUUAGGCCUCUGGGUCGAUGUUAUAGCAUGCUUGAAUUGUCAUUUAUUUGCUAGAAUUUUGAAUUUUGUGUUAUAAUAGGAUGAGGACCAUAAGGGUAAGACUUCAAUAAGGGAUGUGUGUGGUUUGGUGGGUUAUUGUAGGGAACAGUGGUUGUAGAAUUAGGGUGUUUUGGUGAAGAUAUGUGCUUCCAUCAGUUUUGGGGAUGUUGGGGAGUGGUUGCUCAUGCUGAAUGGGAUAUGAUUAAAUUUCAAGUUUUGUUGGAUGGAUGGAGUUAUUUUUGGUUGGUGGAAACUGGAGACCAAGUUCGUUUCUGAUAUAUUGGAACUUUUGUACUAUUGUGUUGACCUUGGGUUGGUGCUAUAGUACUGUUGUCAUUGUUUAUACAACCAUAAACUGUUAUAAUAUUUCCUGGUGUCUUCAAACGUGCCAUUUGUUUUCUAGGCUGUCUAUACUUUGUUGGGUGCUACCAUGCAACAAAUACUCAAAGUUUCUAACGUCAACUGAAUAAAUGAAAAUAUCCAUCAAUUGGAGUAUAUUUGAGUCUCUUCUAUAUCAUAAACUAAUGGCACAUGAUUAUUAGUUACAUUUAUAUUAGUCCACCUUUUUUGAAAAUGAUACUAUGUGAACGCCGAUGGCUGCUAUGUUCAGUAAUAGCCUCCUGCGUGACUGACUUGACAGGUUCAUAGUUGGAAGAAAUUAAAUUUGAAGACUUGGCCUUGAACCAAUAUGAUUGCUAUAACUGGGAAACAUAGAUAUUAGUUCUUUCUAUGCCUAAUGAAAUUUGGAUCGAAAACCAAAUUUUCAAAUAUGAAGCCUUCUGAUGGCAAUUGUUUUGUGGAAGAUUUAAACUGCUUCGUAACAAUCAAGCCUAUCCUCUAAACACUAUCCAAUAUGGCCAUGUUCUCAUGUUGAAAAUAUAAUUGAUUGGAAUAGAGGCUUUAAAAUUCAUGGUCGGUUUAAUGGUUUAUCAAUAUGCUGCAAUUGUAUAUUUUUAUUUUUGAAUCAAUUGGAUGAUUGGAAUCUAUCAAGCAAGCUUUGUAUGAACUGGUUAUUCUUCCUCUGCGGAAACCUGAGCUCUUCUCACAUGAGAAACUUCUUGGUCCACAAAAGGGGGUAUUGUUAUAUGGACCUCCAGGCACCGGGAAGACCAUGCUUGCAAAAGCUAUUGUCAGAGAGUCGGGAGCUGUUUUUAUAAAUAUGAGGAUCUCUAAUCUGAUGAGCAAGUGGUUCGGCGAUGCACAAAAGCUCGGUGAGCAUAGAUCGCAUUUGAAUUGCCUCUCAUGUGCUUGAGCUUUGUCUUGCCUUUAGCAAAAUAAUGAUGAUUUAAAAUUAUUGCCUUGUUAUUCUAAAACUUGCUGUCACCCACCGACUAUGUUGAGUGAAAUUUAGUUUCACUUUGAUAAUGGAAGCAAGGUAGUACUUUGUGAACAUUCUUAACUAAGAUUGAACAUUCCUAACUUGUCCUUUUUGAAGAUCUUUAUUAGCAGCAAGAUUAUUUUGAAUGCUCUACUAGCUUUAAAAAACAGGGCACUGUAGCUUGCUUAUCUAAUGGAUCUUACUCCGAUGAAUGAGAUUGUGAAAUGAUCAAAAUAUUGGUAUUUUUGUUGCUGUGUGGUAUUUUUAUAUAUCCUGCAUCAGGGAUAUAACAGAAGUAACUGAAUGGCAUACACUCUUGCAAUUGUGAAAGUGGUCAUUACUGUAUUUUACAACAACAUCUUUGUGUUGAAACCAUCCCUCAUUACAUUCUUUUCUGCACCUGAAUCCAAGCAAGGUUAAGCCCAGUUACAUGACCGGAUUUCAUUCCACAGGUCACCCCAUCCCACAAGCAGCAAUCUGUACCCUCUUUCCACGACUGUGUCUUGGGAUGCUGGCAAUUCCAUGAAGCAGAGCUAUUAAUGGAAAAGGAUUCUUUGAAUUGGAGCAAAGAAAGAUUUUGGUCAUGAGCACAAAAAUGAGAUGAAGAAAUUGUUGAAAGGAAAUGGAAGAGAAACAGAAUGAAAGAGAGGGACGGUGGUGAAAACCCCAUGUUUGGCCUUACAGGAUUUAGUAGUAUAUUUGGGAGAGAUGAGGAAUAAAGAAAGGCAUUGUUUGUAUAUUUAGUAGUAUAUUUAUAGACAAAGCAAUCUUAGAUUGUAUACUGACGAAAUCAAAGUCACUGACCGCCCAAAUCUCAAGUACAAGAGUGAGUAAUACGUGCGCCAAGCAAUGGGGGCACUAAAGACUUUGCACUUAUAUAUCGUUUCUCGUGACCCAAAAGUACUCUUUGUGUGCGCUCGGUAAUGUAUAACAGUUUAAAAAUCGUGACAGCUUAAUUUGAAUGUUCAGAGAUGCUUUUUCCAAAUUGUAUUUAGCAAUGAGAUUUAUGCGUAGAUUGCUUUGCCCACUAAAAUAUAAUUUCCAAGAAAUUCAAGCCACAAAAUCCUCAAUACAUAGGAAGAAAACUUCUUGAAGAUUUACACUCGAAGUUUACUCACAGCAGAGUUAAAUAGUCAUCCUCACCUUUUUUUGUCGACUUCAAUCUAAUCCGGUCAACACGUUCUGGCAAUAGCUUUAUUGAACCGUUACUAGAAAACUGACAAACAAUGAAGAAUGGAGUUUGAAGGUUCUUGCACUCAAGAUGCUGUGGGAUCGGUCCUCCUAAAAGAUCUUUCUUUUUCAGCAUCAACAAGGGAAAAGCAAUCUUCAUUUGGUCUGUUCUUGAUCUCCAAGUCUUCGGAACUUGGAUGUAUAGAUAUUGUCCCCUCUUCAUGUGGUGCUGAAUAUGGAACUGAAGGUUCACUUGCAAAUAUUUCCACACAAGAGUGAGCGUCGGAAACACGGCAGUACUAAUUUCCAAAAUUGACAUUUUUGCAGCAAGUCUUUGUGCUAACAGAUACAGUUCAUGCUCUAAUUAGAACUUCCUUUGUAGCUCGUCUGAUGGCUGCUGUUCUCGGGGACAUCUACCCCGCUAUUAUUCCUUGCUGGCUUAUAAAUUUAAUACUAAUUGGAUCCCCCUUCGCAUGUACUGAUAGAUUAUUCUUGCUAUUAUUAACAAGAAUACGUGACUGUUUACUUGAAGGUUUAAGCAAUUUAUAUGUUUCCCAGAAGAAGAAGAAGCAUUUCAUAGCUUAGAAAAUAGCAAUGAAUAUCUGCUAAUAGAUACAGUUUGUGCUCUUCCUUUGCAGCUCGUCUGAUGGGAAGUGUACGUUUCUGGGGACUUCUACCACUCGUCCUCGUCUUCUAUAAAACUCCAUGCCAACAAAAGGCAAUAAUGCAACCCUUGGUACAGAUUUUUGCUGGAUAUUUCCACGCAAGGAGAGCUCCCUUAACUAGUUGAUGACUAAACAAGAGUAGUGGACAGAGGGAAACAGGAUCGUUCUCAGGUAUCAUUAGGAAUUGUUUCAAGGAGGAAAAAGUAUAAGGUUAGGUUUCUUAAUGCCAGAGGCAGUUUGACAGAGAUGGAUAAGGAGGUUAGUGACAACUCUAUGGACUCUACUCUUGCCAAUGUCAAUGGAAGGUUGGAAAAUUUGGCAACUUGUACUGAACCCACAAUAGUCUAUAGCUCUGAACGAGAGGUGGCAGCUACACAUCACCUUGGCAAGGUUUUAGGGAUUCAUAGAGAUACUAAUGAUGGUUUGGUUGCUGAACAUAUUCGGAGGAAGAUUGAUACGAAAUAGAAGGAAUGGUUGGACUCCCUCUAAGUUCUUGCUCUGGUGCCCAGUUUAUGAGUUUUGUUCUAAUCUUAAGCAGAUGCUACCAUAGAAUUAUAGAGAUUUAGGCAGUCUUUGUAGAAGGGGGGCUGCGCAAAAGUAUGUUAGUUCCAAUGAUAUUGAAGCUUUUUGUUUCUUGGAAACUAAAAUUUCUAAUUAUACGAACACCUUAGUCAAAAGUAUUUGGAGUGGGUCUAAACUGGAAUGGUAUAGUUUCUUAGCAAUUUUAGCAAUGUUAUUGUAUGUGUGUUAAAUAAACAUUAUUGCAUGCAUCACUUAUAAAGUAUUUUUAUUUUUGAACAAGAUGUCAUAGCAUGUGAUGUUAAAAAUCCUGAUCACAUAGAUGUGGAAUUUGAAUUAAUUGGAGGACUGGAAUCUAUCAAGCAAGCUUUGUAUGAACUGGUGAUUCUUCAUCUGCGGAAACCUGAGCUCUUCUCACAUGGGAAACUUCUUGGUCCACAAAAGGGGGUAUUGUUAUAUGGACCUCUCUGAUAAUUGAAGCAAGGUAGUACUUUGUGAACAUUCUUAACUAGAUUGAACAUUCCUACUUGUCCUUAUUGAAGAUCUUUAUUAGCAACAAGAUUUUGUUGGAUGCUCUAUUAACUUUAAGAAACAGGGCACUGUAGCUUGCUUAUUUAAUGGAUCUUACUCCGAUGAAUGAGAUUGUGAAAUGAUCACAAUAUUGGUAUUUUUGUUGCUGUGUGGUAUUUCUAUGUAUCCUGCAUCAAGGAUAUAGCAAAAGCAACUGAAUGGCAAUUGUGAAAGUGGUCAUUACUGUAUUUUGCAACUACAUCUUUGUGUUGAAACCAUCCCUCAUUUCAUUCUUUUAUGCAUCUAAAUCCAUGCAAAUCUUGUUGGUUCUGUGCUGACUAGAAACAGUUUUAGAAGUAAUUAACUAAGUUUGCAUAGUUGCUUUUUAGCUCCUGUCGAAGUUUUCAUAAUCUGACUACUGUUGAUUCUCUUCUAUGCUGUUGCAGUUGCUGCUGUUUUUAGCCUGACUUAUAAACUCCAGCCUGCUAUUAUAUUUAUGGAUGCGGUUGAUAGUUUUCUAGGGCAGCUUCGUACAGAUCGUGAGUUCUUACUCUUGAAACAUAUGCUGCAUUUGUGCAGUCUUCUUAUACAGUGACUUGCUAGAAUGUGUUUAAUGUAAGAUUUGUGAAAGUGUGAUAAUAUCUUACAAAAAAUUAUUUUAAUGUUUUCCCUAUUAAGCAUUGUUUGUAUAAACCUAUGUUGUUUUUAUUUUUUAUUUUUUUUGCUUUAGAUAUAAACAACGCAUUAGAACAUUGUUUGUACAUGUUGAGAUGGUUUUAUUACACUUUUUAAAAGUCAUUAAUGUCUUACAAGUUACCAGAAUUACUUUAUUUUACUUGCAAAUAUUGCUGCUGGUGUGAUAACAGAAUCUGUCAGUCUAAGUGUUCUUUUAAAUUUACAAGAAUUGCUUCAAUCUGUUCAUAACUUUAUAACUUUCAAAAUACUCCCAGAAACAGAGAUUGAUUUAAGUGAUCACGAAUAAGAAAAUGGACACAUAAAAAAAGGUCUCAAAACAUAAGUGAUUUUAUAGUUAACACAAACCUGUUACAUACAUGAAUUCUUUUUCAUAGAAGUAACGCCCAAUUAACCUCGAGAUUCCAUUUAUCUUCAACCAUCCUAAGAAACCAUAAAUAUUUUUUUGUUCUUAACACAAAGUAUCCUGUUGCAACUCCAAACACAAACCCACAUCCAUACCCCAUUGUCACAGCUUUCCAUCCACAUCCAUCUCCAAACAAUGUUGAAUCAUCUCCUUCAUUAAAGCUUGAUGGCGGCAAUGAUGGUGCCUCAUCACCGUAGCAUUCUUUUAGUACUUGAAAUCCACAUAAACCUAAGUUUCCUUCAAAUGAGCUUGCAGUAAAGGUGUUGAACUGCUCUCCACUUGGUAUACGCCCCUCGAACUGGUUAUGUGAAAGGUUUAGGAUUGCAAGAAAUGUUAGACCCCCCAGCUGCGUUGGAAUCCUUCCGGUAAGCAAAUUUGAAGAUAGAUCUAAUGAUUCCAAAUUAGUCAAAUUUCCUAAUGAUGAUUGGAUAUGACCUGUAAGGGAAUUAUGAGAGAGGUUGAGUUGUUGGAGUGCUUUAAGCUUUCCGAUUACCUUUGGAAUUCCUCCGGUGAAAUUAUUAUUUGACAAAUCGAGUAUUCUGAUGGUACUUUGUAUCUUUGGAAACUCAAUUUCUACACCUUUCCAUGUAAUUUCUAUGGAAUAGACAUAGCUAGAGUAAUUUGUUGCUCUCAUGUAAAUCAUGUUUUGAUCGGAAGCCAUCAUUGCUUCAAGACUAUUGAAAUACCCAGUUGGCAAUGAUCCACUAAAAUCAUUGUCAGAGAUGUCAAAAAUCCGUAAUUUAGAGAAGGAAUUAUAUGCAGUCGGACCCUUCACAAAACCUUGCAGUUUAUUGGAUUUUAGGACAAGAAUUUGCAGCUCUAGAAGCGUUUCUAGAAAGCAGGGAAAUGUAUCCUCAAUCUUAUUGUUGCCAAGAUCAAGAACUUGCAACAUUGUGCAGUUGAUGAUAGACGGUGAUAUUUUUCCUUCUAAUUCAUUUCCAUUGAGGUUGAGAUAUUCCAAGCUAUUAUCCUUUGAAAAUAUUGAAGGGAUGGUGCCCUGAAGAUUGUUCAUGCCUAGAUGCAAUACCGAGAGCAUGUUGCUGAAGUUCCCCAAACAUAGUGGCAUAGAACCACUAAAGCUGCUGGUGGACAAGUCCAGGACCCGAAGGAAUCUCAGCUUGCAAAUAGAAGAAGAAAUCUCACCUAUCAAUCCACUAUUGGAUGCAAGAAUAAGGACUUCCAAGUUCUGUUGUUUGAAAACCGAACUUGGGAUUGUACCGUGCAAGUGGUUAUUGCUCAAAUCAAGGUAUACCAAUGAAUAAUGUUGGAGUUCACUUAUAUUGCCUAUGAGAUUAUUGUUAUGAAGAUCAAGAUGCUGUAAAGAAGGAAGAGCUAGCAAAAAUGAUGGUAUUGUUCCAUUGAACAAGUUAUUGGAUAAAUACAGAGAUUGUAGAUUUGAAAGGGUAUUUAAUUGAGAAUGGAUAGGGCCUAUUAGUUGAUUAUUUGAUAAAUCUAAAUAUGAAAGAUUGACUAGGCUAUUCAAAGAAUCUGGAACUUGACCCACAAAAUUAUUAGAACCGAGAAGCAAGGAAUGGAGGUGUACAAGGUUUCCAAGUGACGAUGGGAUCUUACCGCUCAAAUUAUUAAUUGAGAGGUCUAAAUAAAUAAGAUGUGUAAGAUUACCAAGCGGGGCUAGAUCUGAUCUUAUAAUAUUACUAUUACUAAGAUACAUAUAUUCUAAUGACUUUAGAGUACUGAUUAAGUCGUUUUCUAAAUAAACUGAAAUUCUUGUAUUAGAAAGAUCCAACUGAGAGAGGACAUUACUCAAAUUGGACGAAGGAAAAGAGCCAGUGAGGCCUUCGUUGUAUGACAGAUCCAGUGAUUCAAGGUAUGGGAGGAGAAAGAUGUUACCCGGGAACUUCCCCUGCAAUCGACAACCCCCAAGGGAAAGAGAUGACAAAGAAGAGGACAGAUUCGUCAAGGAAUUAGGUGCAACCAGAGACAUAUUUACAUAAUCCAAAGCGAGAUCUCUUAGCUUGGUUAGGUUUUGAACAAGCUUUUCAAAAGAAAUUGGUUCUGGACUUAGAUAGAAGUUUUCAGAGAGACGAAGUGAAACCAACUCGGUGAGUUGAUCAAAAUCAUAUGGAAUUGAACCAGUAAGAUUGUUCCCUCCAAGAUCCAAGUACUGCAGGUGCUUAAAUUUCCCCAUCGAGGAUGGGAGUUUUCCUUGCAAUCCACAGGAAUAGAGUAUGAGCGAUGACAGAGAAGAAGACAGAUUCAUCAAGGAAUCGGGAACAACUAGUGACAUGUUUACCCCACUCAAAUCGAGUGCUCUAAGCUUGGUUAGGUUUCGAACAAGCUUGUCAAAAGAAAUUGGUUCUAAACUCACAUCGUCGUUCCAAGAGAGAUCAAGAGAAACCAUUUUGGAGAGGUGAGAGAUUUCUGACGGAACUUGGCCUGCAAGAUCUGAACCACUUAGGUUAAGAUGUGUUAGAUUGGAGAACUGGCCAAAUCGAGAAGAAAUAUGGGAGGAGUUGAAAUCAUUGAAAGAGAGGUCGAGCUUUUGAAGAUGAUGGAGAGAGAAGAGAGAAUUAUUGGGAAGGAGGGUGCCGUAAAGCAUGCUGCAAGAGAGGUCCAGUGCAGUGACAUGCCCGGUUUUCAGGUCACAAGUGAUCCCAUCCCACAAGCAGCAGUCUGUACCCUCUUUCCAUGACUCUGUUUUUGGAAAGGGAUAUUGACAGUACUCCGAUGAAGCAGAACUAUCAAUGGAGAAGGAUUGUUUGAAUUGAAGGAGAGAAAGAGAUUGGUAAUUUGAGGAGAGUGGAGAUGAAAUUGUUGAAUGGAAAUGGAAGAGAAGCAGAAAGAACGAGAGAGAUUGAGAGAGGGACAGUGGUGAAAACCCCAUGUUGGCUGGCCUUACAGGAUUCAAAGUAUAACUGGGAAUUUAAGAUGAGAAGUAAAGAAAGGCAUUAUUAGUAGUAUUUAUAGACAAACGCUACAGUCUUAGAUUGUAUACUGACGAAAUCAAAGUCACUGGUUGAAGCAGGAACAAGUUUCCGAGAAAUUCAAGCCACAAAAUCGGAAGAAAACUUGUUAAUAAUUUACGAUCGUAGUUUACUCAGAGCUUGCAAGGGGGCAUGCAGAGUUAAAGAGUCAUCCUCACCUUCUUAUGUCCACUUCAAUCCAGUCUCCAGUCAACACGUUCUGGCAAUAGCUUUAUUGAACUGUCAACCCACUCUUUCAGCAUCAACAAGGGAUCAGAACCACUCUUCAUUUUGUGAUCUGUCCGUUACCUUACAAAACAAAUUGAAUACAAAACAGUCAUCGAUUCAUUACACGGUGCUUAAGACACGUCAACUGGGAAAUGUCCGCAUUCAAAAUAUAUGGUCCAAGAAUGAAACUCGGUUAAGUAGCAGCCUGUGAUAUUGCCAAUAUUCCAGUUAAUUUCAAAGAGAGUGCUGCGCGCAUUCAGCAAAGUUUGAGAGUGCAGCCCCUACAAAUCAAAUGCUAGUACUUAAUGCCUUAAAGCCUGCAAGUUAGAAUCCUCAAAAUGAUGAUCUUGCUUAUCAAUCUUUCAAUUUAUAUACUAUGAGUUUUCCUUUUUUUCUUUUUUCUUUUUCUAUUUUAAAUAAAAAAUAAUUUAACUAUGAAAUUAUGUAAAUAAAUAAUUAAAAAAUAUUUAUGCAGUAAAAAAUGAAAAUUAUAAAUCUUUUACCUGAACGAUUUAAGGAGUAUUUAUAGCCUUUAAAUCUUGUUAUUUUACUAGAAUGGAGGGCCUAAAAAGUUAUUUUCAAAUUGCACAAACUAAAUUGUUGUUUAUUGGCAAAGUAAUAAUUACGCAAAGCAAAGGGGGCACUAACGACUUUGCACUUAUGGAUCAUACUCUUUGCGUGCGCUCGGUAAUGUAUAGCAGUUUAAUUAUUUUUCAAAGUUAUAUUUUAAUUCAAAAUAUAUUAAUAUGAUAUUUUUUAAGAUUUAUUUUUAAUUUUUAUUAUUAGUAUAUUAAAAUCAUAAAAAAUUAAUAUUGAUUUUCUAAAUGGAUUAAAUAUUGUUUUAGAGGUUGCUAAUAUUUUUUAAAUUAAUUAAUCUUUUUAGUAUUAAAAAUAACUAAAUAGUUAUUUGACAAAUCUUGAUUAGUAAUAUUUUUUUUUUGAAAUACUUUUCUUGCUUAUCAUUCCUUCAAUUGAUAUACUUUGAUUUUUCCUUUUUCUAUUUUAAAUAAAAAAUAAUUAAACUAUGGGAUUAUGUAUACGUAAUUGAAAUAAAAAAAUUGAUAAGCAAAGUCAGCUUCAUCUUUAUAUGUCCAAUCCAAUCCAAGCAAUGGAGCACUAAUGACUUUGCACAUAUAUCGUUUCUCAUUACCUAAAAGUCUUUCUGUGUGAUUCAUAAUGUUGUGCAAUAUAUUUUUCAAAUGUAUUUUUUAAUUGAAAAUAUAUUUAAUUCUUUUUAAUUUUAAUAUAUAUAAACACAUCAAAAACAUAAAAAACACAUAAAAUAUUUAAUUUAAUGCUUUUUUAGGCAAUAUGUUUUUAUAUAAAAAAAAACAAAAGGUACCAUAGUGUCAAAAAAACAUUUCAUUAUAUAAUGAGAAUAAGAAUAGGAACAUGCAUGACAAUAUUGAUUUUCUGAAUGGAUUAAAUAUCUUUUCUGGGUAAUUAUUUUCCUUUCCUCCCUUUUCAGCUGAAAUCAGUUGUGCUCAGAAAAAGGAUAAUUAUUUUCAGGGAUUGUUUUUCAUGCGAUUGUUCAUUCUAAAAUGCAAAACUAAGAGUCUGUCGCUGAAGUUUCCUAAAUAUGCAUGGUGGUGUAGAACCGCUCAGACUAUUAUUUUACAAGUUAGACUUGAAGGAAUUUCAGAGCAGCGUACCGGAAAUUAAAAUAAUAUUUAGGUUAUGUUUGUUUUCCGGAAAUUAAAGAAAAUAUUUAGUGAAAGUUUAGGAAUAACAUUACUGAACCAUUACAGGAAAACAGAGCAGCCUACUAAAACUGACAAAGAUUGGAGUUCCAAGGUUCUUGCCCUCAAGAUUACCGGAAAGAUCUUCAUCUGGGCUGUCCUUUUCCUCCUUGACCUCCAAGUCUUCGCAACCAGUAAGUGGUUCUGCAUAUGGAACUGCAGGUUGAAUUAUUGAUCAAUUGCAAAUAUUUCCGUACAAUUAGGUCCCUUUGUUGACUAUACAAGAGUGUUGGAAACACGGCAAAAUUAAUUUCCAAGUUAGUGGACGCCUAAAAGAUCUUUCUAUCUCAGCAUCAACAAGGGAAAACCAAUCUUCAUCUGGUCUGUCCUUUUCCUCCUUGACCUCCAAGUCUUCGCAGCCAGAAAGUGGUUCUGAAUAUGGAACUGCAGGUUGAAUUAUUCAAUUGCAAAUAUUUCCAUUGUUGACUAUGCAAGAAUGUUGGAAACACGGCAAUAUUAAUUUCCAAAAUUGACAUUUUUCCGGCAAGUCUACGUACGUGCAAUUUGUGCUCUAAUUAUAACUUCCUUUGUGUCUCGUCUGAUGACAACUGUUCUUGGAGACUUCUACCCCUGAUCUAUGCCUGGUUUUUCUUGGUAUCAUUGCAUCUUUGAAGUUUGGUUUUCCUUACAAUUUAUUUUAUCUUUCAUUAGAUUUCUCUAUAUUGUAAGAAAUAUUUUUAAGUGGAUCAUAUGCCAUGUCAUGUUUUUAAAAUAAUAUUAAUUGUGUAUAUAUAUUUAUAAAAUUUAUAAAUGAUAAUUAAAUGCUUGGAGUCCAUUGCUCUCUAAUGAUGAUGAACUAAGUACAGUAUAUACAUAAUGGAUGAAAGUGAAAAAAAUCAGGAUCCCUAUGCUAGCCAUAUUAAAUAUUACGUAAAAUCAUGUAACCUCCAUCAAAAUAUAGAAAAUCUAAAGUUUGGUAUUGACGGUUCAAUUAUAGUAUGGACUAAAUCCACUUACUUGAAAAACCCAAGGAUAUAUGAGCCCAGAAAAAAAAUAGUCAUUUGACAAGUGUUGAUCAUGGUACAAAUAAUCGAAAAUAAUUAAGUCAUAAAUACAAUUAAAACUAUAUAUAGAGAUUAAAUGUCAUAUAGUUUGCAAAACUAUGUCCUAGCUAGGAUUAAGUUAUAACUAACUCAAAUACAAAAGGAAUUUAUGCAAAUUGUAUAAAAGUGAUUUACAAUUACAGCGUGCCCCUCUGAAAACAAUUGUAAUCUGCAUCCAACAGCGUGCCCCUCUGAAAACAGAUCACUUUUAUCCUUUUUCUUUCGGUUUGUUUGGACUUGUGGUUUUAGAACUGCAUCCAACAGCGUGCCCCUCUGAAAGCUGUUAGGAAGCUAAAGAUUGCCAUAUCAGACAGCCAUUGAAGUAUCCUUUUUCUUUCUGCUUAUUUGCUAACCUCUUUGUUCAGCAUGUUACGGCCAUGCUUUUGGCAUUUGGCCUGGACUGAGUUCAGUCCAACAGUGUCAAAGUAAUAGUAUUUCACAUAGGUUUUGUUGGAAGAAUAAUGGGUAUAGUAUAAGAUCAAAACAGUAAUGCAAAGUGAAAAAAAAAUCUCAAGAACAAGAAAAUUGAGAUAAAGAUAUAUUUUUAUUAAGUGUUUUUCUCUAAACUCUCUUAGCUAUUCUUUUUCUCUUUGUCCAUACCUAGAAAUGCUGAGUUACAAGGUUAUAGCAGAUUAUUCUAGAUAACCCUUGUGCCAUAUACCCUGCCCUCUCCUCAGCAUACCAUUCUUGUGAAUCCAACCCACUGUUAGAGCCUUCAAUUCUAGAUGUGAAUCUUCAGUUCAUGGCAGUCCCGAGACUGAAACACCCUGCCCCAGUGGUGUUUAUCCAUUGUUGAACCUCUUGUUGACACAACCAUAGCCAUAAGACCUCAUGUACUGGUCUUCAACCCAAGUAAAUACAGUUGGGAAGACUGACUGGCCCAGUUGGACACAUAUUAAGAAGUCCAACCAAAAAAGGGACUGAGAUUGCAGAACCUAUCGCUUGAAUAGCAGAUUUGAACUAUCUGGAUAAGCAAAAAUGACCAACAUUGCUCAAAUUCAUUGAAUAGAGCGCGGAUGGAAGCUGUCAAUCAACAAGAGAAGUUGCAAGAAAUUUGAAAAACCUAACAUGACAGAAUAAACAUGAUAUCAUAUGAGGGGAGAAAGCAGGAAAAAAGAAUGACAUCAUAAGAGGAAAAACAGCUGAAUUUCUAAACAGAAAACACAGCGAAAAUCCAAGGGACAUGGGAAUGGGUCAAUACUAGACACCACAUGAACAGAAGUUUCGAUCUAAUAUAAACUGAAUAGUGAUUCCAAAAUUCUUUUUUCUCAUCCCGGUAAGUUUGGACGCCAACAUAAUAGUGGCUCUGAUUUUCCAUAAACUAAGAACUCAUACAAGCAUGUUAAUACAUCUCAUUAGUUUGAGUUCACUUGAUCUCAAAUUCUGUAUCUUUCCCCUUCAGCAUGCCCGAAACCGUAGAAGGCAUGAUCCACAUUUCCCAGCCGCACAAUUGCUUCAUGGACAGUCAGAGGUGGCAUGUCAAAGUACUUUGUGUGAACAGCCUGAAAAUUGUGUAGAUAAUGAGUCUAUGGCAGACAAGAAUAAUAUGUCCAGGUGGGCAAUGGUUUACCUAGCCAAAAGCAUGCAUCAAACUUAAAAGUAAUAGAAAAUAUCUUUUACAUUGACACCCAGAUGUAAAGAAGAAUUUUGAGCGCCAAGCCAUGAUUUGGAAAGAUGAAGAUGGUAAUACAUUUUCCUUGUGCAACAGUCCAUAAGUAUCUAGCUAAGAGAACCGGUAAGGUAUUCGCUACAGUUCACAAGUUAUGAUGCUAAAUCAUCUGCAAAUUACAUGUGCCGUAGUAAUCGCCAAAUGGUGCUAUGGGGAAAGCCCUUGUUGGGAGGAGAACUAUUCACUACAGGUCUAUAUUAAUGAACUCACAGGAAUACAUAAGACUCACAUUCGAUGAUAUGAAGCUAUGGAUAGUAACUAAAUGCAUAUAAAACAACUAAGACAACAUAAAUAAUAAACCGCGAACAAAAAUGUUAAAGAGCCCUACCUCAUCAAGAUUGUCGUCAUCUUUUCGCUGUGAAACUGUAUCUGCAACAUUCUCCACCACUUGUGACAUUGGCUCCCUAACCUUCAACUUAUUAAAUCCUUUCAUGUGUCUACCAUGAUCGGACUCCUUGUCCUUAAUCUUCCUCAACUUGUUGAAUAGUUGACGACACCAAAUCAAUACUUGCUUAGAUUUCUCAGCAUCUUCCUCUGCCCUCACCACCGCAUCACUUUUAGUAAACACGGUAACCCAAAAUCACAAAAAAUCUAAAAUUGAAUUCAUAAUUUGAAGGGUACCUUUCUAAUCCUUGGGCCUUUCCCCAUGUCUCCACCUCUAAAACACAACCUUACAUCAAUUGCCCGUACAAGAUGACAAUGUUUCUGAAUUGCCUGUCCUACUUUGAUCUUUGUGGAAUUCACCAAAGAAGAAGCUAGUGAAGUAGCAGGAGUUGUUGAUGAUAAUGGCUUGUUUGCAACGAACCUAAGAGAGAAGCCGUUGGCAAAUUUUCUUAUGAGGGUUGUUUGGAUUGCUGGAACAUGAAGGAAAAUAAGGGGGUUUUAAAGAGGUUUCUAUUAACAAUACAAAUGGACAAGGACACGUCAGCUAAUUGAUUCAGUUGGGCCCCACUUUAUGUGGGAUGAACCCUUAUCUGCCAAGUCCACAUUCAAUUUGUGGGAAACAUAAGACAUUAGCCCAAAAUCUAUUAGAUAAUUAUAAAUUAAGUUUAAGAACAAAUAAUUUCAUCAAUUAUAUCCAAAGUAUUCCGGAGGUUUCUCAAUUGGAUCCUUCUAUCCAUUUUCUCUCAAUUUUAAUGUUAAGGUUUCCUUAAAUAGACCAGUUUCAUUGUAUAAAUGAUAAAACAGUAAAAUUAUAUGGAAAUAAUUUUAAGAAAAAUACCCAAUUGAGAAAUAUAUGGCAUAGUUUGGAUCUAAUUGAUAAAAUACAUUGUUCAAGGUCUUGAUUGAGAUGCAUAUAUAGUUUAAGGUCCAGAAUGUGGUUUACCCUUUAAUUUACAUGUAGAGCAUUUCAAGUGGGGGCCACCUUCUCAUUGAUGGCUCACGAACCAUGAUCUUACUUGAGCGACAACAAUUAUUACUAUUAAUUAAUUAUUAACUAUUAAUUAAUUAUUCUCAUUGAUGUAUUUAUUUGAGAUAUAAUGGUUUUUAUAAGAUUAUGUAUCUACGUGGCUUAGCAGGAUCAAUCUUUACAUUUCAAUGCGAGAAAGGUAUGAAAUGUUUACUAAUUUUUACUCGUACACAGUUAUGAAAUCCAAGUAUUUUUAUAGGAAGUAAUUAAUAUAUAUAUAUAUAUAUUAAACUUAAUUUUUAUUAAUUUAAUAUUAAAGAUGAAAUUAAAAACAAAAUUCGACUAAAAAAAGAUAACUCAACACAAGUUUAUCUAUCAAACCUGAGUUGUGAAAUCAAAAUACUCCUAUAAAAAGAUAUUAAAACAAAUUAUUAAAUCCAAUUCUAAAUCAAUCAAAAUUUUAAGAAUGAUAUUAAGAAAAACUAGUAAAAAAUAACACAAAUACUCAUGACUUGGGUCAACUGACCAAACUCAUGUCUUGGAUUAUAAGACCAAUAUAACCUUAUAGAACACAAACCAAAAUAAAUUAUGAAGUCUAAUUUUUAAUUAAUCCAAUAUUAAAAAAAAUUUCAAUUAAAAAAAUAACAAAAAAAAAAACUCGAGUCAACUAGUCUAAUCCACGAUCUAGGUCAAAGACCUUUUUUUUUUUUAUAAUCAUCGAGAGUAUAUUAAGAAGGCCAUAAAGCCAAUAGCCAAAGAAAAAUACAAGGGAUAUGAAAAAAAAAAAACCUAAAAAACUGAUCUACUACAGCAAACAACAAAAAAACUACCUAAGAUUUCUUAUUACACCACAAUUUGAUGCCAUCAGAAGAUCUUAAGAAGUCAUUUCCUGUAUAAGUGAAGUUUGAAUCCUGAGUAUGCAACCAAAUAGCAACCCGAUGAAGGAUGGUGGAGAAACAAUCAAACAAGUUUAUAGUUCACUCCUCAAAAACAAUUUUGUUCCUCAGCAACCAAAUACCCCAAAUAGUACUACUUGAAAUUAGUCUCCAAGCUGAUCUUUGGAAUUUGCCAUGUACCAUUUCGGGCCACUGCAGAAGCAACGAGUCAAGUGUUUUCGGUAAACAACAUUGGAUACCCUACCAAUCCAAAACUUUUAUUCAAACACUCAUAGAAAAGUUACAAUGUAUGAAAAGAUGCUCCGAGGUUUCCAAAUCUGAGCUGCAAAAGACACAUGAAGCUUGUGUGGAAUAUUUUUCCAAAUCUGAGCUGCAAAGACCUUGAUAACCUUAAACAAAAUAUUUUUUUUCUUAUAAAGCUCAAUUCUGAAUUAACCCAAUGCUAAAUGAUUAAAUUAAAAAAAUAAAAUAAAAAAUGAUUUAUGUUAACUUGGGUUAAUCUAUCAAAUCUAAAUCAUAUGAAUAAGAUAAUUCCAUAGAAAUAAAAAAAGAAGAAAAAAAAAUAAAGUUCAAUUCUCAAUCAACCAAAUGUUGAAGGAAAAAAUUAAAAAAUAAAUAUUCAAUUAAAAAAAAAUAAAAAAAACUCAAUUCAACCUAGUUAAUCCAUAAAACUCGUGAUAUAGGUUAUGAGACUGUGAUAACCCGAUAGAAAACAAAUCAAAAAAGAAUUAUGAAGUCCAAUUCGCAAUUAAACCAAUAUUGAAAGAGAAAGUUGAGAAAAAAAUAAUAAUUAAAAAUAACAAAAAAAAUAACCCGAGGCAACAUGGCUAACUCAUCAAACUCACGACCCGGGUCAUAAAAUUAAAAUAAUUUCAUAGAAAGUAAAUCAAAAUAAAUUAUAAAGUUUAGUGUGUAAUAAAUCCAAUAUUAAAGGUUGAAAUUUAAAAAAAAUACAAAGUUUGCAAUUAAAAUUAAAAUUAAAAAAAAUUCUUAAUAUAUGCUAAAAUCCUAGUGCGGCAGACAUAUUGGUUCCACUUUUCUCUUAACUUUUCUAGCGCAAUACAUCUGCUGGGUUACCUUUGGCCUGGCUGCUUAACUAUAAAGGGUGGAUGAUAUAUUAUUUAUUUAUUUAUUUUGAAAAAAAGAAAAGAAAAGAUAUUGCAUGUUGUUUGUCGCAUAAAAAUUAAUAAUGUUAUCAGUGUAGCUCUCACCUGCAACCUUCAACUAAACCAAUGUGCUGACCAAUUCAACUACGAAACAAAGAUAUUAUUAAUUGUUUAAUUAAUAAUAUAUAUCAUUUUGUUUUUUUUUAAUAAUUUUGUUGUUGUUUUUUUUCCCGGAAAGAAUGUACCAAAAUGGUGGGGAUAUUCCCAAUCUAUAAUUUGUUAAUAUCACCCCUCAUUUAUUAUAAGUCUUUUUAAUACUCUAUAUUAUCCUUUAUCUUUAAUAUAACAUGGAGUUUUCUAUUUUGAUAAAAUCAAAUUUAUUGAAAUAAUAUAACUUGAAAUUGCUAGAAAUCAAACUCUCCUUUUUUAAUUCAAACCUUAUAUUUCAAUGCCAGAUAGGUAUGAUAUUUUAAUAUAAGAUCUGCAAUGAAUUUAAAAAAUUAAAUCGAAAAUUAAAUCUCAAGAUUUUAGAAAUCAUAUUUAAAACAUAUAAAGUUAAUAAAAAUAUGUAUGUUAAAUAAUAAAAAUAUAAAACCUUAUCCAUUUUCAAUUUAUUAUUAUUUUAAAAAAAAGUAGAAAUAGAGGUUGUAAUAAGGAAUUAAAAAAAUAUUUGAAAGAAACAAACGCUUUAAUUGAACUUCUAGCAAAGAUAGUAUUAUUCCUAAUUUUUAUUAUAAUUACAUUACAUUAAAAAAAAAUGUGCUUCAUUGUUUCUUCUUUGAAUAUAGAGCCACUCACCCACACUUUUGAUCCCUAUAACUUAUAAUUUUUACAUAAUUGGUCCCUAUAAUUUUCAAUAUUUAUAAAUUCUAUUUUUAUUUAUGUUAUUGGUCAUAAACAUUUUAUACAAAAUUAAAUACUAUAAAAUAAGACUUGGUAUCACUUGAGGCACAACCUUUAUAGAAAUAAUACUACAAUAUAUAACUGUAGUUAUGAUUACUUAUAGUUCUAUACUUACAAAAUCUGAAAGGAAACAGCUUACAGAACGAACUUUGAAGAUACUGACUGCAUUGUUUAUUUUCUUCUUGCACCAUUUCUACUAGCAUUCUUCUUUGUUCUGCUUGCAUUAAGACUCCAUUGAUCUUCAACCAUUUUCAGAAACCAUGCAGGUCUUCUUGUUUUAAACACAACAUAUCCCAUUAUGACCCCAAACAUAAACCCACAUCCAUACCCAAUUGCCACAGCUUUCCAUCCAAACCCAUCUUCAAGCAAUGUUGAAUCAUCUCCUGCAAUAAAGUUUGAUGGUGGUAAUGGUGGUGCCUCGCCAUUGCUACAUUCUUCUGGCAUUGGAAAUCCACACAAACCAGAGUUUCCUUCGAAUGAGCGAUGAUCAAACGUGUUGAACUGCUUUCCUUUGGGUAUGGGUCCUUCAAGCCGGUUAUGUGAAAGGUCUAAGACUUGGAGAAAUGUUAGAUCUACCAGCUGUAUAGGAAUCCUUCCGGUGAGCAAAUUUGAAGAUAGAUCUAAUGAUUCUAGAUUGUUCAAAAUUCCUAAUGAUGAUUGGAUAUGACCAGUAAGGUAAUUGUGAGAGAGGUUAAGUUGUUGGAGUCCUUUAAGCUUUCCGAUCAAUUUUGGAAUCUCACCGGUGAAACUAUUACUUGACAAAUCAAGUACUCUGAGGAUACCUUGAACUUUUGCAAACUCAAAUUCCGAUCCUUUCCACGUCAUUUCUACGGAAUAGGCAUAAAUAUCGGCAAAGCCAUAGUAAUUGUUUGAUGUCAUGUAAAUCCUAUUUUGAUCCGAGGCCAUCAUUGCUUCAAGACUAUUCAAAAACCCUGUUGGUAAUGGUCCACUCAAAUUAUUGCUGGAGAUGUCAAAAAUAUGUAAUUUAGAGAAUGAAUUAUAAGUAGUCGGAUCCUUCACAAAACCCUGGAGUUUAUUGGAUUUUAGAACAAGAACCUGCAACUUUGGAAGCCUUUCUAGGAAAUGGGGGAAUGUAUCCUUAAUCUUAUUGUUGCCAAGAUCAAGAACUUCCAACAUUGUGCAAUUGAUGAUAGAUGAUGGUAUUUCCCCUUCCAAUUCAUUGUCAUUGAGGAUGAGAUAUCCCAAGCUAUUCCCCUCUGAGAAUGCUAAAGAGAUAGUGCCUUGAAGAUUGUUCAUGCCUAGAUUCAAAAUUGAGAGAGUGUUGCUGAAGUUGCUCAAACAUUGUGGAAUAGAACCACUCAGACUGUUGUUGGACAAGUCAAGGAUUUCAAGGUAUUUCAGCUUGCAUAUGGAAUAAGAAAUCUCACCUGACAAUUUAUUGUUGGACGCAAGAAUAAGGACUUCCAAAUACUCUUGUUUGAAAAUUGAGCUUGGGACUGGACCAUGGAAGUGAUUAUUGCUCAAAUCAAGGUAUUCCAACGAAUUAUAUUGGAAUUCACUUAUAUGGCCUAUGAAAUGAUUGUUAUGAAGGUCCAAAUAACCUAAAGAAGGAAGAGCAAACAAAAAGGAUGGUAUUGUCCCAUUGAAUAAGUUACUAAAUAAAUAUAGACUCUCUAGAUUUGAAAGGUUUUCAAAUGAUGAUGGGAUUUCACUGCUCAAAUUAUUAUGUGAGAGGUCUAACAUUCUAAGCUGUGUGAGAUUACCAAGCAGAGCUAUAUUUGUCCUUCGAAUGUCACAAUUGCGAAGCCAUAUGUAUUCUAACGACUUGAGCUUACUGAUGAAGUCAUUUUCUAAAUAAACUGAAAUUCUUGUAUCAGAAAGCUCUAACUGCCAGAGGACAUUACUCACAUUGGAUGAAGGAAAAGAGCCAGUGAGGCCUUUGUUGUCUGCCAAAAUGAGGGAGUCUAGGUUUGGUAGAAGAAAGAUGUUACUUGGGAACUCCCCUUGCAAUCCACAAUCCACAAGUGAAAGCAAUGUCAAGGAAGAGGACAAAUUCGUUAAGGAAUUAGGUGCAACCAAAGACAUAUCUAUAUAAUCCAAAUAGAGUACUCUUAGCUUGGUAAGGUUUUGAACAAUCUUGGCAAAAGAGACUGUUUCUAGACUUAGAUGUUUGUUUGAGAUAUCAAGUGAAACCAAUUUGGAGAGAUGAGAGAUUUCCGAUGGAACUUGGCCUGCAAAAUUUGAAUGAGUUAGGUUAAGAUGCAUCAAAUUGGAAAACUGGCCAAAUUGAGAAGAGAUAUUGGAGAAGUUGAAAUCGUUGUAAGAGAGGACGAGCUUUUGAAGAUGAUGCAGAGAGAAGAGAGAAUUAUUGGAACGCAGGGUUCCGUGAAGCAUGCUGAAAGAGAGGUCCAGUUUAGUCACUUGCCCGGUUUUCAGGUCACAAGUGACGCCAUCCCACAAGCAGCAGUCUGUACCCUCUUUCCAUGACUCUGUCUUGGGAUAUUGAUCAUAUUGAUAAUUUCUAGCAAACCAAAAAGGAGACCUCUGAAUGGAAAAAGAUUGUUUGAAUUGAAGCAGAGAAAGAGCUUGGUGAUGACUACACAACUGAGUAGAAGAGGAAAAAUUUGAGGAGAAGGAUGAUGAAAUUGUUGUAAGAAAAUACAAGAGAAACAAAAUGGAACAGGGAAAUUGAGCGAGGGAUAAUGAAUAAUUCUUCAUGUUGGCUUUUCAGGAGUCAAAGUAAACGUGGGAUAUUGAAGGAAGGAAAUGCGGAAGUCGGGGAAAGAUGAGAAACAAAGAAAGGCAAUAUUAGUAGUAUAUAUAGACAAACCAAUCUGAGGACUUAGAUUGUGCUAUUCAUUCAGUUUCUGUAGUACAAAAAAACGAAAGAGACUUGCUAUACGCAGCAGCGGAGCAGAUACCGACAGGAUGGUGAAUGUGGAACACAUUUAAAGACGAAAUCAAAUUCAUUAUUACAUGUUUGAUCUUUCUCAUUGGGAGAAGCAUUAGAGAAGCAUACAUGAGAGUGUGAAACAUCCUUAACUGGGUGCUGACUAAAUUUUAAAUAUAAGACUAUCAAAGUAGGUCCCUUAGUUUGAAGUUUGAAGUUUGAGAAUCAAAUUUUCAGAUAAAACCUUAACUAAUGAAAUUAAGUUUGAUCUUCUCUAACAAUUGAACUUUUGUUUUCGUCGGAUGUCAUUUUCUCAACUUUUUUUUUUUAUUGUUGCUAAUGAACUCUUCUUUGUUGCUUCUCGAUAGGUUGCUUUAAGAUCAGUAAACAGUUGCAAAAGAUUUUUUUUUUCUCUUAGUAUUGUGAUCAAGGAUACUACAAAUGAUUCCAAAGCUUUUUUUUUUGUCGAAGAUUCAAUUUAGAUCUUCUCCGCCUUAAAUUAGGUAGCAAAAAAAUGAACUUUUGUUUCCAUGUAAUUUGGUAAAAUAAUGUUGUCCUUUUUCCUCAACUUUUGUUCAUGAGCACAUAAUCGAGUUGAAGAGGUGACAUUUGAGUAGAAGGACGAUGAAAUUGUUGUUUUAAAAUGCAAGAGAAACAUAAUUAAUAAUACCACAUGUUCUUUUUCCGGAUUUAAAAAUGAAAAAAAAAGGUUAAAACAAAUAUCUGCAAUAUGUAUUCCCAUCACUAUUUAUAGACAGUAAGGUUCCUAUAACUUUCCACUCAAAAUAAUGGCCAAAAUAAUGACCAAGGCAAAGUGAUAAUUACAUGAAACCAACGGAGCACUGCCGACUUCGCCUUUUGAUCCUUUUUCAUGGCCCAAAAGUCUUCGUUGACGAGACCAAGAAUGGGAACACAACAAUUUGUUUUUAUUUUUUUAUUGUCGGCAAAAAUGUUAUUCAAUAGUGAUCAUAUAAAGAAAAUCGUGUCAACUUGAGAUCAUCAGUGAUCACAUACUAGCAUGUAAAUUGAGAUUAACAGUGAUUCCUAGAAUGACGUCACCAAGCAUUGCCUUACUGAUUUUUCCUAAAGGGACAUCCUAGAAUGGUGUUUUUUUAAUCAAAGACGAGAACUUCAUUAAUACAUGUUAUAGCCAAUAAGAUAAUUGCUAUACAAGAUGCCUUACAAACAAAAUUGGAACUAAUCAAAACUUGAAAAAAAGCCCACAAAAUCAAAAUAUAAACAAAACUAAAUAUGUUUUUGAUUGGACUCCUAUUUUGGCCAAAUAAUAUAAAAUCACCCUUUAAGUAUCACAUAAUCUCCAAGAUAUUAUGGCUCUUGAUGCAUGUAAUGGCAUUAUAUAAAUCUACCACAAUUCAGCUUUUAUAGAGUGCACAGAACACUCAAUUUUCAAUUAAAAAGUUUUUUGAAUUGUCAAAAUCGUUGCCAAAUUUUAUUCCUUGACACCUCUACAACAAGAAAAGACACAAAAAAAAUCCCCUACAUGAUUUUAGAAGUGGCUGAUUAUUCUUAUUAUGCAAAAAAUUAAUUAAUUCUUAUAGUAUUAAAAAUAAUUAAAUAAUCAUUUGACAAAUCUUGAUCAUUUUUAAUUUCGUAAUUUAUUGUGGUGUAGAGCCGCUAGAGUUAUUGUUUGACAAAUACAGAUUUGAAAAAAUUUCAGUUUGCAAAUAGAAGAAGAUAUUUCACCUUUCAAAAUACUAUUGGAUGCAAGAAAAAUAUCAAUUCUGUUAGAAUUAACUUACAUUACCUGUGAAUUGAUUAAUUUGUGUCUCUAAAACAAUCUUGUGGAUACCAUUUUAAUUAAUUUAAGAAUUGUUUUUUAAUUAAAAAAACUUAAACUCUGAGAUCAUGUAUCCAGAUAAUUAAAAUAAAAAAUUGAUAAAGAAAGUCAUCUUCACCAUCUUAUGUGCACUCCAAUCUAAUUCAAUUCACAGUUGUACACCAAUAAAUUCAUUGAGUGAAUGUAGUCAACACGUUCUUGCAUUAACAUUGCUGAACCAUUACUGGAAAACAGAGCAGCGUACUUGAUAAAACUGAAAAAAGAUUGAAGUUUCAAGGUAUUUGCAUUCAAGAUUCAUAAGUUACUGUUGGAUUAUCAAGACCUUUCCUUUCCACCAUCAAAAAGGAAUUAGUACAUAGCCCCGAUCCGAAAGACCAAAGAGAAGUCUAUAAUAUUAGAUUGUGCAUCGGAGCAGAUUCUGACAGGAUGGGUGAAUGUGUAACACAUUUAAAGACGAAAUCAAAGUCAUUAUAAUAUGUUUGAUCUUCCUCACUGCUGGGACAAGCACGAAAACAAGUUUCAUACAACAUGGAUAUAUAUAGACUGGGAGUGUGAAACAUCCUAAGCUGGGUGAAGACCAAAUUUGGAAUUCAAGAUUAUCAAGUAGCAAAUUAAUUUAUGGAGCGAGUGUUGGAAACGCGGCAAUAUUAAUUUAUGGAAAACAUUUAUAUAUAUAGACAAAAUAUAGAUUUUAUGGGCCAUUUUUCUUUCCAUUGAUAUAUCUAGAAUGUAACAAAAAGGUGGGGAUAUUCCCAAUCUAUAAUUUGUUAAUAUCACUCCUCAUUUAUUAUAAGUUUUGUUAAUACUCUAUAUUAUCCUUUAUCUUUAAUAUAAUCUGGAGUAUUCUAUUUUGAUAAAAUCAAGUUUAUUGAAAUAAUAUAACUUUGAGAUUGUUAGAAAUCAAACUCUCUUUUUUCCCCUAUAUAUAUAUAUAUACCCAGGAUAAGUUUACAAGAUUUGUGAUUAGAUAAGUGCAUCAGAUUAGAUUCCAUGGAAGCACUUCAGCAUUGGCAAUAACAGCCACUAAUUACUAUCAGUCCUCGUAUGAGAAAAUAGAAGAUAUAUAGCUAGGAAUAUCCUCUAUUAAAAGGAGCCUAGCAGGAUCAAACCUUAUAUUUCAAUGCCAGAUAGGUAAUGCUAUGUCUAUUCUUCCUUGUAUAUGUUCAUAAACAAGAGGAUGAGAGAAGGGAAGAGGUUCAUAAACAAAUGCCAGAGGAUCUUAGCUAAGUUCCCAAAAGGAGGCAAGUACACUUGCAAGCCUUGUGCUGCUUCUCAUAAAUUCUCACAUUGCUCGAUGCUUGAAUUCACAUGAGAGAUGCAUUUUUCUCUCUCUGAAUGCGUUGCUGGUUUCAUUUUUCCAGAUCACCCGAGAAAUCUAAAAAGAGUGGCUCAUCUGUUAUUCUUAUAAUAGUUAUACAUAGUAGCAACAAAAGUGGGAAGAAUAUUACCAAAAAUGGAUUUGUUCUAAACUCCUGAAUUAAUACCUGCAAGUUGUCUGCAAGAUUAAAUCCCUUACAUUUGUCUACAAUGCUUCCAGCACAUGAAUUCGUUUGUCACUUCCUCCCCUUUGGAAAGAGGUAACAGAAUUUGGUGUUUGGAAUUCAAGCUCCCAAUUACCAGCUCAAACCCUGAAUCUAACCCUUGAUUGAUUGAACAUGGAGCAUGAUCAUUAUUAAUUGUAUUAGUAAAAUCCUGCCCCAGUGGUGUUUAUCCAUUGUUGAACCUCUUGUUGACACAACCACACCCAUGAGACCUCAUGUACUGGUCUUCAUCAUGCCUUUCAACAUUCUCCAGAUGAUGGAAUAUAAAGUGCAUUAUCUGAUAUAAACAUGAGAUUUUUAUCCUGAAAAAUGUAGUUUUCGCAAAUGAAAAGUUUAGGCAGCUACUGAUUUGUUUUUUAAGAUUUUGGAUGGUUGGGGUUUUGAUUUAGUCACUCAUUUACUCACAGAUUAUGAUGGUAGCCAUCUCAGCUCAAUAUCUCUUGCAGCUUCUUUCAGUCUCUCAUGAGUUCUUGAGUUUUGCCAAAUCUUAAACCAUGUUGUCAGCUCCGUGGGUCCUAUUUCACUAAACCUUAAUCUGAGCUAUAGAUAAAGUUAGAUGCAGGGAAGUUUAAUCCUAAUCACACGAAAGAAAGUGUCAGGUGUGCAGUAAGAGCGAGACACCUUUUCUACAAAUUUUCUGAAUUCUAAUGAAAUCUACGGCAAUUUGGAAAAAAACCAACUCUCUGGCAGGAGGGAGAAGAAAGAAGCGUGGAAAACAGGAUCGUUCUCAGGUAUCAUUAGGAAUUGUUUCUAGGAGGAAAAAGUAUAAGGUUUGGUUUCUUAUUGCCAGAGGCAGUUUGACAGAGAUAAAAGGAGGUUAGUGACAACUCUAUGGACUCCACUAUUGCCAACGUCAAUGGAAGGUUGGAAAAACUGGCAGCUGAUACUGAACCCACAAAAGUCUAUAGCUCUGAACGUGAGGUGGCAGCUACACAUCACCUUGGCAAGGUUUUAGGGAUUCAUAGAGAUACUAAUGAUGGUUUGGUUGCUGAACAUAUUCGGAGGCAGAUUGAUAUGAAAUAUAUAGAAGGAAUGGUUGGACUCCCUCUGAGUUCUUGCUCUGGUGCCCAGGUUAUGAGUUUUAUUCUAAUCUUAAGCAGAUGCUACCAUAGAAUUACAGGGAUUUAGGCAGUCUUUGUAGAAGGGGGGCUGCCUGCACAAAAGUAUGUUAGCUCCAAUGAUAUUGAAGUUUUUUGUUUCUUGGAAACUAAAAUUUCUAAGUAUUUGGAGUGGGUCUAAUGUUAAUUAGAAUGGUAUAAUUUCUAAGCAAUUUUAACUAUGUUAUUGUAUGUGUGUUAAGCAUUAUUGCAUGCAUCAUUUAUAAAGUAUUUUUAUUUUUGAAGAGGAUGUCAUAGCAUGUGAUGUUAGAAAUCCCGAUCACAUAGAUGUGGAAUUUGAAUCAAUUGGAGGAUUGGAAUCUAUCACGCAAGCUUUGUAUAAACUCGUGAUUCUUCAUCUGCAGAAACUAUAUUAGCAGCAAGAUUUUGUUGGAUGCUCUAUUUACUUUAAAAAUCACGGUACUGUAGCUUCCUUAUCUAAUGGAUCUGACUCCGAUGAAUGAAAUUGUGAAAUGAACACAAUAUUGGUAUUUUUGUUGCUGUGUAGUAUUUCUAUUUAUCCUGCAUCAGGAAUAUAACAAAAGCAACUGAAUGGCAUACAUUCUGGAAAUUGUGAAAGUGGUCAUUACUGUUUUUUGCAUGUACAUCUUUAUGUUGAAACCAUCCCUCGUUGCAUUCUUUUAUGCAUCUAAAUCCAUGCAAAUCUUGUUGGUCUGUGCUGACUAGAAACAGAUUUAGAAGUAAUUAACUAAGUUUGCGUAGUUGCUGUUUUGCUCCUAUCGAAGUUUUUUUGUUGGUUCUGUGCUGACUAGAAUUUUUAUAGUAAUGGUUUUAGCAUUCGGGGGUUGUGGUGAUGCAUAUAUCCCUCAAUAGUACAUCUUAAUAUUAAUAAAAAAAUUCAAACUUUCUUUUCACAUACCUUUUGUUCCAAAUGGGGUUAAAGAAAUAUUCAAUUAUGCAUAUUAAUUCACUUCCAAAACAGACAUUUUUGUUGAGAGUAGAUAAUAUCCUCAAGGCAAGUUUACGUGCAGCAAGUCUAUGUGCUUAUAGAUACAGCCUGUGCUCUUCCUCUGCAGCUCGUCUGAUGGGAACUGUACAUUCUCAAAAACUGGUUUGUACAGGUUAAUAAUUAAAGAAUGCCAUAGAGCAGAGAGCCCGGAGAAGAAAGUCUCCAUAUCCAUUUAAAUAACAGAGCCCUGUUUUUUGAUAUUAGGAAGCCUAUACCAAGACCUCCUUGCUUCUUAUCACGCAUUACCACAUCAUAAGAAACGUCUGAUGGGUUCGUUACACUUUUUAAUAGUCAUUUAUGACUUACAAGUUAUUAGAAUUACUCUAUUUUUCUUGCAAAUAUUUCUGUUAUUGUGGGAACAGAAUCUGUCAGUCAAGUGUUGUUUUUUUAGAUUUAUAAAAAUUGUUUUAAUUCUUAUAAAUUUUCUUGCACACUCGUAGGUUUGUAGAGCAAUUUGUUCAUAACUCUAUAAAUAUAUAAAAAAAAAACACACAUUUCCUCUGCCUCAAAAUAAAUGAAAACAAAAAUACAAACGAAUUAUUGAAUUUUGAAGUGAUUUUAUUAUUCCUAUUUUCAAACUUGGAAUGUAAUAAUUCCUCAUCUAAUUUUUUAAUCGGAUGCAAUAAUUUAUUAUUUAUCUCUUAGUUUACAAAAUAAAAUAAAACUUUUAUUUCAAAGGGUAGAUUUACUAAUUAAUUCAAUUGUUUUCUACUGUGAUCACUUUGUUUGUGGGAUUGAGAGUGAAAAUUUAUCAUCGAAUUAAUUUUGAAAAUUAUCAUCGAAUUUAUCUAAAAAGGGAAUUACUUAGCGUGAGUAUAUCUCUUAUCAAGAUUGAUAGUUACGUGCAUAAGGGGAACCUUUCGUCAUAGCACAGUCGUCCUUGGAAUCCCUUUUGCACCGAAAAGUCAUCAAAAAAUUAUUCCAAAACAAACACCACAGACACCAACCCACCAUCCAAGAAGGAAACGAUUUUGCUGAGAGGAAUAGGGCAAUAAAUAUCUCCGUUUAAAUUAUGCUAUGUGCAUGCAUCAAAGUGUGGUUUGAUUUGAUUAACUGCUUGACAUAAAUAAAAUGAAGAGAGAGUUUACAAGAAAUAAUUUAGCAAUAUUACAAAUCAGAAAAACUAGAAAUUAAAAAUAAGUUUAGAAAAGAUUUUAUGUAUAUUUUUAUUUUUAAUUUUCUAUUCUUAAAUAAGAUUCUUGUACAUGUACAUAUAAACCUUCUGUGCAAUAAGAAAAAGGAAGAAUUAUUUUGAUACAGACAAUUAUUUUUUAUUUUUAAUAUGAUAUUAGAACAACCGAUCCAAAUCUAAUAUUUUUUUUUGAAAUCACAACCCUGAAACAUAGUAAAAGCAAACCAUAGAAUCACGCCCAGAUUACAACCACAAAUUCAAGAAGUUACCCUCAAAUUAUUUAUGCUAUGAAUGAUGAUUAAGUAUUGAAUAUAAAUCAAAGAAUGUGCGCAUUAUUUGUACAGUAAGCUAUGAGCAUAUAUCAAAGUGUGGUUUGAUUUGAUUAACUACUUGACAUAAAUAAAAUGAUGAGAGUUCUUUGGUAUUUUUUAGAGACAAAAAAAAUCUUUCUUAUGGGUCAGAAAUGUUUAUGAUAUUUGUUUUUCUCUAACACAAGUUUUGUGGAUACGAAGUAGAGAGCAUGUGAAGUUACAUCUAGACAGCAAAAUCCAACUCCUUGGUUAUUGAAACUUAGUAUAAAAUCUAGAUCAUGGAUUAAUUUAUAUUAAUUAAAAUAAUAUUAUUUUAUUUUUUUUAAAUUCAGUUUUACCUGACUAGAUCAAUUAAAUCAUUUAAAUUAUAUUGGUUCAACUUCCACUUGAUUUUUUAAAAAAAACCAACAUGAAAUAAUCAUUAUCCAAUCAACCCGCUUGAUGGAGUUUAAUAGCUUGUUACUAAUAAAUUAUGCCAUUUUACAUUUACUUAUGUUUUGGGAGUGAGAACUCAAUUUUGAAAGGGACGGUGAGUUUCAAUUUGCACUUUCUUUUUACCUUUUAUUGGAACUCAAUAUUGAAAGGGACGGUGGGUUUUAGUUUUAAUUCUAGGUGGUCUCGAUUGGAUUACUUUGUUAAAAAAAAUUAAUAACAUGAUCAAUAUCUUCAAAUCAACUUUAGUAAUGUAAGAAGUUUAACUUGAUAUGAAUUGACAUAUAUGCCACUUGAAGCUGAAGGCCUUUGCAUUUAAAAUUAGGUUAAUGCAUAUGGUGAGUAAGCUAUUAAUUUAUUGUGGUUUCCAACUUCAAAAUUCGAGAAUCAAUUAUAUUGUGGAUUAAUUAGUGAUAAAAUUUAAAAGAAGGAGCAUUCUUGAUUUCUUUCAUGUUAAAAGCAUUAAUUACGUGCCCUGCUUUAAAAAAAAUCAUGAUUAAUUUGCUAUACCAUACUUGUUUUAACAAAAAAAAAUAGAGUGAAUCAUGCAUUGCGUGAAUAAAUAUAACUAUACAUUUCAAACCUCUGUAAUUCGUAUCAAUAUAUUAAAUAAAGAGUGUGGAUUAUAUCUCAUUAAUAUAUAACUGUAUAUGUUGUUCGUGCGUUGCUGUGGGUCGAAUAAUUUUAUAAGUUAAAAAAUUUCCAAGUCUCAAGUCGUUGGUUAAAUUGAUAAUUUAAAUAUUUACAAAAAAACAACAACAACAAAUAAACUGACAAAAAAAAAACCACACCUAAUCUUAUUUGGAUUAUCAAACAACCCAAUGCUAACCUAACUGGAAAAAAAAAGGAAAAAAAAAGAGUCAAUUUUUUUAAAAAAAAAAACAAAAAACAAAAAAUAUUGGCUAAAAAAAAAAAGGGAUAAAAAAAUCAAGCAAACCUAUGCUAGAAUUAUCACAAUUAUCGCAAACAAAAAAAAUUCAAUUAAAAAAAUUAGGACCAAACUUGAAAAAUUAAAAAAUUAUAGGGGGUGAAAUUGAAAAUCAUUUGUAAUAUAAUAGAAUAUUUAUAGAUUUAAAAAUAGUGGGGGUGAAAUAUAAAAAAAAUAUUGAGGGCUAAUCCAAUAGAAUCAAACAAAAAUAAAAUUAAAAUAGAGAAUUAAACCAAAAAAAUAUAAAAAAUAAGUUAAAAAAAAGGAUAAAAAUUAAGACAACAUCAAUAUAGGAAAAGGAAAAAAAAACAUAGCAAAUCUCUUAAACCUGGUUUAAUCUCUAAAAGUCGCAUCUCUUGAAAUUUUUUAUCUAAAUUCAAUUAAGAAGCAUAAUUUUCAACCAAUUUAAUUUCAAAUGAUGAGAUCGGUAGAAAAGUAUUAAUAAAAAAACUUUCAAAAAAACAUAAAGAAUGAAGAUAAAAUUUGAUAGAAAAAAACCCAAGAAUGAUGCAGUUUAAUGAAAAAAAUAAAAAAAUAAUCCCAAAUAAAAUAAACAUCAAUUAAAAUAAUAAGGACCAAAUUAUAAAGAUUAAAAAAAUCAUAGGGGGUGAAAAUGUAAAUAUCUGUAAAAACCAAGUAAACCUGGACAACAUCCUUAACAUGGUCAAAUCUUAAAAAUCUUGCAACCUAUGAAACCCUAGAUUCGGGUUCUAUUAAUAAGUUUAUUACAAGUUAAUUUAAAAAUAUAAAUUUAAAAAACUUAUCAAAGAAAAAAAAAAUAACAAAAAAAGUCUCGAGCGAACUCUACAGCCAACUCGAGUCAACAAAUCAAACACAUGGUCUAGGACAUGAAAUUGAGAUGACUCUAUGAAUAGAAAAGCUGAAAAAAACACUAACAACAAAUAUAUUAAAUUUUUUUUUCAAAUUGGGCUAAUCCUCCAGAACUAUUACCUGGAUCAUGAGACUUACAUGACCUUAUCAAAGGCAUACUUGAAAAAAAAAGGCACGAUUCUUAAUCAAACAAAUAUUGAAGGAUGAAAUUGAGAAAAAAACAUCAAUAAAAAAAACAUUGCAAAACAAAAAAAAAAUAGCAAUUAAAAAAAUCAGAACUAAAUUUGACAUAAAAAAUUAAAUGAAAUUAAAUGUUUAGGUAAAAAUCAAAUCAAAUUAAAUGUUUAGGGAUGAAAUUGAAAAAAAAAAACAAAUCCAUUAAGAAAAUAAUUUAAAAAUAGCAAUUAAAAAAAUUAAGACCAAAUUUGACAUGAAAAUUAAAGAAAAAUAAAUACUUAGGGGUGGGAUUGGAAAAGAGUAAAUCAAUCAAGAAAAUGAUUAAAAACAAAACAAAUAGAAAUUAAAAUAAUGAGGACUAAAUUUGAAAAAAAAAAUCAAAAAAUCAAAUGACCAGGGAUAAAAUCAAGAAUAAAAUCUAAUUAGAAAUAAUAAAUAUAAAUAAAACAAUUACAAAUAAGAGAAGAGAGACUGAAUCAAAAGAAAAAAUAAAAUGAAGGGCUGAUAUGAAUUUUUUCAUGGCCAGCACACAAUUUGAGAAAGAAAGAAAAGGAAAAGAAAGAAGAAAAAUAAAAGUAAUUUCAAGCCAAAUCACGCUGAACCACCAUACAUGCGCCAUCCAAAGAGGAAAAGGAUGCCGGGAUGAAUCAAAUGAUGCGGUGGAAUCACGGUUACAAUUGCCCGAGCCAGCCGCACGUGUCGCCAAAAGGUGGUGGAGCGACUAACUUGUACGAGGCACGUGUCAGCUGUUGUUUUAUUUUAUACGUUUUUUUUUGUGAAAAAAUUGAAAAUGUCUUUUGGACUAAACAAUAUUAACAAACAAACCAUUGUGAAACUACAACCAAGUCCCUGAAACCAAGGUUAAAAAACUCAAAUUGUAAGGGCAAUGUAUUAAUUCAAUUGUUCUAUAAAAUAUGAAAAUACAAAAAUGCCUUUGUGCAGAAAGCAUUGAAUUAUUUUAUUCAAGAGUUGCAUUAGUAAUUUUUCUAUGAAUUAAAAAACGCAAUUACCAAAAUAACCAUGUACAAUUCUUAAAAGACAUUACAUCAUGGUAAAAAAACCACCUUACCCUUGAAGCAAAGACAAAAGAUAAAAUGAUCAAGGGACAAAAUAAUAAUUACACUAUUAUAAUAAAUAGUAAUUUAUAUCUCGGGACAUAAUAAUGUCGUUAAGGGGAUUAAUGUUUUGGGUAAUUGUAUAAAUAUUCAAAUAUGCAUAUUAUGCUUGUAAAAAAAAAAGAGAUAGCGAGGCCAAAUGAGAUAUGUCUCCAUAUACCUUCUUGUUUUAAAAUUACAUAAAUUCAUUCAAGAAUUAUUCUAGAGAUUGAUUUCUUUUAUAUCUUUUUUUUUCCUCCAACGAAACACACGUUUUAACCCCUUCUAAAAAACUAUAAUAAAAUACUAACCAACAUUGCCUUGUUUCCUUGUGUGAAUGUUAAUAAACAAAUGUUAAAUGAAUGAUAAAUGGGUCCAAUAUUUGUUUUCUUUUUUUCUUGAGAUCAAGUUGUUCAAAGAAAAUAGAAAAGUGUGGGUUGACUCCCAAAACCUCUUGGAAAGUCAAUUGUAAUUUUUUUUUUAUUAUUUAUAAUCUGAUUUUUGUGGAAUUUUAUAGUACCAUAAAUAAUAUACAUUUAAUUGGAUUUGGAAAAUAUAUCCUCUUUUAUUAAAAUUAAAUCUGGCCUUAUAUUAUUUCUUUUCAUAUUAUUAUUAUUGUUAUUAUUAUUUCAUCACAGGGCUUUUAAGAAAACUUCAUUAAACCUAGAAAUAGAAAGAGGACUUAGCUUUAAUAAGGCUUCACCCUAAAAUCUAGCCUGUCUUUUCCCAGCCCAACCCUAACCACCAAUUACAGCCCAAACCCUAACCACCACCACCAGGUCCACCAGCACAUAAAUUUGCAAAACCCCAACACGCCACCCAAAAAGAGCACCAAGCAAAGGAUAUUAUUGUACUUUAAACACAAAUAAAAAAUUAAUGGGGGGUUCGUUAGAGACCAAGUUUUUGCAAGAACCAGUGCAGCUUUAACUUGUUUGGUAUUAUUUGCUAGGCUCCGGAAACCUGACCCGAAUCAUGAAGCAUCAAAGAAAGCCCUUGAACAUAAGAAGGAAAUCGAUAAGCGUUUGGGUCAUUCCCUUAUCCAAACAAACCCUUAUGAGGGAUGUAUGUGUGUCAAAGUUUCUGUUUCUGUUGAAAAGUUUGGAUUUCUUUUUUGCAUUUUUUUUUGUAUUUUUUCGGGAGGUCUAGGAGGAUUCUGUGAAUCUUGGUUAUAAUGGAAUAUAGGGUUUGUUUUGGUUUAUUGUUUUUUGGAGGAUUUUGUGAAUGUUGGUUAUAUGGUCAGAUAAUGGAACGAAGAAUUUUAUGAAUUUGGAUUAUAAGGUUAGUUAAUGGCCUAUAGGCUUUGUUUUUGUUAUGUGCUAUUGGUUUUAUUACAUGCUUGAAAUGUCAUUUAUCUACAAAAUUUUGGGUUUUGUGUGUUAUAGUGGGGUUGGGGUUGAUAUUGCAAUGAGGGAUGUGGGUGGCUUAUUGUACGGAAUAUGGAUUGGGGGGAUUUGGGUGUUUUAGUGUAGACAGGUAAUUUAAAAGUUUUUGGAACGUGGGGGAGUGACUUCUUGUGCUGAAUAGGGAGUGUUUAAGUUUCUAGUUCUGUUGGGAUGAAUGAAGUUGUUUUGUGUUGGUGGAAACUAAGUUCAUUUCUGAUUGAGUUGUAUAUUAAGCUUUUGUACUGGAGCGCUAGAGUUUAUGCCUCUGGGUUGAUGUUAUAGCAUGCUUGAAUUGUCAUUUAUUUGCAAAAAGUUUGAAUUUUGUGUGAUAAUGGGAUGAGGACUAUGAGGUUAAUACUGCAAUGAGGGAUGUGUGUGGUUUGGUGGGUUAUUAUAGGGAACAGUGAUUGGGGAAUCCGUGUGUUUUGGUGAAGAUAGGUGCUUCAAUCAGUUUUUGGGAUGUUGAGGAGUGAUUGCUCAUGCCGAAUGGGAUAUGAUUAAAUUUCAAGUUUUGUUGGAUGGAUGGAAUUGUUUUGGGAUGGUGGAAACUGGAGGCCAAGUUCAUUUUUUAUAUAUUGGAACUUUUGUACUGUUGUGUUGACCUCUGGGUUGGUGUUAUAGUAUUGUUGUCAUUGUUUUUACAACCAUAGACAAUUAUAAUAUUUUCUGGUGUCUUCAAACAUGCCAUUUGUUUUCUAGGCUGUCCAUACUUUGUUGGCUGCUACCAUGCAAUAAAUAUCAGAGUUUCUAAUGUCAACUAAAUACAUGAAAAUAUCCAUCAUACGGAGUAGAUUUGAGUCUCUGCUAUAUCAUAAACUAAUGGCACAUGAUUAGUUACAGUUAUGCGAGUCCACCUUUUUUGUUUGAAAAUGAGACUAUGUGAAUGCUGAUGGCUGCUAUGUUCGGUAAUAGACUUUUGCGUGACUGACUGGGACAGGUUCAUAAUUGGAAGAAAUUAAAUUUGAAGACUAGGCCUUGAACCAAUAUGAUGGCUAUAUAUAUAUAUUAGUUCUUUCUAUACCCGAAGAAAUUUGGAUUUGAAAACCAACUUUUCAAUUAUGAAACCUUCUGAUUGCGAUUACUUUGUGGAAGAUUUAAACUGCUUUGCAACAAUCAAGCCUAUCUUCUAAACACUAUCCAAUGUGGCCAUGUUCUCAUGUUGAAAAUGUAAUUGAUUGGAAUAGAGGCUUUAGAAUUUAUGGUCGGUUUAAUGGUUUAUCAAUAUGCUGCAAUUGUGUAUUUUUAUUUUUGAGUCAAUUGGAGGAUUGGAAUCUAUCAAGCAAGCUUUGUAUGAAUUGGUGAUUCUUCCUCUACGAAAACCUGAGCUCUUCUCACAUGGGAAACUUCUUGGUCCAUAAAAGGGGGUUUUGUUAUAUGGACCUCUAGGCACCGGGAAGACCAUGCUUGCAAAAGCUAUUGUCAGAGAGUCUGGAGUUAUUUUUAUAAAUACGAGGAUCUCCAAUCUGAUAAGCAAGUGGUUCGAUGAUGCACAAAAGCUCGGUGAGUAUAGAUUGAACAAUGAUGAUUUAAAAUUAUUGCUUUGUUAUUCUAAAACUUGCUGUCACCCACUGAUUAUGUUGAGUGAAUUUAGUUUCACUCUAAUAAUGGAAGCAAGGAAGUACUUUGUGAACAUUCUUAACUAAGAUUGAACAUUCCUAACUUGUCCUUAUUGAAGAUCUGUAUUAGCAGCAAGAUUUUUUUGGAUGCUCUAUUAACUUUAAAAAAUUGGGCACUGUAGCUUGCUUAUCUAAUGGAUCUUACUCUGAUGAAUGAGAUUGCGAAAUGAUCAAAAUAUUGGUAUUUUUGUUGCUGUGUGGUAUUUCUAUAUAUCUUGCAUCAGGGAUAUAACCAAAGUAACUGAAUGGCAUACAUUCUUGCAAUUGUGAAAGUGAUCAUUACUGUAUUUUGCAACUACAUCUUUGUGUUGAAACCAUCCCUCAUUACAUUCUUUUCUGCAUCUAAAUCCAUGCAAGUCUUGUUGGUUCUGUGCUGAUUAGAAAUAGACUUCGAAGUAAUUAACUAAAUUUGAGUAGUUGCUUUUUCGCUCCUAUCGAAGCUUUCAUAAUCUGAUUACUGUUGAUUCUCUUCUAUGCUGUUGCAGUGCUGUUGUUUUUAGCCUGGCUUAUAAACUCCAGCCUGCUUUUAUAUUAAUUGACGAGGUUGACAGUUUUCUGGGGCAGCGUCGUACUACAGACCAUGAGGCAUUAACCAAUAUGAAGACUAAGUUCAUGGCAUUAUGGAAUGGGUUUACUAUAGAUCGUUUGUUCUUACUCUUGAAACAAGUCCUAUAUUUGUGCAGUCUUUUUAUACAGUGACUUGCUAGAAUGUCUUUUAUGUAAGAUUUGUGAAAGUGAUUUAUUCAUGGGCCUGGCCUGGGUGGACUCAGUGAUAAUAUUCUUACAGAGAAUGCACAAGAGAUGGUACUUGCUGGAACCAGCCGACCUUGAGAAUUCGAUGAAGCAAUCCUUCAGCAUCUUCCUCAGCCUUUGAAAUUGGGAUACCUAAUCAAAGAGAGAGGGCUGAGAUCCUGAAGGUCGUUUGAAAAGGGGAGAAAAUCGAAAGCAAAAUUGACUUUGACUACAUAGCAAGUUUGUGUGAGAGCUAUACUAGUUCAGAUUUUCUUGAACCUUGCAAGAAAGUAGCUUAUUUUCCUAUUAGGGACUUAUUGGAUAAGGAGAACAAGGGAAACAAAAUCUAGAGUAAGUAUAUAUUUAUCAUCGUGUUGUUCCAUGCUUCCAUCAGUUAUUUUAUAACAUAUUGAACAAUAUAAUUCUCACCUAUGAUUUGUUAUAAUCGCAGCUAAUUCUUCAAGGCAUUUUUAUUGAUUUGUAAUAUUUGCAUAGAAAUCCCAUGCAUGCCUGAAGGUGUCAUGGAAAAGUUUUGGUAAUUGUUGCCUGUUGUGCUCUAUCCAAAACCAAUGACUUCCAUUGCAAUGGAUAGAAGACUGUAUGGUUCCUCAUGAGAAGUAGAAGAAAGUAAACAAAGUGUUGUUAUGAACUACAAGGGAUAGCUAUUGGUGUUAAAAAAUAUUAACUGGAGGAUUUUUUUAACCCUUUAUUGAGUUUCUUCAUUGGGAUUCUUUCUCAGGCACCAAGGCCAUUGUCCCAGUCAGACUUGCAGAGAGUUCUUGGCACAUCAACUAAGACCAGGGUUGCUGCAAAUGAGUACAGUAGUUCAAGCUCACAUUCACCUAGGUGGCCAGGUAGUCAGAUACCAGGUUCAAGCCAUAACUAAUAAGCUCUCUACACUCAUAGUAUCUCAAAUUUUGAAUCUUCAGUCGGAUAAUCAGGACCCUUGAAAUAUUCAUUUGUUUUUUCUUAAUAUCAGGCCAAGACAAAUUGUAUUUUAAAUUAUUUUAAUGUUUUUCCUAUUCUGAAAUGCUCUAAGUAGAAUAUGUUGUUUUUAGGCAACUCAGAAUUGCAGAUUUGCUGUAGCAUAGAGCUCUUAACGUGGUAUUAAUAUCUAUCUUGCUUUUCUUUUGCUUUAGAUAUAAACUUGCCAAUCACCGAUGUUGACUGAUUUUAUUGAUGAUUUUGUCUGUGUCAGAGUUGUGGAACAUUGUUUGUCCAUGUUGAUAUGGGUUUCUUACACUUUUUAAUAGUCAUUUAUGACUUACAAGUUAUAGAAUUACUCUAUUUUGCUUGCAAAUAUUGCUGCUGUUGUGAGAACAGAAUUGCUUUAAUUCUUAUAAAAUUUAAAAUACUCCAAGAAAGGAAAUGAACACAUAAAAAAGGACCUAAAACAUAAAUGAUUUUAUAGUUUACACAAACUAUUGCUUGCAUACUAUGAAGUAACACCCAAUUAACCUUGAUGAAAAAAAAAAAGAGUAAAGGGAAUCCAGUACUAUGAAUCUGCCACCCUAGUGUUGUUUCCGUGUCAAAUCAACAUGAUAUCUUGUUUGUACUGCAAAAUUAGAAUGGUAACACUGAUCAAAUAAAUUGUAGAGAAAAGAUAGCCUAACAAGAACUGUGAAUAUAAAAUUUGAAAACUCAAAUGCUUGCAAAACUUACUUGAAAAUAUCAAUUGCAUUAUUUAGUUUCUUCUUGCACCAUAUCUGCCAGCAUUCUUCUUUGUUUUUUUGCUCUGGAGAUUCCAUUUAUCUUCAACCAUCCUAAGAAACCAAGAAGGCUUUUUUGUUCUAAACACAACGUAUCCCGUUGCAACUCCAAACACAAACCCGCAUCCAUACCCCACUGUCACAGCUUUCCAUCCAAAUCCUUCUCCAAACAAUGUUGAAUCAUCUCCUUCAUCAAAGCUUGAUGGCGGUAAUGAUGGUGCCUCAUCACCGUAACAUUUUUUUAGUACUUGAGAUCCACAUAAACCCAAGUUUCCUUCAAAUGAGCUUGCAUCAAAGGUGUUGAACUGCUCUCCACUUGGUAUGGGCCCCUCGAGUUGGUUAUGUGAAAGGUUUAGGAUUGCAAGAAAUGUUAGACCCCCCAGCUGCGUUGGAAUCCUUCCGGUAAGCAAAUUUGAAGAUAGAUCUAAUGAUUCCAAAUUAGUCAAAUUUUCUAAUGAUGAUUGGAUAUGACCUGUAAGGGAAUUAUGAGAAAGGUUGAGCUGUUGGAGUGCUUUAAGCAUUCCUAUCACUUUUGGAAUCUCUCCGGUGAAAUUGUUAUUUGACAAAUCAAGUACUCUGAUAGUACUUCGGAUCUUUGUAAACUCAAUUUCUACACCUUUCCAUGUCAUUUCUAUGGAAUAGACAUAGCCAGUGUAAUUUGUUGCCCCCAUGUAAAUCAUGUUUUGAUCCGAGGCCAUCAUUGCUUCAAGACUAUUGAAAUAUCCAGUUGGCAAUGGCCCACUAAAAUUGUUGUCAGAGAUGUCAAGAAUCCGUAAUUUAGAGAAUGAAUUAUUUGCAGUCGGACCCUUCACAAAACCUUGGAAUUUAUUGGAUUUUAGGACAAGAAUUUGGAGCUUUGAAAGCGUUUCUAGAAAGCAGGGAAAUGUAUCCUCAAUCUUAUUGUUGCCAAGAUCAAGAACUUGCAACAUUGUACAGUUGAUGAUAGACCGUGAUAUUUUCCCUUCUAAUUCAUUUCCAUUGAAGUUGAGAUAUUCCAAGCUAUUAUCCUUUGAAAAUGUUGAAGGGAUAGUGCCUUGAAGAUUGUUCAUGCCUAGAUGCAACACUGAGAGCAUGCUGCUGAAGUUCCCCAAACAUAGUGGCGUAGAACCACUGAAGCUGUUGUUGGACAAGUCCAGGACCUCAAGGAAUCUCAGCUUGCAAAUAGAAGAAGAAAUCUCACCUGUCAAUUUACUAUUGGACGCAAGAAUAAGGACUCGCAAGUUCUCUUGUUUGAAAAUCGAACUUGGGAUUGGACCAUGCAAGUGGUUAUUACUCAAAUCAAGGUAUUCCAAAGAAUCGUGUUGGAGUUCACUUAUAUUGCCUAUGAGAUUAUUGUUAUGAAGGCCAAGAUAAUACAAAUAACGAAGAGCAAACAAAAAGGAUGGUAUUGUUCCAUCGAACAAGUUACCAUAUAAACUUAGAUUCUCUAGAUUUGAAAGGGUAUUUAAUUGAGAAUGGAUAGGGCCUCCUAGUUGGUUAUUUGAUAAAUCUAAAUAUGAAAGAUUGACCAGACUACCGAAAGAAUCUGGAAGUUGACCGAUAAAUUCAUUGGAAUAGAGACACAAGAUACGGAGUUGUACAAGGUUUCCAAGUGAGGAUGGGAUCUGACCGCUAAAAUUGUUACUUGAGAGGUCUAAAGAUAUGAGCUGUGUGAGAUUACCAAGCAGGGGUAGAUCUAACCUUAUAAUGUUACAAUUACGAAGAGACAUAUAUUCUAAUGACUUUAGAUUACUGAUUAAGUCCUUUUCUAAAUAAACUGAAAUUCUUGUAUUAGAAAGACCCAACAGAGAGAGGACAUUACUCAAAUUGGACGAAGGAAAAGAGCCAGUGAGGCCUUCGUUGUAUGACAGAUCCAGUGAUUCAAGGUUUGGGAGGAGAAAGAUGUUACCCGGGAACUUCCCCUGCAAUCGACAACCCCCAAGGGAAAGAGAUGACAAAGAAGAGGACAGAUUCGUCAAGGAAUUAGGUGCAACCAGAGACAUAUUUACAUAAUCCAAAGCGAGAUGUCUUAGCUUGGUUAGGUUUUGAACAAUCUUGUCAAAAGAAAUUGGUUCUAGACUUAGAUAGAAGUUUCCAGAGAGAUCAAGGGAAACCAACUCACUGAGUUGCUCAAAACCAUAUGGAAUUGAACCAGUAAUAUUAUUCCAUCGAAGAUCCAAGUACUGCAGGUGCUUAAAUUUCCCCAUUGAGGAUGGGAGUUUUCCUUGCAAUCCACAGGAAUAGAAUAUGAGCGAUGACAGAGAAGAAGACAGAUUCAUCAAGGAAUCGGGAACAACUAGUGACAUGUUUACCCAAGUCAAAUCAAGUUCUCUAAGCUUGGUUAGGUUUCGAACAAGCUUGUCAAAAGAAAUUGGUUCUAGACUCAGAUAGUCAUUGUCAAAGAGAUCAAGUGAAACCAACUCAGUGAGUUGAUCAAAAUCAUAUGGAAUUGGACCAGAAAGAUUGUUCCCUCCAAGAUCCAAGCACUGCAGGUGCUUAAAUUUCCCCAUUGAGGAUGGGAGUUUUCCUUGCAAUCCACACUCAAUGAGUUUGAGUGAUGACAGAGAAGAGGACAGAUUCAUCAAGGAAUCGGGAACAACUAGUGACAUGUUUACCCCACUCAAAUCGAGUUCUCUAAGCUUGGUUAGGUUUCGAGCAAGCUUGUCAAAAGAAAGUUUGUCAAAAGAAAGCUUGUCAAAAGAAAUUGGUUCUACACUCACAAGAUCGUAGUUCCAAGAGAGAUCAAGAGAAACCAUUUUGGAGAGGUGAGAGAUUUCUGACGGAACUUGGCCUGCAAGAUCUGAACCACUUAGGUUAAGAUGUGUUAGAUUGGAGAACUGGCCAAAUCGAGAAGAAAUAUGGGAGGAGUUGAAAUCAUUGAAAGAGAGGUCGAGCUGUUGAAGAUGAUGGAGAGAGAAGAGAGAAUUAUUGGGAAGGAGGGUGCCGUAAAGCAUGCUGCAGGAGAGGUCCAGUCCAGUGACAUGCCCGGUUUUCAGGUCACAAGAGACCCCAUCCCACAAGCAGCAGUCGGUACCCUCUUUCCAUGACUCUGUCUUGGGAUAUUGAUCAUAUUGAUAGUUUCUAGCAAACCAAAAAGGAGAACUCUGAAUGGAGAAGGAUUGUUUGAAUUGAAGGAGAGAAAGAGAUUGGCGAUGAGCACACAAAUGAGAAGAGGAGGAGGAGGAGGAGGAGUGAUUUGAGGAGAGUGGAGAUGAAAUUGUUGAAUGGAAAUGGAAGAGAAGCAGAAAGAACGAGAGAUAUUGAGAGAGGGACAGUGGUGAAAACCCCAUGUUGGCUGGCCUUACAGGAUUCAAAGUAUAAUUAACUGGGAAUUGAAGAUGAGAAGUAAAGAAAGGCAUUAUUAGUAGUAUUUAUAGACGAAAUCAAAGUGACUGGUUGAAGCAUUAAACAAGUUUCCUUAGCUGAAAGAGAAUCGGAGCAAAGAAAGACUAAUUUGUUCAUGAGCACAUAUUAAUUGUUAGUAUUAAAAUACCUUUUUCAGGAUUUAAUAAUUAAAAAAAUAAAGUAAGAAUAAAAAUCGAUGGAAAUAUGCAAUAUAUAUGAAAGGUUCCUAUCAACUUGAUUCCCUGUUGACUUCAAAUUGUGCAAACUGAAUUGUUGUUUCGCACUAAUAUAUAUAUAUAUAACGUUUCUCAUGAUCCAAAAGUCUUUUCAUUCCUUCAAUUGAUUUUUCCUUUUUCUAUUCUAAAUAAAAAAUAAUUUAAACUAUAAAAUUAUAUAAAUAAAUAAUUAAAAAAUAUUUAUGCAGGAAAGAAUAAAAAUUAUAAACCCUUUACCUGAAUAAUUCAAGGAGUAUUUAUAGCUCUUAAAUCUUGUUAUUUUAUUAGAAUAAAAUUAUGUAAAUAAAUAAUAAAUGAUUGAUAUCUCCUACACAAUAUUAAAUGAGAAACAAAUAACUCUUGGAUAAUAUUAAUAAGAGAUAAAUAUUCAUUAUAAAAUAUUAAUUGUUAUAAAAAUAUAAUAGGUCUUUAGAAGAUUUUUAUACUGCUAGGGAUGUAGAAAAAUGUUACUUGAAACUAAUGAAUUAAUCCCAAUUAUGAAAAGCAUUUGAAAUUUAUCAAUGAUUUGGAUGUUGGCAUCAAAAAAUUGAUAUUUCAAAUCUAAAUUAUCAAACAUGAGAUUGUGUAAAAUAUUUAGAAAGUAUUUUAUAUAUCUAAGAACAAAAUAUCACUUAUACAAUAUUAUACCUUUUUAUAUUAAAAUUCAAAAAAAUAAACAAAUAAAACCUUGGAACUCAACAUAUAGCUUAUAAUACUAAUUAGAACUUUCUUUUUAACUUAUCUAGCGGUAAUUAUACAAGCAUCGAAUUAAUAUGUUGAUGUUAAUUUUUUUUUUAAAACAUGUUAUUUCAAUAUAUUUAUAAUUAAAAAAAUAAAGUAAGAAUAAAAACCUUGGAAACAUGUAAGGUUCGUAUCAAAUUGACUUCAAAUUGCGCAAACUAAAUUGUUGUUUAUUGGCAAAAAAAUAAUUACGCAAUGCAAUGGGGGCACUAACGACUUUGCACUUAUGGAUCAUACUUUUUGUGUGCGCUCGGUAAUGUAUAGUAGUUUAAUUAUUUUUCAAAUGUUGUUUAUUUGAAAAUAUAUUAAUAUAAUAUUUUUUAAAAUUUUAUUUUUAAUUUUUUAUAUCAGAACAUUAAAAUCAUAAAAGAUAUAAAAAAAUUAAUAUUGAUUUUCUAAAUGGAUUAAAUAGUGUUUUAGAGGUUGCUAAUAUUUAUUAAAUUAAUUAAUCCUUUUAGUAUUAAAAAUAACUAAAUAGUUAUUUGACAAAUAUUGAUUAGUAAUUUUUUUUUUUUUAAAAAGUACUUUUCUUGCUUAUCAUUCCUUCAAUUGAUAUACUUUGAUUUUUUCCUUUUUCUAUUUUAAAUAAAAAAUAAUUAAACUAUGGGAUUAUGUAUACGUAAUUGAAAUAAAAAAAUUGAUAAGCAAAGUCAGCUUCACCUUUAUAUGUCCAAUCCAAUCCAAGCAAUGGAGCACUAAUGACUUUGCACAUAUAUCGUUUCUCAUUAUCUAAAAGUCUUUCGGUGUGAUUCAUAAUGUUGUGCAAUAUAUUUUUCAAAUGUAUUUUUUAAUUGAAAAUAUAUUUAAUUCUUUUUAAUUUUAAUAUAAACACAUCAAAAACAUAAAAAAAAACAUAAAAAAUAUUUAAUAUAAAAUAUUUCUUUUAAUUUUAAUAUAAACACAUCAAAAACAUAAAAAAAACAUAUUAAAUAUAAAAUAUUUAAUUUAAUGCUUUUUUAGGCGAUAUGUUUUUAUAAAAAAACAAAAGCUACACAAUAUCAAAUAUUUUAUUAAUGAGAAUAAGAAUAGGAACAUGACAAUAUUUAUUUUUUAAAUGGAUUAGAUAUCUUUUCAGGGGCUGUUAAUUUUCUUAAAAUUAAUUAAUACUUUUACUUUGUGGUCAGUUGUGCGCUUCUGUCCUUUCCCUUCCUUUUAGGCUCUCGGCCUGUCAUGCAGUUGGUGUGGGAAUAAUCCCCUAUGGAUGGGACAGGCUGGCUCAUCAGUCCUUAUGUAUGUAAGAAUUACUGUAUUCUUGUAAGGAUUAUUAUUUAUAUUUUUAUAUAUGUUGCUAGCAUUAGAAUUUAAAGAGAAGGUUGAAUACAGGGGAAGAAGGAGAAAUAGAAGAGAUCGAUGUUCAGGUUAUAUAUUACCUAUUAAUGAUGUAAUUACUGAUAGAAUUAUUUUGUCUAUCACUUCUAUUGCAAUUUUAUCAGUAUUUUUGACACGUCACUGUACAGACAACCUGGUUUGAAUCCGACUAUAAUUAUAUCAGUAAACUCGUUCAUAAAAACUUACACAUCAUUGCAUAACUUGUUUUUUUUAUUCUUUAUAUUCUGUUUGGUAUUUCCUCGGUAUUUAUCGACAAAUUGUUUUUGUUAGUAUAUACCGACAGAGUUAGUGAUGGAAAUUUUUUUUGGUGAAUAUCACUGCAAAAUAUUGAUGAAAAAAAACCAUUGGCAAUUCUGUUUGUAUUUAUUGAAUUUCUUAUACACCAGGCAACACGUUUUGGCAAUAGCUUUAUUGAACAGUUACUAGAAAACUGACAAACAAUGGAGAUUGGUGUUUGAAGGUUCUUGCCCUCAAGAUGCUGUGGGAUUGGUCGUCUUCAAGGUCUUUCUCUUUCAGCAUCAACAAGGGAGUACCAAUCUUCAUUUGUUCUGUCCUUGACCUCCAAGUCUUCGGAACUUGGAUGUAUAGAUAUUGUCCACUCUUCAUGUGGUGCUGAAUAUAUAUGGAACUGAAGGUUCACUUGCAAAUAUUUCCACACAAGAGUGAGCGUUGGAAACACGGCAGUACUAAUUUCCAAAAUUGACAUUUUGGCAGCAAGUCUUUGAGCUAACAGAUACAGUUCAUGAUCUAAUUAGAACUUCCUUUGCAUCUCGUCUGAUGGCAGCUGUUCUCGGGGACAUCUACCCCGCUAUUAUUCCUUGCUGGCUUAUAAACUUCAUACUAACUGGACCCCCCUUCGCAUGUACUGAUAGAUUAUUAUUGCUAUUAUUAACAUGAACAGGUGACUGUUUACUAGAAGGGUUAAGCAAUUUAUAUGUUUCUCAGAAGAAGAAGAAGAAGAAGCAUUUCAUAGCUUAGAAAAUAGCAAUGAACAUGUGCUAAUUAAUAGAUACAGUUUGUGCUCUUCCUUUGCAGCUCGUCUGAUGGGGGAAGUGUACGUUGCUGGGGACUUCUACCACUCGUCCUCGUCUUCUAUAAAAUUCCAUGCCAACAAAAGACAAUAAUGAAUAAACAGGAGUGUUGGAAACACGGCAAUAUUAAUUAAUUUCCGAAAUUAACAUUUUUGUUGAGAUCAAGUCUAUGUGAGUGAUGUGCAGCAAGUCUAUGUGCUAAUUAGAACUUUUUUUUGUAGCUUGUCUGGCGUUAACUAUGCGUUAUAUAUUUCAAUACAUCAAAACAGCUUAAAAAUAUGUUAGGAACAUGAGAUUAUUGAUUUUUUUGUCAAAAAUAAAUUUAAAAAAAAAUAUAAAAACACUAUUUUGAUAUAUUUUCAAAUAAAAAAACAUUUUAAAAAACAAUCUCCACCAUACUAGCAUGCUCUAAGAAUAGGAACAUGACAAUAUUGAUUUUCUAAAUGGAUUAAAUAGUGUUUUAGGGGUUGCUAAUUUUUCUUAGAUUAACUAAUCAAUUUAGUAUUAAAAGUAAUUAAAUAGUUAUUUGACCAAUUUUAAUCAUGCUUAUUUGAGUAGUAUUUUUUUUUUAAUACUUUUUUUGCAAAUCAAUCUUUCAAUUUAUAUACUUUGAUUUUUCCUUCUAUUUUAAAUAAAAAAAACAAAUAGUUAAAAAAUAUAUAUGCAGUAAAGAAUGAAAAUUGUAAACUUUUUACCUAAAUGGUUUAAUGAGUAUUUAUAACCCCUGAAUCUUAUUAUUUUAUUGAAGUGGAUGACCAGAAGAGUCAUUUCCUUCUUAUAGAAAUAAUAAAAAAUAAAUAAUUCUUACACAACAUUAAACGAGGAAUAAAUAUCUCUUGCACAAUAUUAAUGAGUAAUAAAUAUUUGUUACAAAAUAUUAAUGGUGAUAGAAAUAUGAUAGGUUGUUAGAAGACUUUUAUACUCUUAGAAAUAUAAAAAGAUGAUACUUGAACGAAGAAUUAAUCCCAACUAUUAAACAAGAUAAUCAUGAUGUUGACAUCAAAAAGUUGAUUUUUCAAAUCUAAAUUAUCAAUGAUUUGAAAUUUAUCAAACAUUAAAUUAUGCCAAAUAUUUAGGAAGAUUUUUAUAUACACUUACACAAUAUCAUUCCUUUUUAUAUUAAAAGUCAUAUAUAAAAAUAAAUAAACAAAACCGUGUAGCCCAACACGGGUCUAUAAUGCUAAUUAGAACUUUCUUUUUAGCUCAUCUAGUGGUAACUAUAAAAGUAUCGAAUUGAUAUUUUAUAUAUAUAUUUUUAUAUGGUUUUCAAUGUUUUUAAUAUGUUGAUAUCAAUUUUAGUUUUGAAAAUAUAUUAUUUUAAUAUAUUUUUAAUUGAAUAAUAUUUAAAAAAAAUACUCUACGGCAUUAUCAAACACAUACUUAGUGGUGGACUUUUGAACAUGAAAGACUAAGCUAUAAUCACAUUCAUAAAUCAGGGACUGGACAAUAAUUUACUUAUAAGUCAUCAAACAUUACUAAUAAAAGAUCAUUAAGAAUAGCUUUCUUCGCAGCUCGUGGUCCGAUGGGAACUGUAUGUUUUUGGGGACUUCUACCCAUUCUCAAAAACUGGUUUGUUCGAGUUACUAGUAAUAGAUUUCCUCGGAGAAGAAAGUCUCCAUAUCCAUUUAAAUAACAGAGCAGCCCUGUUUUUUAACAUUAGGGAGCCUAUGCCAAGACCUCCUUACUUCUUAUCACGCAAUACCACGCCAUAAGAAACGUCUGAUGGGUUUGCUGUGAUGUAAGAGAGAGAGAUCAUGUGGAUGGUGGGGUGGGCCAUGGUGGGGUGGGCCUAAGAAAUGGUGGAAAACUUUUUCGGAGUUUAAUAUCAUAUUUAAUUAACCAACUAAAAUGAUUGAGAUUUUAUUGAAAACUUUGAAUUGACUUUAAUUCAAAAAAUUAUAAACUAUGCUGCAAGAUAUCAAUAAUAGUUAACAGUGAGAACAUUUUGAGUUUAAAGGUAUUAUUAGCAUGUUCUCUUAUCCCACGUUUAAUAAUAAUAAUAAAAAAAAAUGUUACAAGGGAUUAACUGUAAGGGGUUAUAUUGAAGUAUAAAAUAGUAUAAGGAUCAAAUCAAGAUAGAAUGUAUAAUAGAAGGAUAAAAAAGACAACAUUAGCAAAAGGCGUGUCGCCAAAGCAUGUGAAGAACGAUUGAUGUAAAAGAGAGAGAGAUCAUGUGGAUGGUGGGGUGAGCCCUAGAAAUGGUGGGGAUGGUAUUUGAUGAAUGCUGAUCUUAUCAUAUUUUAGGGGGACCCCUAUUUCUGACCAUUAAUUUUCAAUUUAUAAGAUAAUGGGAUAAGAAUCGUUAUUUUUUAAAAAAAUUGUGUUUUAAUUUUUUUUAAAAAUUAUUUAUUUUAUUUUAUUUUAAUUUUUGUAUGUUUUUAAAAAACUUUUGAAGUGUUAAUAUAAAAAUAAAUUUUAAAAAAUAAAAAAUAUUUUAAAAUAAUAAUAUCAAUAAAUAACGUGUUUGUUAAAUAUGAUUCUUUUCAUGCUAUUUGAAAUUUAUGCACAUCUACUAUUAUAAAAAAUAAAUUUUAAAAAAUAAAAAAUAUUAUUUUAAUAUAUUUUUAAAUAAAAUAUAUUUUAAAAAUAAUUAUUAUUACAAGAUCCUUUGUAGCUCGUCUAGCGUUAACUAUGUUAGCAAUACAAUAAUGUUGAUUUUUUUUGUCAGAAAUAAAUCUUAAAAAAAAAACAAAAAUAUUAUUUUAAUAUAUUUUUAAAUAAAAAAAUACUUUAAAAAACAAUUUCCACACUACAAGCAUGCCUUAAGGAUAACAAAACAACAAUAUUGAUUUUCUAAAAAGAUUAAAUAGUGUUUCAGGGGUUGCUAUUUUUUCUUUAAUUAACUAAUCCUUUUAGUAUUAAAAGUAAUUAAAUAGUUAUUUGACCAAUUUUAAUCAUGUUUAUUUUAGUAAUAUUUUUUUUUAAAUACUUUUCUUUCAUAUCAAUCUUUCAAUUUUCAAUUUAUAUGCUUUGAUUUUUUUCUUUUUCCUUUUUCUAUUUUAAAUAAAAAAAUAGUUUAACUAUGAGAUUAUGUAAAUAAAUAAUUAAAAAAUAUAUAUGUAGUAAAGGAUAAAAAUUUCAAUCUCUUUAUCUUGAUGGUUGAAGGAGUAUUUAUAGCACUUGAAAUUUUUUUAUUUUACUGAAAUGAAGAGCCUGAAUGGUCUUUUUUUAUAGCAAUAAUAAAAAAUAAAUAUUUUUUAUAUAAUAUUAGACAAGAAAUAAAUGUUUAUUGCAUAAUAUUAAUAAAAAAAUAAAUAUUUGUUAUAAAAAUAUUAAUAAUGACAAAAAUAUAGUAUAGAGCAGCCUACUAAAACUGACAAAGAUUGGAUUGGAGUUUCGAGGUUCUUGCCCUCAAGAUUACCGAGUCAGUGUAGGCCUAAAAGAUCUUUCUUUCUCAGCAUCAACUUGGUCUGAAUAUGGAAAACCAAUCUUCACUUGGUCUGUCCUUUUCCUCCUUGACCUCCAAGUCUUCGCAACCAUUAAGUGGUUCUGAAUAUGGAACUGCAGAUUGAAUUAUUGAUCAAUUGCAAAUAUUUCCAUACAAUUAGGUUCCUUUGUUGACUAUGCAAGAAUGUUGGAAACACGGCAAUAUUAAUUUCCAAAAUUGACAUUUUUCCAGCAAGUCUACGUGCGUGCAAUUUGUGCUCUAACUAUAACUCCCUUUGUGUCUCGUCUGAUGACAACUGUUCUGGGAGACUUCUACCCCUGAUCUAUGCCUGGUUUUUCUUGGUAGCAUUGCAUCUUUGAAGUUUGGUUUAAUUUCCUUACAAUUUAUUUUAUCUUUCAUUAGAUUUCUCUAUAUUGUAAGAAAUAUUUUUAAGUGGAUCAUAUCCCAUGUCAUGUUUUUAAAUAAUAUUAAUUGGGUUAUAUAUAUUAUAAAAUUUAUAAAUGAUAAUUAAAUGCUUGGAUUCCAUUGAGUACAGUAUAUACAUAAUGGAUGAAAGUGAAAAAAAUCAGGAUCCCUAUGCUAGCCAUAUUAAAUAUUACGUAAAAUCAUCAAAAUAUAAAAAAUCUAAAGUUUGGUAUUGACGGUUCAAUCAUAGUAUGGAUUAAAUCCACUUACUUGAAAAACCCAAUGAUAUAUGAGCCCAGAAAAAGAUGGUCCAUGCACACAAAAACUCAAAAGAAAUUAAAUCUAGAAAUAUAUAUCAAAUUUAAUUUUUUAGGCUUAACUUUAUGUUAGGCCCAAUAACAUAAUAACAUAUGGGUUUAAUAAAAAGUUAGACCCAACUUUCUUAGCGAAAAAAUCAACUAACCUUUAUUUAUUAAUUACUAAAGACACAACUCAAUGUAGACAAAGUGAAAUUCUAUCCAUGUCUAAACUUACAUUAAAAUAUUAUAAGUCUUUUUAAUACUUAUAACUUGAUAAAAUCAAAUUUAUUGAAAUAAUAUAACUUGAAAUUGUAUUAGAAUUCAAAUCUUAUAUUUCAAUGCCAGAUAGGUAUGAUAUUAUUAUAUAGAGUUGAUGAUUGUGGUCUUAUUAUAUAGAGUCCUAGGAUUAAGUUAUAACUAACUCAAAUACAAAAGGAAUUUAUGCAAAUUGUAUAAAAGUGAAUUACAAUUACAGAGAAACAAAAUAGUAACAUUGUAAUCUGCAUCCAACAGCGUGCCCCUCUGAAAACAGAUCACUUUUAUCCUUCUUCUUUCGGUUUGUUUGGACUUGUGGUUUUUGAACUGCAUCCAACAGCGUGCCCCUCUGAAAGCUGUUAGGAAGCUAAAGAUUGCCAUAUCAGACAGCCAUUGAAGUAUCCUUUUUCUUUCUGCUUAUUUGCUAACCUCUUUGUUCAGCAUGUUACGGCCAUGCUUUUGGCAUUUGGCCUGGACUGAGUUCAGUCCAACAGUGUCAAAGUAAUAGUAUUUCACAUAGGUUUUGUUGGAAGAAUAAUGGUUAUAGUUAAGAUCAAAACAGUAAUGCAAAGUGAAAAAAAUCUCAAGAACAAGAAGAAAAUUGAGAUAAAAAUAUAUUUUUAUUAAGUGUUUUUUUCUAAACUCUCUUAGCUAUUCUCUUUCUUUUUGUCUAUACCUAGAAAUGCUGAGUUACAAGGUUAUAGCAGAUUUUUCUAGAUAACCCUUGUGCCAUAUACCCUGCCCUCUCCUCAGCAUACCAUUCUUGUGAAUCCAACCCACUGUUAGAGCCUUCAAUUCUAGAUGUGAAUCUUCAGUUCAUGGCAGUCCCGAGACUGAAACACCCUGCCCCAGUGGUGUUUGUCCAUUGUUGAACCUCUUGUCGACACAACCAUAGCCAUAAGACCUCCUGUACUGGUCUUCAACCCAAGUAAAUACAGUUGGGAAGACUGACUGGCCCAGUUGGACACAUAUUAAGAAGUCCAACCAAAAAAGGGACUGAGAUUGCAGAACCUAUCGCUUGAAUAGCAGAAUUGAACUAUCUGGAUAAGCAAAAAUGACCAACAUAGCUCAAAUUCAUUGAAUAGAGCGCGGAUGGAAGCUGUCAAUCAACAAGAGAAGUUGCAAGAAAUUUGAAAAACCUAACAUGACAGAAUAAGCAGAACAUGAUAUCAUAUGAGGGGAGAAAGCAGGAAAAAAGAAUGACAUCAUAAGAGGAAAAACAGCUGAAUUUCUAAACAGAAAACACAGCGAAAAUCCAAGGGACAUGGGAACGGGUCAAUACUAGACACCACAUGAACAGAAGUUUCGAUCUAAUAUAAACUGAAUAGUGAUUCCAAAAUUCUAUUUUCUCAUCCGGGUAAGUUUGGACGCCAACAUAAUAGUGGCUCUGAUUUUCCAUAAACUAAGAACUCAUACAAGCAUGUUAAUACAUCUCAUUAGUUUGAGUUCACUUGAUCUCAAAUUCUGUAUCUUUCCCCUUCAGCAUGCCCGAAACCGUAGAAGGCAUGAUCCACAUUUCCCAGCCGCACAAUUGCUUCAUCGACAGUCAGAGGUGGCAUGUCAAAGUACUUUGUGUGAACAGCCUGAAAAUGGUGUAGAUAAUGAGUCUAUGGCAGACAAGAAUAAUAUGUCCAGGUGGGCAAUGGUUUACCUAGCCAAAAGCAUGCAUCAAACUUAAAGGUAAUAGAAAAUAUCUUUUACAUUGACACCCAGAUGUAAAGAAGAAUUUUGAGCGCCAAGCCAUGAUUUGGAAAGAUGAAGAUGGUAAUACAUUUUCCUUGUGCAGCAGUCCAUAAGUAUCUAGCUAAGAGAAUCGACAUGGUAUUCACAAUAGUUCACAAGUUAUAAUGCUAAAAAAUUAUAUGCAAAUUACAUAUGCCGUAGUAAUCACGAAAUGGUGCGAUGGGGAAAGCCCUUGUUGGGAGUAGAACUAUUCAUGACAAGUCUAUAUCAAUUAACUCACAAGAAUACAUAAGACUUUACAUUUGAUGAUAUGAAGCUACGGAUAAUAACUAAAUCCACAUGAAACAAUUAAGACAACAUAAAUAAUAAACUGCAACAACAAUUUGGUAAAACAAAAAUGUUAAAGAGCUAUACCUCAUCAAGAUGGUGGAGAUAAAGAGUCUAAGGCAGACAGCAACAAUAUGUCCAGGUGGGCAAUGGUUUAACUAGCCAAAAAGCAUGCAUCAAACUUAAAUGUAAUAGAAAAUAUCCUUUCUCUAGUUUCAUUCUACAUUGACACCCAGAUGUAGAGAAGAACUUUGAGUGCCAAGCCGUGAUUUGGAAAGAUGAAGACGGUAAUGCGGUUUCCUUUUGCAACAGUCCAUAAAUAUCGAUCUAGCUAAGAGAACCGAUAAGGUAUUCGCUACAGUUCACAAGUUAUGAUGCUAAAUCAUCUGCAAAUUACAUGUGCCGUAGUAAUCGCCAAAUGGUGCUAUGGGGAAAGCCCUUGUUGGGAGGAGAACUAUUCACUACAGGUCUAUAUUAAUGAACUCACAGGAAUACAUAAGACUCACAUUCGAUGAUAUGAAGCUAUGGAUAGUAACUAAAUGCAUAUAAAACAACUAAGACAACAUAAAUAAUAAACCGCGAACAAAAAUGUUAAAGAGCCCUACCUCAUCAAGAUUGUCGUCAUCUUUUCGCUGUGAAACUGUAUCUGCAUCAUUCUCCACCACUUGUGACAUUGGCUCCCUAACCUUCAACUUAUUAAAUCCUUUCAUGUGUCUACCAUGAUCGGACUCCUUGUCCUUAAUCUUCCUCAACUUGUUGAAUAGUUGACGACACCAAAUCAAUACUUGCUUAGAUUUCUCAGCAUCUUCCUCUGCCCUCACCACCCCAUGACUUUUAGUAAACAAAGUAACCCAAAAUCACAAAAAAUCUAAAAUUGAAUUCAUAAUUUGAAGGGUACCUUUCUAAUCCUUGGGCCUUUCCCCAUUUCUCCACCUCUAAAACACAACCUUACAUCAACAUCAACUGCCCGUACAAGAUGACAAUGUUUCUGAAUUGCCUGGCCUACUUUGAUCUUAGUGGAAUUCACCAAAGAAGAAGCUAGUGAAGUAUCAGGAGUUGUUGAUGAUAAUGGCUUGUUUGAAACGAACCUAAGAGAGAAGCCGUUGGCAAAUUUUCUUAUGAGGGUUGUUUGGAUUGCUGGAACAUGAAGGAAAAUAAGGGGGUUUUAAAGAGGUUUCUAUUAACAAUACAAAUGGACAAGGACACGUCAGCUAAUUGAUUCAGUUGGGCCCCACUUUAUGUGGGAUGAACCCUUAUCUGCCAAGUCCACAUUCAAUUUGUGGGAAACAUAAGACAUUAGCCACAAAUCUAUAAGAUAAUUAUAAAUUAGUUUAAGAACAAAUAAUUUCAUCAAUUAUAUCCAAAGUAUUCCGGAGGUUUCUCAAUUGGAUCCUUCUAUCCAUUUUCUCUUAAUUUUAAUGUGAAGUUUUCCUUUAAUAGACCAGUUUCAUUGCAUAAAUGAUAAAACAGUAAAAUUAUAUGGAAAUAAUUUUAAGAAAAAUACCCAAUUGAGAAAUAUAUGGCAUAGUUUGGAUCUAAUUGAUAAAAAUGCAUUGUUCAAGGUCUUGAUUGAGAUGCAUAUAUAGUUUAAGGUCCAGAAUGAGGUUUACCCUUUAAUUUACAUGUAGAGUCUUUAAAGGUGGGGCCACCUUCUCAUUGAUGGCUCACCAACCAUGAUCUUACUUGAGCGACAACAAUUAUUACUAUUAAUUAAUUAUUAACUAUUAAUUAAUUAUUCUCAUUGAUGUAUUUAUUUGAGAUAUAAUGGUUUUUAUAAGAUUAUGUAUCUAUGUGGCUUAGCAGGAUCAAUCUUUACAUUUCGAUGCGAGAAAGGUAUUAAAUGUUUACUAAUUUUUACUCGUACACAGUUAUGAAAUCCUAAUAUUUUUAUAGGAAGUCAUUAAUAUAUAUAUAUAUUAAACUUAAUUUUUUAUUAAUUUAAUAUUAAAAGAUGAAAUUAAAAACAAAAUUCAACUAAAAAAAUAACUCAACAUAGAUUUAUCUAUCAAACCUGAGUUGUGAAAUCAAGAUAAUCCUAUAAAAAGAUAUUAAAACAAAUUAUUAAAUCCAAUUCUAAAUCAAUCAAAAUUUUAAGAAUGAUAUUAAGAAAAACUAGUAAAAAAUAACACAAAUACUCAUGACUUGGGUCAACUGAUCAAACUCAUGUCUUGGAUUAUAAGACCAAUAUAACCUUAUAUAACACAAACCAAAAUAAAUUAUGAAGUCUAAUUUUUAAUUAAUCCAAUAUUAAAAAAAAUUCAAUUAAAAAAUAAAAAAAAAACUCGAGUCAACUAGUAUAAUCUACGAUCUAGGUCAAAGACCUUGAUAACCUUAAACAAAAUAUUUUUUUUUCUUAUAAAGCUCAAUUCUCAAUUAACCCAAUGCUAAAUGAUUAAAUUGAAAAAAUAAAAUAAAAAAUGAUUUAGGUCAACUUGGGUUAAUCUGUCAAAUCUAAAUCAUAUGAAUAAGAUAAUUCCAUAGAAAUAAAAAAAGAAGAAAAAAAUAAAGUUCAAUUCUCAAUCAACCAAAUGUUGAAGGACGAAAUUAAAAAAUAAAUAUUCAAUUAAAAAAAGAUAAAAAAAAAACUCAAUUCAACCUAGUUAAUUCAUAAAACUCGUGAUAUAAGUUAUGAAAUUGUGAUAAUUCAAUAGAAAACAAAUCAAAAAAGAAUUAUGAAGUCCAAUUCGCAAUCAACCCAAUAUUAAAAAAUAAAGUUGAGAAAAUAAUAAUAAUUAAAAAUAACAAAAAAAAUAACCUGAAUCAACAUGACUAACUCCUUAAACUCACGAUCCGGGUCAUAAAAUUAAAAUAAUUUUAUAAAAAGUAAAUCAAAAUAAAUUAUGAAGUUCAGUGCGUAAUAAAUCCAAUAUUAAAGGAUGAAAUUUAAAAAAAAUUGCAAAGUUUGCACUUAAAAUUAAAAAAGAAAUUCUUAAUAUUGCUACAAUAAAAUACAAAGGUGUUUUAAUAUAUGCUAAAAUCCUAUUGGUUCCACUUUUCUCUUAACUUUUCUAGCGCAAUACAUCUGCUGGGUUACCUUUGGCCUGGCUGCUUAACUAUUCAUUUCUACAGUGAAGUAUUUUUAUAUAUAUAUAUAUAUAAAGGGUGGAUGAUAUAUUAAUUAUUUAUUUUGAAAAAAAAAGAGAAGAUAUUGCAUGUUGUUUGUCGCAUAAAAAUUAAUAAUGUUAUCAGUGUAGCUCUCACCUGCAACCUUCAACUAAACCAAUGUGCUGACCAAUUCAACUACGAAACAAAUAUAUUAUUAAUUGUUUAAUUAAUAAUAUAUAUCAUUUUGUUUUUUUUUAAUAAUUUUGUUGUUGUUUUUUCCCCGGAAAGAAUGUAACGAAAUGGUGGGGAUAUUCCCAAUCUAUAAUUUGUUAAUAUCACUCCUCAUUUAUUAUAAGUCUUUUUAAUACUCUAUAUUAUCCUUUAUCUCCUCAAUUGGAGUUUUCUAUUUUGAUAAAAUCAAAUUUAAUUAUUGAAAUAAUAUAACUUGAAAUUGCUAGAAAACAAACUCUCCUUUUUUAAUUCAAACCUUAUAUUUCAAUGCCAGAUAGGUAUGAUAUUUUAAUAUAAGAUCUGUAAUGAAUUUAAAAAAUUAAAUCGAUAAUAAAAUCUCAAGAUUUUAGAAAUCAUAUUUAAAACAUAUAAAGUUAAUAUAAAUAUGUAUGUUAAAUAAUAAAAAUAUAAAACCUUAUCAAUUUUCAAUUUAUUAUUAUUUAAAAAAAAGUAGAAAUAGAGGAUGUAAUAAGGAAUUAAAAAAAUAUUUGAAAAAAACAAAUGCUUUAAUUGAACUUCUAGCAAAGAUAGUAUUAUUAGGCUUGUCUUUAUUGGGCUUCUAGCAAAGAUAGUAUUAUUCCUAAUUUUUAUUAUAAUUACAUUACAUUAAAAAAAAAAAUGUGCUUCAUUGUUUCUUCUCACUCACUCACAUUUUUGAUCCCUAUAACUUAUAAGUUUUACAUAAUUGGUCCCUAUAAUUUUCAAUAUUUAUAAAUUCUAUUUUUAUUUAUGUUAUUGGUCAGAAACAUUUUAUACAUAAUUAAAUACUAUAAAAUAACACUUGGUAUCACUUGAGGCACAACCUUUAUAGAAAUAAUACUACAAUAUAUAACUGUACUUAUGAUUACUUAUAGUUCUAUACUUACAAAAUCUGAAAGGAAACAGCUUACAGAACGAACUUUGAAGAUACUGACUGCAUUGUUUAUUUUCUUCUUGCACCAUUUCUACUAGCAUUCUUCUUUGUUCUGCUUGCAUUAAGACUCCAUUGAUCUUCAACCAUUUUCAGAAACCAUGCAGGUCUUCUUGUUUUCAACACAACAUAUCCCAUUAUGACCCCAAACAUAAACCCACAUCCAUACCCAAUUGCCACAGCUUUCCAUCCAAACCCAUCUUCAAGCAAUGUUGAAUCAUUGAUGGUGGUAAUGGUGGUGCCUCGCCAUUGCUACAUUCUUCUGGCAUUGGAAAUCCACACAAACCAGAGUUUCCUUCGAAUGAGCGAUGAUCAAACGUGUUGAACUGCUUUCCUUUGUGUAUGGGUCCUUCAAGCCGGUUAUGUGAAAGGUCUAAGACUUGGAGAAAUGUUAGAUCUACCAACUGUAUAGGAAUCCUUCCAGUAAACAAAUUUGAAGAUAGAUCUAAUGAUUCUAGAUUGGUCAAAAUUCCCAAUGAUGAUUGGAUAUGACCAGUAAAGUAAUUGUGAGAGAGGUUAAGUUGUUGGAGUCCUUUAAGCUUUCCGAUCAAUUUUGGAAUCUCACCAGUGAAACUAUUACUUGACAAAUCAAGUACUCUGAGGAUACUUUGAAUUUUUACAAACUCAAAUUCCAAUCCUUUCCACGUCAUUUCUACGGAAUAGGCAUAAAUAUCGGCAAAACCAUAGUAAUUGUUUGAUGUCAUGUAAAUCAUAUUUUGAUGCGAGGUCAUCAUUGCUUCAAGACUAUUGAAAAACCCUGUUGGUAAUGGUCCACUCAAAUUAUUGCUGGAGAUGUAAAAAAUCUGUAAUUUAGAGAAUGAAUUAUAAGUAGUCGGAUCCUUCACAAAACCCUGGAGUUUAUUGGAUUUUAGAACAAGAACCUGCAACUUUGGAAGCCUUUCUAGGAAAUGGGGGAAUGUAUCCUUAAUCUUAUUGUUGCCAAGAUCAAGAACUUCCAACAUUGUGCAAUUGAUGAUAGAUGAUGGUAUUUCCCCUUCCAAUUCGUUGUCAUUGAGGCUGAGAUAUCCCAAGCUAUUCCCCUCUGAGAAUGCUAAAGAGAUAGUGCCUUGAAGAUUGUUCAUGCCUAGAUGCAAAAUUGAGAGAGUGUUGCUGAAGUUGCUCAAACAUUGUGGAAUAGAACCACUCAGACUGUUGUUGGACAGGUCAAGGAUUUCAAGGUAUUUCAGCUUGCAUAUAGAAUAAGAAAUCUCACCUGUCAGUUUAUUGUUGGACGCAAGAAUAAGGACUUCCAAAUACUCUUGUUUGAAAAUUGAGCUUGGGACUGGACCAUGGAAGUGAUUAUUGCUCAGAUCAAGGUAUUCCAACGAAUUAUGUUGGAAUUCACUUAUAUGGCCUAUGAAAUGAUUGUUAUGAAGGUCCAAAUAACCUAAAGAAGGAAGAGCAAACAAAAAGGAUGGUAUUGUCCCAUUGAAUAAGUUACUAAAUAAAUAUAGACUCUCUAGAUUUGAAAGGUUUUCAAAUGAUGAUGGGAUUUCACUGCUCAAAUUAUUAUGUGUGAGAUUACCAAGCAGAGCUACAUUUGUCCUUCGAAUGUCACAAUUGCGAAGCCACAUAUAUUCUAACGACUUGAGCUUACUGAUGAAGUCAUUUUCUAAAUGUACUGAAAUUCUUGUAUCAGAAAGGACCAGCUGCCAGAGGACAUUACUCACAUUGGAGGAAGGAAAAGAGCCAGUGAGGCCUUCGUUGUCUGCCAAAAUGAGGGAGUCUAGGUUUGGUAGAAGAAAGAUGUUACGUGGGAACUCCCCUUGCAAUCCACAACCCACAAGUGAAAGCAAUGUCAAGGAAGAGGACAAAUUUGUCAAGGAAUUAGGUGCAACCAAAGACAUAUCUAUAUAAUCCAAAUAGAGUACUCUUAGCUUGGUUAGGUUUUGAACAAUAUUGUCAAAAGAGAUUGUUUCUAGACUUAGAUGUUUGUUUGAGAUAUCAAGUGAAACCAAUUUGGAGAGAUGAGAGAUUUCCGAUGGAACUUGGCCUGCAAAAUUUGAAUGAGUUAGGUUAACUGCAAAAUUUGAAUGAGUUAGGUUAAGAUGCAUCAAAUUGGAAAACUGGCCAAAUUGAGAAGAGAUAUUGGAGAAGUUGAAAUCGUUGUAAGAGAGGACGAGCUUUUGAAGACGAUGAAGAGAGAAGAGAGAAUUAUUGGAAUGCAGGGUUCCGUGAAGCAUGCUGAAAGAGAGGUCUGUUGGAAAUUAAGCUGGUUACUGGAAUCAAUCCAAACCUCAGAAGAUAUUCCUGCAGGUUAUGACGAGAAGAAUGGAGAAAUGAAGAACUUUUCUGUUACAGGAAAAUUCCUACAGUUGCCUAAAUUAUGCCUUUUCUGUUGUAACCGAUUCUUGCCUAGGUGCAAGAAUCGUAGCCUCCAAUGAUAAUGAACGGUAGGAGAUGAGUACUGUAUCCUAAAGUUUAGGAACUGUGUUUUGACAGUAUGUGUCAUGUAUAUGAGCAGGUUUUAGGCUCAGUUUUUAAUACAACAAGAAAUACAAUCUUCUCAUUCUCUCUGACUUCUUUAUUCUCAAAAAACAAAAGGGAAUGUUUCCUGCAUAAGAAAAGAAAAAUCAACUUGGUAUCAGAGCUCUAGUACUGAUUCAAGAGAGGGGCGUGAGCUGUGAGAGAGUUGUUUUUCAGAAAAAUUUCACUUAGAAAAUGGUGGGAUCAGGUUCUAUAGGAGGAGAUUUACGAACUCCACAGUUAAUGACACAAACUAUGAUUUUUGGGCUGUAAAGAUGAAGACUAUCCUCAUAGCAUAUGAUCUAUGGGAUGUAGUAGAGGCCGGUGUACAAUCUCAGCAAACUCUUGAGGUGGCACAAGGCUCUGGAGACGAACGAAGUGAAGCUGAGCAAAUUUUAGGGGAAGCACCCACUACCUCCAGAGAAAACAAAAUAAAAAAUGCCAAGGUGCCAAGUCUCAUUCAAGGAGCAUUAACCGAUGAGCUCUUCCCUCACAUCAGAAAUGAAAAGACUGCAAAAGGAGCUUGGAAUGUCUUGAGGAGAGAGUUUAGAGGAGAUAAAAAGGUAAUAGCAGUAAAACUUCAAGCAAUUAGAGCAGAUUUUGAAUAUAUGAUAAUGAUAGAUAAUGAAAGCUUAGAUAGCUAUUUGGCUAAGUUUUUUGGAACUGUGAAUAAUAUGAAAUCUCUUGGUGAGGAUGUGACUGAAAGAAGAAUUGUGCAAAAACUUUUGAUGAGUCUAAGUAAAAGAUAUAAGUCCAUUGUGUUUAUUAUUGAAGAAACUUGAGAUCUUGAUGUUUUUAUAGUAGAAGAGGUCAUAGCGUCUGUCAAAGUCUAUGAUAAGAGGGAGGACAUGCAUGAUGAAAGAGAUAAAGUCACAGGAAUUGAGAAAGCUUUUAGUAGCCUCAAGGUUGGAUACAUGUCUAUGGUACUCAUAAGGGCUCACAGGGAAGACCAAAUCAAAAGUGACAAGGACAAGACAGGAGGGGAUCAAAUUGGCCUCAAAGUAGAAACCAAAACAACUAUAAUAGCCCAAGCUGGAAUAAUAGUGCUGGAGGAAGCGGUCAAGGAAGUGUGAAGCCACAUUGUUAAGUUUGUCAGAAGUACCAUUUUGGUGUAUGCAGACACAAAGAAAAACCAAGAUGUGGAAAAUGCAAUCGGUUUGGUCAUAUUGCAAAGGAUUGUGACAGUUAUAGUCACAAACAACUAGCCAACUAUGCAAAGGAAGAAGAAGUAGUCACAUGAACUAUGUUCUAUGCUUAUCACUCUGUAAGUUUGCAAGAUAGAAGUGUAUGGUUUGUGGAUAGUGCUUGCAGCAACCACAUGACAUCUCAAGAAUUUGGGCUAAUAAACAUUGACAGAACCGUGACUUGUAAAGUUAAAAUAGGCUCCGGAGAUCUUGUACAAGCAACUAGAAAAGGCACUUUGGUAGUAGAACAACAUGGGAAAAGAUAUAUAAAUGAAGUGCUACUGGUUCCAGGUCUGGAUGAGAAUCUAUUGAGUGUAGGCCAAAUGAUGGAGCAUGGUUAUUAUAUUCUAUUUAGAGGUAACAAAGCAGUGAUAUUCGAUGAUGAAAGCCUCAACAAUGUUAUAGCAAUAGUGGUCAUGGGAGGAAAUCAAUGUUUUCCCUUUUCACUUGAAUCUAUGACACCUGCAGCAAGGAAAGCCUCAGUGAUUGAAGACUCCUAGAUCUGGCAUAGAAGACUGGGACAUUUGAAUUUUGCUAGCAUGAAAAAGAUGCAAUAGAUGGAAAUGGUGUGUGGACUACCUGUGUUAACAGAAUUGAAGGAUGUGUGUGAAGGCUGUGUCUCAGGAAAACAUCACAAGGAGAAGUUUGAUAAAGAGGAGGCGUGAAGAGUAAGCUAUCCACUGGAACUAAUGCACACAGGCCUGUGUGGACCAAUGCAAAAUGAAUCAAUUGGGGGGAAUAGGUACUUUAUCACAUUCAUUGAUGAUUUCUCAAGAAUGUGUUGGGUAUACUUUCUCAAAAAUAAAUAUGAUACUUUUAAUGUGUUCAAGAACUUCAAAGCUCUUGUUGAAUUGCAAAGUGGAUAUAGUUUGAAGAAGCUAAGAAGAGAUAGAGGUGGUGAAUAUACCUCACAUGAGUUUCAAGAUUUCUAUAUAAGCAUGGGAAUGGAGAGGCAAUUGACCAUUGCCUACUCUCCUUAACAGAAUGGAGUUGUUGAAAGAAGAAACACAACAAUCUAUGAGAUGACGAGAUCCAUGAUGACUGAGAAAGAAAUACCAGUGACCUUUUGGGCAGAAGCUGUGAGUACAACUAUGUAUCUUCAAAAUAGAUGUUUAACAACAGCUGUGACAGGAAAAACACCAUUUGAAGCAUUCACGGGUAGAAAGCCAGGAGUCAAGCAUCUAAAAGUUUUCAGUUGCAUUUGUUACACUCAUGUUCCAUCAUCCUUAAGGCAAAAAUUUGAUGACAAGGCUGGAAAGGGAGUCUUUGUGGGAUAUGAAAGCUGUGAAAAAGGGUAUAAAGUGUAUGAUUUGAAAUCUGAGAAAAUUGUGCUUUCAAGAAGUGUGAUUUUUAGUGAGGACAAGUCAUGGAAUUGGGAAAGAAAUCAAACGAACACUUUGCCAAUACCUCUCAACCUUGAAGGCGAUGAAGUUGACGGUGAUAACAAUGAAGAACAAACUGAUGCAACUUAGUUUGACAAUGCUGGAAGUUCUCAUCUUAACUCCACAGUUGGAGAGUUAAUUGAGAAUGUCACUGGUGGUAGCAGUCAAAAUUCCACACCUAUUUCCACUCCAAGCAAAUUAGAAACCCUUGAAGAUAUAUAUGCAAGGUGUCACAUGUGCAUCAUAGAACCAGAGAAUUAUCAAGAAGCAGCUGGAGAUAUAGCUUGGCAAUAAGCUAUGAAUGCAGAGUUGGAAAUGAUAAAGAAGAAUAAUACUUGAGAAUUGGUGGAGAGACCUAUUGAUAAACCAGUUAUAGGUGUGAAAUGGGUGUUUAAGACCAAGCUCAACUUGGAUGGAACAAUUCAAAAACAUAAAGUCAGACUUGUAGCGAAAGGAUAUGCACAGAAACUUGGGAUUGACUACAAUGAAACGGAUUGACUACAAUGAAACCUUUGCACUAGUAGCAAGGUUAGACAUAAUUUGAACUCUUAUUGCACUUGUGGCACAAAAGGGUUGGAAGUUGUUUCAGUUGGAUGUUAAGUCAAUAUUUUUAAAUGGUGUGCUUGAUGAAGAAGUGUAUGUUGAACAACCUAAAGGUUUUGAGGUGAAGAAUGCAGGGCACAAGAUCUACAAGUUAAUUAAGAAAAGCUUUAUAUGAACUUAAGCAGGCUCCUAGAGCUUGGUACAAUGAGAUUGACAAAUACAUCUCCAUGUGUAACUUCAAGAGAAGCACAAGUGAAGCUACUCUGUAUACCAGGUGCGACUGUGAAAGAGAUUUGAUUAUUAUCUCAAUCUAUGUUGAUGACAUUGGUUAUACUGACAGUAGUGACAGGAUGCUUAUUGAGUUCAAAAAGGAAAUGAUGCAGAGAUAUGAGAUGUUAGAUCUUGGACUUCUUCAUCAUUUUCUGGGUAUGGGAAUACUGCAAACUGAUCAAGCAAUAUUUGUUCAUCAAAGCAAGUAUGCCAAAUCCUUGCUGAUAAAGUUUGGGCUUGAAGACUACAAACUAGUCUCAAUUUCUGUGUCUACUGGUGAGAAAUUAAAAAAGGUGGAUGGAAGUGAGUUAGCUGAUGAAGGACUUUACUGGAAAAUAGCAGGAAGUCUACUAUAUUUAACUACAACUAGACCUGAUCUAAUAUAUGCUGCUAGUUUGUUGUCAAGGUUCAUGAAUUGCCCAACAAAAAGACAUAUGAUAGUCGUAAGAAGGGUUCUAAGAUAUGUACAAGGAACCCUUAGCUAUGACAUUGUAUAUGUGAGAGAUCAGUCAGCAACUCUUAUUGGAUUCUGUGAUGCAGAUUGGGCAGAAAGUGAAGAUGAUAGCAGGAGUAUUUCUGGUUAUGUAUUUAGUUUUGGAAGUGGAGCAUUUUCUUGGGCCUCUGUGAACAUAGUGGCACUGUCAAUAGCAGAAGCUGAGUAUAUCUCAACAUCUGAAGCAACAAAACAGGCUAUGUGGUUAAGAUUUGUUCUUGAUGAUUUUGGUGAAAUGCAAACUGAGGCAACACCCUUGUUCUGUGAUAAUAUUUCAGCAAUUUCGAUGGCUAAAAAUCCAGUUUUUUCAUCAAAGAACAAGACACAUAAAUAGAAGGUAUCACUUCAUCAGGGAAGCUUUGCAAGAGGGACUGAUCAACAUGAAAUUCUGCAGAAGUGAACAACUCAUAGACAUUUUUACUAAAGCAUUGCUUAUAGACAGAUUCUAGCAAUUAAGGCUCAAACUUGGAGUUAAGCCAGUAAGCAGCUUAGGAGAGGCUGUUGGAAAUUAAGCUGGUUACUGGAAUCAAUCCAAACCUCAGAAGAUAUUCCUGCAGGUUAUGACGAGAAGAAUGGAGAAAUGAAGAACUUUUCUGUUACAGGAAAAUUCCUACAGUUGCCUAAAUUAUGCCUUUUCUGUUGUAACCGAUUCUUGCCUAGGUGCAAGAAUCGUAGCCUCCAAUGAUAAUGAACGGUAGGAGAUGAGUACUGUAUCCUAAAGUUUAGGAACUGUGUUUUGACAGUAUGUGUCAUGUAUAUGAGCAGGUUUUAGACUCAGUUUUUAAUACAACAAGAAAUACAAUCUUCUCAUUCUCUCUGACUUCUUUAUUCUCAAAAAACAAAAGGGAAUGUUUCCUGCAUAAGAAAAGAAAAAUCAACAAGGUCCAGUUCAGUCACUUGCCCGGUUUUCAUGUCACAAGUGAUCCCAUCCCACAAGCAGCAGUCUGUACCCUCUUUCCAUGACUCUGUCUUGGGAUAUUGAUCAUAUUGGUAAUUUCUAGCAAACCAAAAAGGAGAACUCUGAAUGGAAAAAAGAUUGUUUGAAUUGAAGCAGAGAAAGAGCUUGGUGAUGAGUACACAAAUGAAUAGAAGAGAAAAAAUCUGAGGAGAAGGAUGAUGAAAUUGUUGUAAGAAAAUACAAGAGAAACAAAAUGGAACAAAGGAAAUUGAGCGAGGGAUAAUGAGUAAUUUUUCAUGUUGGCUUUUCAGGAUUCAAAGUAAAUGUGGGAUAUUGAAGGAAGGAAAUGUGGAAGUAUAAUUGGGAAAGAUGAGAAAUAAAGAAAGGCAACAAAAAGACAGUAUACCAAAAGGAACAACACAGGUACUUCAUACAGGCAAUCUCUCUAAGGUUGCCUACGCUGUUGUUUUAAAUCUCUUUCAGAGGGGAAUACAGGUAUUGUUGAUGUUGUCUACUGGGCCAAUAGGCACAGGUUGUCACUUGCUUCAAUUUGACAGUAAUUUGUUUAAAUUGAUUGUAUAGGCAGGCAAAUUUAAUUUAUGUUCAUGUUUUAAUUUCUAAUUCUUAAUUAUUAAAAUGAUGUUUGUAGACAUGAUUUUGAGCACCUGAAAUUAAAACAAGCACUCGUGUUCAAAUAUAUGAUUUUAUUAAAUAUAUGACCGGGUACAAUCUCUAUGUAAUAUAUUCUUUCAAAAAGAACAGGACAAUCCUCUGAUUCUUCCCUUGGAUUUGAUGUUUGGUGAUUUGAUUUAUUUGACAAAUCAACCUAGGAUUUGUGCUUUGCAAGAACACGAAUUUAGGCGUGUAUUGCGAAGCGAGAUAUGGUGAUUUGAUGCUUUGAAGAGUACCUUUGAUUUGUCUUCAAAGUGUUGUUGAAGAACUCUUAUGGGGUGUUUUAGCUUGAUCCAACAGAGCUUAGCGAGAUGUGGUGCUUUGAUGCUUUGAAGAGUAUCUUUGAUAUGUUUUCAAAUUGUUGUUGAAGAACUCUUAUGGGACGUUUAGGCUUGAUCCAACAAAGUUUUGUUCUUUGUAGACUUCAAGCGUAAAUGAAGGAGGUUUGAGAACUUUUGAGAGAGCUUUCUUGCUUGAAGAGAGAGCUCCCUUGCUUGAAGAACUUGUCUUGAAAGAAAUUUGUAUCUUAAAGAAUCCUCAUCUUUCUUUUCUCUAGGUUAAGGCACUCUAUUUAUAGAAAUCUGUAGGGGCUCUCAGGUCUUUUUUCAAUGCCACAUGACAUAAUUUUAUUGGUUGAUAUUUAUUGAUGAGAUCUUGUAUUUAUGACAAGAUAUCUCGACGGGAUCUUGCAUUUAUGACAAGAUAUCUUGAAUAUCUCAUCUCAAGUGUCAAUCUUUUAUUGGCCAAGAAAUAUAUGAAGGCUCAUUUAUUUUUCAUGUCAUAUAUUUCAAUUUUAUUUUAUUCUUUUUUUCAAAAAAAUAAAAUAACACGUAGCGAAAUUUGAUUGGUAGAAAAUUUAUGUUUCUACCAUGGUUUUUUUAGAUAGCUGUUCCAUAUGAGGAUGAUUACAAGAAGCUCAAAAAAUCCUUUGGCAUCAGAUCUGAUCAGAAUAAUCUGACUCUUUCAAAGAGUUAUUCAAUAAAGGUAUAUCUAUGCUUUCUUUUGCUUCCAAGGAAUUAGAAAUUAGUUUUUUUGUCAAAAACAAUUACAACUCGAACUUAAAUUUAAGUACCACACACACACACACACACACACACACAUAUAUAUAUAUACGUACAUAGUGAUUGACAUUUCCAAUUUCAUAAUAUUUAUUCCCUUCUCGCAAUUUCCCCCAAAGAAAUUGCGCAAGGACUGCUUCUAUCACAGCAUACCAGCAAUGGCAGCCCCGGCAUCUCUUGAAAUUGUGGACUCUUGUGAGGUAAUUAAUUAGUCAAAUAUUGCUCAGCUUUAAAGUAAUAUUUGCUAUAUUUAUGUUAUCCACUACUAUAUAUAUAUAUAUAUUAUCUGUACCCAUCAAUCAAUAUCAUGCUAUUUCACUAUGCAAUUGACAAAUAAUAAGUAAUGGAUUAAUUAUGAUCAUGGUUAAUUUUAUUUUCUUUUAUGCAUUCUCUCUACUAUAAUUAAAAAUCAAAAUAUUGUCAAUACAACUAGUUAGUUAGUCAUGAUAUCGUGGGAAUAUAUUCUUCUAUAUUAUCAAACCUGACUUGUUUUAGGCUUCUAAAAAAUUAUUGCAAACAAAAAAAUUAUAAUUAAAAAAAUUAGAAGCAAACUUGAAAGAUUAAAAAAUCAUAAGGGAUGAAAUUGAAAAUUAUUUUUAAUAUGAUAGAAUUAUAGAUUUAAGAAUGAUGGGAUGAAAUAUAAAAAAAUUAUUAAGAGCUAACCCAAUAAAAUCAAACCGAAAAAAAUAAGAAAAAUAAGUAAAAAAUAGAGAAUUAAACAAAAAAAUAAAAAAAAAGAUGAUAAAAAAUAAGACAACAUCAAUUUUUUUUUUUUUACAAAAAGAGUAAAUCUUUUAAUCCUAGUCUAAUAUCUAAAAGUCACAUCCCAUUAAAUUCAUCGACAAAUGAAACUUCCCAGGAAAACGAAGUUCUUAAUUGUUAAAUUAAUGAAAUUGAAAAUGAUUUCCACUCCCUUCAAAUUACUUGUAAUUAACACCACUUCAAAAGUUUGGACAACUCACUUCAUCAAUGGAUAAUGCAUCCAUAUCAGCGCAUUGGUUUUAUUUCAUUAGAUUCCAAGAAGCAGCCAUUCUCCGUAAACUGAUGAGGCCAACCUCUGGACUUGGAGGGAAUGCUCUUAAAAAAACUGGGAAAGCUAUUUGACUUGUGCUUAUCGGCUGGGAAUGAAGAAAGGAAAGUUCAGGCCAGGGAGUCGGGAACUGAACUACCUUUCAUUGUGGGAGAUAAGUUUCCUGUUCUCCUUGAAUGGAUGCGAAGAUUAAUCAAAAGAGAUGGUGGAAUCACGAUUAUAACCGCUUGAGCGAACCACACACAUCGUUAGAAGGCGGUGGAGCAUCUGAUGCGUUCAAGGCAUGUGUUAGCUGCUUUUUUGUUUUAUAUUUUUUAUGCCAAAACUGAAGAUGUACUUUGGACUAAACAAUAUUAUCAAACAAACCAUAAUGAAAUUACAACUAAGCUCCUAAAGCCAAGGUUAAAAAAUUCAAAAUUUAAUUAUUCUAUAAAAUAUAAAAAUACAAAAACACUGCAGAAAGCAUUGAAUUAUUUUAUUCAAGGGUUACAUUAGUAAUUUUUGUGUGUAUUAAAAAAUACAAUUAUCAAAAUAACCUUACACAAUUCUCAAAAGACAUUUAUGUCAUGGUAAAAAGACUAUUUUACCCUCAAAGCAAAGAUAAAAUGACCGAGGGAUGAAAUAAUAAUUAUGAAUAGUAAUUUAUAUCAAGGGCCGUGAGAUUAAGAUUGCGAUGAGGGAUCCUCAUGGUCUAGUGGGUUACUGUAGGGAAUAGUUUCUAGGGUGUUUUAGUUUCCAGUUCUGUUGGGAUAAAUGAAGUUGUUUUGUGCCGGUAAAAACUAAGUUCAUUUCUGAUUGAGUUGUAUAUUGAGCUUUUGUACUGAAGCGCUGGAGUUUAGGCCUCUGGGUUGAUGUUAUAGCAUGCUUGAAUUGUCAUUUAUUUACUAGAAGUUUGAAAUUUUUUUGUGAUAAUGGGAUGAGGACCAUGAGGUUAAGACUGCAAUGAGGGAUGUGUGUGGUUUGGUGUGUUGGUGAAGAUAGGUGCUUCGAUCAGUUUUAGGGAUGCUGGGGAGUGAUUGCUCAUGCUGAAUGGGAUAUGAUUAAAUUUCAAGUUUUGUUGGAUGGAAGGAGUUGCUUUGGGUUGGUGUUAUAGCACUGUUGUCAUUAUUUAUACAACCAUAGACAGUUAUAAUAUUUCCUGGUGUCUUCAAACGUGCCAUUUGUUUUCUAGGCUACCAUGCAACAAAUACUCAUUGUUUCUAAUGUCAACUGAAUACAUGAAAAUAUACAUGAUAUGGAGUCUCUGCUAUGUGAACUCCGAUGGCUGCUAUGUUCAGUAAUAGCGUCCUGUGUGACUGACUGGGAGAGGUUCAUAGUUGGAAGAAAUUUAAUUUGAAGGCUUGGCCUUGAACCAAUAUGAUUGCUAUAACUGGAAAACAUAGAUAUUAGUUCUUUCUAUACCUGAUGAAAUUUGGAUUGAAAACCAACUUUUCAAUUAUGAAGCCUCCUGAUUGCAAUUGCUGUGUGGAAGAUUUGAACUGCUUUGUAACAAUCAAGCCUAUCCUCUAAAUACUAUCCAAUAUGGUCAUGUUCUCAUAUUGAAAAUGUAAUUGAUUGGGACAGAGGCUUUAGAAUUUAUGGUUUAUCAAUAUGCUGCAAUUGUGUAUUUUUAUUUUUGAAUCAAUCGGAGGAUUGGAAUCUAUCAAGUAAGCUUUGUAUGAACUAGCGGUUCUUCCUUUCUUUUGAUAGUAAUCGAGUAUAUUAUAAAUAAGGCGACCCCAUUAAGAAGAUGAGGGCUGCAAUAAGAAAGAUUACAGGGGGAUAUUAAAACAUAAAGAGAGCGAGGAAUUUACAACCCCGACUAGUUAGUCCAGUUCAUGAUACAUUCAGGAUUUCUAUAAAGAUAGGAGCCUGUGUAACUGAAAUUUUUAACACAGGACUUCAACCAAAAGGCCAACCGAUGAAAGGUGAGGUCAAAAAUCACAUCCCAGUCUGGAGUUUUGGAGUCGAAGAUCAUAUUGUUGCGCGCUAUCCAAAUUGACUAGUAUAAUCCUUUACAAAGAAGGGUAAUUGCUUGACGUUGAAAAUUUCCUUUUAACAGGCCGGAUCAUUCCUGAAUGUUAUGAUUUGGGUCUUUUGGCAGACAGCCUAUACCCCAGAGAGACCAAGAUGUAGGACAAAGAUGGAAGAGAUGAUGUAUAGUCUCAAUCUCCUUGCAGCAGAAAGGGCAAAGAGCUUCCUCAUAAUUGAUGAUUCUUCUCUUAGCUAAGAAAUCUUUUGUGCAAACACUGCCGUUUAGGAGAAGCCAUAUGAACACAUCUAUUUUCGAAGGCGAAAACCCUUUCCAAAGCAGAGCAGGGGAGUGAAGGUUUGUUGAAACAAUUAAACCAUCAAGAAGAUGGCACCCUGAGGAGACUGUGUAAACGUUGGAGCUGUGGGAUUUCCAAAUCUUGCUGUCUUCACCAUCAGAGAAGACUAGACCACGUUCCACUUCUGCUAUCAAGCUUUCCCGCAUGCAGAGCUCACGAGAUCGAAGGGGUCUUCUCCAAGAAAGAUUGAUUGAGUUAUCACUUGGGUUAUGAACUUCUGCAAUGCUUAAAGAUAGCUGUAGGGAGAGGUUGUAAAGCCUAGGAAACAUGAACUGGAGAGGGGCUGCGUGGCCUAGCCAGGAAUCAGACCAGAACCUGAUGUUUCUCCCAUCACCCACCUUGAACCCGACAUUGGAUUGGAGGGGAGCGGAUAUGCUGUGAUUUAAGGAAAUUGCAGAUACCAUGCCACGCCAAGUUGGAGAUAAAGAGCCUACAAACACAGGAAGGCCAUUUAUGAAGUAUGGCCGGUGCUUUCGUAGGAUAAGAUCUUGCCAACCUCCUACCACUCUUUUAUCAAGGUUCCAGAGCCAUUUAAACAUUAGAGCCAGAUUUUUGUUGUGAAUAGAACCCAAUCCGAGACCUCCAAGGGGCUUACUCUUUAUUACCUUCUGCCAAGCAACCUUGCAAAUACCAUGUGAAUUUGAGGUACCCUUCCAGAGAAAACAACGAUUGAUGGAGGAUAUAGCCUUUGUAAUGCCCUUUGGCAUAGUAAAAACAGACAUGUAGUAUAGAGGUAGAGAGUUUAAGACAGAUUUAAUAAGACAUAUUCUCCCAGCCAUGCUCAGAAACUUCCCUUUCCAUUUGCUUAACUUUGCUCUGAUUGUUGACAAUACCGGUUUCCAAGUGGAGAGCCUAGUUGGGUUAGCACCAAGAGGCAGCCCAAGGUAUGUGACUGGAAAAGUGUCACUGCGACAAUAAAUUGCGUUAGCCAGACUUAAAGUUUAUUCAUUGUCCAAAUUAAUUCCUAUAAGUGAGCUCUUAUAGAAAUUAACUUUCAGUUCGUAAAUGAUCUCAAACCAGUGAAGGAUCCUCUUGGCAUGCAGAAGAGAGGAAUAAUCAUUUGGCAGGAAAAUCAAAGUGUCAUCUGCAUAUUGCAAAUGGGUUAUGUGAUGCCCUAGAAAAGUCUGCAAGCCUUUGAAGUAACCCGAAUCAGAUGCCCUAUUAAAUAACACCGUUAGCCCCUGAACUGCUAUGUCAAAUAGGAAAUGAGAGAGGGGGUCCCCUUGCCUGAGACCCCUCUUCACACUGAAUUCUCUGUUAGGAGAGCCGUUUAUGAGGAUGGCCAAUUUAGAUGUGGACAAACAUUCAGAAAUUAGUUUCCUCUAAUGAGAGUCGAAACCCAUAUAGCCCAUAGUAGAAUCGAUAUGCUCCCACAAAAUCGAGUCGAAGGCUUUAUGAAAAUCUACCUUUAACAAAAACCUGUGGUCCUUCUUGCUGCGAAUAGCAUGGACAACCUCGUUUGCUAUCAUAAACCCAUCUAGAAUUUGACGCCCAGCAAUGAAAGCAGACUGAUUUACACUUAUCACAUCUGGCAAGACGCUUUUGAGCCUAGUGGACAAUAGUUUUGCCACUAUUUUAUAUAACCCAUGAAUCAAACUAAUCGGCUGAAAUUGGGAGAAUCUGCACGACCCCUUAGUCUUCGGAAUCAAUGUUACAAAGGAUGAGCCAAUCCCCUUUGGUAAUUUACCUGUUCUGAAAAAUUCUAUGACCAUCACAAAGAUGUCGGAGCUGAUAAGAUUCCAUGUCUUUUUAUAGAAGGAGAAGGUGAAUCCGUCAGGACUGGGGGCUUUUGAACCGUCACAAUCCCAUACAGCUUGCUUCAUUUCCUCCAAUGAAGGUAAUCUUUCUAGCCAAACUGAUUUUGCUUCUAAGAUUUUAGAGAAUCCCGAGCCUCUCAUUUCAAUUCUUUUGCAUUGUGGCUUGGCAAACAGAGUUGAGAAGAAGUUGACAACACCCUCUUUGAUGUCAUUUGGAGAGACUAAAAAUGUAUCAUUCAGUUCAAUCUUGCUAAUGUGGUUGCGGCCAUUCCUCAAACUUGCCGAAAGGUGGAAGAAACGGGUGUUUUUAUCCCCCAUUUUACACCAAUUUUGGCGGGAUUUCUGUCUCCAAAUAUCCUCAACCUUCCUGCUAACCUCCCAAAGCUUAGAGUUCAGAUUCUUAAGCUUUGUUUUUUCAUUCUUAGACAAGAGGCGCACCUCGCUUAUAUCUUCGAUGGUUGUGAUGGAGUUCUGAAUGUCUUCAAGUUUUGUAUUUUGAUUACCGAAAGUGGAUUUGUUCCAUUGUCUCAGUUUUUUCCCCAAAGUUCCUAGUUUCUUUACCAAUCUAUAGUCCCCUGGAAAUUCCUUGCAGCUAUCAGAUCAAAGGAUCUGAAAAUCAGCUAAGAAUGAAGGGUGUGACAACCAACAGUUAAGGAAGCGGAAAGGCAAUUCAAAGGCAAACUUCAGAGUGGUGAUGUCUUCCCACAGCUUAGCACGGUCUUGCACAGAAGAUGCAGCAUAUACACCAACUACCAUGCAGUUAAAGGAAGAAUUAACAUGUUUGCCGCUUAAGCUGAUCCAUUGGCCCCUAAAUUCUAUGGAAUUAACCUCAAAGAUAGAGCUAUCCCACAUCACUAUGAUCCCUCCUGAUUUUCCAACAGACUCUAGAAAAGCCCAUUUAACAGUUACAACAUUCCACAAAUUUCUGAUGAAGGAAUCGCAGCAGUUAUCUUUUUUUGUUUCUAAUAGAAAGCAGAUGCCAACAUUACUGUUGAGCAACCUAUUCCGGAUGGAAAAUCAUUUGUUCAACAUACCCAACCCACAACUGUUCCAAGCAAAGAUAUUCAUAGAUAUAGCAAGACCAAGACUGAUCAAACUUAGUAGGGUGAGGAACUUACAGUUGAUUGGCUGAUGUCCCCUCGUCUACUUCUCUGUCAAUGUUCCCCCGAACUCCCGCUUCAUACCCUAUAAGAUCGUGGUAGAUUCCCAAUCCCAGAGCCGCUGCAUCAUGUAACAUUUCCCGAGUCUCCUUGUCUCUAUCAAAACCAUCAGCCUGAUUAUCCUUGUAGGCUGCUUCAAACCGAACAUUUCCUUGCUGAAUUCCUGAAUUGAGGGAAUCAGAAGAGACACCUUUCUCGGUAGUGUUGGCUAAACUACCACUAGCUUGCAACAGUUUCAGUUUCCUUGUUUUGCUUCCUGCAUUUCUGUUGUUUUCUUUGAUCGCUGCUGAGGAGGCCUGCUGGCUGCACUGAGAGCUCAAAGGGCUUGGUAGACUAGUCUGUGCAUCACUGGUCUCUAUAUCCAUGGAGGCAUGAUUUGAGGUUAUAUCUGCAUGUUUAUCAGAAGAUGACUUAAUAGCAGGGGAUGAGCUAUUGUCUUUUAGAUAUGUGUUUCUGUAAGAGUCAGGAGCAACAUUUGGUAAGCCUCUGUUAGCCAAAGCAUGUCUGUUUUUCUUCACUUUCUUCCUUUUUAUGCAUGUAUAUUUAGGGCCAAUUCUUCUGAUUUGUCUAAGCUUCUUCCUUUUUCUUUCCUUUAGUUCCAUAUCCACUACUUCUUGAGGUUCCGCCAGAUCAUCUAUGAAAUCCAAGUAGGAGUUCUGCAAUUGGUUGUGGUCUAAAUUCAAGGUUCUUGUUGUUUUGGAGGAGGACCUUAAAACCUGGGCUGAAGAAGUGUUAGAUAGCCUUGUUCCUUUCACUUGGCCUGUGAUGCCUUUUUUUACAAGGUCCACCCCUGUAACUGAUUGUACUGAGACAUAUGUUUUCCUUUAAUCUGUUAUCAUGUGACAUUGCAGGGGGUGGCUGAUAUGUAUCAUUGUGUAGUUGCUGAUCUAUCUUCUGGAGGUUAUGUGUUUCAUCUAUUUCAAGGAAAAGGCAGGCGUUUUUUGAAAUUGUGUCAGUAUGAUCCCAGUUGUUUGUUGGCCCAGUGUGCCCUUGACAGAAGAUGAGAGAGAAAUCGCUAUCCACAUCCGUCUUUUGUUGCUCUGUUAUAGUAGUGUCUGUUGCACAACGGUCACUGCCAGGGUCAGUAGUCUUUAAGCCCGCUGCCGUAACCUCAUCUGAAGUUGCAAAGUCGCUGCAUGACUCUUCAUCUAAUGUUGCAGUAAUAUCCAUUAAAUGUUUGAUUGUAGACAGUAGGGGACAAAAAUCAGGUUUCAUUUCCAUGAUUGAGAUAUCAAAUUCGUCGCCAUCUAAAACCAGUAAGACAUGCUCAUUUAGAGUUUCAAAGGAAGUUGUGCUCAGCAACACUUUUACUCCCGUGAGGGAUCCUUGGCUCACACUGGUGAUGUCGUAUCCAACCAUCUUCCCUACUUUCUCAAUAAUGGAUUCAAUACAUCUGCGGUUCUAUACUAUCAAAGGUAAUCCCAGUAUAGACACCCACACAAAUCUAUCUGUAGCUUUAGCUCCCUUUUUCCAUGGUUUCAGAUGAGAGAAUGAUGUUUUCAAAACAAAGGAUCCAUUAACCAGCUCUUUCUCCAUAGAUUCUCGAUUUGUAAAGGUAAUGACUGCUUGGUUUGCUUCCAGAAAACGAAAGCCCACUGUCUACCUAAUAUUUGAUAGAACCAUAUGCUCAAGGUGAGCAUAGUCCACGUUUGUGUUUAUGGAUCCCACUAAACUUCUCAGAAGCCAUUCCUUGUCAUCAGGGAUAGACUCAUAGUACACCGUCUUCUUUGGGUGCUUUGUGACAGAGAGAACUUCAACAAAUGUCCGGGAGUCCCUGAAGGUGAGAUUAGGCAUGGCUUUUGGUUGUGGUUUUAUACCAAGGUCUGGUUUUUUCCCCUCUGGAGGUUUUUGAAAUCUGACUGGGUUUGCAUGAAUUUUGUAUGAAUCGAACCAGAUAAGGUUCAAGCUGUCACAAAUUUCUGAUUUUGUUAAGGUGGAGAGGAAGGAAACAAAGUCAAACCGUCUCCCUCGUGAUGUUUUCUUCCUGGAGACAAAAAGAUUGGUAACAUGACUAAUCUUUGAAAGCCUCUUUUUGAGGUCAUGAUAAUCUAACCAUGAUGGGAAACGUUCAAAAAAGAACUUAGAUGGGGCAAAGGCUGGGAUGGUUGUGUUAGAAGGAGGAUUGUUGUUCUGGACGUUUCUGGUUUGGUGCACAGGUGUCGGGAGGCUUAGUGUAACAAGGGGGAUGGAAGGUUGUUGUGGGUGUUUAGGAGGGGGAGGGUAAGGAUCUGUGAACUUGAAAGUUGUUUUGACCGGUAUUUGAGAGGCUAGAUUAUUUAGAGUCUGUAGAGGUGCAGGAGUCUGGUUUGCAGGGGUGAUCGAAGGCUUUUUGGAUGGGAGCAUGUUUGCAGGUAACACCUUUACUUCUCUAUUUGUGGAAAUCAUCUCUGUAAAUUACAUGAGCGUCCAAAACGACUAGUCUAGCUUGUUUUGGAUUUUUACAACAGAGAACUAAGUUUCCCAGCAGUAGCUAGAUGCAGAGCUGUAUUCCCAUCAUUCCUGUGAAUCGAAAUUCCUUGAAGAAACGGAUUUGAUCAUUUGCUAGUAAGACAACUUACCUGGAUAAAGCUGCUUGCUUCCCUUCUCAUCAGAUCUGAUGCUCCUCUAAACUCUCACACCACUAGCUUGUGAUAUAUUUGAACGUAUUGAAAGUAAUAGUAUUUCACAUAGGUUCUGCCUGAAUCAAAGCAUGGCAAGCAAGAGUUGACCACCUAUGUCAUCUCUCUCUCUCUCUCUGAAUCAGACAGCCAUUGAAGUAUCCUUUUUCUUUCUGCUUAUUUGCUAACCUCUUUGUUCAGCAUGUUACGGCCAUGCUUUUGGCAUUUGGCCUGGACUGAGUUCAGUCCAACAGUGUCAAAGUAAUAGUAUUUCACACAGGUUUUGUUGGAAGAAUAAUGGGCAGUAAUGCAAAGUAAAAAAAACUCAAGAACAAGAAGAAAAUUGAGAUGAAGAUAUAUUUUUAUUAAGUAUUUCUCUCUAAACUCUCUUAGUUAUUCUCUCUUUUUACUGGUGGUUCUUCCUCUGCGGAAACCUGAGUUCUUCUCACAUGGGAAACUUCUUGGUCCAUAAAAGGGGAUAUUGUUAUAUGGACCUCUCUGAUAAUUGAAGCAAGGUAGUACUUUGUGAACAUUCUUAACUAAGAUUGAAAAUUCCUAACUUGUCUUAUUGAACAUCUUUAUUAGUAGCAAGAUUUUGUUGGACGCUCUAUUAACUUCGAAAAACAGGGCACCGUAGCUUGCUUAUCUAAUGGGUCUUACUCCGAUGAAUGAGAUUGUGAAAUGGUCAAAAUAUUGGUAUUUUUGUUGCUGUGUGGUAUUUCUAUAUAUCCUGCAUCAUGGAUAUAACUCCAGCCUGCUUUUAUAUUUAUUUGCGAAGUUGACAGUUUUUUGGGGCAGUGUCGUACUACAGAUCAUGAGGCAUUAACCAAUAUGAAGACUGAGUUCAUGGCAUUAUAGGAUGGGUUUACUACAGAUCGUGAGUUCUUACUCUUGAAACAAGUGUUGAAUUUGUGUAGUCUUUUUAUGCAGUGACUUGCUAGAAUGUGUUUUUAUGUAAGAUUUGUGAAAGUGUGAUUUAUUCAUGGGCCUGGCCUGAGUGUACUCCGUGAUACUAUUCUUACAGAGAACGCACAAGAGAUGUUACUUACUGCAACCAACCGACCUUCAGAACUCGAUGAAGCAAUCCUCCGGCGUCUUCCUCAGGUCUUUGAAAUUGGGAUACGUGAUCAAAUAGAGAGGGCUGAGAUCCUGAAGGUUGUUUUGAAAGGGGAGAAAAUCGAAAGCAAAACUGACUUUGACUGCAUAGCAAGUUUGUGGGAGGGGUACAAUGGUUCAGAUCUUCUUGAACCUUGCAAGAAAGCAGCUUAUUUUCCUAUUAGGGACCUAUUGGAUGAGGAGAACAAGGGGAAAAAUCUAGUGUAUGUAUAUAUUUAUCAUCGUGUUGUUGCAUGCUUCCGUCAGUUAUUUUAUAGUAUAUUGAACAAAAUAGUUCUCAUCUGUGAUUUGUUAUAAUCUCAGCUAAUUCUUCAAUGUAUUUUUAUUGAUUUGUAAUAUUUCCAUAGAAAUUCCAUGCAUGCCUGAGGGUGUCAUGGAAAAGUUUUGGUAAUUGUUGCCUGUUGUGCUCUAUCCAAAACCAAUGACUUCUAUUGCAAUGGAUAGAAGAUAGUAUGGUUCCUCAUGAGAACUAGAAGAAAUUAAACAAAGUGUUGUUAUGGACUACAAGGGAUAGCUAUUGGUGUCAAAAAUAUUAUCUUGAGGAUUUUAUCUUUCCAUUGUCUGAGCUUGCUGUGGAUUUUUUAACCCUUUUUUGAGUUUCUUCAUUGUGAUUCUUUCUCAGGCACCAAGGCCAUUGUCCCAGUCAGACUUGCAGAGAGUUCAUGGCACACCAACUAAGAUUAGGGUUGCUGAAAUGAGUACAGUAGGUCAAGCUGACAUUCACCUGGGUGGCCAAGGCAGUCAGAUGAUUAUCAGGUUCAAGCCACAACUAAUGAGCUCUCUAAACUUGUAGUAUCUCAAAUCUUGAAUCUUCAGUCGGAUAUUCAUCUGUUUUUUCUUAAUAUCAGGCCAAGAGAAAUUGUAUUUUAAAUUAUUUUAAUGUUUUUCCUAUUCUGAAAUGUUCUAAGUAGAAUAUGUUGUUUUUAGGCGACUUAGAAUUGCAGAAUCUGUCAGUCAAGUGUUGUUCUUUUAAAUUUAUGGGGAUUGUUUUAAUUCUCUACUAUUUUAAUUCCUAUUACAUACAUGGAUUAUUUUUCAUAGAUGUAACACCCAAUUAACCUUGAAAGUAAAAAAAGAAAAGAAAAGAAAAAAAGUAAAGGGAAUCUAAUACCAUGAAUCUGCCACCCUGGUGUUGUUUCAAUGUCAAAUCCACUCGAUAUCUUGUUUGUACUGCAAAAUUGGAAAGGUAAGACUGAUCAAAUGAAAUAGUAGAGAAAAGAUAGCCUAAUAUAAACUAUGAACAUAAAUUUGAAAACUCAAAUGAUUGCAAAACUUACUUGAAAAUAUCAAUUUAAUUAUUUAGUUUCCUCUAGCACCAUAUCUGCCAACAUUCUUCUUUGUUUUUUUGCUCUUGAGAUUCCAUUUAUCUUCAACCAUCCUAAAAAACCAUGAAGGUUUUUUUGUUCUAAACACAACGUAUCCCGAUGCAACUCCAAACACAAACCCGCAUCCAUACCCAAUUGUCACAGCUUUCCAUCCAAAUCCAUCUCCAACCAAUGUUGAAUCAUCUCCUUCAUCAAAGCUUGAUGGCGGCAAUGAUGGUGCCUCAUCACCGUAGCAUUCUUUCAGUACUUGAAAUCCACAUAAACCCAAGUUUCCUUCAAAUGAGCUUGCAUUAAAGGUGUUGAAUUGCUUUCCACUUGGUAUGGGUCCCUCGAGUUGGUUAUGUGAAAGGUUUAAGAUUGCAAGAAAUGUAAGAACCCCCAGUUGCAUUGGAAUCCUUCCGGUAAGCAAAUUUGAAGAUAGAUCUAAUGAUUCCAAAUUGGUCAAGAUUCCUAAUGAUGAUUGGAUAUAACCUGCAAGGGAAUUAUGAGAGAGAUUGAGUUGUUGGAGUGCUUUAAGCUUUCCGAUCACCUUUGGAAUCUCUUCGGUGAAAUUGUUAUUUGACAAAUCGAGUACUCUGAUGGUACUUUGUAUCUUCGGAAACUCAAUUUCCACACCUUUCCAUGUCAUUUCUAUGGAAUAGACAUAACGAGAGUAAUUUGUUGCAUUCAUGUAAAUCAUGUUUUGAUCUGAGGCCAUCAUUGCUUCAAGACAAUUUAAAAACCCUGUUGGCAAUGGCCCCCUAAAAUCAUUGUCAGAGAUGUCAAAAAUCUGUAAUUCAGAGAAGGAAUUAUAUGUAGUCCGACCCUUCACAAAACCUUGGAGUUUAUUGGAUUUUAGAAUUAGAAUUUGCAGAUGUGGAAGCGUUUCUAGAAAAUAGGGAAAUGUAUCCUCAAUCUUAUUGUUGCCAAGAUCAAGAACUUCCAACAUUGUGCAGUUGAUGAUAGACGAUGAUAUUUUCCCUUGUAAUUCAUUUCCAUUGAGGUUGAGAUAUUCCAAGCUAUUAUCCUUUGAAAAUGUUGAAGGGAUAGCGCCUUGAAGAUUGUUCAUGCCUAGAUGCAAUACUGAGAGGAUGUUGCUGAAGUUCCCCAAACAUGGUGGCGUAGAACCACUCAAGCUGUUGUUGGACAAGUCCAAGACUUGAAGGAAUCUCAGCUUGCAAAUAGAAGAAGAAAUCUCACCUGUCAAUUUACUAUUGGACGCAAGAAUGAGGGCUUCCAAGUUCUCUUGUUUAAAAAUCGAACUUGGGAUUGUACCAUGCAAGUGGUUAUUGCUCAAAUCAAGGUAAGUCAAUGAAUUGUGUUGGAAUUCACUUAUAUUACCUAUGAGAUUAUUGUUAUGAAGGUCAAGAUAAUAUAAAGAAGGAAGAGCAUAUAAAAAGGAUGGUAUUGUUACAUUGAACAAGUUAUCAGAUAAAGCUAGACUCUUUAGAUUUGAAAGGGUAUUUAUUUGAGAAUGGACAGGGCCUACUAGCGGAUUAUCAGAUAAAUCUAAAUCUAAAAGAUGGAUUAGACUACCCCAAGAAUCUGGAACUUGACCCACAAAUUUAUUGGAAUAGAGAUACAAGGAACGAAGCUGUACAAGGUUUCCAAGUGAUGAUGGGAUCUCACCGCCAAAAUUGUUACCUGAGAGGUCUAAAUAGGUAAGCCGUGUGAGAUUACCAAGCAGGGCUAGAUCUGACCUUAUAAUGUUACUUUCACUAAGAGACAUAUAUUCUAAUAACUUUAGAUUACUGAUUAAGUCGUUUUCUAAAUAAACUGAAAUUCUUGUAUUAGAAAGAUCCAACCGCGAGAGGACGUUACUCAAAUUGGACGAAGGAAAAGAGCCAGUGAGGCCGUCAUUGAAUAUCAGAUCAAGUGAUUCAAGGUUUGGGAGGAGAAAGAUGUUACCUGGGAAUUUCCCCUGCAAUCCACAAUCCCCAAGGGAAAGAGAUGACAAAGAAGAGGACAAAUUCGUCAAGGAAUUAGGUUCAACCAAAGACAUAUUUACACUGCCCAAAUCGAGUUGUCUAAGCUUGGUUAGGUUUUGAACAAGCUUGUCAAAACAAAUUGGUUGUAGACUUAGAUCGUAGUUUCUAGAGAGAUCAAGGGAAACCAAUUUGGAGAGAUGAGAGAUUUCCGACGGAACUUGUCCUGCAAAGUCUAAGUAAUUUAGGUUAAGAAGUGUCAGAUUGGAGAACUGGCCAAAUCGAGAAGAAAUAUGGGAGCUAUUGAAAUCAUUGUCAGAAAGGUCAAGCUUUUGAAGAUGAUGGAGAGAGAAGAGGGUGCUAUUGGAAUGGAGGGUGCCAUAAAGCAUGCUGCAAGAGAGGUCCAGUCCAGUGACAUGCCCGGUUUCCAGGUCACAAGUAACCCCAUCCCACAAGCAGCAGUCUGUACCCUCUUUCCAUGACUCUGUCUUGGGAUGGUGGCAAAGCUCCGAAGCAGAACUACUAAUGGAAAAUGAUUCUUUGAAUUGGAGCAAAGAAAGACUUUGAUCAGGAGCACAGAAAUGAGAUGAUGAUAUUGUUGAAAGGAAAUGGAAGAGAAACAGAAUGAAAGAGAGCGACGGUGGUGAAAACCCCAUGGCUGGCCUUACAGGAUUUAGUAGUAUAUUUGGGAGAGAUGAGGAAUGAAGAAAGGCAUUGUUAGCAGUAUUUAUAGACAAACCAAUCUUAGAUUGUAUACUGACAGGAUGUGUAAAACAUCUAAAGACGAAAUUAAAGUUUCCUUAGCUGGGUGCUGACCGACCAUAUCUCAAGAACAAGAGUGAGUGAGUGUUGGAAACGCGGUAAAAUUUGUUCAUGAGCACAUAAUUGUUAGUAUUAAAAACGCAACAGAAACAUAAUAUGAAUAAUAAAAAAUAAAAUAAAAAUAAAAUUGUGCAAAAUAAUGUCCCCCUAAAUUGUUGUUUCUGGAGCGAUGAAAACCAAGGCAAAGUAUUAAUUACGCCAAGCACUAAUGACUUUGCACUUAUAUAUCGUUUUUCGCCACCCAAAAAAGAGCACUGAGUGUUGGAAACACGGCAAGAUUGAGUAAAAUACGUAUUUUUUUUCAGGAUUUAAAAUCAAAUAAAAUAAAGUAGUAGUAGUGGUAGUAGUAGUAAUAAUAAUAAUAAUAAUAAUAAUAAUAAAGGUCACUACUAGAAAAUCAGCGAAAACCAAUGGAAUUACCGACGGACAUUUUACGUCGGUAAUUUUUAUCGACGAAAAUAAUUUUGUCUCUGAUUCUGUCGGUAUAUACCGAAGGACUAAUUUCGUCAACGAUACAGUCGGUAUAUACCGACUGUAUCACUGACGGUGUGAUGACAUGGAUUUUUUUCAGACAGUUUUACCGAUGGAAUGAUCGAGGAAUUCAAACCGAGAUCUCCGUAUAGUGAUGUCGCACAGUCACCGGCAGACUCACCGACAUGUAUACCGAUGGAAACAUUUCAUUGGUGAUUCCAUCAGUAACAACCUAUAUAUAAUUAUAUACCCACUCUGUCGACAUUACUCUCUUCCUCUAUUUCUCCUUCUUUUUCCCCAUCCCAACUGUCCCCUCUCAAACUGAAGCGAACCACCCAUCCCAACUGUCAUCACCCAAUUUUGGGUGAUUCCCCAAAAUUCGUUUUUUUCCCAAAAAAAUAAAAAAUAAAAUAAAAUAAAAAAAUAAAGACUGGCAAUGCGGAGAAAGCCGACCAAGAAAGGCUGCAAAAAUAGGCGAAAAUCAAGCUGCAAUUUUCGGAAGAAUUUCAAGGCCCAAGUGUACGCUGUUAUGCCCAAAAAUAGAAAAAUGCAAAUUCAAAGGUCAAAUUAAAUGAUUAUUGGACGAAUUUGCAUAAGAAUUAAGUCCAAUGACAUAAUUAAAUUUUUAAUGGGCCAAUUUGAUUUAAUCAUGGGCCAAAUUGAAUUUUAAUUAUGUUCAAGAAUUAAUUUGGGUCCAAUUGAAGGAUUUAAUUAAGUGCAAGGACUUAAUUAUACUUUAAGUGGGUCAAAUUAAUUUGAGGGCUUAAUUGGUGAAAAAUUAAGUUUGGAGCUUAAUUUGGACUUAAUUGAAAAAUCAGAAUUUUAAGAUACCCAAUUUAAUUUUUACCAAGUGAAUCGAUUGAAAUCAGGGGCCAAACACAAAACUUGAGGGACCAAUUUUGAAGCCCGAAAAACUAUUUUGCCUAUAAAUAGCCUUCAUUUUCAGCCAAGCAGAGGGGGGGCAAUUUUGACAACAUAGAAAAAAAUACAAAAAAAACCUAACCCUAAAAAACUUAAUCUUCUUCUUCCUGCAGCCGCCCCCCCCCCCCCCCCGGUUGAAAAUUUUCUCCCCUCUCUCAGCCGCACACAACCCCCCGAUGGUCUCCAUUUUCCCCUCAAACCGGUGCCAUCCUUUCUUCCUUCUAUCACACCGCCGGUCCCUCUCUGUCUCCCUUCCUCACACACUGCCAAGCUGGCCAUUACAACUCAAACAACCCACAUCAACCUCCUACAGAGCAGCCGUCCCAACUCAGCUUCUUUUCCCUCUCAGUUGCAGGAGCAAGGGACGAACGGAGUGGAGACCCAGCUCCCUCCUCACUUCGCCUCAGCAGCAGCGUCUCCUCAUCACAGCGCCGCCGUCUCUAGCUCCUUCUCCACGCACGGCUACACCCAACCGAGACCCAGCUCCUCCAUAUCAACGGAUCCUCUUCUCCUUCGGUCUCCUCGUCGCCUCCUUCUUUGGUUGAGCAGCGCCGGCUCCAGCCUCCCCCUUAGCAGUGGCCGCGGCAGCAGCAACCCACCGCCGGGUCUCCCUCAACCGACUCAGCAGCUGCUCCCACUCCAGUUUUCCCAGACCGUCUCGUUCUCUUUUUCUUCCAGCGGCGGCGGCAGCAGCCAGCCACCUCGUCGCCUCCUUCAAUCAGCGUCACCGACCGGACAAACGCUCCCUCUCUCCAUCGCAGCUCCAAAACUACAGACGACAACCGUGCCAGAUCUGUCACCGGAGCAAACCAUAACUAAAAAAAGGAAUUAAGAACAGAUCUGAAACAAGAAAAAAAGAUUAAAACCCACUGCUUUUUUGUUGUGAUUGUGUGUUUUUUUUUGCUUCCUGUGCAGGAGACGGUGGGCGUCACCACCAACAGAGAAGAGGAGGAGGUACCCGAUCCACUGGUUUUGGUCUCCAUCUGCGGUGGCGCGUGAUCCCACGCGCCGUCUGUGAUGGUGGUGCGUUGGAACACGCGCCACCAGUGUUCCUGUGCACUGUUCUGGCUGCAGAAGGGUUCCCUUGCAAUUUUUGGAGUUUUAAGGACCAUUUUGUAAAUUUGAAAUUAUUUUAUGUAAUUUUUAUUUAUUUUUGAAUAUUGUAAUUUGUAUUGUGGAUGUAAAAAAAAAGAAGAAAAAGAAAAAAGAAGAAAAAGAAAAAAAGAAAAAGAAGAAAAAAUAAAAAGUGUGUGUAUGUGUUUGUAUUUUUUUUUAUUAUGUUAUUGAAUUAUAAAAAAACAAGAAAACAAAAAAACAAAAAAAUGCAUGUUUGUGUUUAUUUCAGGGAUCCUUUUAUAAUGAGAUGGCAAAAGAAUAAAGAAGGAUUUAAUAUUUUGAUUGGAUCACGGUGUAGAAGUACAAACUUGUACGAAAGUUGUAUUUCUAAAUUCCGAUGAAAAGAGAAAAUUUUUAAAACUUCUUUGACACAUCAUAACCACAAAACAGCUUAUCUCAGGUAGGGUGUGUUAGGGGUGCUAACACCUUCCCUAACCACAAUCAGUCCCUUACCCGCGAAUCUCUGACAAGACCAGUCAAUCUGGGUUUCCUAGUAACCCUCAAUUAAAUUCUAGGUGGCGACUCCUAACAAAAUCAAUUCCAAUAACAGAGAGAAAAACCGCCAUCGCCAGGAAGCGGACGCCGCGCGGGGUUUUCCGACGUGCGACAGAAUGGCGACUCCACUGGGGAGGUAUUGUUUCUAACAAUAUUGGACUAAGCUUUAUGUAUUUGAUGUGUUUAAAUUUUGCCACUUUUGUCUUGUUUUAUUUUAUCCAUGCAUUUUUAGAAGUGUUUCAUGCAUCACUUGUAUUUAUUUUUGAAAGCACACACAAGCUUCUAAGUUAGGUGGGGAGUAGCGGUCUGCCCCAUGACUUUCAGUCGGGGUUCAGAUUUGUGAAACAUCCAACUAUGAGUUGAGUGUUUACUCGGUAAUGGCGGUCACAGGGUGCCCCACCCAUUCCUUGUAAACUCCUAUACUGCCUUCACGAGAGGUGGUCACUGGGCAGCUCAUAGACCCUUUUGAGACCAGGUAGAAAACCCACCCAUGUUCACAUAAUGAAUAGAACCUGUCCUGAGGUUGUAUGUGCUAUCAUUUAUCUGCAUUGGGGCGAACCCUUCUUGAAGCAUCUUGAAUUCAAGACUUGUGGGUGACAAAAUGAUCGUCACUCCGAAAAUUUUCAUUGUAGAGUUUGGGCAAGAAUCAAGAUUCUUGUUUCAUCAUACAAAAGUGACGAUCAUAUGUCACCCCUCGAAGGGCAAGUUCAUCAUAUAGAUUGCAUGUUCAUAUAUUUUUUCAUGCAUGCACCAGAAUAAAAGGUGGGUCCCCUAUGAGUCUGCAACACCCAAUUUUGAGCGAAAAACAUGGGAGAUAAAAAACGUGCUCCUCGCAGCACUCAUAUUCAAAAAGAGUUGGAGUCUCUGAACAAAAGCUUGACUUGCCUCUAGCUUACUCGAGCAAAAACUGAUUCCUUCCAACUGACCUAUCAUCUUUGUUCAAACCCCAACAACAACUCAACCCAAAGAAACUGGGGGGCAAACAUGAUCAAAAGCCUCAACACAAUCUGAAGGGGAAUUGCAUCGCAGAAUGGAGCCAGUUUUUGUUCUGCUAAAAAAAAAAAAAAAGUUACUCCUGCCUGAUCAUGCCUGCAAAAAUUUCUUGAUUUUUUUUCAACCUAUUCCAAUUUUUGUUGGUAAUUUGGCUCAAAAUUCCACAAGAUUUUCCUUGUCCAAUGAGCCUUUCCUGUUAAUAAAACAUGUUUUUUCUUUUUUUGUGUUCAUGCAAAUAACAUAUUGAGCACACCUUUGUACUUAUAAACCAUCGCACCAAGAAUCCUUUGGUGUUUUUCCCUUUUUCCCAAAACAACAAGCAUGACCCCAUGUUUUCAUAAGGAUUUUUGGGAAAUCAAAGUUUAGUACAAAAACAGAAAUCAUAUUGGUGUUUGUCCGAAACAAAUGAGUUCUGAAAAUUCAGGUGAUUCCUUAGAGAGGUAACCAUACACCUAAAACACAAAAAAAAACACCAUGAAGUGACUCUAAAGCUAAGUUUUAUUUGCAUGAAUAAUGAGAAAUCACUCUGCAUACUCGCAUGAAAGCAAGGCUUACCGAUCCUAAAUGCAUGCAUUUGAGAUGAAGAAAGACCAUUUUUGAUAAUCCUUUCACAAGGCUGAAAUAUAUCCUUUGCAGUCCCCUUUUGAGCCUAAUAAAUUUUUCUUGAAAAAAAUAACCUUGACUAGGAUCACACCCUACACUAGGGGGCAAGUGCCAAAAAAAAAAUCCUUAAUGAUUGAAAGUGCCCAAAUACCUCUUGGGGGCAUGAAAAAUUCAUCAAUGAUUGAAAGUGCCCAGACAAUACUGGGGGGCAUAAAAGAAAAUUCUCAAUCAUCGAAGGUGCCCAUGCAAAGCUGGGGGGCAUAAAAAAAUCCAAAGGAUCCAAAUUUCUGAGCAUAAAAAAAAAAAAAAGCCCAGCACUGGGGGGCACCGUGGACCAUUUUACAAGUCAAUUCCAAGAUCCAAAAAUGUAUGAGCAAAAAUGUUUGGGAUACAAGCACUAGUGGUCCUUAGUCUUAAAGUCCCUUAAACACCUUUUGAGCCUAUAAAUAUCCUUUUCUUCAUAGCCAAUAGCCCAAGCCUACAUUACGUGCCUAAUCAAGCCCUUUCUAAUCAAAGGCAGGCAAUCUGGAUUGGUAGGCAGUGCUUUCUCAUGCGAAACAAAAUCAUUAUUCAUGCAAAUAAAAUGAAUGCUUUGAAAACGGUUCUCAAUGACCCUCAAAUUGAAAUUUAAACCUUUUUGUGACCAACCAGAUGUCACUUCGUGUUCUUGACGUUUUCGUCGAAACAUGGUUCUCAUUAACCCUCAAAUUGAAAUUUCAACCUUUUGUGACCAACCAAAUGUCACUUCAUAUUUUUCACCAAAAUCAAAACAAAAAGUUUUCAUCACAUCUGAAAACCUCUCCAUAGGAAUUACAUGAAUUUCCUUAGAAUGAGUUUGCUUUGAAUCAAUGUCAAAAUGAUUUUUGCGUCUGGAAUAGCUUUGAAAUUCUAAAAAUUCUACAUGAAAACAACUCUUUGUAAAUAACCAAACCUUCCUUCAUAUAGCCUCAUCCCCAAACCUGAUUUGAAUACUUGGGGGCAUGAUCAAGUUGGAGGGCAAUCAAAAGCAUCUGGUAGAGUUGGCUCCAUGAUUCCCUUCCUAGGAAAAAUGUCGGGCAAAAUUGGCAACCCUUGAGAUAAAGGGGCGGAGGACAAAGAAGUAUGACGAUAUCAAGUCUUUCCCAGGGGGUCAAUAUCACAAGAGAUAACUCGAGUAAGCAAGAGCGAAAAGAGCCAUCGAAGCUUACUAUCAGAGACUCAAACUUUUGAGAAAAUGAGAACUCUAUGAAGAAAAGAGAACUCCAUGUAGAAAAGGGAACUCCAUGAAGAAAGGGGACCUACACUUCUCAGGUAAGUAUACAUGCAUAUUGAUCAUGAUACAUUGCUUUCAUCCUUGACAUAUCAGUGUCUCACCAUCACCUCUUGAUUGAGCGGGCUGUUAAGCCCUCAACAUUUAGAUAGUAUGCUUUCUAGCCCUAUCUACCUUCCUUUUUAGUGGGCCUUCGAGCCCUCACACCUUAGGUAGUGUGUUUUCUAACCUUGCCUCCAUUUUUGAGUGGGCUUUCAAGCCCUCACAUCUUAGGUAGUGUGCUUUCAAGCCCUAUCUACCUCCCUUUUUAGUGGGCCUUCGAGCCCUCACACCUUAGGUAGAGUGUUUUCUAACCUUGCCUCCUUUUUGAGUGGGCCUUCGAGCCCUCACACCUUAGGUAGUGUGUUUUCUAACCUUGCCUCCAUUUUUGAGUGGGCUUUCGAGCCCUCACAUCUUAGGUAGUGUGUUUUCUAACCUUGCCUCCAUUUUUGAGUGGGCUUUCGAGCCCUCACACCUUAGAUAGAAUGCUUUCUAGCCCUAUCUAUCUUCUUUUUUAGUGGGCCUUCGAGCCCUCACACCUUAGGUAAUGUGUUUUCUAACCAUGCCUCCAUUUUUGAGUGGGCCUUCGAGCCCUCACACCUCUAGGUAGUGUGUUUUCUAACCAUACCUCCUUUUAAGUGGGCCUUCGAGCCCUCACACCUUAGGUAGUGUGUUUUCUAACCAUGCCUCCAUUUUUGAGUGGGCUUUCGAGCCCUCACACCUUAGGUAGUGUGUUUUCUAACCCUGCCUCCUUUUUGAGUGGGCUUUCGAGCCCUCACAUCUUAGGUAGUGUGCUUUCAAGCCCUAUCUACCUUCUUUUUAGUGUGCCUUCGAGCCCUCACACCUUAGGUAGUGUGUUUUCCAACCCUGCCUCCUUUUUUAGUGCCUCUUCGAGCCACCAACCACCUUAGGUAGUGUGUUUUCUAACCAUGCCUCCUCUUUUUGAGUGUGCCUUCGAGCCCUUACCUGUUAGGUAGUGUGUUUCCUAACCCUGCCUCCUUUUUAAGUGCGCCUUAGGGCCAACAACCAUCUUAAGUAGUGUGUUUCCUAACUCUGCCUCCUUUUUAGUGCGCCUUAGGGCCGUCAACCAUCGUAGGUAGUGUGUUGUCCAACCCUGCCUCCUUCUUAGUGCGCCUUAGGGCCAUGAACCACCUUAGGUAGUGUGUUUUCUAACCCUGCCUCCUCUUUUGAGUGUGCCUUCGAGCCCUUACCUGUUAGGUAGUGUGUUUCCUAACCCUGCCUCAUUUUUAAGUGCGCCUUAGGGCCAACAACCAUCUUAGGUAGUGUGUUUCCCAACCCUGCCUCCUUCUUAGUGCGCCUUAGGGCCAUCAACCACCUUAGGUAGUGUGUUUUCCAACCCUGCCUCUUUUUAGUGCGCCUUAGGGCCAUCAACCAUCUUAGAUAGUGUGUUUUCCAACCAUGCCUCCUUUUUAGUGCCUCUUCAAGCCCUUAACCACCUUAGGUAGUGUGUUUUCCAACCCUGCCUCUUUUUAAGUGCGCCUUAGGGCCAUCGACCACCUUAGGUAGUGUGUUUUCCAACCCUGCCUCUUUUUAAGUGCGCCUUAGGGCCAUCGACCAUCUUAGGUAGUGUGUUUUCUAACCCUGCCUCCCUUUUUGGUGCUCCUUCGAGUCCUAACCUUUUAGGUAGUGUCUUUCUAACCCUACCUCCCUUUGAGUGUGCUUUCUAGCCCUCAAGAGGAUUCAUCAUUCCUCAAUUAGAUGAGUCAAUCAUAUCUCAUCCUUUUUUUUUCUUCUUUACAACGCUUACUAUCUAAAGUCUCGUAGAGACUUUCUACAAUAAGCAUUGUAAAGAGGGGGGCAACUGUCAUCACCCAAUUUUGGGUGAUUCCCCAAAAUUCGUUUUUUUCCCAAAAAAAUAAAAAAUAAAAUAAAAUAAAAAAAUAAAGACUGGCAAUGCGGAGAAAGCCGACCAAGAAAGGCUGCAAAAAUAGGCGAAAAUCAAGCUGCAAUUUUCGGAAGAAUUUCAAGGCCCAAGUGUACGCUGUUAUGCCCAAAAAUAGUAAAAUGCAAAUUCAAAGGUCAAAUUAAAUGAUUAUUGGACGAAUUUGCAUAAGAAUUAAGUCCAAUGACAUAAUUAAAUUUUUAAUGGGCCAAUUUGAUUUAAUCAUGGGCCAAAUUGAAUUUUAAUUAUGUUCAAGAAUUAAUUUGGGUCCAAUUGAAGGAUUUAAUUAAGUGCAAGGACUUAAUUAUACUUUAAGUGGGUCAAAUUAAUUUGAGGGCUUAAUUGGUGAAAAAUUAAGUUUGGAGCUUAAUUUGGACUUAAUUGAAAAAUCAGAAUUUUAAGAUACCCAAUUUAAUUUUUACCAAGUGAAUCGAUUGAAAUCAGGGGCCAAACACAAAACUUGAGGGACCAAUUUUGAAGCCCGAAAAACUAUUUUGCCUAUAAAUAGCCUUCAUUUUCAGCCAAGCAGAGGGGGGGCAAUUUUGACAACAUAGAAAAAAAUACAAAAAAAACCUAACCCUAAAAAACUUAAUCUUCUUCUUCCUGCAGCCGCCCCCCCCCCCGGUUGAAAAUUUUCUCCCCUCUCUCAGCCGCACACAACCCCCCGAUGGUCUCCAUUUUUCCCUCAAACCGGUGCCAUCCUUUCUUCCUUCUAUCACACCGCCGGUCCCUCUCUGUCUCCCUUCCUCACACACUGCCAAGCUGGCCAUUACAACUCAAACAACCCACAUCAACCUCCUACAGAGCAGCCGUCCCAACUCAGCUUCUUUUCCCUCUCAGUUGCAGGAGCAAGGGACGAACGGAGUGGAGACCCAGCUCCCUCCUCACUUCGCUUCAGCAGCAGCGUCUCCUCAUCACAGCGCCGCCGUCUCUAGCUCCUUCUCCACGCACGGCUACACCCAACCGAGACCCAGCUCCUCCAUAUCAACGGAUCCUCUUCUCCUUCGGUCUCCUCGUCGCCUCCUUCUUCGGCUGAGCAGCGCCGGCUCCAGCCUCCCCCUUAGCAGUGGCCGCGGCAGCAGCAACCCACCGCCGGGUCUCCCUCAACCGACUCAGCAGCUGCUCCCACUCCAGUUUUCCCAGACCGUCUCGUUCUCUUUUUCUUCCAGCGGCGGCGGCAGCAGCCAGCCACCUCGUCGCCUCCUUCAAUCAGCGUCGCCGACCGGACAAACACUCCCUCUCUCCACCGCAGCUCCAAAACUACAGACGACAACCGUGCCAGAUCUGUCACCGGAGCAAACCAUAACUAAAAAAAGGAAUUAAGAACAGAUCUGAAACAAGAAAAAAAGAUUAAAACCCACUGCUUUUUUGUUGUGAUUGUGUGUUUUUUUUUUGCUUCCUGUGCAGGAGACGGUGGGCGUCACCACCAACAGAGAAGAGGAGGAGGUACCCGAUCCACUGGUUUUGGUCUCCAUCUGCGGUGGCGCGUGAUCCCACGCGCCGUCUGUGACGGUGGUGCGUUGGAACACGCGCCACCAGUGUUCCUGUGCACUGUUCCGGCUGCAGAAGGGUUCCCUUGCAAUUUUUGGAGUUUUAAGGACCAUUUUGUAAAUUUGAAAUUAUUUUAUGUAAUUUUUAUUUAUUUUUUAAUAUUGUAAUUUGUAUUAUGGAUGUAAAAAAAAAGAAGAAAAAGAAAAAAGAAGAAAAAGAAAAAAAGAAAAAGAAGAAAAAAUAAAAAGUGUGUGUAUGUGUUUGUAUUUUUUUUUUAUUAUGUUAUUGAAUUAUAAAAAAACAAGAAAACAAAAAAACAAAAAAAUGCAUGUUUGUGUUUAUUUCAGGGAUCCUUUUAUAAUGAGAUGGCAAAAGAAUAAAGAAGGAUUUAAUAUUUUGAUUGGAUCACGGUGUAGAAGUACAAACUUGUACGAAAGUUGUAUUUCUAAAUUCCGAUGAAAAGACAAAAUUUUUAAAACUUCUUUGACACAUCAUAACCACAAAGCAGCUUAUCUCAGGUAGGGUGUGUUAGGGGUGCUAACACCUUCCCUAACCACAAUCAGUCCCUUACCCGCGAAUCUCUGACAAGACCAGUCAAUUUGGAUUUCCUAGUAACCCUCAAUUAAAUACUAGGUGGCGACUCCUAACAAAAUCAAUUCCAAUAACAGAGAGAAAAACCGCCAUCGCCAGGAAGCGGACGCCGCGCGGGGUUUUCCGACGUGCGACACCAACCCUCCCCCUCUUCUCAACACAAGCAACUCAAGUUUCUUAUACUUUCGUAUGUGGUCACAACAUCCGUUCUCCGAGCAAUUUAUUGUGGAUUUUAUCAUUUUUUAUAAGUAAAUCUAUCCUUUUUUGUUUUAACAUUUAAAUGUCAAUUUUAUUGUUUUUUAGUAUAUGUAUUUUGUUAAUGUAUGUACUUGUUUGAUUGUUAUUUCUCAAAGAAACUUGUAUUAUGAAUGCAUAAUUUUGUAGUUGUUAUAGUUUGUUUUAGAUUUUGUCAAAUUUUAUUUGUUUGUAAAUUGUUAAAACUUUGUUUGAAUUACACCGAAUUAGAUGUGUUGUGAUGAAAUAAAUAAUAGCUUGUUUCACAGGUCCGUUUUAAUUUUUAUCAAUUCUAUUGCGAAGUUGUGAUUUCCAUAAAUUUAUAUAUGUAUAAAUUUGUAUGGACGUUGAUAAUUGAUAAUUGAUAAUGAAUAUUUAACAUAAGUGUUUUUCUAGUUUGUUGAAUAAUGUCGGGGCAAACCAAUAUUUUUUAAAUUUAUUUACGUAACAUAGUUAAUUAAUACAUGUUGUCAUCAUAAUUUUAUAGAAGUUCGAUAGAAGUCAUGGAUGAUCAUUCAUGGAUGUAUCGGGACUCAUCUCAAGGAUUGCAAAGCAUGGAUUAUUGUAAAGGGGUUCAGGGUUUUAUUAAUUUUGCAACAUCUAUUCCAAGAAAUUUUACUAAUAGCAGUAUUAGGUGUCCACGCAGGAAGUGUAAAAAUAAAAAGUUUCUAUAUCAAGAUGUUGUAACGAUGCAUCUUCUAACCAAAGGGUUCAUGGAGGAUUACCUGUGUUGGUAUGCACACGGAGAACUAUUUGUUUAUAAUGAGAGCAUGGUAGAAAAGGUGGUUGAGUCAACUUCUAGUGCUAGCAAUAUGCAUGAAGUUGGAAAUGACAACAUUAAUCCUUACAAAAAUAUGGUUAUGGAUGCAAUGAGAAUGAGUGAAGGUAAUGUCAGUGAAUGUCCAAUCGUAGAAGAAGAACCUAAUGCAGAUGUAGCAAGGUUUUUUGAUCUGUUGAAAGAUUAUGAUGAAAUAUUAUGGGAUGGCUGCAUGAACCAUAGUAAAUUAUCAGCCGUAGCACAGGUGUUCACCAUCAAGUCAGAUCACGGGUUGAGUGAGGCCAGUUAUGACAAGAUUAUCAAAUGGGCGAGAAGCAUUUUACCUGAAGGGAACAUGCAGAAAGAGAACUUCUAUGCUGCAAAGUCUAUGAUGAAACCCCUCAGUUUAGGAUACCAGAAAAUUAACAUGUGCCCUAACUUCUGCAUAUUAUACUAUCUUGAAAAUGCUGAGGUGACCGAGUGCAUGACAUGUGGGCAUUCCCGUUACAAACCCAGAACUGGUAGGAGAAAGACUCUCGUGGCAUAUAAAAAAUUUAGAUACUUCCCAAUCACACCUAGACUGCAGAGGUUAUUCAUGUCACCAAGAACUGUUGAGCAUAUGACAUGGCACCAAUCACAUCAUGCGGUUGAUGAAGUGAUGGUGCAUCCUUCUGAUGGCGAAGCAUGAAAACACUUUAAUAAUGUGCAUCCUCACUUUUUAGAUGAAUCAAGGAACGCGCGUCUUGGGUUAUGUACAGACGGAUUCAACCCAUUCGGGUCAUUUGCUGCUCCUUAUUCUUAUUGUCUGGUCAUACUGACGGUUUAUAACUUGCCAUCGGGGAUGUGUAUGAGGUCGGAGUUCAUGUUUUUAUCUAUGGUCAUACCAGGUACAAGUAGUCCUGGUCCGAAUAUACAUGUUUGUCUUCAACCGUUGAUUGAUGAGUUGACGCAGUUGUGAUCCUUUAGAGCUUUGACUUAUGAUAUCUGGAGGAAACAAAAUAUUGUUAUGAGAGCGGCUUCGAUGUGGACUAUCAAUGAUUUCUCAGCUUAUGGAAUGGUUUCUGAUUGGAGCACACAUGAAAAACUAGCAUGUCCAUAUUGUAUAGAGAACAACAAGGCAUUUACGCUAACAAAUGGGGAUAAAGAUUUUUUUUUACUGUCACUGUCGUUUCUUGCCACUGAAUCACAAGUACAGAAAGAAAAGAAAGGAUUUCUUUGUUAGCAGAGUUGAAAAUGAUGCUGCACCCCCACGUCUUCUUGUUGAAGAAUUGCAUGAUGUUGUGUCAGAGUACAGUGACAUUGUGUUUGGUCUCCCAUCAGGUAAGCAGAAGUUUCCUGGUUUUGGUUUGACCCAUAAUUGGGUUAAGCGAAGUAUCUUUUGGGAGCUUCCUUAUUGGAAGACCAAUCUUCUCCGUCAUAACCUUGACGUCAUGCAUAUUGAAAAGAACGUGUUUGAGAACAUUUUCAACACUGUCAUAGUGAAGGGGAAGACAAAGGACAACAUCAAGGCUAGAUUGGAUUUAACAUUGUUCUAUAAUCGUAAAAAUAUGAAGUUGGUUUGUGAUGGGUCACGGGUCGCAAAGCCAAGAGCAAGCUUCAUGUUAGAGAAAAACGCACAAUUACUAGUUUACAAAUGGCUUAAGAGUCUGCGUUUUCCCGAUGGACAUGCCUCGAACAUAUCAAGGCUGGUUAAUACAGAGGAAUGUAGAUUGUAUGGAAUGAAGAGUCAUGAUUGCCAUGUGUUUAUGCAAACACUCAUCCCAUUAGCUUUUCACGAUUUGUUGCCAAAGGGAAUAUGGGAUGCACUCGCAGAGAUCAGUCAUUUCUUCAGAGAUAUAUGCUCUAGCAAGUUGAAUGUUGAUCACAUUGAAAGGCUUGAACCGAAUAUUAUUGAGACAAUAUGCAAACUUGAGUUGAUAUUCCCUCCAUCAUUUUUUGAAUCAAUGGAGCAUGUACUCGUACAUUUACCGUUUGAGGUAAAAGUUGGAGGACUGGUCCAGUAUAGAUGGAUGUAUCCAUUCGAGAGGUUAGAUAUUACAGUUGCUAUGUAAUUCAUAAUUAAACAUUUUUUUAUUUUUUUAAUUGAUAAUUUUUUAUUAAUUCUAUAUAUGCAGGUACUUGUUCAAUCUUAAAAAAAAGGUUAAGAACAAGGCACAUGUUAAGGCGUCAAUAUAUGAGGCAUAUAUUGUUGAGGAGAUCUCAACAUUUAUCUCAUGCUAUUUCGAACCUCAUUUGAGAACGAGGAUCAACCGUGUUUCACAACAUGAUGAUGGUGGUGAAGUGCCUUCAAGUGGGAACUUGACAAUAUUCUCCAAUCCUAGAAGACCCACGCCUAAAAAUGUCGUAAGGGGAAGAUAUUUGUCUGAAAUAGAGUUCAGAUAAGUACACAAUUAUGUCUUAUUUAACUGUGAUGAGCUGAGACCUUUUAUUAAGUAAGUAGAUGUUCGACUUAAACUUUGUCAAGAGUGUACUAUUUAUAUAUUGUGAUAUCAUAAACUCAUAUAAUUUGGAACAACCUUGUAAGCAACAUCGACGAUACUUACUGUCCAAUAACUCACAGUUGACCGAAUCCCAGAUCUUUCAAUUACAAGAUGAACAAUUUGCCACAUGGUUUAGAACACAUGUAAGUUCUAUCACAAACUCGAUUAACUGUACGUCAAUAUUACAGAAUAUCCAUUUAUUUAUUAUUGUUGUAUUUGAUAUACAAGGUUUAUCAAAUGGGAAGGAGUGUUGCUAUUUUACUGUCUUUACUAAGCAUGGGCCCUGAAAGAAAAAUCAAGUGCUAUAACGGGUAUUUUGUCAAUGGAUAUAUCUUUCAUACUGAAGAAUACAAGUAUGAAAGAAAGACAUACAACAAUGAUGUUUGUAUUAAGGGAUCGACUUUUAGUGAGUUUAAAGUUGACUACUACGGUAGAUUGGAAAAGGUCAUCGAACUGCAAUAUCAUAAUGAAUAGAAUAGAGCGUUUUUAUUCAAAUGCUAUUGGUGUGACAUAAUUGACAGAGGAAUCAGAGUAGAUCCUCACUGUGGUCUCAUUGAAAUCAACUCAAAAGCUAGACACCGCAACAUAAACGAUGUCUUUGUUUUCACAAAGCAAUGCCAACAAGUUUAUUACACAUACACCCCUUCCUUUAGAAAGGAUCAAUCAAGAGUUGAUUGGUUAUCCGUUUUAAAACCCAAACCCAGGGUUCGUGUCGAGGUUGUUCACGAUGAGAACGAAGACAUAAGUGUGAUAGAUGAAGUCUUUCAAGGUAGUGAGUUGGUUGAACCAAUCCAAGUUGCUCCGUCAAUUGACUUAGAAGAAAAUUCUAAUUUUCAUGUUUUAGAUGAUAGUCUUGUUGAUGUUGACGCAGAGGAGUUGAAUGCUGUUUUGAACUCUAGUGAACUAGAGAAUGUUGAAGAAGAAGAUGAUAACCACAUUGAAGAGUGCGAUGAAGCUGAUAACAAUUCCAUUGAGGAUGAAGAUGAAAAUUCUGACUAAAUAUGUUGUAAAGCCUUUUUUUUAUAACUUAAUAUUAUGGAUGAUAUUUUGGAAUAUGAAAUAUUUCUUUUAUAAUUGUUUGCUCUUGUUAUUGUGUUGUGCGUGCUGUAAGCUUGCAAUUCAAAUUUUUGUGGAGGAGGAUAGACAGCAGUACAAUCAAAACAUGCAAAAAAAUUACAGUAUUUUACCACAAUCACCGACAGUAAUACCGACGGAAUGUGACCCGUCGGUAUUUCAUAGAGAAUUGCAAAAAAAUUACAGCAUUUUGCAAUGGUGUACUUGAAAGUUGAAAUGAUGAACGAAGUUUAUGCUCGAAACCAAACUUGGAUAAAUAUGUUUAUCAUCCAUGCUAACUUUUUAUUUGUUAUAACUUUGAAUGUUUAGACAUGCUUCUUCAUGGUAUGUCUACUCUUUCAGAAUAACUUGUUCAGAAUUAAAACUACUUUAAGAUCAAGAGAGAGAGAGCGCAAACAAAGAAAAACAGUCUUUUCCUCGACGUUUGAAUUGGAGCAGAGAAAUUUGAGGAGAAGGAUCGAUGAUUAAAUGGAAAUGAGAAAUUGAGUGAGGGAUAAUGAAUAAAAAAUAAAGGAGGACGUAGACUUAGCUUUCUUGACUCAAAACUCAGCAGGACCAAAAAUUAUAUAUAUAUGCAAAAUAAUGCAGCCCUAAUUAAUGACUUUGCCUGUUAUAUCUAUAUUUUCAUGAUCCAAAAGUCUUCAUUGACGAGACUAGGAAUGGGAACACCACAGUAUUGAUUUACAUCAUAGUUAAUUAAUUGGUGUUUCAAGGGGUACUGAUUUUUCUUAUUCAUAUUAAAAAUAAUAAAUAGUCAUUUGACAAGUGUUGAUCAGAGUACAAAUAAUCGAGAAUAAUUAAGUGAUAAAUACAAUUAAAAUUAUAGAGAUUAAAUGUCAUAACAAUUUUACUUUUCUCAUCGUGGCAGGCAAGAACAGAAAGUAGCCAAACAGCCAAGUUAUAACCCAUCAAUUAUUGCUGUUCCUUCAUGGGAUUCAUCCUUCUCACCAUCUUUAGCAUGUCUGUGGAGGCUGAUGACCUCAUUUGGAAAAAGUGUUUUUGCAACAAAGCAUUUUUACAAGUUAUGGAAUAAGGUGACACUACCAGAAAUUCGACUAAAACCAAUGGAAUUACCGAUAGACUUUUUCUCUCGGUCAUUUGCGGCGAUAUUUCCCAACGGAUGUAAAUCCAUUAAUAUUACAGACAGAAUAUAUAGAAUUUUGAAGAAAAAAAACAGUGUGAUGACAUGGAAGUUUUUGCGGAUGAUUUUAUCGAUGGAAUUACCGAGGGAUUCAAACUGGGAUCUUCAUACAGUGACAUGACCUCUUCACAGGCAGAAUUGUCAAUGGAAUCACUGAUGGAAAUAUGUCGUUAGUGAUUCCAUCAGUAAAGGUUAAUAUAUCACCACGCUACCGACCCUCCCCUCCCCUCUCCUAUUUCUCCUUCUUCUUCCCCACCCCUGCAACUAAACAAACUCUCCCCUCCCAAACUACAAGUAACCACCCUCCAAAACAUCCCUCACUUCUCAAUACAAUUCAUCCUUCUUUAUUUUUUUAGUCACAGCAUCCGUAUUCUGAUUUAUUGUGGAUUUUGUUAUUUUUUUAAAGUAAAUCUCUCUUUUUUAAUUUUAACACUAAAAUGCCAAAUUUUAUUAUUAUUUAAUGUUUUUUUAGUAUAUAUAUUUUCUUAGGGUAUGUACAUGUUUUAUUUUUUUUUCAAACAAACUUGUAAUAUGAAUGUAUAAUUUUGUACUUGUUAUGGUUUGUUUUAGAUUUUGUAAAAUUGUAUUUGUUUGUAAAUUAUUGAAGCUUAUGUCAAAUUACCGAAUUAGAUGUGUUGUGAUGAAAUAAAUAAUAGCUUAUUUAAUGGGUCCGUUUUAAUUUUUAUUAAUGCUAUUGCAAAGUUGUAAUUUCCAUAAAUUUAUGUUAUAAAUUUGCAUGGACGUUGAUAAUUGAUAAUGAAUAUUUAAGAGAAGUUUUAAUUAGUUUGUUAGAUAAUCUCGAGUAAGACCAAUAUUUUUACAAAUUUAUUUACUUAACAUAGUUAAUUAAUACAUGUUGUCAUCAUUAUUUUAUAGAGGUUCGAUAGAAGUCAUGGAUGAUCAUUCAUGGAUGUAUCAAGAUUCACCCCAAGGAUUGCUAAGGAUGAAUUAUUGUAAUGGGGUUCAGAGUUUUAUUAAUUUUGCAGCAUCUAUUCUGAGAAAUUUAGUGGAGGCAGUUUUAGGUGUCCAUGCAGGAAGUGUAAAAAUAAAAAUUAUAUGCAUCCAGAUGUUGUAACGAUGUAUCUUCUACACAGGGGGAUCAUGGAGGAUUACCUGUGUUGGUAUGCACACGGAGAACUAUUUGUUCGUAAUGAGAGCAUGGUAAAAAGGAUGGUUGGGUCAACUUCUAGUGCUAGCAACGUGCAUGGAAUUGUAAAUGACAACAGUCAUCCUUACAAGAAUAUGGUUAUCAAUGCAAUGAGAAUGAAUUAAAGUAAUAUCAGUCAAUGUCCAAUUGUAGAAGAACCUAAUGCAGACGUGGCCAGGUUUUUUGAUCUGUUGAAAGAUUCUGAUUGUAACAUCCCAAUUUCCAAAACCAACGCAUCAAUCAUAAAAAAAUACUCAUUUUUCUCUGAAAUAUUGCAAAACAAAUUACACAAAAAAAAGAUGUCUUGUUUUCUUGCAUACGGCCAAGUAUCUCAACAAAAUCAUAUUUUCAAUGAACAAAGAAACAUUGCAAAAAAAUAUUUUAGCAUGCAUUUUGGCUUUCAUAAUCAGUUUAUUAAAGCCAUGAGAACUAGGUCAAUAUUUCCAAAAAAAUAUUUUGUUUUCUUUUAGUAUCUGGGAUUACAAAUUCACAAGUAAAAUGUAUUUCCGGUAUUAAAAAGGUAUGUUUUUUGUUGACGUAGAGCGGUUAGAUUUUUACCCGAUAAAAUAAGGAUCUACUUAUCGAGGAUGACUUUUCUUAAACCAUAGACGAACCAACAAUUAAAAAUACAAUAACACCUUAGCAUAUAUCAGACAAUUCAACAAUGUAGCUUAUCUUAGGUAAGGCGUAUUUGGGGUGCUAAUACAUUCCCUUUACGCAACCAGUUCCCAUACCCGAUCUCUGAGACCAAUUAGGGUUCUUAGUGACCAAAAUACUAGGUGGCGACUCUCAUUCCCUCUUUCCAUAUAUAAAAGACAGGAAUUCCUUGUCUUCCCCAUUCUACCAUUUUUUCCAGGUAUACAUGUAACAUCCCUAUAUCCGGGAUAAUACAACAAUCUCAUGUUAAAUAGAAAACAAGGUAAAUUUUUAUUUAUAUGUGUGUGUGUGUUGUUUUCAUAUAAAAAUCUACCAUAAUUUCUAUCGAAAUUUCGGCAGAAUCUCCCCUAUACUAGGAGGUCCCAUGUUAUCGACAUAUAACCUGUUUACACUUCCAAUAUUUCACAUCUCAUAACUCAAUCACGACCUAAUCAUCCUGGGUCUCAAUCCCAUAAACAUCAUUGUCAUCACAACCAUAAUAUUUAUAAUAUAUAUUGAACAACAAAUAUCAUUUUAGAGAAAUAAAUGAGAUUAACACGCAUACAUGGAUAUAAUUAUAUAAAUUUCAGAGUUAAGAUUAUCCAUUCAAGUUUAAACAUUAAUUUUACAAAUUAAGUUAUAUAAAAGUUGUAAUGUUACAAAAUACAAGGAUAUACUCCUUAGAAUUAGAUUACAAAAAAUGAACAUAAGCUAGGACCUACUCCUGUCGUGUUUGCGAUACUCAUGAAACAAAAUACAUAUUAUUGAAACAUGAAUAUCACAACAAGUAUAGCAACACAAAUAUCCAACAAUUUAAAAGGCAAACAUGUAUUCAUAUGCUAUUUACUUCUCCCUUCUGGUUUCCAUUGGAACUAUUUCUCAUUCAACUACUAAAAUCGUUUCCUCUUCCAAUAUCAACUUCCAUUCAAAAUUUCAUAAGAUCAACCACGAUUAUUUCGUCACACCUUACCGAUACCAAUUUCACUGGUAUUAUCAUCAUCUCGUAGGUGUCAAUGUAUAGUGAUCCCCUUACCCGGAAUCCUAACAUACACUAAAUGUAUGCUAGUCGAUGCAUGGUGAUCCAUUUACCCGGGAUCCUAACAUACACUAAAUAUAUGCUAGUCCAUGCCAUAUAUCACACUUCUCAUAUUCCCUUUGUCAGUUGUUGUUACUCAAUUUUUUACCCAUCUUUUUGAUAAAUUUUUUGGCAAAUCCAAAAAUAGCAAAAAACAAUGAAAAUCCAAAAAAUACGGUUUUUAAUAUAUUUUCAUUUUUUUUAGCAUUUUCAGCAUCAUCUUAAAAGAAUUUAAAUUUUCAAAGGUCCUUUGAAUGCGUUUGACUUUUCACACGUUAUUUUUAAAAUCAAUAAUUUUCCUCAUUCGAGUCGAUGUUGAUAAGAAAAAUCCAAAAAAAAAUCAAAUUUACAAAAAAAGAAAGAAGUUGAGGGACCAAGUUUGGGGACAAAACAAUAUUUUGCCUAUAAAUAGUAGCAUUCAACACACACAAAAAAGGGGGGCAAUUUUGCACAUUUGAAGGUAACAUAAAAAACCCUAACCCUAAAAACCCAUCUCUUACAAAACCAGAAUCGGCCACCCCCCUGGCCAUUGGACCUUUUCUCUUCCAGUAACCACUUACCCGCUCUGCUUCCCUGCUUGCCAGCCAAACAGAAACCAAGCACCUUUUUUUUUCUUCUCCCUCACUCACACACACCCGGCCACAAAUCCCUCUCUUUCUCCGAUCAGCCCACCUUCUUCAUCCAGUUCUUCCCCCAUCUCUACUAAACCUUCCAGCUCACCCUCUCCCUUUGCCAAGUUAGCCAUCAAUGUUCCCCCAUUUCUUCUCAUCUUCAACCUUCCACCCGACAGACCCAACAACCCAUUCUCCCGAACCAGCCGCCAACUCAUGAAGACCCGGCGAUCCCCGUUCUCUUCUUCAUCUCCCUGUAGAUUGGCCUCCACAGAAGCUAGCCACCGCCUCCAGCUAGCUCCAUCGUUGCCCACAAUCCAUCAUCGGCGCAAACCGGUCUCCACCGAAACAUCGGCGCAAACCGGUCUCCACCGAAACCAACCUGCAGUAACCCUAAUUGUCGCGGCAACCAACAAAAGUGAAGAUCAUCAACGUCAUCGCCGCCUCUACAACCGCCAGACCUACCACCCGAAGCAGAGGAGAAGAAGACAAAACCCAAAACAAGCUGACCCGCUAUGAAGGAGAUCCAAAGAAGGAGAAGGGAGAGAAGUAGAUCUGAAAAAAAAAUCAACUGUUGUUUGUGCGUUUUCCCCUUGUUGCAAGUGGCGAUGACCCUCACCGACGGUGUAGGAAGGCAGAGAAGAAGAAGACAUUCCCGAUCCACCGCUUUGGCUGCCUUCAUCGGCCCACAUGCCGCUAGUGGCGGCAGCAUAUGGAACAAUGCACCGCCACGGGUCUUGCAAUUCCAGAAGUCUUCCUCUACAAUUCCAGCAUUUUUUAGGGGCUAUUUUGUAAAUUUUAAUUUGUUUAACGUAAUAUUUGCCCAAUUUUUGAAUUUUUAUAAUUUGCGGUGUGAAAGUAAAAAAAAAAGGAAAAGAAAAAGGAAAAAAUAUAGUAAAAGUGAAUGUGUGUGUUUUUUGUAUUUGUUUUAUGGAUGUUUUUAUUUUAUUUUAUGAUAAAACCGCAAAAACAAAAGAAGAAUUUAAUAUUUUGAUUUGAUCACGGUAAAGGAUUAUGAACUUAUAUGUAAGUCGUAUUUCUAAUAUCCGAUGAAAAGAUAAAAUUUUUAAAACUUUUUUAACAUAUCAAAGCCACGAAGCAGCUUACCUCAAGUAGGAUUCGUUAGGGGUACUAAUACCUUCCCUAACCACAACCAGUCCCUUACCCAUGAAUCUCUAACAAGACCAGUAUAUCCGGGUGUCCUAUUAACCCUUAAUGAAAUACUAGUGGCAACUCCCAACGAAUCAAUCAACGAAACAAAAAAUCGCCAAACAGAUGCCGCGCGGGUGACGUGCGACAUCAACGAUAAUUUCAUCAUUUAGCAAUUUACACAAGAAACCCUUCACCUUGAACACACAUAUAUUUAGAAUACUAUCCAAAAUAUCAACAUCAUACGUAAACUUUUAUCCGUUCACAUAAUAUCCAACAUUUACUAGUUCACAUUUCAUAUCAAUAACAUAUUAAAUCAUGGAAUUUAACUAAAACAUAUAGGUGUGGAUUGCCUACCUACAGUAGAAGCUCUACUCAUACUCCCCUUCUGCUGGACAACGCAUGUGGUCCCUCGUAGUAAUCACAUACAUAUCUCAUAAGUUAUCCUCAUUCAAGGACACAUGUUAUAAUAACCAUAUUAACAGCCAAUACAGGUCUUUCUUUCAAUUAUUCUGUUUCAUUAUAUUUACAUUCUCUCAUUUCAUCCAUUAAUAACAUCAUUCUUUGCCCGACCCUAGUUAUCAUUAUAAAUUUCCAUUUUAAAUAUGGCUCGUUUCUUUUAGAAAUUAAAAUGCAAUAUCACAUGUUCCCCAAGGUAAAAGACCCAGUUUUCACCCUUAACGCGUCUAGAUUGUCGCUUUUACGACUUUUCAAAUCUGCUGGUAGAGGUUGUAUUCUGACCCUUCCUCCGAUGUUUAACUAUAUCUGAAGCUAUAGGACUUUGUUUUUACCGAGGCUAGUCUCUUUGGAAAACUAUGACAUGAGGCUACAAGUCCUCUAAAGGGAGGAGAACCCAGUUCUGUCCCCAAGACACUCAAAAUUACUCAUCAACGAAUCAGACCUACUGUUCUAUAGGGUCUAUCAUGGCCCGAUCUCGGUUAGUGACCCAUAAUUGGAGUUCUAUAGCUCUAAAUUGAUCGAGACCAAGUUCCUUGGUUAGUAAACAUCCAAUACUACAAUAUAUAUGCAGGAAACAAAUCUUAAUUCCUUCAUCCUCCUACUCGAAUUCUCUCUGAAAGUCAGGAGACGAAUCUAUCUAGAUUCAUCAACUUAAUUUUCCAUUUACUCUUCAUAUGGCCGGCCACCCCUAACUCAAUUACGCAUACAUUUUCUUUGAUGAAUCAUCAUGAUUGCAUGCUCCCAAUUACAUACAAUGCAUGAAUUAACUUAAUUUUAACAAUUAAUACAUUUCUCUCAAUUCAAGUUAAAGAACCCUAAUUAAAAUUCAACAGUAAGGCAUCAAUUCGUAAUCGAAUUCGAAAUGACUUAUAGAACAAUGUUUAUAACUCUUUACCUAGUAAGAGUCAAGGUCUCAAUCCUCAACCAGUCAAAAAAAUUUGACUCCCUUUUUUUUUUAAUGACAGUCGGCCCUCCCUUCUCCCUCUACCUUCAAAAUUUCUUGUUAAUCCCUUACCCACAAGUAUUUAUUCUACCUAUAAAUCCUUAAUCUUGGAUGAGUUCUUGGGAUUUUUAGUGUUUCUCUCUUGAUUUGGCAAGAAUAAAAUCAGAAACUCACUCCCUCUCUCUUAAUAGUUUCUGCCUAGUUUUGAUGAGCAAGGGAGAAGGGUAUUUAUACCCCAUAAUUUCUCUUAUUUGCACUUAGGCCCCAUUUCCUUUAAAUGUAUUAUUGUUGCCCCCACAUCUUUUCUUCUUAAAAUUGAGCUACACCUCUUUUCAUUUCUUAUAAUUACACUCCUCAACUUUUUAGUUUAGCUCAUUUUCUUUAAUUUAAUCCAACCCUCGAUAUUUCCGAGUUAAAUUUAUAAUAUCUUAAAAUAUUUUGUCCAGAAAUUUAUAUCCUAAAUUUUCUGAAUUCUUGCUUUAUUUAAAUAUGUACAUGAAUUUCUUCACUUUUAUUGUUUAUUUAUUUAGUUUGCAAUUUACAUAAACAUUAUUUCCCGGGGUUUACAAUACGUAACCGGAGAGAGUGGACACAUUCGUUGCGGCGCCGCACACUUGUGACAGAAUGGUGACUCCAUUGGGGACCUUGUGGACUAAGCUUCGUUUUCAUCUGAUUAUCGUGUUUUAUUAUUUGAUUUAUAUGUUAUUGUUAAUAUUGCAUUCCCUUAUUUUCUUACACGAUUUAAAUUAUGUACACAUUUGUUCAUGCAUUAUAUAGAAUUGCCUCAUACAGCACAUGUCAUAAAAUUUUUAAACACGCACAAACUUCCAAGUUAGGUGGGGGAUUAACUAUUUGUGAUAUGACUAUUGGUCAGGGUUCAGAUGCGUGAAACACUCAACUCAAAUCUGAGUGCCUGCUUGGUAAUGGCAAAUGAAGCCUUAAACUAGCUGCUGCUUGUGAAGUAUGAAAGGAGAUUAAAUUUGAAUUCCAAGCAAUGGUGGUAAUGGUGGGCAUAUGUGCCUUAACUGUUUCUCGCAACGCCCCCAUAUUGUCUUUACAAAGACCAUCACUGGGCAGAUUUAAGACCAUUUUAAGACUAGGUAGAAGGCUUCCCCAUCAUGUAAUGGCCUAGAACCUUUCUUUAGAGUAUGAGUUCCCUAAAUAGUCAUCUUGCAUGGGUUCUCACCAUCCAUACUCAAUGUGCAUGUACAUAUAUUUGCAUUCGUACAUAUACAUCCAUUCAUUGUAAAUAACAUGCAUACAUGUAUUAGGUUGAAAUAUAGGUCCCCAAAGCAUUUACAACACCCAACUUCGAGCAAGAAAUAUAGAAGAUGAAGAGUGUGCUCACCGUGACGUCCAUUUUCAAGAAGAGUUGGAGUCUCUGAAGACAAGCGUGGCUCACCUAACUAGUUUACUUGAGCAAACACUUAGAAAUGCCUCUAGUGAAGGUCCUUCUAACCGACCUGUCACCUUUAAUCAAACUCUGAUAACAGCUCAACUUGAAGAAAGAAUGAGUGAACAUGGUCAAGAGCCCCAACACAAUCCAGCAUUUGUGCAGUCAGCGACACCUGUACUAGCCCCGACAGUUAUGAAUGCAUUUGCCAAUGAGUCCCUCAAUGCCACGUCAUCUGAUACCAUUGAUCAAGAUAAGAUGGCGAUGCUGGCUAAAAUCAGAGUCAUUGAACGGGUAGACUUAUAUGACCUAGUACAAGCAACAAAGAUAUGUCUGGUCCCAAAUGUGGUUGUCCCAAAGAAGUUUUGUGUUCCUAAAUUCAUCAAAUAUAGUGGAAUACAAUGCCCCAUGACCCACCUCAAGUCCUACUAUAAUAAAAUGACAGAAGUAGUACAUGAUGAAAAACUACUAAUGCACUUUUUUCAGGAUAAUGGAGCGACAUUGAGCUGGUAUAUAAGAUUGGACAAUAUAAAGAUCCGGAGAUGGAAAGAUCUGGUGGAUGCUUUUAUCAAGCAGUAUAAGUACAACGUGGACAUUGCUCCUGAUAGAACCAGUUUGUCCAGUCUAGAGAAAGGGGACAAAGAAAGCAUAAGGGAAUACGCUUAAAGAUGGUGGGAAUCGGCUGCUCAGGUGCAUCCCCCAUUUCUGGACAAAGAGAUGGCCAAUCUAUUUACUAACACACUAAAGGCACCAUACUACGAACAUGUUAUGGGUAGCUCUUCUCAGUAAUUCACUGAUGUUGUGGUAGUAUGUGAGCGCAUAGAGCAAGGCAUCAAGAGUGGUGGAAUUUUUGCACCCACCUAGAAAAAGGGCUUUGAAGGGAAGGAGGUCAACCAUGUUGGAGAUGGCUACAGGGGUAGGGAAAACCCAUCCUAAAACUACCACACUCCAUCCCCAAAUUGCCAACAUCAAAAAACCUGAGCCCCAAAACAUUCAAGCCAAAAGCCAAAUUGGAAAUUACCAAAGGGUCUAAGAACAACUACCUUCAUUACCGCUACCCUUGAAUGAGAUGUAUCAGAAGUUGUUAAGCAUUGGACAUGUAGCUCCUGAACCUCUGGCACCUUUACAACCACCUUACCCCUGCUAGUACAGGCCAGAGCUCACUUGCAAAUACCAUGCUAGUAUUGCUUGACAUAAAAUCCAUACUUGCAACGCCUUCAAGAGAAAGCUUUUGCAAUUAAUCAAGGUAGGGUGGGUAACAUUUAGAGACACUCCUAAUGUGAACAUGAACCCUUUACCUAAUCAUGCUUGAAGUGAUGGAUAAAAAAUGCACUAGUGAUAGAAUAUUCGGGAAAUUUGAAAGCACUGGUGGUCAAGGCAGGAUGCAAAGAAGGCGGCAUGAAUUUUUGAGAGAUUUGAAUUUAAAAAGGUAUCCAUGGAGGACAAAGUUCCACCAUAGAAGGGAAAUAUACUAAAGUUGGAGAAUGGGGUAGAUUCCUGUUAUGUCAAAAAAUAACUACCUCUUGAUCAUGCCUGCUGUAAUAACCCAUUUUUGGGUCACUCCCAAUUUUUUCUUCUUCUUCCAAAUUACAUUUCUUUUCCUUAAAAAAAAAAAACCAAAACAGUGCCAUUUUGAACGGCAUUGUUCCCCUUCUUCCCUGCCCAUGCAGAGGCAGGGAAGAAGAAGAUUUUUGAAAUCUUUUUCCCGCUCACCUUCUCCUUCUCUUUUCCCUCCCACUUGCCCACAAAACCUGGACACAAGCCACAUCCCAUACCCUGCCACCAUUAAUGCAAGCCAUGACCGGCCACCCUACCUUGUGCCAAGACAUGGGCAGGAUAGCCACCUUACCCUGCGCCAUGGCAGUGGUAAGGUGCCCCUCUCUUCCUGCGGCUAUAAAUACAGAAAAGGGAGAAGACAAAUAGGGGGGAGAAAAAGGAAAAAAGGAAACCUGGGGGGACGAUUUUUUUUUAGAAAGAGAGGAACGAACGGGGGGGCAAAAUUUUAGAGAAGAACAGAAAACAGAGGAGGGAGAACAGAAAACAGGGGGGAGAGUUUAUUUGAGAGGAGAGGAGCUCGGGCAAAACAGAAGAAAAAGGAAGAAAAGGGGGAAAGGAGAGUGAAAGAGCAAGACAGAAGAGGGAGGAGAAGAGCCACCGUUGCACCUCCACCAGCGCCUCCAUCGCUCCUCUCAGCCACCACCGACAGCACCAUCAUCGUCCAAAAAUAGAGGAAGAGCAGUGACAGAGAGUGAAGCGAGACGAGAGAAGGGAGAAAGGAAUAGAAAACAGAGACUUCGGUCACUACACAGAGGAGAAGAAGAACCGACCUCACCCCCUGGGCACCACCGUUGUUUCUUCCUCCCCGUCGCCCCCCACAGCAACUCCACGGGUCAGCAACCGCUAGCAGCGCCACCGUCAGCCUCCCACCAUUUUCCUUCCCUGCUGCAGCACCGUGAAAAAGAAGAAAAAUAGUAGCACUGGUUGCCACAACCACUGAGCCGCGACAACAACUCCUUCGCCACCAGCAGCGCCACCGUUAGAAAUAGAAGAAGAAAGGAGAAGCAGCAGACAGAAGCGGGAAGAAGAAGAAACACUGAAAAAACAGUAACAGAGGAGAACAGAGCAGAAGAAAAAAAACACAGAGAAGAAGAAGAAAGGCUGACCACCGUCCGAGCUGUUCUCCGGUCAGCCACCGCCAACAGCACAGCCUCGAAACCACCGCAGGUCCGCCCCUCUUCCUUCUUCUUCUUCUUCUUCCUCGCUGCACUGUCUCCACUAUUUUGCGUGAACAGUGGAGAGUGAAUUAAUUCACUCUCCACUGUUCACUCUUGUCCGGCCCAAUCCAAAAUGAGUGGGCCGGGUCCAGCCCGGUCCAAAAAAAAUUUUUAAAAAAUAUUUUCGAAAAUUUGUAACUCUUCCGCGUAUUUUUUACUAAAUUUUGCUUAAUAUUGAUUUGUAUUUUUACAUCAUAAAAAUAUACAUCCGGUAUUAAAAUACCCGGUUUUCGUCAAAAAAAACAUUUUUUUUUGUUUUCAUGCAUACGGCCAAGUCUCUCAAAGAAAAAAAAAUCACGUCAUAUUUUCAUACAAUAAAGAAAACUUCAAAAAAAAAUGUUUUAGCAUGCAUUUUGGCUUUAAUAACCAGUUUAUUAAAGUCACGAGAACUUGGCCAAUAUUUCAAAAAUUCAAAAAAAAUAUUUUGUUUUCUUUUAAUAUCAGGGAUUACGAAUUUACAUGUAAAAUGUAUUCCCGAUAUUAAAACAAUAGUUCUUUUAUAGACAUUAGAACGAUUAGGUUUUACCCCAAAAGAUAAGAACCUCCUUACUGAGAAGGGCUUUUCUUGAACCAUAGAUGGACCAAUAUGAUGAGACCUUAGAUUUUUAUCAGACAAUAAAACAAUGCAGCUUACCCUAGGUAGGGCGUAUUUGGGGUGCUAAUAACUUCCCUUUACGCAAGAAGUCUCCGUACCUAGUCUCUGAGACCAGUUAGGGUUCCUAGUGACCAAAAUACUAUGUGGCGACUCCCAUUCUAUUUUCCACUAAUAAGAGACAAGAAUUCCUUGUCUCCCUAUAUUUUCCAGACACACACACCUUGAGAGUAUGGAGGACGAUCGUCGCGACGCCGCACACGUGCGACACCUGCAAUGCUUUUUGAUUUUGUUUCAACCUAUUUCAGUUUUGUUGGUAAUUUGGCUCAUAAUGCCACAAGACUUUCUCUAUCAAAUGAGUUUUUCUUGUUAAAUAAGAUCAUGUGUUUUUCUUAUGUUCACAAUGUGCCUUCAUUUUUGUUGUUAUUUCAAGCAAAUAAUACACUAAACACAACCUUUACUAAUGAAACCACUACCCCAAGAAUCCUUAGGUAUGUUUCCUUUUUCUUCCAAAACUAUGCAUGAUCUCACAUGUUCACAAGGAUUUUUGGGAAUUCAAAGUUUUAGUACAAAAACAGAAAUCAUAUUGGUGUUUGUCCAAACAAACAAGUUCUGGAAAUUCAAGUGAUUCUUUAGAAAGGUAACCAUACACCUAGAAAACCUAAAGAGGAAACCCAAACACCAUGAGAUGACUCAAAAGCAAGGUUUUAAUUGAAUGAAUAAUGAGAAACCAUUUUGCAUAUUCGCAUGUGAGAAAGUAAGGCUUACCGAUCCUAAGUGCAUGUAUUUGAAAUGAAGAAGGUCAUCUUUGAUAUUCCUUUCACGAGGCUAAAAAAUAUAUCCUUUAUGAUCCCCUUUUUAAGCCUAGUAGCUUUUUUUUGAAAAUAACCUUGGCUAGGAUCACACCUCACACUAGGGGGCAAGUGCAAGAGAAAGAUAUUCCAGAAGAAAGAUCAGUGGGAAAUGCUAGUAUACCUCCAUAAUACAUCCCGGUAUCGAGUACCAAAUUUGAGGUGGAGAAGUUUGAUGGGAAAGGUAAUUUCGGCAUGUGGAAAUGUGAAGUCAUGGAUAUGCUUGUCUAAAUGAAUUUGGAUUUCAUUCUAGAAGAUAAACCGGAGGAUUUGGAUGAUAAAAGCUGGGAAAGGAUAAAUCGGUUGGCCUGCAGUUCCAUCCGACUUUGUCUUGUAAAGGAUCAGAAGUACGCCUUUUCAAAACAAAACUCUACAAAGGAAUUAUGGCAAGCACUGGAAGACAAGUUUAUGAAGAGGAGUAUAGAGAAUCGUCUCUACUUGAAGAAAAUGAUCUUCUGUUUUUAACACAAGAAAGGUACUUCUAUGAAUGAGCAUCUAAAUGAUUUCAAUAAAAUGAUAACUGAUUUGAAGAAUUUAGAUUUGGAAAUCGAUGAUGAAGAUAAAGCUCUAUUGUUAUUGAAUUCACUGCCUGACAUAUAUGAACAUCUCAUCACCAUUUUACUGUAUGGUAAAGAAAAGAUUAAAUUCAUUGAUGGGUCCAAUGCUUUGGUGAACAAUGAGUACUGGAAGAAGGACCAAAUUAUUCAUAAGGAGUCAAAGUUAGAAGCAUUAACAGUUAGAGGCAAGAGGCAUGAGGAUAGGAAACUUAUGUUUCUUGGAUGGACAUACAGUUAUUGGUACAGUAGCUGUCUCCAAAAGCAUAAAAGAUGAUGAAGCAGAUAAUUCCAGAGUUUGGCACAUGCGCUUAGGGCAUGCUGGUGAAAAGGCUUUGCAAGGAUUAGUCAAGCAAGGUCUAUUAAAAGGCACCAAGACUGGGAAGCAUGGGUUCUAUGAGCAUUCUGUUCUUGGAAAACAGACAAGGGUCAAGUUUGGCACUGCGGUACACAUCACAAAAGGGAUUCUAGAUUAUGUUCACACAGACGUAUGGGGACCUUCAAAGAAUGAAUCUAUUGGAGCUAAUCGUUGGUUUGUUACUUUUAUUGAUGAUUUCUCAAGACAAGUAUGGGUGUACAUGAUGAAACACAAGGAUGAGGUCCUUGAUAUCUUUCUGAAAUGGAAUAAAAUGGUGGAGACUCAAACUGGAAAGAGAGUUAAGACUCUUCAGUCAAAUAAUUAUGGUGAGUACACUUCAGAUCCUUUCUUUGAAGUUUGUCAGGAUGAAGGGAUCAAGCGACAUUUUACUAUUCGCAAAACACUACAACAGAAUGGAGUAGCAGAAUGCAUGAACCGCACAUUGGUGGAGAAAGUCCGAUGUAUGCUAUCACAUUCAGGACUAAGCAAAGUGUUCUGGGGCGAGGCAUUAAGCUAUGCUCGUCAUAUUGUUAAUCGGUUACCUUCAGCAGCAUUAGAUGGAAGAACCCCCUUAGAGGUAUGGUCAGGAUCUCGUGCAAAUGAUUAUGACUCUAUGCAUAUAUUUGGUUGCUCAGCAUAUUAUCAUGUUACCGAGUCCAAGCUAGAUCCUAGAGCCAAGAAAGCUAUAUUUUUGGGCUUUAGUGGAGGAGUAAAAGGUUACAGACUCUGGUGUUCUAAAUCAAAGAAAGUGAUUUUGAGUAGAGAUGUCACUUUUGAUAAGUCUAGCAUGUUACAGCAAGAGAAAUCACAGGAGAAGGAAAAACAGUCUGGUGAUGCACAACAGAUGGAGUUGGAUACUUCAGUCAUUUCUAUAAAGACUGUUCAAACAAUCCCUACUGAAGGAGAUUCAGAUGAAAGUUCAGAUGAAGAGGAUGCAACAACUCUAGCAACCACACAACAAGAAUCCAUUGCAACAAGUAAACCAAAAGGAGUUAUCAAGAAACUUGCUCAGUAUUGUAACAUGGUGGCUUAUGCACUUUCAGUGAUUGAUGAUGGAAUCCCCUACACCUACAAAGAAGCAGUACAGAGUGUAAAAAGUGCAAAAUGGAAAGAGGCAAUGGAUGAAGAGAUGAAAUCUCUCCACAAGAAUCAGACUUGGGAUUUGGUACAACUCCUUAAGGGAAAGAAGACAAUUGGUUGCAAGUGGGUAUAUGCCAAGAAGGCAGGUAAUCCUGGAAAAGACAACAUCCUAUUCAAAGCAAGAUUGGUAGCAAAAGGCUAUGCUCAAAAGGAGGGGAUAGAUUAUAAUGAGGUAUUCUCUCUAGUUGUUAAGCAUUCAUCAAUCCGUAUUCUGCUAGCCUUGGUUGCACAGUUUGAUUUGGAGUUAGCCCAACUUGAUAUGAAAACUGCCUUCCUACAUGGAGAUUUGGAAGAGAAAAUUUACAUGUCUCAGCUAGAUGGUUUCAAAGUCACUGGGAAAGAGAAUUGGGCUUGUAAAUUGAAGAUGUCAUUAUACGGAUUGAAACAAUCUCCUCGCCAGUGGUAUAAGCGAUUUGAUAAGUUUCAUGACAGAACAUGGAUACACACGGAGUCAGUUUGACAACUGUGUAUAUUUUCACAAACUUCUUGAUGGUUCUUUCAUCUAUUUGCUCUUAUAUGUGGAUAAUAUGUUGAUUGCAUUGAAGAGCAAGGUGGAGAUUGAUAGACUGAAAGCUCAAUUGAGAACUGAUUUUGAAAUGAAGGACCUUAGAGAAGCUAAGAAGAUUCUUGGCAUGGAGAUUCAGAGAGACAGAAGAAAAGGCACAGUUUGUUUGACAUAGACCCAAUAUUUAAAGAAAAUUCUACAGAGAUUUGGGGUAGAUGGUAAGACCAAGCCUGUAAGCACACCUUCAACUCCUCAUUUUAAGCUAAGUGCUUCAAUGUCUCCACAUACAGAGAAAUAGCGCAAACAUAUGGCUCAAAUUCCAUAUGCAAAUGCAGUUGGUGCAUUAAUGUAUGCAAUGGUUUGUACAAGACUAGAUAUUUCACAUGCUAUCAGUAUGGUGAGCAGGUAUAUGCAUGAUCUGAGAAAGGGUCACUGGCAGGCAGUUAAGUGGAUUCUACGGUACAUUCAUGGCACAACUGAUAGUGGUUUGAAGUUUGAGAGGGAUGAUAGACUCGGACAAAAUUUAGUUGGUUAUGUGGAUUCAUACUAUGUUGGUGACUUAGACAAGCAUCGUUCCAUAAUAGGCUAUGUGUUUACACUUGCUAAAGGGCCUGUAAGUUGGAGGUCAACUUUACAAUCAACAGUAGCUUUGUCAACAACUGAGGCAGAGUACAUGACAGUAACAGAAGCUUUCAAGGAAGCUAUUUGGUUACAUGGGUUGAUUGAAGAUUUGGGACUUGUUCAAGAGCACGUGAAUGUCCAUUGUGAUAGUCAAAGUGCUAUGUGUCUUGCAAAAAAUCAGGUUCAUCAUUCUCGCACCAAGCAUAUCGAUGUUCGAUUUCAUUUUGUUCGAGAAAUUGUGGAUGAAGGGGAUAUUCUGCUACAGAAGUUUGGUACCGCAGAUAAUCUAGCUGACAUGCUCACAAAAUGUGUCUCAAGGAUCAAGUUCUAACAUUGUUUGGACUUGGUCAACAUCUCUCAGUGUUGAGCACCUUCAGGGUGCAGCGCCAUAUGGCGCAUUAGAGGUAGCAUUGAUUGAUCACGAGGAUUGGAUGGAAAAAUCUUGCCAAGGUGGAGAUUUGUGGAAAUUGUCCAGCUUUUUCCUAAUAAUUAUGUCAACCUCCAACUACCAACCAUAUAAUUAUGACAACCCCCAACUGCCAACCUCCAGUCAUUAUUAGAAUGACUCCCUAUAAAUAGAAGACUUCCUUCAUUGUUAUAAGGGACGAGAGAGUGAGAUAAAUAGAGAGAGGAAGAUAAUGCAACUAUGAGAGUGAGAAAGUGCAGAUUUGAGAGAAACACCGAGUGUAAGAGAGAAACACCGAGUGUAAGAGUGAAACAUUGGGUUUUGUGGGAUUGUACUGGGUUGAGUUGAGUAAUUGUAUCAUUCCUCCAAUAAUAUACAAUCUGCUACCUCCGUGGACGUACCCGGUUAUGGAGAACCACGUAAAUCUGCUUGUUUUUUUAUUUUAUUUGUGUUUGCUUUCGGUCCAAUAUGCACAACAACACUGUCCUUCCCUUUCUUGGCAUUUGUUCCCCAACUCUUCUAUCAUGUAUUUCCAACCAUCAAAAGGUCUAAAUGUGCGUGUCUUGAUAAAGCUAGCUAUCUGCAAGUAGUCAUAGAAAAUUGCUAGUUUAACUGGAAAGAGUCGAAAGACAUGAUGGUAGAUUCAUUGCUUCAUUAUUUAUCUUCUAAUUUCUUACACUUCAUCGAGGACCUAUAACAUGACAUUACCUGAAUAAGCUAGCAGAAAACAUUGUAUCACACCGACUACAAACAAAAAGCACCUGAAUUCUUAGUCCAUACAAAUUCAAAACAGCUUUUAGGGAGCUUUUUGUCGCACCCUCCCGAGAGCUCGACGUCGCGGCGACCCGUCCUCGUAGCAGAGAUUUAUUGUUGGGGUCUUUCUGUUGUGAAAAAAGGGAGUCGCCACCUAGUAUUAAGGUCACUAGAAAACCUAACUGGUCUUUCAGAGAUUCUAAGGCAAGGGACUGGUUGCGUAAAGGGAAGGUUUUAGCACCCUUAGUACGCCCUACCUAAGGUAAGCUGCUUGGUGUUUGAUUUGCCUUAUAACUGUCAUGGUGUUGAUGUUCUCUAAUCCCAUCAGUUUUCUAGGAUAAGUCUGCUCUGAUGAACGAAAUCUAGGGUGCUUUAAAAACCUAUUUUUGUUAGGCUCGCAAAUCGUGGAGUAAAAAAAAUUGAAAUGUCCUCGAUUAUAAUCAAGGCUUCUUUCAAGGAUGUGUGCGGAUUUAUUAUUCCUAGAAAAUUAUUUUGGAUAUUUACCACUCCGGGUUUCUUUAUCCAAAUAUUAACAGUGAAUAAUAACAAAUUAUCCCCAAUAAUAUUUUGGAUAUUCGUCCUUUAAGGAUUUCUUUAUCCAAACAUUAGUGGUGAAUAAUAACAAAUUAUCCCCAAUAAUAUUUUGGAUAUUCGUCCUUUAGGGAUUUCUUUAUCCAAACAUUAGUGGUGAAUAAUAGAUGAAUUCUCCAAAAAUAAGAUUUUUAUAUUUUUUUGGAAUAUUGGCCAAUACCCUUUGGAGUUUUACAAACAUGUUGUAAAAUCCAGAAAUGCAAGAAAAAAUGAUUUUUGUUGUGUUUAAGAAAUCCAUGCGAAAACACAUUUUUGAAACUUCAAAUAUUUGUUUUUUAGAUAAAAGACGUAAAAACAAUGUUAGGGUAUUGGCCGUAUGCAUGAAAACAAAACAUUUUUUAUUUUUUUGAUAUCUUGACGAAAACCAGGUAUUUUCAUACCAAAUUUGUAUUUUUACAAUAUAAAAAAAAAAAAACAAACCAUAUUGAUCCAAAAUACAAUAAACAUAAUUUCAGAACAUCACAUAUUUUUUUAAAAAAAAAAAAUUCGAAGAAGAUUUCAUUUUUUCGGGUUGGGCCCCGCCCGGCCCACGUGACUGGGCUGGACCUAGCCAACCUACAUAGCUGGGCUGGGCCUAGCAAGCCCAGCCUGGUCACUGGCCCAUGCCAAUGACCAGUCCCUCCAGUCCGCACCUGCACGUGUAAUAUUUUACGCGUGCAUGAACAGUGCGAAGGUAAUUAAAUCACCUUCGCACUGUUCAUCUCCUUUGCAUUACAGUGCAUGACACAAAAAAAAACGGGAUAAAAGAGUGUUGCAACAGUGAUGGUUUUCUUAUGAUUUUCUUUUCAUUUCUGCAUAUUAACACAACAUUAUACGAAGAAAGCAGCAGGCAUACCUGGUUUUUGCGAAGACGGCGAAGAUGGUGGUGCUGUGAUAUCUCUUCACCGUGUCCUCUGCUUCUGUUCGGUCAGCUCCUCUUCUGCUUCCUUACGUUCUCCUUUUCUGUAUUCCCCUCUCCGUGGUUCUUGGUGUGGCUGCUGGAAUCUUCCUCUUGGGGUUGCUGCUACUGCUCUUCUCCUGGUGUUGCUGCUGCUGCGGGGAUGGAGGAUUGUUGUUGGCCUGGUGAAGAAGCUGGAAGGCGGAGGCUUGCUCCUGUGGAGGCUGUCGUUGCUGAGGAGGCCGCGGGAGGCGUUGCUGGGGCUGUUGAAGCUGCGGUGAAGGAGAAGCUGAGGUGAAGAUCUGCCGCUGGCUUUGUGUUGAUGAGAGGGAGAGGGGACAGUGCUGGGGCUGCUGGAAGAGAAAGAGAGGAAAGGGAGAGAGCUGGUCUCUGUUUUUUUUUAAGAGCAGACGAUGGAGAGAAAAAAAAAAAAGGGGGGGCUACGGUGCUGGUUUGUCUUCCUUCACUGCUGGUGUUCGGCGGAUGACAGACUGGGAAGGCUGGUUGUGUUUGGGCGAGAAGGAGCAGGAAAACGGUGCUGGUUUGAGGGAAGAGGAAAAUGCUGGAACCGGUCUGGAGAGGGAGAGAGGCAGAGGGGAAGUGGCGUAGGAAAAAAAAAAUGGUGGGCUAUUGAUGAGAAGGAAAGGCUGUUGGAGGCUGGUGUGUUCUUUGGUCGGUUGAGGGGAAGAAGAAAAACGAAGGGAAAAAGCUGGACUCGGGGAGAAAGGACUGUUGGUGCUGUGGUUGGGUCUCCCCCCUCCUCUGUUUUUUCGUCCCCUGUCUCCUUUUAUAGGCAAGGAAAGCCUUGCGGUGAUAAUGGUAUCCGGGACAAGCCAUAAAACAUGCCCCAUAAUUUCAGCCAUUUACUGCAAACCAUAUCCCUGUUUUGAUGCUGAAAAUGGCUUUCUUUUAAGGAGACAACAAAUAAUGCUUGACGCCGUUUCAAAAUUUCAAAAAAAAUAAUAUUGUAAUCAAGCCGAAUUGUAAUUGGAUCCCUUGAUUUUAGCGCAUCUUAUGGUUUGGUCCUUGGUUUUAGAUCGUGUCAAAUAAGUCCCUAAUUGGUCAUUAAACUUCAACAUGUAUGCAAUUAAGCCCCUGAUUGGACCUAAUAAACUCUCAAAAAUUAUAAUUUGACCCAGAACUUUAAUUUCUUCCAAUUAAAGCCUAAAUUGACUUAAAACUCAAUUUUCCUUGCAAUCAAAACCUCUAUAAAUUCAAAUAAACCUUCAAUAAAAUCCAAUUGAGUCCAUAAACAUCCAAUUUUGGCCCUUUUCUCUUCAAAUUAAAUUUUCUCUUCCAACAGGGCUCUUCUCAGUCAAAUAUAUACUGUAAAAUUUCACUCCUUGCAUUUCUGAACCUCCUCAAUCAAUUUUUCCUGAUUCUUUCUGAGCGCUCCCACCUCUUAUUAUUUUUCUAAUCUCAUUUGGCUUUUUAUUUUUAUUUUUUGUGGGGACCCAAAAAUGGGUUACAACACUUUUUUGGAUACCUUAAUGUAAAGGAAACGUAGCAUUAUUGCUUCAUAAUGAUAAAGCGAAUCACCUACACUUUUAUUUCUAUCACUAGGAGAAGGAUCACCUCCAUUCAUAAUGCUAUUUUUAUUGCUUCAAUCGUUUUCAUCAGGAGAAGAAUUCCCCAACAUAGCAUUCAUAGCCUCCUCCUACUGCUUCUCAAAAUCCAUGGUCCAUCAUCCACGAUGAAUUCUUUGCUUCUCUAAUUUGUAAUCCUUUUCCAUACUCUCCAAACUAUAAAGUGAAUCACCUCCAUUUUUAUUUCUAUCACCUUGUGGCUGUGGCUGGAUUUUCCGCCGCCCAAUCCACUUAUCAAUUAUUUCCUCUACAAAAGCCUUGGUCUCAGCGUUCUCCAUCCUUGUGGAUGAAGAAAAAUUAACAUCCAUUUCUCUGUUCUUAACCAUCAGAUCCACCUACAGCAACGUUGAUUCCCAUGCAUCAUUUCAUUUGUCAUAACCCAUUUUUUUGUUAUUUCCAAAUUCAUUUUUUUUCAACCUCGGAGAAGAAGAAAAAAAAAUGAAACUAAAACAGUGCUAUCUUGAACGACAUUGUUCUCCUUCUUCCCUACACACGCAGAGGCAAGGGAAGAAGAGAUUUUCUCCCCUGCAUUUUCUCGCUCCCCCUCUCUCCCACUUGUCCAAACCCUGACAAAACCCACACCCCUCACCUGCCAAGACCAUAAUGCUGAGGGGACAAGCUUUUCGGGCUGCCCUAAGGCAGCUCCUAGUGGUCGCCCGGCCACCCUUCCCCUGUGCCAUGACUGGACAGGGGUAGUAGCCCUCUCCCCCCCCCUUUCCUCCUUAUAAAUACGGGGGGAUAGAGAUGAGAAGGGGGCGGAUAUAGAGAGAAAGAAGAGAGGGAAGAUUGAAAAACAAAGACGAUUUGUUUUGAGAUACAGAAACGAGAAAACAGAGAAAACAGAGCAGAAGAGAGAAGAACCGCCACCGCUUGCCUUCCUCAUCACCGCCACAAGAAACAUCUUGAGCCACUGUCAAUAGCAGCUCCACCACCAAUAGAAACGAGAGAAGAGAAAGAAAACAGAACAGAACAAAAACACACAGAGGAAGAAGAAACAGGGAGAAGCAAAGGAGAAAAGAAGAAUAGCAACCCCAGUGCCACCAUCCGCAACCCCAGCGCCACUUCGCCACAGCUCGGUCAGCCACCCCACUCCAUUCCUCCUCCUUCCUCUUCUUCUUCGGCUCCAUAACCUCCAUUGUUAUGCAAAAUGAACAAUGGAGAGUCUCUCCAUUGUUUUUUUUCUGUUUUCUAGGCUGAAUAGCACCGGCCCGGACCAAAAUGGUUGGGCCGGGUCCGAUCUAGUCAAAAAAAUUGAAAAAAAUCUUUUUUAAAAAAAAUGUUGAUUCCCCACGUAAAUUUUAUGUCAUUUUGAUUAAUAUCGGUUUUUAUUUUUAUACUAUAAAGAUACAAAUCUGGUAUUAAAAUACCUGAUUUUCAUCAAAACGUUGAAAAAUUAAAAAAAAAAACAUGUUUUUGUUUUCAUGCAUACGGUCAAGUCUCUCAAAGAAAAAAUCAUAUCAUAUUUUCAUAUAACAAAAAAAUUUUAAAAAAAUUGUUUUGGCAUGCAUUUUGGCUUUAAUAACCAGUUUAUUAAAGUCACGAAAGUUAGGCCAAUAUUCAAAAAAAAAAUAUUGUUUCCUUUUAGUAUUUGAGAUUAUAAAUUUAUACGUAAAAUGUAUUCCUGAUAAUAAAAAGGUAUUUCUUUUGACGACGUAGAACAGUUAGGUUUUACCCGAUAAAAUAAGGAUCUCCUUACCAAGUAGGACUUUUGUUAAACCAUAGACAGACCAACAAUUAGACCUUAACAUAUAUCAGACAAUCAAGUAAUAUAGCUUACAUUAGAUAAGGUGUAUGCCGUCAUUUGUUUAGCGUGAUUUACAAAAAUAAUAAUUUUAUUAGUAGUGAUGGUAACCUAGUUAAACUACAACACUUUCCCUAGCUUAAUUAGCCAAAAAAAAAGGCCAGCCAAGCAUGCGUGGAUGCCACAGUGACCAUCUUCCACGGGCAGAUAGUUUUAUGACUUCCGCCGGCACCUGUACAUGUCAUGUUUUCUCAGCCCUCUUCACCAACUUUCCUUAUAAUGCCCUAAUGCAAUUAAUCAAGCCCUUUAUUUAGCUUACUUUUUUCCUACACCAUCUCAAAAGGAUUUGAUGCAAAAAAAAAAAAAAACAGUGCCAUUUAUAUAGAAUCGCUAAAACAAAAACAAAAGGGAUUUAACCAAUCCUCUCUACUCUAAAUCUAACAUAGAGAGGAGAGGAGAGGCAGAGGCAGAGAAUAGAUGGAGGGAGGGAGGGUAAAGAAAUGUUUUGAAUAAAUUGUUAUUGAGGUUUUGUAUAAUAUUUUUUAUAUGUUUUUUUAACUGAGUUUUAUAAAUAUUUUUGAUCUUCUUUUUACUAUUUAUAAGUAAGUUAGAAAAAUUUAUUCAAAUAUUUUACUACAUAUAAAUUUUAAUUAUAAUUUUUACUAAAUAUAUAUUUAAAUCCAAUUAACCAUAACUAAAAAUAUUUUUUUCUAAAUUUAUUUUUUUCAAACUCAAUUAUUAAAAAAAAACAAACAAACCCCUGAACAGUUCUUGCUAGACCAAAGAAACCUAAUUAAUGCAAAGUAAUAAUUACGCAAAGCAAUGGAGCACUAAUUAAUGCCUUUGCGUAUAUAUCCUUUUCCAUGACCCUAAAGUCUUCGUUGAUGAGACUAAGUACAGGAACACGACUGUAUUUGAUUUCCUAACAGUUUACAGGUUGCUUAUUUUUCUUAAAUUAAUUCAUUCUUUUAUUGUUAAAAAAUAAUUACGCAAAGCAUUAAACAAGUUUCCUUAGCUGGGUGCUGACGACCAAAUUUCAAAUACAAGACUAUCAAGAAGCUCGGUCCCUUUGUUGACUAAAACAAGUGUGAGUGAGUGUUGGAAACGCGGCAAUAUUAAUUAAUUAAUGGAAAUUAAACAUGGAUAUAUAUAGACUAUGAAGUUAGAGAAUCAAAUUUUCAGAUAAAGCCAUAAUUAAUGAAAUUAAGUUUGAUCUUCUCCGAUGUGCCUUUAAUUUAAUCGGAGCAAAGAAAGACUAAUUUGUUCAUGAGCGCACAUAAUUGUUAGUAUUAAAAAGGCAACAGAAGCAUAAUAUGAAUAAUAAAAAAUAAAGUAAAAAUAAAAUUGUGCAGAAUAAUGUACCACUAAUUAAUUGUUGUUUCUAGACGGAGGGAAACCAAGGCAAAGUAAUAAUUACGCCAAGCAAUGGAGCAGCACUAAUGACUUUGCACGUACACACAUAUAUAAUUGUUUUUCACGACCCAAAAAGUCUUUUUUUAAUUAUCCAAAAGUUCCUAUCAACUUUUCCUGUGUACUUGGUUGGUAAUGUGAAUGAUCAGUGUAUUCUUUUUAAAUAUAUUUUUUUUACAUUAACACAUCUUAAUUAAAAAAAAUAUUUUAAAAAAUUAAUUUAAUGUAUUUUUAGAUAAAAAGCAAGAUUAAGUAACCAAUAAAUUCGUUCAGUGAAUAUAUUGCAAUGAAAUUACUACUGGAAAACAGACAAAUUAAGAAGAUUGGAGUUUCUUUCUCAGCAUCAACCAAUCUUCAUUUGGUCUUCAUCACCCUCCCUUUGAACCUUCUAAAAAAACAUACUUAGGCUCAAAAUUAAUUUUUCAAAAUGUGAUGUGCUGCUAGUCUAUGAGUUUCUAGAUACAGUCUGUGCUGCUUCUUUGCAGCUCGUCUGAUGGGAACUGUAUGUUCUUGGGGACUUUUACCCUUCUAUGCCUUGUUGGCUUAUAAUCUUAAUCCUAAUAAGAAUCUCUAAUUAUACUCCAGGAUCAUAAUUUUGUUAAAUUGAAGGAUUAAAAUAAAAAUAUUAUAAAUUUAUAAUUAUACUAAAAUUUUAUCCGUAAUUUAUUUUUAAUUUUGUUUAGAAUCUUGAAUUGUACUCUAGAGAUUAAUUUGUAAUUUUUAAAAAAAUUCAAGAACUAAACUGUAUUUAAGGAAGCUUAAGGAAGCUGGCUUUUUUAAUUUUUCUCACUGCUGAGAGGAGCAUUAACGAAGAUUUAUGCAUCGAGUGCGAAACAUCCAUAGCUGAGUGCUGACCGACCACAUUUUAAACAUAAGACCAUCAAAUAGGUACUUUGGUUUCCUAAGUCUUUUUUGAAUGAUGUAGGAGUUGAUUUUUAAAAUAUUUUUUAUUUAAAAAUAUAUUAAAUAAUAUAUAUUUAUAUUUUUUUAAUACCAGCACUUUAAAAAAAUUUAAAAAUACUAAAACAAAUUAAUUUAAAAUAAAAAAAAUAUUUCAAGUUUUUAAAAAAUACAGCUGGAUGCAGUAUCAAAUAUACCUAUCAAUAAGAGUGAGUGUUGAAAAUAAAGCAUUAUUAAUUUAUGAAAUUCAUUGAUAUACUGAUAAAUUGAGUGAGAAUAAUACCUCUUUCAGGAUUUAAAAAUAAAAAUAAAAAACUGCAAUAUGUAUUCCCAUCACUGUUUACAGAAAGUAAGGUUUCAUGUUUUAAUUGAAGAGUAUCUGUGAUUAUUUUUUAAAAUAUUUAAAAAUAUAUUAAAAUAAUAUUUUUUUAUUUUUUAAAAAUUAUUUUUAAUAAUAAUAUAUUAAAAUAAUUUAAAAACACUAAAAUCAUAUUUUACAAUAGAUGACAAGGCCACGAAGGUUUAUCCUUUAAUUUAUAUGUCUGGAGCAAGGUUAUCAAUUCCGUUUCGGUAGGUGUAUCGUUUUUUCAAUUGGAAUGAAAUGUUUCAGUUUCGGAGUGUUUCGGCGUACCGUUUCAGAGUUGUACUGUUCAUAUAUAUAUAUUUAACAAACAUAAUUCAAAUUCAAGAUAAAUUAAUUAUAAAUUAUGCAAUACAAACACAAUGCCAAACAAAUAUAAUUUCAAAAUUUAAAAUAUUUCUAAAUAGUCAAGAUUAAAUAUAUCUUUAACUUAAAGUAAUUCAACUUAAAUAAAAUAUCAAAAUAUUAUAAAAGUAAAAUGUUUUAACACAAAUAUUUUAAAUAUAAAGUUAGGUCAAUGUUAUCAAGGCUAAUGGAAUCUAAAGCAUCCCUUGUUUUGCUCAAAUUCCUACAAAGUAUAAACAUGAAAAAACAACAUGAAUAUAAACCAUAUAUAUUAGUGAUAAAUCUAAUUUUAAAAAAUCAAUAUAAUUGUUAAUGAAAAUAAUAAUAAUAAUUUUCAAUAUUAUUAUUAAUAUAAUGUUAUUGAAAAUAGUAAUUAAAAAGAUCUUUUUAUAAUUGGGUGGUUUAAUUAAUUAAAUUGAACAAGAUUCAAUUUGAUUCAAUGACUUUUCAAGAGCGGAACGGAACAUGUGGAAUGAAACGGGAACGUUCCGGGCGGAAUUUAGCCGAAAAAUCCGGAACAGACCGAGAUUUAAAAUGAGAUUAAAUUUGUUCCGUUUUGUUCUGUUUUUUGAAUUGGUAUAGAAUGUUUCGAUCAUUCCGAGCGAAACGGAACAGAAUUGACAACCUUAAUCUGGAGUCUUUAAAGUGGGGGCCACCUCAUUAAUGGCUCACCAAGCAUGAUCAUUGCUUGAGCGACAACAAUUAUUACUAUUAAUUAAUUAUUAACAUAUACUAAAAAGCAGGGCGGAUUCAAUGCACCCAUGCCAAGUUCUUUUUUUUCUUAAUUUUCUCAGUAGAUGGUUGAAAUUCUUUGUAUUUAUUUGAGAUAUAAAGGUUUUUAUAAGAUUUUAAAGCUUGAUUAUGGAUUAAUUUGAUGAGAUAUGUUUUAAUUUGUAAUAUUAAAAAACAAUUAAAAAACCAACAACCAUAAUUUUUUUUAAAAAAAUCUAGCGGACCUAUCUUAAAUUUGCAUAAAAAGUUACAUAUCAAUGCGGUCUAGCAGGAUCAAUCCUUACAUUUCAAUGUGAGAAAAGUAUGAAAUGUUAACUAAUUUUUACUCGUACUCGGUUAUGAAAUUGGUUAUAGGAAGUAAAUAAAAAAACAUAUAUUUAAUUUAAUUUUUUAUCAAUUUAAUAUUAAAAAAUAAAAUUAAAAACAGAAUUUAACUAAAAAAAACACAACACAAGCGUAUUUAUCAAACUUGGAUUGUGAAACUAAGAUAAUCCUAUAAAAAAUAUCAAAAUAAUUUAUUAAACUCAAUUCUUAAUCAACCAAAAUUUUAAAAAUAAUAUUAAAACAAUAAUAAACUAUAACACAAAAACUCAUGAUUCGGUCCAACUAAUCAAAUGUAUGUCUUGGAUUAUAAGACUAAGAUAAUUUUAUAAAACACAAACCAAAAUAAAUUAUUAAGUCUAAUUUUUAAUUAACCUAAUAUUAAAAAAAAUUAAUUAAAAAAGAAUAAAAAAACACUCAAGUCAACCAGUUAAAUUUACUAUCUAGAUCAAAGACUUUAAUAACCUCAUAAAAAAAAUUUAUUAUAAAAUUUAAUUCUGAAUCAACUUAAUCCAAAGAUUGCUUUGCCCACUGAAACAUAAUUUCCAAGAAAUUCAAGCCUCAGUAUAUAGGAAGUAAACUUCUUAAUAAUUUACACUCGUAGUUUAUUCACAGCUUAAGCAAGUGGGGAUGCAGAGUUAAAAAGUCAUCCUCACCUUCUUAUGUCCACUUCAAUCCACUCCAGUCAACACGUUCUGGCAAUAGCUUUAAUGAACAGUUGCUAGAAAACUGACAAACAAUGGAGAAUUAAUGGAGUUUGAAGGUUCUUGCACUCAAUUAGAUGCUGUGGGAUUGGUCGUCCUAAAAGAUCUUUCUCUUUCAGCAUCAACAAGGGGGAACCAAUCUUCAUUUGGUCUGUCCUUGACCUCCAAGUCUUGGAUCGGAAGUUGGAUGGAAACCAAGGCAAAGUAAUAAUUACGCCAAGCAAUGGAGCAGCACUAAUGACUUUGCACACAUCUAUAUUGUUUUUCACGACCCAAAAAGUCUUUUUCAAUUAUCCAAAAGUUCCUAUCAACUUUUCCUGUGCACUUGGUUGGUAAUGUGAAUUCAUGACUUUGCACACAUAUAUUUAAUAUUUUUUAUAAAUAUAAUAAACAAUAUUACUUUUUUACAUUAACACAUCACAAUUAUAAAAAAUCAUUUAAAAAAAUUAAGUUAAUAUUUUUUUAGAUAAAAAAAAAGAAGAUUAAGUAACCAAUAAAUUCGUUCAGUGAAUAUAUUGCAAUGACAUUAUUACUGGAAAUUAAACAGAAAAAUUAAGAAGAUUGGAGUUUCUUUCUCAGCAUCAACCAAUCUUCAUUGGGUCUUUACUUUUCCAGCAUGUGGACAUGCAGAGUUUUAAGCACCAAAACCAUCGUUGAUAAAAAAUAUAAACAAAUUAAUGACUUUCUGAGGACUAUAAUUUGUAUAGCAGUAAGUAAAAUGACAACGUGCAGGAUACACACACACACACACUUGGACUCUGUUCUUAACCAUGUUCAAAGGCAUUAUUGAGCCUGUAAACAUAAGCCUCAUCCAUCUAUCAUUUGAGGACUAUAAUUAGAUCCUAAGGGUUUAUAAACUGGACCCCUUUAUCCAUAUCUGCCAAGUUUUGUAUUAAAUUUGCUGUAAAAUUAUGCCUUUUUCUUUAUUAAAAUAGGCAUAGUGGAUAGAAAAUAUUAAGGAAAUUGAUAAAAGAAUCCAAUUAAGAAAUGUUUGAAAUAUUUAGGACCUAAUUAAUUAAUAAAAGAUAUUGUAUCGAGCUUAAUUGAGUAUUGAGAUAUAAGUUGAACCACAAUGGUUAAUUUGCAUACGUCUAGAAGUUAACCUUUAUUUUUGAAAGCUUAUUUGAAGAUAUCCCGACUCAUAAAUAAAAAAAUUACAAUGAGUUAUUUCUAAAUCUUGCUUUAGGGGCUAAUUAAAUGGAUAAAAUAAAUAGAUCGUUGCUGUCUCUUUUGGGAUGCUAAGGAAUCGUGUUGGGGUGCUUGAAAGUGGAAACGAUGAACGAAGUUUAUGCGCGGAACGAAACUUGAAUAAAUAUGCUUAUAACUUUGAAUGUUUAGACAUGCUCCUUCAUGGUAUGACUGCUCUUUCAGUAUAACUUGUUUAGAAUUAAUAGCUUGUGAAACGAUUUUGAAAAAAAAUAAUUUUUUUUGUAAAUUUUGUUCUCUGUUUAAAAUUGAUUUUUUUAAUGUUUUCAGAUUGUUUUGAUGUGUUGGUGUAAAAAAUAAAUCUUAAAAAUAAAAAAAUUACUUUGAUGUAUUUUCAAGAAAAAAAAAUACUUUGAAUAACAAUCGUUAUUAAAUGGACUCUAAAACUACUAUAACAUCGAGAGAGAGCAUGGUUAGCUAUUGAUACGAAUCCAAGCCCACUGCGUAGCGCAGACAACACAUUUAAUGUAAACUUAUAAAAAACAAAAAUAAACAAUAACAACAACAACAAUUUGUGUAGACAAUAUGUAAAAUGAUAGCUUAGUAGAACUAUAUCUACUUGAGCUAUGCUCUUAACCACGUCAAAUGACAUUGAGCCUGGAAAUGAGCUAAAAUUAUAUCAUCUAGGGUUGAUAUUUUGUCAAGCCUAGAGAUAUUGGAUGUUAACAUAAACUGAACUUGUACUCUAAAAUUGAAUUAUCACCCUACCUUUAAACCUUCUAAAAAAACAUAUUUAGGCUCAAAAUUAAUUUUUCAAAAUGUGAUGUGCAGCAAGUCUAUGUGUUUAUAGAUAUACUAGGUCUUUUUGGGAUUGUAAUAGUGGUUACGGUUCAAAGUGCUUUUCGCUUAGAAAUGCAUCAAGAUGAUAUCUUUUUAUUUUUAAAAAAUUAUUUUUGAUAUCAGCGCAUUAAAAUGAUCUAAAAACACUAAAAAAUAUUAAUUUUAAGCAAAAAAAAAUUUUAAAUUUUUGAAAACGCGGGUUGUACUGCGUUUCCAAACAGGCUUAGUAUAUACUCCUCCUUUGCAGCUCGUCUGAUGGGAACUAUAUGUUCUUAGGGACUUUUACCCUCUUAUGCCUUGUUGGCUUAUAUUUUUAAUACUAAUAAGAAUCUCAUAUCCUUUUUUACCCUCAAAUGUCAAAUCUCUUAUGGCAUAUAGGCGAAACUGAAAGUAUCAACCCAAUCAUUGCAUCUAUAUUGGUCAUCUGCAUUAACAACCUUAAAUUUAGGAGUAGGAGGUAUCAUGUAUUGAUUAACAAGCUAAACUAACUUAGCGUCCCUAUCAUCUCGAUCAUCCUUAUCUUCCCCAUCAAACACAACUCUAUUAAUAUGAUGCUCAUCUUUGUCAUCACUUGGUUCAGAUCCUCCAUAGCAAUAUGAAGCAAAUGUCAUGCCUAACAAAUGUUCCAUAUUAACGAUUUCUUACACCGAAACUUGUCUACUAACAUUACCACCUAACUUAGAUGGACUAGCUAUUUGUGAUACUUGUGUGGUUCUCUGAGAGUUACUUGAAAAUUAAGUUAACUCGAUACUAGAAGAAUUUUCUCGUCUAUGUCUACUAUUCAAGUAGAGGUCCAGCAUAUUAAUCCAUUGAUCCUUACAAACCUAAGCAUUGAGUUCACACUUCCGUCACUACAGAUUGAUACACCAACAUAACAAGCUUGACUAACCCUAGUUUGCAUUGUCCUCCAAGUAAUUUCAACUUCUAUUUCAAACAUAUUCCAACCAAGUUGAUCACAUAGUAUUCUUGAUAAUUCGUUAAGGGACAUGUCUCUUAUAGUAGUUAGAAAUUCUUGGCUUCUUCCAUUAUAAGUGAUACCAUUGUCAGUAUUGACAAUGAUACCACCAUGAAAGCAUAAUAUUCUUAAAUUAUAGACAUUCUGUCAAACAACAUAACAAAACACAAUUCUAAUUUAUUAAUAUCUUAGGGUUUGUCUCACCUGUGCGGCGUCGCGGCGAUCGUCCACCCUCACUCCUAUAUGUGUAUCUAUUCCGGCAAAUAUGGGAAGACAAGGAGUUCUUGUCUUUUAUUAGUGGAAAAAUUGGAUGGGAGUCACUACCUAGUAUUUUGGUCAUUAGGAACCCUAACUGGUCUCAGAGAUCAAAUACGGAGACUGGUUGCGUAAAGGGAAGGUAUUAGCACCCCAAAUACGCCCUACCUAAAGUAAGCUGCAUUGUUUUAUUGUCUGAUAUAUGUUAUGUUUGUAUCAUAUUUCUAAUUGUUGGUCUGUCUAUGGUUUAAGAAAAGUCCUCCUUAAUAAGGAGAUCCUUAUCUUAUUGUGAUAAAACCUAACCAUCCUAAUGUCAACAAAAGAACUAUCAUUUUUUAUAUCAGGAAUACGUUUUACGUAUAAAUUCAUAAUCCCUGAUAUUAAAUAAAAGAAAAUAUUUUUUUUUUGAUUUUUUGAAAUAUUGGCCAAGUUCUCAUGACUUUAAUAAACUGGUUAUUAAAACCAAAAUGCAUGCUAAAAUAUAAUAUAUAUAUAUAUAUAUAUAUAUAUAUAUAUAUAUUAAAGUUUUCUUUGUUGUAUAAAAAUACAAUAUGAUUUUUUAGCUUUGAGAGAUUUGGCCGUAUGCACAAAAAAAAAUUCUUUUUUUUAUGUUUUCAAAGUUUUGACGAAAACCAGGUAUUUUAAUACCGGAUUUGCAUCUUUAUGAUAAAAAAUACAGAUCGAUAUCAAUCAAAAUGGCGUAAAACAAAUAUGCAGGGAAAUCGCAAUUUCUUCGAAUAUAUAUAUAUUUUAAAACAAGAAAAAAAGAAAUGAACUGGGCCUGACCCGGCCUAAUUAUGGGGGCUGGGCCUGUGUUACAGGGCUGGACUCAGCCCAGCUACGUGGACUGAGCUGAUGUUCCAGCCCAAAAGAACUAAAAGGGCUGGUUACUGUGCUGCGCAUAGUAACCAACCAAACUUAAUUAGCUAGUUACUGUGCAUAACACAGUAACUAGGUAAUUAAGUUUCAUUUGCUGCAGAACGUGAAUUACUCACGUUCUGCAUGCAAAUGAAAAUGAACAAAAAACAGCAGGGGAGGGGAGAAAGUUACCUGGAGCGGUGGCGACUGCUGGCGGCAAAGGAGGCGGCAGGGGUGGUGUUCGCCCCUUUUCUUCUUCUUUUUUUGUGUUUUUUGCUCUGUUGUUUUUUCUGUUUUUGCUAUCUUCCUCUGUUUCUCUGCUCGGCGCUACUGGUGGCUGUGGAGAGGAAGAGCAACGGUGGCGCUGCCGGGCUGAAGGUGGCCGGCGAUGGUUCUUCUUCUUCCCCCCUUCUACUCCUCCCCUGGUUUUCUUUCUCUCGGUUCUGUUUUGUUUCUCUUCUCUUCUAUCUGGCCUCUGUUUUCUAUUCCUUUCUCCCUUCUUUCGUCUUGCUUCCCUUUCUGUCACUGCCCUUCUCUCCUUCUCCAAAAUUUUGCCCCUCUCGUUUCCUCCUUCCUAUUCUGUUCUUCCCCGCCUGUAUUUAUAGGCAGCUGGGGGAGAGGUUCGCCAUACCCUGUUCAAGUGCAGGGCAUGGGUCUCCGUCUCAUUUUUCUUCCAUAAUGCUUGCAGGGUAUGGUUGUGUGGGUAUGGGUCAUGCGGGUUUUUUGGACAAGUGGGGUGAAGUGAGAGAGCAGGAAAAAUGAUUUAAAAUCAUCUUCUUCCCUGCCUCUGCAUGCGCAGGGAAGAAGGAGAACAGUGCCGUUCAAAACGGCACUGUUUCAGUGUUCUGUUUUUUUUUUUUUUUUUUAAGAAAAGAAAAAUGUAAUUUGGAAGAACCCAAAAAUGGGUUAUGAUAGGGUUAAUCAAAAUGCAUCAAUUAUCAACUAAACAUAUAACAAAAGGGAGAGAAACAUGGGUAAUGUAGAGACAGAUGAGUGUUUUAGGGUGCUUGGGGUGUUUUUCACAGUGGAGAGAGAAAGAUCUAGCCAGUGGUGAGAAGGGAGGAGCGCGGUACAGAGUUUCUCAUGUGUGGAGUAAAUUAGCAUAGGAUCUUAUAAAUUAUGAUCUCUUAUGAAUCUAAAUAUCUGCCAACCUCACCAUUCUCCACUCAGUAGAGUAGCUCAUUCAGUAUUCUUGGUGUGACAUUUUUAUGGCUAAGUUAACAUUGUAAUCUGCUGCAUCUACUUGUCCAAAGACUGCAAACAGAUUGAAGUAUCCUUUUUCUUUCGGUUUGUUUGGACUUGUGGUUUUAGAACUGCAUCCAACAGCGUGCCCCUCUGAAAGCUGUUGGGAAGUUAAAGAUUACUAUAGCAGGAACCCAUUGAAGUGUCCUUUUUCUUUCUGCUUAUUUACUAACCUGUGUUCAGCAUGUCACGACCAUGCUUUUGGCAUUUGGCAUCUGGCUUGGACUAGUUCAGUCAAACUGUGUGAAAGUAAUAGUCUUUCACAUAGGUUCUGCCUGAAUCAAAGCAUGGCAAGCAAGAGUUGACCACCUAUGUCAUCUCUCUCUCUCUCUCUCUCUCUGAAUCAGACAGCCAUUGAAGUAUCCUUUUUCUUUCUGCUUAUUUGCUAACCUCUUUGUUCAGCAUGUUACGGCCAUGCUUUUGGCAUUUGGCCUGGACUGAGUUCAGUCCAACAGUGUCAAAGUAAUAGUAUUUCACAUAGGACUGUAUAAGAUCAAAACAGUAAUGCAAAGUGAAAAAAAUCUCAAGAACAAAGAACAAGAAGAAAAUUGAGAUAAAGAUAUAUUUUUAUUAAGUGUUUUUCUCUAAACUCUCUUAGCUAUUCUCUUUCUCUUUGUCCAUACCUAGAAAUGCUGAGUUACAAGGUUAUAGCAGAUUAUUCUAGAUAACCCUUGUGCCAUAUACCCUGCCCUCUCCUCAGCAUACCAUUCUUGUGAAUCCAACCCACUGUUAGAGCCUUCAAUUCUAGAUGUGAAUCUUCAGUUCAUGGCAAUCCCGAGACUGAAACACCCUGCCCCAGUGGUGUUUAUCCAUUGUUGAACCUCUUGUUGACACAACCAUAGCCAUAAGACCUCGUGUACUGGUCUUCAACCCAAGUAAAUACAGUUGGGAAGACUGACUGGCCCAGUUGGACACAUAUUAAGAAGUCCAACCAAAAAAGGGACUGAGAUUGCAGAACCUAUCGCUUGAAUAGCAGAAUUGAACUAUCUGGAUAAGCAAAAAUGACCAACAUUGCUCAAAUUCAUUGAAUAGAGCGCGGAUGGAAGCUGUCAAUCAACAAGAGAAGUUGCAAGAAAUUUGAAAAACCUAACAUGACAGAAUAAGCAGAACAUGAUAUCAUAUGAGGGGAGAAAGCAGGAAAAAACAAUGACAUCAUAAGAGGAAAAACAGCUGAAUUUCUAAACAGAAAACACAGCGAAAAUCCAAGGGACAUGGGAACGGGUCAAUACUAGACACCACAUGAACAGAAGUUUCGAUCUAAUAUAAACUGAAUAGUGAUUCCAAAAUUCUUUUUUCUCAUCCCGGUAAGUUUGGACGCCAACAUAAUAGUGGGUCUGAUUUUCCAUAAACUAAGAACUCAUACAAGCAUGUUAAUACAUCUCAUUAGUUUGAGUUCACUUGAUCUCAAAUUCUGUAUCUUUCCCCUUCAGCAUGCCCGAAACCGUAGAAGGCAUGAUCCACAUUUCCCAGCCGCACAAUUGCUUCAUCGACAGUCAGAGGUGGCAUGUCAAAGUACUUUGUGUGAACAGCCUGAAAAUGGUGUAGAUAAUGAGUCUAUGGCAGACGAGAAUAAUAUGUCCAGGUGGGCAAUGGUUUACCUAGCCAAAAGCAUGCAUCAAACUUAAAGGUAAUAGAAAAUAUCUUUUACAUUGACACCCAGAUGUAAAGAAGAAAUUUGAGCGCCAAGCCAUGAUUUGGAAAGAUGAAGAUGGUAAUACAUUUUCCUUGUGCAACAGUCCAUAAGUAUCUAGCUAAGAGAAUCGACAUGGUAUUCGCAAUAGUUCACAAGUUAUAAUGCUAAAAAAUUAUAUGCAAAUUGCAUGUGCCGUAAUAAUCACGAAAUGGUGCAAUGGGGAAAGCCCUUGUUGGGAGUAGAACUAUUCAUGACAAGUUUAUAUCAAUUAACUCACAAGAAUACAUAAGACUUUACAUUUGAUGAUAUGAAGCUACGGAUACUAACUAAAUCCACAUGAAACAACUAAGACAACAUAAAUAAUAAACUGCAACGACAAUUUGGUAAAACAAAAAUGUUAAAGAGCCAUACCUCAUCAAGAUAGUCAUCAUCUUCUUUCCGUGAAACUGCAUCUGCAUCAUCCUCCAUCACUUGUGGCAUUGGCUCCCUAAUCUUCAACCUAUUAAGCCCUUUCAUGUGUCUACCAUGAUCAGACUCCUCCUUCAUCUUCCUCAACUUACUUUGAAUAAUUGACGACACCAAAUCAAUAGUUGCAUAGAUUGUCUCAGAAUCUUCCUCUGCCCUCACCACUCCAUGCCUCUUAGUAAACAAAGUAACCUCAAAUAAAAACACCCCAUCCAAAAAUUGACAAAUUUAAAGCAAACCCAAAUAAAAAAUAUGCUAAAAUCCAAUUCAUAAUUUGAAAGAUACCUACAUUUUCUAAUCCUUGGACCUUUCCCGAACUCUCCACCUCUAACUGACAACCUUGCAUCAACUUCCCUUAUAAGAUGACUAAAUUUUUGAACUGCCUUUCCUACUUUGUCCUCCACAUGCUCUUUUACAGUAUCAGUCAACUGCUACAUCCAAACAUUUGUUACAAUCACAAAUUAGACAGCAAAAUAAAUAAAUAAAUAAAAUCCAAACAUUAUAUUACGUUUACAAUUCUAACAAUAAGAAAAAAAAGAAGAUAAAAACUGUAUCUUUAAAGAGUUUAAAGACAGCAAAAACCAGAAAUGCAAAUGUAAAAGAAAAACCGCCAAGUUUUUGCCUUGAAUGAUUAAUUUAAUAGAACAGAGAGGACCAUUCCAUGACAUCUUCAUUGAAUAGCCACCAUGGCUCAAAAGGGUUUUUGUUUUCCUUCUAGUUUCAAUAAAGUUCACAUUUUUGCAUAAAAAAUGGGACUUGAGGGACACUGUUGGGGAGUGGGUCUUUACGGGAUUCACCAAAGAAGAAGCCAGUGAAGUAGUAGGAAUUGUUGAUGAUAAUGGGACAAGUGGGUUUUCUAAUCUAUUUCAUGAAAGGAUCCUCUUUUGCAUGGCCUGGUUAUUCUACUAGUGAUGGUUCUCUAGCUGGUUCCACCACCAACAGCUCUAAUUGUCCUGCACUGCCAUUUUCUUUAGGUAUAAUGAGACCAUACCUCCAGCUUGUUUUUAGUAGACAAUAUUAAUAUCAUCUCAAAUUAAGCAUCCACCAGUUUAGCGCCUACAUAACAGAACAUAGAGGAUCAGUGCAAAGAAAUUGACGCAAGAACCAUAAAUUCGUACCAGUUUCUUCAUUCCUGAAACCAUAGAAGGCAUGAUCUACAUUUUCCAGCUGCUCAAUUGCUUCAUCUACAGUCAGAGGUGGCAUGUCAAAGUAACCUGUUCGAACAACCUGAAGAUGGUGGAGAUAAAUAGUCUAUGGCAGACAACGACAAUAUGUCCGGGUGGCCAAUGGUUUAACUAGCCAAAACGCAUGCAUCAAACUUAAACGUAAUAGAAAAUAUCCUUUCUCUAGUUUCAUUUUACAUUGACACCCAGAUGUAGAGAAGAACUUUGAGUGCCAAGCCAUGAUUUGGAAAGAUGAAGACGGUAAUGCGGUUUCCUUUUGCAACAGUUCAUAAAUAUCUAGCUAAGAGAACCGAUAAGGUAUUCGCUACAGUUCACAAGUUAUGAUGCUAAAUCAUCUGCAAAUUACAUGUGCCGUAGUAAUCGCCAAAUGGUGCAAUGGGGAAAGCCCUUGUUGGAUAUUAAUGAACUAUUCACUACAAGUCUAUAUUAAUGAACUCACAAGAAUACAUAAGACUUACAUUAGAUGAUAUGAAGCUAUGGAUAGUAACUAAAUGCAUAUAAAACAACUAAGACAACAUAAAUAAUAAACCGCGAACAAAAAUGUUAAAGAGCCCUACCUCAUCAAGAUUGUCGUCAUCUUUUCGCUGUGAAACUGUAUCUGCAUCACUCUCCACCACUUUUGACAUUGCUUCCUAACCGACCUUCAACUUAUUAAAUCCUUUCAUGUGUCUACCAUGAUCGGAUUCCUUGUCCUUAAUCUUCCUCAACCUGUUGAAUAAUUGACGACACCAAAUCAAUACUUGCUUAGAUUUCUCAGCAUCUUCCUCUGCCCUCACCACCCCAUGACUUUUAGUAAACACAGUAACCCAAAAUCACAAAAAAUCUAAAAUUGAAUUCAUAAUUUGAAGGGUACCUUUCUAAUCCUUGGGCCUUUCCCCAUUUCUCCACCUCUAAAACACAACCUUACAUCAACUGCCCGUACAAGAUGACAAUGUUUCUGAAUUGCCUGUCCUACUUUGAUCUUUGUGGAAUUCACCAAAGAGGAAGCUAGUCAAGUAGCAGGAGUUGUUGAUGAUAAUGGCUUGUUUGCAACGAACCUAAGAGAGAAGCCGUUGGCAGAUUUUCUUAUAGGGUUGUUUGGAUUGCUGGAACAUGAAGGAAAAUAAGGGGGUUUUAAAGAGGUUUCUAUUAACAAUACAAAUGGACAAGGACACGUCAGCUAAUUGAUUCAGUUGGGCCCCACUUUAAGCGGGAUGAAUCUUUAUCUGCCAAGUCCACAUUCAAUUUGUGGGAAACAUAAGACAUUAGCCAAAAAUCUAUAAGAUAAUUAUAAAUUAAGUUUAAGAACAAAUAAUUUCAUCAAUUCUAUCCAAAGUAUUCCGGAGGUUUCUCAAUUGGAUCCUUCUAUCCAUUUUCUCUCAAUUUUAAUGUUAAGUUUUCCUUUAAUAGACCAGUUUCAUUGCAUAAAUGAUAAAACAGUAAAAUUAUAUGGAAAUAAUUUUAAGAAAAAAUUGAGAAAAAUACCCAAUUGAGAAAUAUAUGGCAUAGUUUGGAUCUAAUUGAUAAAAUACAUUGUUCAAGGUCUUGAUUGAGAUGCAUAUAUAGUUUAAGGUCCAGAAUGAGGUUUAUCCUUUAAUUUACAUGUAGAGUCUUUAAAGUGGGGCCCACCUUCUCAUUGAUGGCUCACCAACUAUGAUCUUACUUGAGCGACAACAAUUAUUACUAUUAAUUAAUUAUUCUCAUUGAUGUAUUUAUUUGAGAUAUAAUGGUUUUUAUAAGAUUAUGUAUCUAUGUGGCUUAGCAGGAUCAAUCUUUACAUUUCAAUGCGAGAAAGGUAUGAAAUGUUUAUUAAUUUUUACUCGUACACAGUUAUGAAAUCCUAAUAUUUUUAUAGGAAGUAAUUAAUAUAUAUAUAUAUAUAUAUAUAUAUAUAUAUAUAUUAAACUUAAUUUUUUAUUAAUUUAAUAUUAAAAGAAAUUUAAAAACAAAAUUCGACUAAAAAAAGAUAACUCAACACAGGUUUAUCUAUCAAAUCUAAGUUGUGAGAUCAAGAUAAUCUUAUAAAAAGAUAUUAAAACAAAUUAUUAAAUUCAAUUAUAAAUCAAUCAAAAUUUUAAGAAUGAUAUUUAGAAAAACUAGUAAAAAAUAACACAAAUACUCAUAACUUGGGUCACCUGAUCAAACUCAUGUCUGGAUUAUAAGACCAAUAUAAUCUUAUAAAACACAAACCAAAAUAAAUUAUAAAAUCUAAUUUUUAAUUAAUUCAAUAUUGAAAAAAAUUUCAAUUAAAAAAAAAAACUCGAGUCAACUAGUCUAAUCCACGAUUUAGGUGAAAGACCUUGAUAACCUUAAACAAAAUACUUUUUUUCUUAUAAAGUUCAAUUAUCAAUUAACCCCAUGCUAAAUUAUUAGAUUGAAAAAAAAAAGAUAAAAAAUAAUCUAGGUCAACUCGGGUUAAUAUGUCAAAUCUAAAUCAUAUGAAUAAGAUAAUUCCAUAGAAAUAAAAAAAAUAAUAUAAAGUUCAAUUCUCAAUCAACCCCAUGUUAAAAGACAAAAUUAAAAAAUAAAUAUUCAAUUAAAAAAGAUAAAAAAAACUCAAUUCAACCUAGUUAAUUUAUAAAACUCGUGAUAUAGGUUAUGAAACUUUAAUAACUCAAUAAAAAACAAAUCAAAAAAGAAUUAUGAAGUCUAAUUCGCAAUCAAUCCAAUAUUGAAAGAUGAAGUUGAGAAAAAAAUAAUAAUUAAAAAUAACAAAAAAAUAACCCGAGUCAACAUGGCUAACCCCUCAAACUCACGACCCGAGUCAUAAAAUUAAAAUAAUUUCAUAGAAAGUAAAUCAAAAUAAAUUAUGAAGUUCAGUGUGUAAUAAAUCUAAUAUUAAAGGAUGAAAUUAAAAAAAAAUAUAAAGUUUGCAAUUAAAAUUAAAAUAAAAAAAUUUCUUAAUAUUGCUAUAAUAAAAUAUAAAGGUGUUUUAAUAUAUGCUAAAAUCCUAUUGGUUCCACUUUUCUCUUAACUUUUCUAGCGCAAUACAUCUGCUGGGUUACCUUUGGCCUGGCUGCUUAACUAUUCAUUUCUACAGUGAAGUAUUUUUUUAUAUAUAUAAAGGGUGGAUGAUAUAUUAUUUAUUUAUUUUGAAAAAAAAAAGAGAAGAUAUUGCAUGUUGUUUGUCGCAUAAAAAUUAAUAAUGUUGUCAGUGUAGCUCUCACCUGCAACCUUCAACUAAUUAAUAAUAUAUAUCAUUUUGUUUUUUUUAAUAAUUGUGUUGUUGUUUUAAUAUUCGCAAUCUAUAAUUUGUUAAUAUCACUCCUCAUUUAUUAUAAGUCUUUUUAAUACUCUAUAUCAUCCUUUAUCUUUAAUAUAACAUGGAGUUUUCUAUUUUGAUAAAAUCAAAUUUAUUGAAAUAAUAUAACUUGAAAUUGCUAGAAAUCAAACUCUCCUUCUUUAAUUCAAACCUUAUAUUUCAAUGCCAGAUAGAUAUGAUAUUUUAAUAUAAGAUCUGCAAUGAAUUUAAAAAAUUAAAUCGAUAAUAAAAUCUCAAGAUUUUAGAAAUCAUAUUUAAAACAUAUAAAGUUAAUAAAAAUAUGUAUGUUAAAUAAUAAAAAUAUAAAACCUUAUCCAUUUUCAAUUUAUUAUUAUUUAAAAAAAAAGUAGAAAUAGAGGUUGUAAUAAGGAAUUAAAAAAAUAUUUGAAAGAAACAAACGCUUUAAUUGAACUUCUAGCAAACAUAGUAUUAUUCCUAAUUUUUAUUAUAAUUACAUUACAUUAAAAAAAAAUGUGCUUCAUUGUUUCUUCUUUGAAUAUAGAGCCACUCACCCACACUUUUGAUCCCCUAUAACUUAUAAUUUUUACAUAAUUGGUCCCUAUAAUUUUCAAUAUUUAUAAAUUCUAUUUUUAUUUAUGUUAUUGGUCAUAAACAUUUUAUACAUAAUUAAAUACUAUAAAAUAAACACUUGGUAUCACUUGAGGCACAACCUUUAUAGAAAUAAUACUACAAUAUGUAACUGUAGUUAUGAUUACUUAUAGUUCUAUACCUUACAAAAUCUGAAGGAAACAGCUUACAGAACGAACUUUGAAGCAUCACUGACUGCAAUGGUUAUUUUCUCCUUGCACCAUUCCAACUAGCAUUCUUCUUUGNNNNNNNNNNNNNNNNNNNNNNNNNNNNNNNNNNNNNNNNNNNNNNNNNNNNNNNNNNNNNNNNNNNNNNNNNNNNNNNNNNNNNNNNNNNNNNNNNNNNNNNNNCACAUCCAUACCCAAUUGCCACAGGUUUCCAUCCAAACCCAUCUUCAAACAAUGUUGAAUCAUCUCCUGCAAUAAAGUUUGAUGGCGGUAAUGGUGGUGCCUCGCCAUUGCUACAUUCGUCUGGCAUUGGAAAUCCAUGUAAAACAGAGUAAUAUUGUGAGAAUAAUUCGUUACUUCUCUAUUCUUCUCAACGUUAGGAGGCCAUAUAUAUAUACAAUUAUACACAACAUAUCCCAUUAUGACUCCAAACAUAAACCCACAUCCAUACCCAAUUGCCACAGCUUUCCAUCCAAACCCAUCUUCAAGCAAUGUUGAAUCAUCUCCUGCAAUAAAGUUUGAUGGUGGUAAUGGUGGUGCCUCGCCAUUGCUACAUUCUUCUGGCAUUGGAAAUCCACACAAACCAGAGUUUCCUUCGAAUGAGCGAUGAUCAAACGUGUUGAACUGCUUUCCUUUGGGUAUGGGUCCUUCAAGCCGGUUAUGUGAAAGGUCUAAGACUUGGAGAAAUGUUAGAUCUACCAACUGUAUAGGAAUCCUUCCGGUGAGCAAAUUUGAAGAUAGAUCUAAUGAUUCUAGAUUGUUCAAAAUUCUUAAUGAUGAUUGGAUAUGACCAGUAAGGUAAUUGUGAGAGAGGUUAAGUUGUUGGAGUCCUUUAAGCUUUCCGAUCAAUUUUGGAAUCUCACCGGUGAAACUAUUACUUGACAAAUCAAGUACUCUGAGGAUACCUUGAACUUUUGCAAACUCAAAUUCCGAUCCUUUCCACGUCAUUUCUACGGAAUAGGCAUAAAUAUCGGCAAAGCCAUAGUAAUUGUUUGAUGUCAUGUAAAUCCUAUUUUGAUCCGAGGCCAUCAUUGCUUCAAGACUAUUCAAAAACCCUGUUGGUAAUGGUCCACUCAAAUUAUUGCUGGAGAUGUCAAAAAUAUGUAAUUUAGAGAAUGAAUUAUAAGUAGUCGGAUCCUUCACAAAACCCUGGAGUUUAUUGGAUUUUAGAACAAGAACCUGCAACUUUGGAAGCCUUUCUAGGAAAUGGGGGAAUGUAUCCUUAAUCUUAUUGUUGCCAAGAUCAAGAACUUCCAACAUUGUGCAAUUGAUGAUAGAUGAUGGUAUUUCCCCUUCCAAUUCAUUGUCAUUGAGGAUGAGAUAUCCCAAGCUAUUCCCCUCUGAGAAUGCUAAAGAGAUAGUGCCUUGAAGAUUGUUCAUGCCUAAAUGCAAAAUUGAGAGAGUGUUGCUGAAGUUGCUCAAACAUUGUGGAAUAGAACCACUCAGACUGUUGUUGGACAGGUCAAGGAUUUCAAGGUAUUUCAGCUUGCAUAUAGAAUAAGAAAUCUCACCUGACAAUUUAUUGUUGGACGCAAGAAUAAGGACUUUCAAAUACUCUUGUUUGAAAAUUGAGCUUGGGACAGGACCAUGCAAGUGAUUAUUGCUCAGAUCAAGGUAUUCCAACGAAUUAUGUUGGAAUUCACUUAUAUGGCCUAUGAAAUGAUUGUUAUGAAGGUCCAAAUAACCUAAAGAAGGAAGAGCAAACAAAAAGGAUGGUAUUGUCCCAUUGAAGAAGUUGCUAAAUAAAUAUAGACUCUCUAGAUUUGAAAGGUUUUCAAAUGAUGAUGGGAUUUCACCGCUCAAAUUACUAUGUGAGAGGUCUAACAUUCUAAGCUGUGUGAGAUUACCAAGCAGAGCUACAUUUGUCGUUCGAAUGUCACAAUUGCGAAGCCAAAUGUAUUCUAACGACUUGAGCUUACUGAUGAAGUCAUUUUCUAAAUGAACUGAAAUUCUUGUAUCAGAAAGGACCAACUGCCAGAGGACAUUACUCACAUUGGAGGAAGGAAAAGAGCCAGUGAGGCCUUCGUUGUCUGCCAAAAUGAGGGAGUCAAGGUUUGGUAGAAGAAAGAUGUUACUUGGGAACUCCCCUUGCAAUCCACAAUCCACAAGUGAAAGCAAUGUCAAAGAAGAGGACAAAUUCGUUAAGGAAUUAGGUGCAACCAAAGACAUAUCUAUAUAAUCCAAGUAGAGUACUCUGAGCUUGGUUAGGUUUUGGACAAUCUUGUCAAAAGAGAUUGUUUCUAGACUUAGAUGUUUGUUUGAGAUAUCAAGGAAAACCAAUUUGGAGAGAUGAGAGAUUUCUGAUGGAACUUGGCCUGCAAAAUUUGAAUGAGUUAGGUUAAGAUGCAUCAAAUUGGAAAACUGACCAAAUUGAGAAGAAAUUUUGGAGAAGUUGAAAUCAUUGUAAGAGAGGACGAGCUUUUGAAGAUGAUGAAGAGAGAAGAGAGAAUUAUUGGAAUGCAGGGUUCCGUAAAGCAUGCUGAAAGAGAGGUCCAGUUCAGUCACUUGCCCGGUUUCCAGGUCACAAGUGACCCCAUCCCACAAGCAGCAGUCUGUACCCUCUUUCCAUGACUCUGUCUUGGGAUAUUGAUCAUAUUGAUAAUUUCUAGCAAACCAAAAAGGAGAACUCUGAAUGGAAAAGGAUAGUGUGAAUUGAAGCAGAGGAAGAGCUUGGUGAUGAGCACAUAAAUGAGUAGAAGAGGAGAGAUUUGAGGAGAAUGAUGAUGAAAUUGUUGUCAGAAAAUACAAGAGAAACAAAAUGGAACAGAGAAACUGAGCGAGGGAUAAUGAAUAAUACUUCAUGUUGGCUUUUCAGGAUUCCAAGUAAAAUUGGAAUUUUGAAGGAAGGAAAUGUGGAAGUCGGGGAAAGAAGAGAAGUAAAGAAAGGCAAUAUUAGUAGUAUAAAUAGACAAACCAAUCUUAGGACUCAGAUUGUGCUCUAUUCAUUCAGUUUCUGUAGUAAAAAAAACGAAAGAGAGACAUCCUUGACUAUACUGACAGGAUGUGUGAAUGUGUAACACAUUUAAGGACCAAAUCAAAGUCAUUAUUGUUAAAUAAUAUUUAUGUAGUCUUAUUAAUUAAGGGUAGAAUAGUACUUUCAAUUUAACCUAUAUAUACUUUGUUUGUAUUUAGGUUAAGACUAAGCACUCAUAAUAUACAUAUUAUUCAGAAUUCUAGCCUCCUUUUUGUGUUUGAGCUUAAUUAUUUCAACAUCGUAUCAGAGCUGGUUUUAUGGAACGAGGCUUAAUCCCGAACACAGCUUCGCGGAUCCAACUAUUGGUAUUCGCGGAUCCAAAAUUUUUUGGACUGAGAUUUUGUCUUCCGCUUCUGCAAAAUUUGAUAUUUCGUCAGUUUCUGCAAUUAUUUUGAUAUUUCGUCUUCCCUUCAGCUUCUGCAAUUUGGUAUUUGUGUUCAGUUUCUGCAAAUUUGUUCUGUGUUUUGGAGUAAUCGUAUAAUUUUGAGAAGAUAUUUGUUUAGUUUCUACAAUCUCUGUUCAGUUUCUGCAAUUUGGUAUUUUGUUUUCCGCUGCUUUUGCAUUCUGGUUCUCUGUGAUUGUUGAGUAUGGCUACUGAACGAGAUGAUUCACUUCAGUCUGUGAGUGUGAGGUUGGAUGGGAAGAACUAUUCGUAUUGGAGCUAUGUAAUGAGAAAUUUUCUUAAGGGUAAGAAGAUGUGGGGAUAUGUCAGUGAAGUUUAUGUGGCACCUAAAAAUAUUGAAGAAGGAGAUACUGCUUCGAUAGAUGCAUGGGAAGCAAACAAUGCAAAGAUCAUUACUUGGAUCAACAAUUCUGUUGAGCAUUCUAUAGGUACACAGUUGGCAAAGUAUGAGACAGCAAAGGAGGUUUGAGAUCAUCUGCAAAGGUUAUUCACGCAAUCAAAUUUUGCAAAACAGUAUCAGUUAGAGAAUGACAUACGAGCUCUUCACCAGAAGAAUAUGAGUAUUCAGGAGUUCUAUUCUGCCAUGACAGAUCUUUGGGAUCAAUUAGCUCUUACAAAAUCUAUAGAAUUAAAAGCAUGUGGUGCUUAUAUUGAACGUAGAGAGCAGCAAUGAUUGGUACAGUUUUUAACAGCACUUCGCAGUGAUUUUGAAGGACUUAGAGGUUCAAUUCUGCAUCGUUCUCCACUGCCUUCUGUUGACUCUGUUGUCAGUGAGUUAUUGGCUGAAGAAAUACGUCUUCAGUCUUAUUCUGAAAAGGGAAUUCUUUCUGCUUCAAAUCCUUCUGUACUAGCAGUACCUUCUAAGUCAUUCUCUAAUCAUCAGAAUAAGCCUUACACAAGGGUUGGCUUUGAUGAGUGCAGUUUCUGUAAGCAGAAAGGUCAUUGGAAGGCUCAGUGUCCUAAGUUGAGACAGCAGAAUCAAGCUUGGAAGUCUGGCAGUCAGUCACAAUCUAAUGUUCAUCGACCACCUCAGGGUUAUAAACCACCACACCACAAUACUGCAGCAGUAGCUUCCCCAGGCUCUAUUACUGAUCCUAAUUCUUUGGCUGAGCAAUUUCAGAAGUUUCUCUCCUUGCAGCCACAAGCAAUGUCUGCUUCUUCCAUAGGUCAGUUGCCUCAUAGUUCCUCAGGUAUGUCACACUCUAAAUGGGUCCUGGAUUCUGGUGCUUCCCAUCAUAUGUCUCCAGAUUCCUCAUCUUUUACCUCUGUGUCUCCUUUGUCCUCCAUUCCUGUUAUGACUGCUGAUGGCACUCCUAUGCCCUUAGCAGGUGUUGGUUAUGUUGUCACACCUCACUUGUCUCUCCCUAAUGUUUAUCUUAUUCCAAAACUCAAAUUGAAUCUUGCGUCUGUUGGUCAAAUAUGUGAUUCUGGUGAUUAUUUAGUCAUGUUUUCUGGUUCUUUUUGUUGUGUACAGGAUCUGCAGUCUCAGAAGCUGAUUAGGACAGGCCGUAGGGAGAAUGGACUAUAUAUUUUGGAUGAGUUAAAAGUACCAGUUGCUGCUGCAGCCGCUGCUACUACUACUGUUGAUUUGUCUUCAUUUCGUUUGAGUCUUUCAUCUUCUAGUUUUUAUUUAUGGCAUUCCCAUCUAGGUCAUGCUUCAUCUUCUCGUUUGAGAUUUUUGGCAUCCACAGGAGCUUUAGGAAAUUUGAAAACUUGUGACAUUUCAGAUUGUAGUGGAUGUAAACUGGCAAAAUUUUCUGCUUUACCUUUUAAUCAAAGUAUUUCUGUUUCAUCUUCACCAUUUGAUUUGAUUCAUUCUGAUGUAUGGGGACCUUCUCCUGUUGCCACAAAAGGAGGGUCUCGAUAUUAUGUUUCUUUUAUUGAUGAUCAUACUCGUUAUUGUUGGGUUUAUUUAAUGAAACAUCGUUCUGAAUUCUUUGAGAUAUAUGCAGCUUUUCGAGCUCUUAUCAAAACUCAACAUUCUGCUGUGAUCAAAUGCUUUAGAUGUGAUUUGGGUGGGGAAUACACCUCUAAUAAAUUUUUUCAAAUGCUUGCCUUAGAUGGAACCAUCCACCAAACUUCAUGUACAGAUACUCCUGAGCAAAAUGGUGUGGCUAAAAGAAAACAUAGGCACAUUGUCGAAACUGCUCGUUCUCUCUUAUUGUCUGCUUUUGUUCCUAGUGAGUUUUGGGGAGAAGUUGUUCUUACUGUUGUAAGUUUGAUUAAUACAAUUCCAUCUUCUCAUAGUUCGGGUCUAUCUCCUUUUGAAAAGUUAUAUGGGUAUGUCCCUGAUUAUUCCUCAUUUAGAGUCUUUGGUUGUACUUGUUUCGUUCUUCGUCCUCAUGUAGAACGCAGUAAGCUAUCCUCUCGAUCCGCUAUUUGUGUCUUUCUAGGUUAUGGUGAAGGUAAAAAGGGGUAUCGUUGUUUUGAUCCAAUAACUCAGAAACUUUAUGUGUCUCGUCAUGUUGUCUUCCUUGAGCAUAUACCUUUCUUUUCUAUUCCAUCCACUACUCAUAGCCUGACAAAAUCUGAUCUUAUUCAUAUAGAUCCUUUUUCUGAGGAUUCUGGUAAUGAUACCUCUCCCUAUGUUCGAUCAAUUUGUACUCAUAACUCUGCAGGUACUGGUACUUUACUCUCUGGCACACCUGAAGCUCCAUUCUCAUCUACAGCCCCUCAAGCUUCAUCUGAGAUUGUGGAUCCACCUCCUCGUCAGUCCAUCCGCAUUCGUAAGUCCACAAAACUACCAGAUUUUGCUUAUUCUUGUUAUUCUUCAUCAUUUACUUCCUUUUUAGCUUCUAUUCAUUGUCUCUUUGAGCCCUCUUCCUAUAAAGAGGCAAUUCUUGACCCGCUUUGGCAGCAAGCUAUGGAUGAGGAACUUUCUGCUUUGCAUAAGACAGAUACUUGGGAUCUGGUUCCUCUACCUCCUGGUAAGAGUGUUGUUGGUUGUCGUUGGGUGUAUAAGAUCAAGACUAAUUCUGAUGGGUCUAUUGAGCGAUACAAAGCUAGGCUGGUUGCAAAAGGAUACUCUCAACAGUAUGGUAUGGACUAUGAGGAGACAUUUGCCCCGGUUGCAAAAAUGACUACUAUUCGUACUCUUAUUGUCGUAGCUUCGAUUCGUCAGUGGCAUAUUUAUCAGCUUAAUGUUAAAAAUGCCUUCUUGAAUGGAGAUCUUCAAGAAGAAGUUUAUAUGGCACCCCCUUCUGGUAUUUCACAUGACUCUGGAUAUGUUUGUAAGCUUAAGAAAGCAUUAUAUGGUCUCAAACAAGCACCCCGUGCUUAGUUUGAGAAAUUCUCUAUUGUGAUCUCGUCUCUUGGCUUUGUUUCUAGCAGUCAUGAUUCUGCUCUUUUUAUUAAGUGCACGGAUGCAGGUCGUAUCAUUCUAUCUUUAUAUGUUGAUGACAUGAUUAUUAUUGAUGAUGAUAUUGAUGGUAUUUCAGUUUUGAAGACAGAGUUGGCUAGACGGUUUGAAAUGAAGGAUUUGGGUUAUCUUCGAUAUUUUCUGGGUAUUGAGGUAGCAUACUCACCUAGAGGUUACCUUCUUUCUCAGUCAAAAUAUGUUGCAGAUAUUCUUGAGCGGGCUAGACUUACUGAUAACAAGACUGUAGAUACUCUUAUUGAGGUUAAUGCAAGGUACUCUUCUUCUGAUGGUUUACCUUUGAUAGACCCUACUUUAUACUGCACUAUUGUUGGGAGUUUGGUAUAUCUCACCAUUACUCGUCCAGAUAUUGCAUAUGCUGUUCAUGUUGUUAGUCAGUUUGUUGCUUCUCCUACUACUGUUCACUGGGCAACUAUUCUUCGUAUUUUGCUAUAUCUUCGGGGUACAGUUUUUCAGAGUCUUUUACUUUCAUCCACCUCAUCAUUGGAGUUGCGUGCAUACUCUGAUGCUGAUCAUGGUAGUGAUCCCACAGAUCGCAAGUCUGUUACCGGGUUCUGUAUCUUUUUAGGUGAUUCUCUUAUUUCUUGGAAGAGCAAGAAACAAUCUAUUGUUUCUCAAUCAUCCACCGAAGCAGAAUAUCGUGCCAUGGCAUCUACUACCAAAGAGAUUGUUUGGUUACGUUGGUUACUUGCUGAUAUGGGAGUUUUCUUUUCUCAUCCUACUCCUAUGUAUUGUGACAACCAGAGUUCUAUUCAGAUUGCUCAUAACUCGGUUUUUCAUGAGCGCACUAAGCACAUUGAGAUCGAUUGUCAUCUUACUCGUCAUCAUCUCAAACAUGGCACCAUUGUUUUGCCUUUUGUUCCUUCUUCCUUGCAGAUUGCAGAUUUCUUUACCAAGGCGCAUUCCAUCUCUCGUUUUCGUUUUCUGGUUGGCAAACUCUCGAUGCUUGUAGCUACCGCAUCGUGAGUUUGAGGGGAGAUGUUAAAUAAUAUUUAUGUAGUCUUAUUAAUUAAGGGUAGAAUAGUACUUUCAAUUUAACCUAUAUAUACUUUGUUUGUAUUUAGGUUAAGACUAAGCACUCAUAAUAUACAUAUUAUUCAGAAUUCUAGCCUCCUUUUUGUGUUUGAGCUUAAUUAUUUCAACAAUUAUUAUAUGUUUGAUCUUCCUCACUGCUGGGAGAAGCAUUAAAGAAGCUUCAUGCAUGAGAGUGUGAAACAUCCUUAACUGGGUGCUGACCAAAUUUUAAAUAUUAGACUAUCAAAUAUCUGCAAUAUGUAUUCCCAUCACUAUUUAUAGACAGUAAGGUUCCUAUAACUUUCCACUCAAAAUAAUGGCCCACUAAAUUGUUCUUGCUUGACCAAUGGAAACCAAGGCAAAGUAAUAAUUACAUGAAACCAACGGAGCACUGGCGACUUCGCCUUUUGAUCCUUUUUCAUGGCCCCAAAGUCUUCGUUGACGAGACCAAGAAUGGGAACACAACAAUUUUUUUUUAUUCAAUAGUGAUCAUAUAAAGAAAAGCCUGUCAACUUGAGGUCAUCAGUGAUCACAUACUAGCAUGUAAAUUGAGAUUAACAGUGAUUCCUAGUAUGACGUCACCAAGCAUUGCCUUAUGGGAACACGACAGUAUUGGUUUUUCCUACAGGGACAUCCUAGGUGUUUUUUCAAUCAAAGACGAGAACUUUAUUAAUAUACGUUAUAGCCAAUAAGAUAAUGGCUGUACAAACAAUAAACAUAUUCUUGCAACUAUAAUGCCUUACAAACAAAAUAGGAACUAAUAAAAACUUGAAAAAACACCCUAUUAACCCACAAAAUCAAAAACAAAACUAAAUUCAUGCAACUAAAUAUGUUUUUGAUUGAACUCCUGUUUUGGCCAAAUGUUCUGUAACCUUAUUCUUUUCUCCAAGAACAUGUGUGUAAAGUUCAUAGAAGAAAGGAUACCACAAGCAUUUGAAAUGUCAUUGAAAUAUAAAUCAGGCUCUACAAUAUACCACAAUUCAGCCUUUAUAGAGUGCAUAGAAACAUUAAUAUUCAAUUAACAAGUUUUUGAAUUGUCAAAAUCCUAUUACUGGAAAACAGAGCAGCGUACUUAAUAAAACUGAAAAAAGAUUGAAGUUUCAAGGUAUUUUAAUAUUCAAUUAAAAUAAAAAAUUGAUAAAGAAAGUCAUCUUCACCAUCUUAUGUGCACUCCAAUCUAAUUCAAUUCACAGUUGUACACCAAUAAAUUCAUUGAGUGAAUGUAGUCAACACGUUCUUGCAUUAACAUUGCUGAACCAUUACUGGAAAACAGAGCAGCGUACUUGAUAAAACUGAAAAAAGAUUGAAGUUUCAAGGUAUUUGCAUUCAAGAUUCAUAAGUUACUGUUGGAUUAUCAAGACCUUUCCUUUCCACCAUCAAAAAGGAAUUAGUACAUAGCCCCGAUCCGAAAGACCAAAGAGAAGUCUAUAAUAUUAGAUUGUGCAUCGGAGCAGAUACUGACAGCAUGGGUGAAAGUGUAACACAUUUAAAGACGAAAUCAUAGUCAUUAUAAUAUGUUUCAUCUUCCUCAAUGCUGGGAGAAGCACGAAAACAAGUUUCAUACAACAUGGAUAUAUAUAGACUGGGAGUGUGAAACAUCCUAAGCUGGGUGAAGACCAAAUUUGGAAUUCAAGAUUAUCAAGUAGCAAAUUAAUUUAUGGAGCGACUGUUGGAAACGCGGCUAUAUUAAUUUAUGGAAAACAUUUAUAUGUAUUGACAAAAUAUAGAUUUUAUGGGCCAUUUUUCUUUCCAUUGAUACAUCUAGAAUGUAACAAAAAGGUGGGGAUAUUCCCAGUCUAUAAUUUGUUAAUACCACUCCUCAUUUAUUAUAAGUCUUUUUAAUACUCUAUAUUAUCCUUUAUCUUUAAUAUAAUAUGGAGUAUUGAUCUAUUUUGAUAAAAUCAAGUUUAUUGAAAUAAUAUAACUUUGAGAUUGUUAGAAAUCAAACUCUCUUUUUUCCCCUAUAUAUCCAGGAUAAGUUUACAAGAUUUGUGAUUAGAUAAGUGCAUCAGAUUAGAUUCCAUGCAAGCACUUCAGCAUUGGCAAUAACAGCCACUAAUUACUAUCAGUCCUAGUAUGAGAAAAUUGAAGAUAUAUAGCUAGGAAUAUCCUCUAUUAAAAGGAGCCUAGCAGGAUCAAACCUUAUAUUUCAAUGCCAGAUAGGUAAUGCUAUGUCUAUUCUUCCUUGUAUAUGUUCAGAAACAAUUGGAUGAGAGAAGGGAAGAGGUUCAUAAACAAAUGCCAGAGGAUCUUAGCCAAGUUCCCAAAGGGAGGCAAGGAUACUUGCAAGCCUUGUGCUGCUUCUCAUGAAUUCUCACUUUGUUCGAUGGUUGAAUUCACAGGAGAGAUGCAUUUUUCUCUCUCUGAAUGCACUGCUGGUUUCAUUUUUCCAGAUCACCCGAGAAAUCUAAAAAGAGUGGCGCAUCUGUAAUUCUUAUAAUAGUUAUACAUAGUAGCAACAAAAGUGGGAAGAAUAUUAUAAAAAAUGGAUUUGUUCUAAACUCCUGAAUUGAUAUCUGUAAGUUGUCUACAAGACCAAAUCCCUUACAUUUGUCUACAAUGCCUCCAGCACCUGAAUUCGUUUGUCACUUACUCCCCUUUGGAAAGAGGUAACAGAAUUUGGUGUUUGGAACUCGAGCUCCCAAUUACCAGCUCAAACCCUGAUUCUAACCCUUGAUUGAUUGAUUGAUUGAACAUGGAGCAUGAUCAUUAUUAAUUGUAUUAGUAAAAUCCUGCCCCAGUGUUGUUUAUCCAUUGUUGAACCUCUAGUUGACAACCACAGCCAUGAGAUCUCAUGUACUGGUCUUCAUAAUGCCUUUCAACAUUCUCCAUAUGAUGGAAUAUAAAGUGCAUUAUCUGAUAUAAACAUGAGUUUUUUAUCCUGAAAAAUGUAGUUUUCGCAAAUGAAAAGUUUAGGCAUCUACUGAUUUGUUUUUUAAGAUUUUUGAUGGUUGGGGGUUCGAUUUAGUCACUCAUUUACUCACAUAUCAUGAUGGUAGCCAUCUCACCUCAUGAGACUGGGGUGAUCUCGUCAAAGAUAAAUUUGAAAAAACAAAGAAGCAAGAUUCUUAAUUAAAGAAUCUGUAAUGUUUUGAAUUAAAGGGAUAGGAAAAGGCUAGAAAGCCCUUGAAGGCUUAGAUGUAGGAAUAAAUUAAAUGAGGGUUAGUGUGGUAAUUAAACAAUAGUUGAUAAAUAUAAAUAGAGAGAAGGAAAAGAGAAAAAAAAAAAAGAGGGAUCUGAAAAAUUUGAGAGAGAAUCGGCAGGAGAGAAGGGAGAAAGAAGAAGAAGAGAAAAGAGGGGAAAAUAAGGGAAAAAAGGAAAGGAGUUGGAGGAAAUAAGUAAAAAGGGGUAAGAUUAUGCUUUAAUGUGUAUAAUAUGUUAAUUUAGCUUUAAUUUCAGUUUUGAUGAAUGUUAGGGUUUUGAAAAUUUGUGUUUUGGGUUUAAUUGAUGAAUUAAAUUGAAUGUUAUAAGGUUAAUUGUUGUGGGUAAUGGAUUGUUAAGUUGAAUUUGAGAGAUUGUAGAUAAAAAUGAUGAUUUUGAGUUAUGGUUUUGUUUGAAUGAUGAAUUUGUGUUAGAAAUCAGGGGAUAACAGUAGGUAAUCUGUGAAAAUUCUGGGUUUGAGGUUGAAGAUGACAAAAGUUCGGUUUGGUCCCUCAAUUUUGGAAAAUUACAGUUUAGUCCCCAAACUUUGGAAAAUUACAGAUUGGUCCCUGGAGCCUAUUCCGAGAUUCUGGACAGAAUGAAAUAUGAAUUAUGGGCAGAAUUACUGUAUAGUUAUGAAAUUUUAACACUUUCAAUUUAGUCCUCCAAUUUGACAAAAAUUACAAUUUGACCCUAAAAAUUUGGUAAAAUUCCAGAAUGGUCCUUGGAGUAUAAUGAGAUGAUCUGGACAGAAAUGAGGACUAAUUAUGGUCAGAAUUUCAGUAUAUUCAUGGAUUUAUGAUAAAUUUCAGUUUGGUCCUUCAAUUUGACAAAAGUUGCAAUUUGACCCUUAAAAAUAGGAUAAAUUACAGAUUAGUCCCUAGAUGUAAUACUAGCUUUUGCAGAUUGGUUUGAUGAAUAAUUGAGGGUUAUUUAGUGAAUUAUUAUCAAGUUUUAUUAUUUGCUUUAUUAUGGAUUAGAUUUCGGGAAAACCCUUAAAUGUUGGGUUUUUAGGAAAGAUAACUAGUUAGUUCAAAAACAUAUAGGGUUAUGGAAUAUACCCUUAGAUAAGUGUAUUAAAUAGGUUAUAUAUUCCUUUGAGUUAUUCUUGAAUAUGUCUCCUUUAUAUUCAGAUAAUCCUGAUAUUCCACCGGCGGGACGUUAGUAGGAUUUCCUUCGAUAUCAGCUUUGAGUUUUGUUGCUUUCAAGUCAGGUGAGUGGAUAAUUUUCCAUAUGCAUGAGAAAUAUUAUAAAUAUUUGAUUUGUUAAUAUGAAUUGGAUCAUGCUUUUUGAUAAUAUAUAUGUUGAUUAUUAUCCUUGUUUUGAUAAAGCAUGAUCAAUUGUUGAAUCUGAAUUCUUGAUAUGAACCAGUAUAUAUUUUGAAUUGAAUUCUGAAUUGAUAGCUCCUCAUUUGAUUGAUGUCAUGAGUUGAGCCUUGAGAUAUGAAUAUGUAUGUUUGAUUAUGAUUAUGAACUUAUGGUAUGUCAGUCAGAAUACCCAUGCUAACAGGGUAGUGUUAGUCUUUCUGCACAUCGUAUCUGAACCCUAGUUGGUCGGGGGAGUCACCAACCUGUGUUGACUGAUCAUCCCACAGUACGGAGCCUCAUGCUUAUUGCAUUUUGAUUUUCUGACGAGUUUUACCAUAUGACUUUCUUGUUAUGGCCAAUUUGAGAAACAUUUCUAUAAGAACCUAGAGCCAUACUUGUAUAUAUAUUUCUCAUUGUUUUAUUACCUCAUGUGUGUAUAUUGAACGUUAUCUACUCACUGAGUUGUUGAACUCACCAUCUCAUUAUUUAUCAUUUUCAGGCUUAUAGUUUGAUAGCAGGUCAUUUUGUUGGACCUUCAGAACCUGCUUUUUGGUUGUAAUUUGUACCUUCCUUUUAUGUCAAGUUAGUGCUCCAAAACUAUGAAUUAUAUUAACUCUUGUAUUAAGACAAUUCAAUUAUAUUAUGAAGUUGAUUUUGUUGUUAAUGUUGUGUUGAACUCUAAUUAAGUUAGGAUAAGUUUGUGUGUAAGUUUGGGUUCGCAUAGGUAUGGAACCUUGGAGGGGAACCUUGCCUAUGUGCCGGUUAUGGAUCCGGGAUUCGGGUCGUGACAGAAACAUUAAAGGAUGGAAUUGAGAAAAAAAUCAAUAAAAAAACAUUACAAAACAAAAAAAAACAAUUAAAAGAUUUAGGACUAAUUUUGACAUAAAAAUUAAAUGAAAUUAAAUGUUUAGGUAAAAAUCAAAUCAAAUGUUUAGGGAUAGAAUUAUAAAAAACAAAUCCAUUCAGAAAAUGAUUAAAAAAAUAGCAAAUAAAAGAAUUAAGACCAAAUUUGACAUAGAAUUAAAUGAAAAUAAAUGUCUAGGGAUGAGAUUGGAAAAGAAUAAAUUAAUCAAGAAAAUGAUUAAAAAUAGAAAUUAAAAUAAUAAGGACCAAAUUUGAAAAAAAAUUAAAAAAAUCAAAUGAUCAAGGAUAAAAUUCAAAAUAAAAUCCAAUUAGAAAUAAUCAAUAUAAAUAAAACAAUUGCAAAUAAGAGAAGAGAGACUGAAUCAAAAGAAGAAAUAAAAUUAAGGAAUGGUAUGAAUUUUUUCAUGGCCAGCAUGCAAUCCGAGGAAAAAAGAAAAGAAAAGAAAAGAAAUUUCAAGUCAAAUCACGUCGAACCACUAUACACGUGCCUCCCAGAGAGGAAGAGGAUGACAAGAUAAAUAAAAUGAUGUAGUGGAAUUACGAUUACAACUGCCUAUGUCAGCUGCAUGUUAGCUGCCUAAGCCAGCUGCACUGUGCCACUAGAAAGCGGUGGAGCGCCUAACACGUGCAAGACACAUGUUAGCUGCCUUUUGUUUUAUAUUUUUUAGUGCAAAAAUGAAAAUGUCCUUUGGACUAAACAAUAUUAACAAACAAACCAUGAUGAACUUACUAAGCUUUGUUAUAAUCUCAGCUAAUUUUUCAAGGUAUUUUUAUUGAUUUGUAAUAUUUGCAUAGAAAUCCCAUGCAUGCCUGAGGGUGUCCUGGAAAAGUUUUGGUAAUUGUUGCCUGUUGUGUUCUAUCCAAAACCAAUGACUUCCAUUGCAAUGGAUAGAAGAUAGUAUGGUUCCUCAAGAGAACUAGAAGAAAUUAAACAAAGUGUUGUUAUGGACUAGAAGGGAUAGCUAUUGGUGUCAAAAAUAUUAUCUGGAGGAUUUUAUCUCUCCAUUGUUUGAGCUUGCUGUGGAUUUUUUAACCCUUUACAAGGCACCUAGAGCAUUGUCCCAGUCAGACUUGCAGAGAGUUCUUGGCUCAUCAACUAAGACUAGGGUUGCUGUAAAUGGGUACAGUAAGCCAAUGCUAGAAUAGUCUGUUACGUGAUUUACCCAACUUGAUAUUGUUGGAUUUAUUGUUACGGAUUUGUUAUAACUGCCUAGCUCUAGAAUCUGUUCAUAGCUGGUUUACGGUUAUACCAGCUGUCAUGACAGCUGGUUUCCCCUUCUUCUGUAACCGUCUUCUAAGAAACAAUAUAUAUGAUUUACUCUCUGACCUUAGAGAUAAGGAGAACAGAGAUUCACAUUCUCAAAUUCUAUCUUUUUGAAAUGAUUGUCAGAGAGGUCGAGCUUUUGAAGAUGAUGCAGGGAGAAAAAGGGUGUUCUUGGAAUGGAGGGUGCCAUAAGGAAUGCUGCAAGAGAGGUCCAGUCCAGUGAGAUGCCCGGUUUUCAUGUCACAAGUGACCCCAUCCCACGAGCAGCAUUCUGUACUAUCUAUCCAUGACUCUGUUUUUGGAAAAGGAUAUUGACAGUACUCCAAUGAGGCAUAUCUAUUAAUGGAGAAGGAUUGUUUGAAUUGAUGGAGAGAAAGAGAAUGGUGAUGAGCACACAAAUGAAAAGAAGAGGAGGAGGAGGAGGAGUGAUUUGAGGAGAGUGGAGAUGAAAUUGUUGAAUGGAAAUGGAAGAGAAACAGAAUGAAAGAGAGAGAUUGAGAGAGGCACAGUUGUGAAAACCUAUGAAUGUUGGCUUCAAGUAUAAUUGGGAGAGAUGAGAAAUAAAGAAGGGCAUUAUUAGUAGUAUUUAAUUAUUAGUAGUGUUAUCUUCAACACUAUGAAUCUGCCACUUUAGUGUUGUUCCAAUGUCAACUCCAAUCUUCAACACUAUGAAAGGCACAGCCUUUAUUGAAAUAAUACUGCAAUAAAAACAAUAUAUAUCUGUAGUUAUGAUUACUUAUAAAAUCUGAAAGGAAACAGCUUACAGAACGAACUUUGAAGAUACUGACUGCAUUGUUUAGUUUCUUCUUGCACCAUUUCUACUAGCAUUCUUCUUUGUUAUGCUUGCAUUAAGACUCCAUUGAUCUUCAACCAUUUUCAGAAACCAUGCAGGUCUUCUUGUUUUAAACACAACAUAUCCCAUUAUGAGUCCAAACAUAAACCCACAUCCAUACCGAAUUGCCACAGGUUUCCAUCCAAACCCAUCUUCAAGCAAUGUUGAAUCAUCUCCUGCAAUAAAGUUUGAUGAUGGUAAUGGUGGUGCCUCGCCAUUGCUACAUUCUUCUGGCAUUGGAAAUCCACACAAACCAGAGUUUCCUUCGAAUGAGCGAUGAUCAAACGUGUUGAACUGCUUUCCUUUGGGUAUGGGUCCUUCAAGCCGGUUAUGUGAAAGGUCUAAGACUUGGAGAAAUGUUAGAUCUACCAACUGUAUAGGAAUCCUUCCGGUAAACAAAUUUGAAGAUAGAUCUAAUGAUUCCAGAUUGGUCAAAAUUCCCAAUGAUGAUUGGAUAUGACCAGUAAAGUAAUUGUGAGAGAGGUUAAGUUGUUGGAGUCCUUUAAGCUUUCCGAUCAAUUUUGGAAUCUCACUGGUGAAACUAUUACUUGACAAAUCAAGUACUCUGAGGAUAUUUGAAUUUUUACAAACUCAAAUUCCAAUCCUUUCCACGUUAUUUAUACGGACGAGGCAUAAAUAUUGGCAAAGCCAUAGUAAUCAAGUACUCUGAGGGAUACUGAUGGGGAGUGGGUCUUUAUGGAAUUCACCAAAGAAGAAGCUAGUGAAGUAGUAGGAAUUGUUGAUGAUAAUGGGACAAGUGGGUUAUGAGGGAUGUUUGGAUUGCUGGAAAAUGAAGGAAAAUAAUGGGGUUUUUCAAGAGGUUUCUAUUAACAAGACAAAUGGAUAAGGACGCGUCAGCUAAUUGAUUGAUAGCGAGUAACAUCAAAUCAAGAGCUGCUGCUGCUUCUUCUUGGGCUCUGUAAGGGCUUCAUCUUGCCUUUUAAUUAACAUUCUUAAGAUGAUGGAAUAUAAAGUGCAUUAUCUGAUAUAAACAUGACGGAAACAGGAUCGUUCUCAGGUAUCAUUAGGAAUUGUUUCUUGGAGGAAAAAGUAUAAGGUUAGGUUUCUUAACGCCAGAGGGAGUUUGUGAGAGAUGGAUUAAUUGAAGGUUAGUGACAACUCUAUGGACUCCACUAUUGCCAAAGUCAAUGGAAGGUUGGAAAAAUUGGCAGCUGAUACUGAACCCACAAUAGUCUAUAGCUUUGGACGUGAGGUGGCAGCUACACAUCACCUUGGCAAUGUUAAUUAGAAUGGUAUAGUUUCUUAGCAAUUUUAGAUAGGUUAUGUAUGCGUCAUCAUAUAUAAACUGACUCUUCUGACUGGUAGGAUUCUGUUUUCCUUUGCGAUCGAAUUCGGUUGAAAUAUACCUGAGAACGUGGGAGGCUGCUAGCACGUGGGAGACGCCAGUGGACUUUGUUCAGACGCCUGCAACGUGGUGCUCAUUGUAUUUUAUGUGUGGAAGUUCUUGAUGUGUUUUCUGACAAAUGGAAAACAAACUAAUAAAGUUGUUUAAUAUAUUCAAAUUUUGAGAUUAAUAUUAAAAAAUAUUAUUAAAUUACUUUGAAUAAAUCAAAUCGAUUGUAAUUGGAUUAUUAUUAUGAUGAAAUUAGGAUUCGAAAAACCAACAUUUCAAUUAUGAAACCUUCUGACUGCAAAUGCUUUGUAACAAUCAAGAUUAUCCUCUAAACACUAUCCACUAUGGCCAUGUUCUCAUGCUGAAAAUGUUGGGGGAAUUCCGUCUUCCGAUGCGCGAACCGGGGGUGUACUGAUACUUGCUCAAAGGAGGGUAAAGCACACUGACACAAUUUUUACGUGGUUCGGCAAAACCGCCUACAUCCACGGGAGAGAGUCCAUAUUAUUUAGAGAUAGAGAAAGGAUACAAUAAAUACAUGGAGGAGAAUCACUCAACUUCCUCUCACACACUCUGCUGCAUAUGGCAGCAGGGCUGCUGCCCAUGGCAGCAGCUCCUCUUUCUCUCCUUUUCUCUUCUCUUCACGUUUUCUCACCCUCACACACUCUCUCUUGUUUGCUCUCCACAAGACAUGCCUUUUUAUAGGCAUUUCUUAGCACCAUUCUCCAGCACAUGAAGGGGACAAUGGUCCUGAAAUCAUGCCACUAAUUGUGGCACUAGUGGUGCUUCCACUAAGCUUAGUGGUGGGGUAUUGCCACAAAUGGCAAUAUCCUAACAAUCACCCCCUUUGCCAUUUGUGGGCAAUUGUCCUCUUGCUUCUUCAGCACAAGCUUGCAUUCUGCAGCUCUUCCAAGCUUACCAUUUUGAAAGCAUCUUCAACACAACAUUCCUCUUCGAGUGUAUCAAUCAUGCUCGGUCCGGAAUGAUUUUUCAAGCCUUACACCAAGGCUUACAACACUCCCUCAAACGAAUAUUCCCAAGUGCGACGGUCAUUGAGUAUUUCAAUGUGAUCACGAGCUCACCACUCUUCCAAGAGUCUACUCAUCCAGGAGUUGCGCCUGCCCUCUGUUCCACCCUAGGAACCACGCCUUACUUCUCCGUGAGUCUUUCACUCUUAGUCGUAAGAGUCCAGGUAGCUCUCCACAUUUAACCAUGGGGGCAGCCCAUAAAGGUUGAUCCAUAUCUGUCUUCAUACUCUGAGUAUUACAAUGUCAUUACCGAGCUCACCACCUUGAUAAGAGUCAACUCGUUCCCGGAACCUGCGCAUGCCCUCUGCUUCUUCAUAGCAGCCGCGUCUUAAUGCUCCACAAGUCACACACUUAUUGUCCAAGGCAAAUGUCUUCUAGCUCAUUGAUCUUUAGCAUGGGGGCAAUAUCCAUGAAAGUCAAUCCUGCAUUUGUCUCCAUACUCAGCAUAGCCACUUCAUUGGCUAUACACCUGUCCACUCAUAUCCAGCCAUCACAUUGGCUCUGGGNNNNNNNNNNNNNNNNNNNNNNNNNNNNNNNNNNNNNNNNNNNNNNNNNNNNNNNNNNNNNNNNNNNNNNNNNNNNNNNNNNNNNNNNNNNNNNNNNNNNNNNNNNNNNNNNNNNNNNNNNNNNNNNNNNNNNNNNNNNNNNNNNNNNNNNNNNNNNNNNNNNNNNNNNNNNNNNNNNNNNNNNNNNNNNNNNNNNNNNNNNNNNNNNNNNNNNNNNNNNNNNNNNNNNNNNNNNNNNNNNNNNNNNNNNNNNNNNNNNNNNNNNNNNNNNNNNNNNNNNNNNNNNNNNNNNNNNNNNNNNNNNNNNNNNNNNNNNNNNNNNNNNNNNNNNNNNNNNNNNNNNNNNNNNNNNNNNNNNNNNNNNNNNNNNNNNNNNNNNNNNNNNNNNNNNNNNNNNNNNNNNNNNNNNNNNNNNNNNNNNNNNNNNNNNNNNNNNNNNNNNNNNNNNNNNNNNNNNNNNNNNNNNNNNNNNNNNNNNNNNNNNNNNNNNACUUCCUGUUGUACAUGCUCGUGCGGAUACGUGCUGGAGGUCCGACCGCUAGGAACACUUCUUCUCCUUGCACAUGUUGUCUCAUUACAGUACCUCGUUGGAUCCUACGGGUACCUCUGCACAAUCUCCGUGUGCCCUCGUGCAAUUUCUGUUCUCCAGAUUUUCCCCUAUUCCUUGCUUAUGUUUGACAGCAGCUCAUCCUGUCAUAACACCUGUCCAAGUCAAAAUAGGUGCCACUCUUUAUCUCCUUACUGUAUUCCUCUUCCAUUAUCAGGGUCUUCAUCAAUUCUCCCCUCGAGAAAUCACAGUCACCGAAUCUAACUUCUUUGGAGAAAUCACCACUUCAUCAGAUCCUUGAUCAUACGGAACCCAACUGUUUCCUUGUGCCGUCAUCCUGCUAGUCUUCAACCGUUUCAUUACAAACUGUUAUAUAUACAAAAAUAGUACCGUAUGGAUAAUCCUUCCACUAAGCAAGUUCCCAGGAAAGAUUGGAGGGGUCACACUGGUCCCGCUUAAAACCCAACCUCCUAGACAGAACUUCUUAGGCCAUAUCUAUCCAUCGUACUGUCUUUCCGUAUAUACAACCAUUUGCUAGCUUUGUUGCGGCUUUCCUUUACAAGUGAUCUGGAAUAUACUGGUUUAAUACAUCAUUUCUCAACAUCUGGCGAGACUACCAGUGCUUAGAUUCGUCAAGAUUGGUCUUCAUCAGUUUUCACUCUUCACCUCAAAUUAUCCACUGGAUCGGGUGUCCAGAGUGUCCCAAUUUUACCUUCCCUCAAGGCAAUUCAAAUAUCCCCACUUAGCAGUUCAACACAUGUAAUUGGGUAAACAUGUGCACCUUCUUCUUCUUCAUCUCCAUCGACCACCAUGAUGACCUUCAGAUGCCUCCUGAUCGGGCAAUCUCUUUUGUUAAUUCACCACCACCAUUUUUGGCCUCAAAUAUCAACGAUCGGACCAUACCAUUGCAUCCGGAACGAUCAAAUUAGCUGGAAACAAGUCUGAAAUCAUCCAAAUCGCAUUUCAGACGGCUAAGAUUUGAUCAAAACAAUUCUGGCCUGAUCAACGGCUCAGAUUCAAUCUCAGAUCCGGUUGCACGUAGGAUCAGCUACACUGGAUCCUGUCCCAACGGCUCGGCUUGGCUCAAAUUCGGCUCGGCUCAACUCGGCUCGGCGUGGCUCAGCUCGCAUCUGGUGACGUGGCAGGUGGGUCCCACGUUGCUGACGUGUCUACUGACUGGACGCUGACAUACAUGCUGACUGUGUAUGCUGGCGUCAUGAUGACGUCAUCCUUAUCCGGGUCUAGCACGUGGGUCGGGUCGUUUGGUAUUCUAGUCGGGUCAGCCCAUCCGGGCGAAGAAGACACGUGUGACGCGUGGCGCGCGUCUGUGCGCGUGAGGACGUUUCCGACGUCCGAUUUCGACGCGGUUUUCAACAGUGGCUUCGUCUCUUCCUCCUCUACACAGUGGUAUGGUCAAAACACAAUUUUGACAACUUUCAUUUUUGAGAAAAAUCAAACACCCCUUUAAACCAUGUGCUCUGAUACCAAUUGUUGGGGGAAUUCCGUCUCCCGAUGCGAGGACCGGGGGUGUACUGAUACUUGCUCAAAGGAGGGUAAAGCACACUGACACAAUUUUUACGUGGUUCGGCAAAACCGCCUACAUCCACGGGAGAGAGUCCAUAUUAUUUAGAGAUAGAGAAAGGAUACAAUAAAUACAUGGAGGAGAAUCACUCAACUUCCUCUCACACACUCUGCUGCAUAUGGCAGCAGGGCUGCUGCCCAUGGCAGCAGCUCCUCUUUCUCUCCUUUUCUCUUCUCUUCACGUUUUCUCACCCUCACACACUCUCUCUUGUUUGCUCUCCACAAGACAUGCCUUUUUAUAGGCAUUUCUUAGCACCAUUCUCCAGCACAUGAAGGGGACAAUGGUCCUGAAAUCAUGCCACUAAUUAUGGCACUAGUGGUGCUUCCACUAAGCUUAGUGGUGGGGUAUUGCCACAAAUGGCAAUAUCCUAACAGAAAAUAUAAUUGAUUGGAAUAGAGGCUUUAGAAUUUAUGGUCGGUUUAAUGGUUUAUCAAUAUGCUGCAAUUGUGUAUUUUUAUUUUUGAAUCAAUUGGAGGAUUGGAAUCUACCAAGCAAGCUUAGUAUGAACUGGUGAUUCUUCCUCUGCGGAAACCUGAGCUCUUCUCAAAUGGGAAACUUCUUGAUCCACAAAAGUGGGUAUUGUUAUAUGGACCUCCAGGCAACGGGAAGACCUUUCUUGCAAAAGCUGUUUUUAUAAUUGUGAGGAUCUCUAAUCUGAUGAGCAAGUGGUUCGGCGAUGCACAAAAGCUCGGUGAGUAUAGAUUGAACAAUGAUGAUAUAGAAUUAUUGCCUUGUUAUUCUAAAACUUGUUGUACCCCGCCAUUUAUGUUAAGUGAAAUUUAGUUUCACUCUGAUAAUGAAAGCAAGGUAGUACUUCGUGAACAUUUUUAACUAAGAUUGAACAUUCCUAACUUGUUCUUAUUGAAGAUCUUUAUUAGCAGCAAGAUUUUGUUGGAUCUUACUUUAAAAAAACAGGGCACUGUAGCUUGCUUAUCUAAUUGAUCUUACUCCAAUGAAUGACAUUGCGAAAUGAUCAAAAUAUUGGUAUUUUUGUUGUUGUGUGGUAUUUCUAUAUAUCCUGCAUCAGGGAUAUAACAAACGUAUCUGAAUGGCAUACAUUCUUGCAAUUGUGAAAGUGGUUAUUACUGUAUUUUGCAACUGCAUCUUUGUGUUGAAACCAUCCUGUUGGGUUGGUUGCUAUUAAUGUGCAGCAACCAUUAAUAGACGGUCCCAUCCAUUGACAAAUGCAGCAACUCUCAAAUGUUAAAGGUUGGCAGCCACCAUUGUUGAAGAAGAGCUAGAGCUAAUGGCACCUUUCUUGUCUAUAAAUAGGCAUCGAGAGAGAGCAGCAAAGUUUACAAGAGAGUGGCUGCAAUGGCUGCUGUCAUUGCAGCAACUGCAAUUAUGGGAGUUGAGUAGAGUGAAGUGAUCCUCCUCUUACAUGUGUGUUGCAACCCUUUCUCUAUUUAUUGUUGGUGGGAGAAACCACUGGUGGUGGCUUUGAAACACUCGGAGGGGAUAAAACACACUGUUUUAUUUCAAGAACAAAAGCUUACAAUUAAUUAACACAAAAGCUUAAUACAAUACACGCCCUCUCUCUCUCUCUCUAGUGUUUCUCUCUACUCUCUCCACACAGAAUAGCAUAAGCUCAGCUUGCUAUUUAUACACGAAUUCAAAACAAGAUAAUUCAACCUUCAAGUGUGAAGGCGGCUGGCGGCUGUGGCGGCAAACAGCUGGUGGCUGGCGGCUGGCGGCUGGCCGGUUGGUGGCUGGGCGGUGACAGCUGGUGGCUGCCUUCCUUGACCAUCUAGAUGGAGUUUAAUAUUCAACAUUUAUCUCUAAUAAUAUGAACCUCUCUUGUGAAUAUAGGCUUUACCGAACCACGUUAAAUAUUAUGUCUCAAUGUGCUUGGCCUUCAAUGAGUAACUAUUAGAACACCACCAGUCCGUGCAGGGGAAGCCAGAAUCCCCAACACAUCCCUCAUUACAUUCUUUUCUGCACCUGAAUCCAUGCAAGUCUUGUUGGUUUUGUGUUGACUAGAAACAAACUUAGAAGUAAUCAACUAAGUUUGUGUAGUUGCUUCUUUGCUCCUAUCGAAGUUUUCAUAAUCUGAUUGCUGUUGAUUCUCUUCUAUGUUGUUGCGGUUGCUGCUGUUUUUAGCCUGGCUUAUAAACUCCAACCUGCUUUAUAAUUUAUUGACGAGGUUGACAGUUUUCUAGGGCAGCAAGUGCUGCAUUUGUGCGGUCUUCUUAUGCAGUGACUUGCAUAAUAUCAAAAGUGUGAUUUAUUCAUGGCCUGGCCUGGCCAGACUCAGUGAUAAUAUCUUACAAAAAAUUAUUUUAAUGCUUUAGAACAUUGUUUGUACCCGUUGAGAUUGUUUUAUUACACUUUUUAAUAGUCAUUCAUGUCUUACAAGUUACCAGAAUUACUCUAUUUUACUUGCAAAUAUUGUUGCUGUUGUGAUAAGAGAGUCUGUCAGUCAAGUGUUCUUUUAAAUUUACAAGAAUUGUUUCAAUCUGUUCAUAACUCUAUAACUUUCAAAAUAUUCCCAGAAACAGAGAUGGAUUUAAGUGAUCAAGAAUAACAAAAUGGACACAUAAAAAAGGACCCAAAACAUAAAUGAUUUUAUAGUUAAAGAAAGACUUUGGUGAAGAGCACAGAAAUGAGAUGAAGAAAUUGCUGAAUGGAAAUGGAAGAGAAACAGAAAGAAAGAGAGAGAUUGUGAUUCUUUCUCAGGCACCAAGGCCAUUGUCCCAGUCAGACAUGCAGAGAGUUCUUGGCACAUCAACUAAGACUAGGGUUACUGUAAAUGGGUACAGUAGGUCAAGCUCAUAUUCACCUGGGUGGCCAAGGCAGUCAGAUGACUAUCAGGUUCAAGCCACAACUAAUGAGCUCUCUAAACUAUUAGUAUCUCAAAUCUUAAAUCUUCGGUUGGAUAAUCAGGACCCUUGAAAUAUUCAUCUUUUUUUUUCUUAAUAUAAGGGCAAGAGAAAUUGUAUUUUAAAUUAUUUUCCCUAUUUUGAAAUGUUCUAAGUAGAAUAUGUUGUUUUUAAGCGACUCAGAAUUGCAGACUUGUUGUACCAUAGAGCUCUUAACAUGGUAUUAAUACACAUCUUUUGUUUUGCUUUAGAUAUACACUUACCAAUCAUCAAUGUUGACUGAUUUUGGCUCUGUGUAAGAGUUGCGGAACAUUGUUUGUACCUGUUGAGAUGGGUUUGUUACACUUUUUAAUAGUUAUUUAUGACUUCCAAGUUAUCAGAAUUACUCUAUUUUGCUUGCAAAUAUUGCUGUUGUUAUGAGAACUGAAUCUAUCAGUCAAGUGUUGUUCUUUUAAAUUUAUAAGAAUUGUUUUAAUUUGCUUGCACACUUGUAGGUUUGUAGAGCAAUUUGUUCAUAACUCUAUAAAUCUCAAAAUACUCCCAGAAAGGGAGAUUGAUUUAAGUGAUCAAGAAUAAGGAAAUGUUCAUAACUCUAUAAAACAUAAAUGAUUUUAUAGUUAACUCAAACUAUUGCUUGCUUGACCUAUUACAUACAUAGAAUCUUCUUCGUAGAAGUAACACCUAAUUAACCUUGAACGAAAAAAAAAGAGAGAAGAAAAAGUAAAAUCCACUUGAUACCUUGAAUCCAAUAUCAUGAUCUGCCACUCUAGUGUUGUUUCAAUGUCAUAUCCACUUGAUAUCCUAAAAUACUUCAAAUAAAUUAUAUUAGGAUAUCAUAACAUAACAUAAACUGUGAACAUAAAAUUUGAAAAUUCAAAUGCUCGCAAAACUUACUUGAAAAUAUCAAUUGCAUUAUUUAGUUUCUUCUAGCACCAUAUCUGCCAACAUUCUUCUUUGUUUUUUUGCUAUUGAGAUUCCAUUUAUCUUCAACCAUCCUAAGAAACCAUGAAGGUUUUUUUGUUCUAAACACAACGUAUCCCGUAGCAACUCCAAACACAAACCCACAUCCAUACCCCAUUGUCACAGCUUUCCAUCCAAAUCCUUCUCCAAACAAUGUUGAAUCAUCUUCUUCAUUAAAGCUUGAUGGCGACAAUGAUAGUGCCUCAUCAUCGUAGCAUUCUUUUAGGACUUGAAAUCCACAUAAACCCAAGUUUCCUUCAAAUAAGUUUGCAUUAAAGGUGUUGAAUUGCUCUCCACUUGGUAUGGGAAAGGUUUAGGAUUGCAAGAAAUGUUAAACCCUCGAGUUGAUUAUGUGAAAGGUUUAGGAUUGCAAGAAAUGUUAAACCCUCCAAUUGCAUUGGAAUCCUUCCAGUAAGCAAAUUUGAAGAUAGAUCUAAUGAUUCCAAAUUGGUCAAAUUUCCUAAUGAUGAUUGGAUAUGACCUGUAAGAGAAUUAUGAGAAAGGUUGAGUUGUUGGAGUGCUUUAAGUUUUUCGAUCACCUUUGGAAUCUCUCCAGUGAAAUUGUUAUUUGACAAAUCGAGUACUCUGAUGGUACUUUGGAUCUUCAUAAACUUCGUUUUUACACCUUUCCAUAUCAUUUCUAUGGAAUACACAUAACUAGAGUAAUUUAUUGCCCCCAUGUAAAUCAUGUUUUGAUCCAAGGUCAUCAUUGCUUCAAGACUAUUAAAAUAACCUGUUGGCAACGACUCACUAAAAUUAUUGUCAGAGAUAUCAAAAAUCUGUAAUUUAGAGAAGGAAUUAUAUGUAGUCGGACCUUUCACAAAACCUUGGAGUUUAUUGGAUUUUAGGACAAGAAUUUGGAGCUUUGGAAGCGUUUCUAGAAAGUAGGGAAAUGUAUCCUCAAUCUUAUUGUUGCCAAGAUCAAGAACUUCCAACAAUGUGCAGCUGAUGAUAGACGGUGGUAUUUUCCCUUCUAAUUCAUUUCCAUUGAGGUUGAGAUAUUCCAAGCUAUUAUUCUUUGAAAAUAUUGAAGGGAUGGUGCCUUGAAGAUUGUUCAUGCCUAGAUGCAAUACGGAGAGCAUGUUGCUGAAGUUCCCCAAACAUAGUGGCGUAGAACCACUCAAGCUGUUGUUGGACAAGUCCAGGAGCCGAAGGAAUCUCAGCUUGCAAAUAGAAGAAGAAAUCUCACCUGUCAAUUUACUAUUGGACGCAAGAAUAAGGACUUCCAAGUUCUCUUGUUUGAAAAUCGAACUUGGGAUCGGACCGUGCAAGUGGUUAUUGCUCAAAUCUAGGUAUACCAAUGAAUCGUGUUGGAGUUCACUUAUAUUGCCUAUGAGAUUAUUGUUAUGAAGAUCAAGAUAAUAUAAAGAAGGAAGAGCAAACAAAGAGGAUGGUAUUGUUCCAUUGAACAAGUUAUCAUAUAAACUUAGACUCUCUAGAUUUGAAAGGCUACCCAAAAAAUCUGGAAUGUGACCCAUAAAUUUAUUGGAAUCGAGUUUCAAGUAAUAGAGGUGUACAAGGUUUCUAAAUGAUGAUGGGAUCUCACCGUUCAAAUUAUUACUUGAGAAGUCUAAAUAAAUGAGCUGUGUGAGAUUACCAAGCAGGGCUAGAUCUGACCUUAUAAUGUUACUAUUACGGAGAUACAUAUAUUCUAAUGACUUUAGAUUACUGAUCAAGUCGUUUUCUAAAUAAACUGAAAUUCUUGUAUUAGAAAGAUCCAACGAAGAGAGGACAUUACUCAAAUUGGACGAAGGAAAAGAGCCAGUGAGGCGGUUGUUGUAUGACAUAUCCAGUGAUUCAAGCUUUGGGAGGAGAAAGAUGUUACCUGGGAAUUUCCCCUGCAAUCCACAACCCCAAAGGGAAAGAGAUGACAAAGAAGAGGACAGAUUCGUCAAGGAAUUGGGUGCAACCAAUGACAUGUUUACCCGACUCAAAUCGAGUUCUCUAAGUCCGGUUAGAUUUCGAACAAGCUUGGCAAAAGAAAUUGGUUCUAGACUUGGAUCGUAGUUUCCAGAGAGAUCAAGUGAAACAAAUUUGGAGAGAUGAGAGAUUUCCGACGGAACUUGACCUGCAAAGACUGAGGAAUUUAGGUUAAGAAGUGUCAGAUUGGAAAACUGGCCAAAUCGAGGAGAAAUAUGGGAGUUAUUGAAAUCUUUGUCAGAGAGGUCGAGCUUUUGAAGAUGAUGCAGGGAGAAGAGGGUGCUAUUGGAAUGGAGGGUGCCAUAAAGCAUGCUGCAUGAGAGGUCCAGUGCAGUGACAUGCCCUGUUUUCAUGUCACAAGAGACCCCAUCCCACAAGCAGCAGUCUGUACCCUCUUUCCAGGACUCUGUCUUGGGAUGCUGGCAACGCCCUGAAGCAGAGCUAUUAAUGGAAAAGGAUUCUUUGAAUUGGAGCAAAGAAAGACUUUGGUCAGGAGCACAGAAAUGAGAUGAAGAAAUAGUUGAAUGGAAAUGGAAGAGAAACAUAAUGAAAGAGAGAGAUUGAGAGAGGGACAGUGGUGAAAACCCCAUGUUUGGCUGGCCUUACAGGAUUUAGUAGUAUAUUUGGGAGAGAUGAGGGAUGAAGAAAGACAAUGUUAGAAGUAUUUAUAGACAAACUAAUCUUAGAUUGUAUACAGACUGAUGUGUAAAACAUGUAAAGACGAAAUCAAAUCUCAAGUACAAGAGUGAGUGAGUGAGUGUUGGAAACGCAGCAAUAUUAAUUAAUUUAUGGAAAACAUGGAUACGUCGACGUCUUAACCAUACUAAUGUAUACAAUAAUAAAAAGUUUGGAUAUCUUUCAUGUAAAUCACCUUCUUUUCUCUCCGUCUUUGCCUUUCUUUUCAAUUCACCUCUAUUUUUUUUUUUAAAUUCAAACCCAUCCAAACCCCGUAAUUUUCCCAAAAUCUAGGGGUUUUUUCUCCAUCUGCUUUUCUCUCAAAGCUUGAAAAUUUGCUAAGAUUGUUGCAGUAAAACUCACUCUACUUUUGGUUUAUAGUUAAUUAGAAAGGAUAAAUAAAGGUCGUUUGUUCCUUCAACUUCUACUACUAAAUCAUCACAUCACCAUUAGCAUUAUGAUCAUCGAUGUGUUGAUUCGUAGAGAAGAUAUUAACAUCAGUAGUAUCUGAAGAAUAAGGGGGUGUUUCAUGCUCUUUCACUCUCAGAAAAUCAAUAAAUACAAACGGAAAUACUAAGGGAAUAUUUCCGUCGGUAAAUUUCAGAGGGAUUUUACCAACGGAAAAAUUCCCUCGAUAUAUACGGAGAAAAUUACAGUGGGAAAAAAAAUUAAAACAAAGCAAAAAAAAAAAAUGACGUGUCAUUUUUAUCGACGGAAUUUAUUCCAUCUAUAAAAUCCGUCGGUAAAUUCGUUGGUAAACUAUGAACACUGUUCAUCAUGUCAAUUAUAAAGGGAAUCACCGACGGAAUUGUUCGUCGGUAUUUUCCAGAGAGCUUCAGAACUAUUCACUUUUCAAUUGCAAUGUUAAUUUUUGUUCUUUACGGACAAAAUCACCAGCGGAUUGCAAAGUCAUCGGUGUUAUUUGGCGGUUUUCUGAAAAAAAAAAUUAAUUUAAAUUUUUCAUUUAAAUUUUACAGACGGAAUCACCGACGGAUUGAAAAAUCAUCGGUAAUUGUUGGCGGUUUCUGAAAACUUUUUACGAAAUUAAAAAUUUAAAUUAAAUAUUACUGAUGGAAUUACCGACGACAUAAUUAAAAAAUAUUAAUAUUCAAUUAUCCGUCGGUAAAUCCGUCGCUAACUCGCCUCAAUAAAAAGCUUGAAUCCCCUUAUUUCACAAGAGACAGACUCAUUUCUUCUUCUUCUUCUUCUUCUUCUUCUUCUUCUUCUUCUUCUUCUUCACUAUAUGUAAAAAACAUCGAUAUCUAUUUCUUUCUCUUCUUUUCUCUCCUCAUCUCCUUCUCUUUUCCUCUAUGCUCGGGUAUGUCUUCUUCUUCUUUCUUCUUUUAUCCUCUUAGUUUUUUUUAAUUAAUAUGCUUUACGAAAUUUUUUUCUCUCCUUGGCUUCACUUGCAACUACAUUAAGGUAAGAUUUUUCUUUUUUCUUCUUUUUCAUGAUUUUUUUCACUAUAUUUAUUUUUUUAUUUUAUUUUUAAUUGUUUUUGUUCUUAAUAAUUGUAUAAAUGUUGUUGUGAGAUUUUUUUUUCCAUAUGAGAUCAAUUUUUUGUUGAUUUAUUUAUAGGAUUUUUAAAUUUUUAGCAAUUGCAACUUCAUUUUUUUCAUAUGAAUUUUUUAGUUGAAUUUAUUUUUUCGUUUUAUUUAUUUGUUGCAAAUUUGUUUGAGUUGAUUUUCUUAUUCUUUUUUCCAAGCAUUUUGAGUAUAUUAUAGAGUAUUGAUUUAUGUUAAUUUCAUUAUUUUAUAAUUUUAUAAAAUGAAGGAAAUUCCAUCGGUAUAUCCCUCGGUAAAUCCAUUGGUAAUAAAAAAAUUAUUAUUAUUGACGCGUCUGUUCCGUCGGUAAUAAUAUAUUUUUAUUACCGACGAACAAAAAAUUAUCGAUGAAAGAUUCACCGACAGAGCAUUUUCGUCGGUGAUUUCGUUUGUAAAUUAAUUACCGAUGAAAUAUGUAUCUUACGUCGAUGGAAAAAUUCUGUCGGUAAAACUGUUAAAUGUUGUAGUGUUUUAGCUUUUUUAAAAAAAAAUAUAUUAAAAUAAUAUAUUUUUAAGAUUUAUUUUUAAUAUAAGCAUGUCAAAAUAAAAAAAAAAUUAAGUUUUAGCAAACCUCUAUUCUGGUCGCAAAAUUAAAUGGGGGUUAAGAUGGAGAAUAUAUUAUGAAGCAAAAUCAAUAGAUUUGAGUUUUUUUUAAGGUUUCAAGAAAAACAAGAACAAUUAAUUUAAGUUAGUUUUCUUAUUUAAUGUAUAAAGGUCAUUUCGUCUUUUUAUUAUAUUUGAAAAUUUGUGUUGAUCCAAGAUGUAAAUAGUAAUUUUUUAAAGUACAGCGGGUAAGUGAAAAAAAUGACCUAACUACAUGAUAUUAAAUAUAUUUUUUCUAUUUUUUUAUUUUCACUAAAACUAACUUGUUGUUUUAUUUUUAAAAUAUUGGUUUCUUUUAUUUACUUUGGAAAGUUAUUUCUACUUUAUUUUCAAAAAUAUUAUUUUAUUAUUAUUUAUGGUGGAUUUUUUUUAUCUUUUCAAAAUCAUUAUUCUUUUUAGAUAAUUUUUUUAUCUUUUUUUUAAAAAAAAAACUUAUAAAAAAUAAUUUUUAUGUAAAAAAUAGAAAAUUUUGAGCACAUAAAAUAAAAAAUAUCAUAAAAAUAUAUUUGAAAAUCAUCAUGUAAAAAAUUACAUAUUUACCGUCAUCAAGGUAUUUCGUCAACACAAAUUUAAGUUAUGGAUUUUUUUGGUGAUCGAAACUAGUAUGCGUUAAAUUUAUAUCAAUUUGAUGAAUUUUGUUUUUUUUAUGAGAGAAGACAUUAAUUUUGUGAUGUGAGAAUUAGGAGUAUAUUGUUUUGAUAUUGUCUACUAGUAUUGUUAGUAUAUGUUUGAUCUUUAUCACUGGGAGAAGCAUUAAACAAGUUUCCUUAGCUGGCUGACCGACCAAAUUUCAAAUACAAGACCAUCAACUCAUCAAGUAGCUAGGUCCCUUCGUUGACUAAAACAAGCUAGGGUGAGUGAGUGUUGGAAACGCGGCAAUAUUAAUUAAUUAAUGGAAAUUAUAUAUAUAUAUAUAUAUAUAUAAAGAAAAUGAAGUUAGAGAAUCAAUUCUUCAGAUAAAACCUUAAUUAAUGAAAUUAAGUUACAUCUUCUCCAAUGUGUAGCUACCGAUUGAAUUUUUUUUCGGGUGUGUUUGAAAAUGCGGUGCAAACUAUAUUUUUUUAAAAUUUUAUUUUUACUUAAAAUAAUUUUUUUAAUGUUUUUAAAUCGUUUUAACUGUGAUAUAAAAAUAAUUUUUUUAAAAUAAAAUAAUUUUAUUUUAAUAUAUUUAUAAGUGAAAAGCACUUUGAACCAUUAUUAUUAUUACUAAAAUUUCAUAAACACCUGAAUGUGCCUUUUCCUCAACUUUUGAGUCCGAGCAAUGAAGGACUAAUUUUUUCAUGAGCACAUAAUUGAGAGUUGAAAUUGUUAGUAGUUAUUAUUAAAAAGGCAACAAAAACAUAAUGAAUAAUACCUCAUGUUUUUUUUUCAGGACUUAAAAAUAAAAAUUCAAAAUAAGUCCCAAAUAGCAUCUGUAAUUUGUGAAAAUAUUCUAGUUUUUUAAUUAUUAUUUUAACUGUAUUACUUUACCAUUUUUUUAACUUUGUUAAAAAACUAAAAAAGCUCCAAUAAUUGAACUUUAGUUUUCGUAUAAUGACCGGCUGUAAUUUGGUCAAAAUAAUAUUUAAAGAAAACAGCCUUUUCCUCGACGUUUGAAUUGGAGCCGAGAAGGACCGAUGAUUAAAUUAAUGUAUUGAAGUGCAAGGGAAACAAAAUGGAAAUGAGAAAUUGAGUGAGGGAUAAUGAAUAAAAAAUAAAGUAGUAGAACUAUUUGUUUUUGUGUUUUAAAAAUGUUUUUAAAAAAAUUAAUUUUUUUUAUUUUUUUCUUUACUUCAAAUUAAUAUUUUUUUGGUGUUUUUAAAUUAUUUUGAUGAAUUGAUAUUAAAAAUAAUUUUUAAAAAAUAAAAAAUAUUAUUUUAAUACAUUUUUGAGUAAAAAACACUUUAAAAAACAAUCACAACUAUACUCCUAAAGCCACUAUUAGCUUUCUUGACUCAAAAUUCAGCAAGACCACAAAUUUAUAUAUAUAUAUAUAUAUAAAAUAAUGCAGCACUAAUGACUUUGCCUAUUAUAUCUAUAUUUUCAUGAUCCAAAAGUCUUCAUUGACGAGACUAGGAAUGGGAACACCACAGUAUUGAUUUGCAUCAUAGUUAAUUGGUGUUUCUUAUCAUGAAGAAAAUUAAUUAAUCAUAUAAAUAAUAAUUAUAUAUAUAGUCAUUUGACAAGUGUUGAUUAAUUAAUCAAAUGAUCGAGAAUAUAUAAUUAAGUCACAAAUACAAUUAAAAUUAUAGAGAUUAAAUGUCAUAACCAUUUUACUUUUCUCAUCGUGGCAGGCAAGAACAGAAAGUAGCCAAACAGCCAAGUUACAAAAAAACAUCGUGGUAGGUUGCGACUGGCCAAGAGAUGAGAAAACGGGAGAGGAGAGACGACAUGGAAUAGAACCCUAAACUCUCCAUGUAGCUAAUAACAUGAACCAAAAGUCUUCAUUGACGAGACUAAGUAUAAGAACACGACAGUACUAUUUGAUUUCCUAACUGUUGAGUCCUAAAUGGAAUCAAGGGAGCAUGAUUGAUGCAUUAAACAUUGAAAGGGGAAUUAUUCCUUUUCAGACAUCAAUUUUAUCUUUCUCAUUUUUAUUACUAUGGAGAAUUUUGCCUGGAAUUGUUUUUCAUGCGAUUGUUCAUUCUAAAAUGCAAAACUAAGAGUCUGUCGCUGAAGUUUCCUAAACAUGCAUGGUGGUGUAGAACCGCUCAAACUAUUAUUUUACAAGUUAGACUUGAAGGAAUUUCAGCUUGCAAAUUAAAGAAAAUAUUUAGUGAAAGUUCAAUCUGAGGAUGAUCUCUGAGGAUGCAAAACAUUGUGAUAUGAGGAGUAGAGUUCAUUUCAUCAAAUUAUAAAGAAUGGUGAAAAUAAUUGAUUUAGGUUUUGUUAUACAUGGAUUUAUUUAUACUCCUGUCUUGUAAUUGAUUCUAACGUCGCACCUGCUUCCUCUAUAAAACAGCUUGAUGUUGAUAUGGUAAAGAUAUUGCCUUUUAUUUAUGCUUAUAUUUUCUGCAAUGGUUUUACAGUCUCCAACUUAGUGAACUUCCUUGUCCGUUUAUAUAUCUGAUUUGCCUCUAUGAUUUCGAGAUUUGUUCUAUGUUUCUAGAGGCAUUUCAUAAAAGAAGAAAUUUUACUUUCUUUUCAAUUUUUUUAUUUUCUAAACUUAAAAGCCUUAUGUUGUGGAAAACCUUGAUGGGGUGUCCAUUUUCGGGCCUUUGCCUGAUAGAACAUGAUCAACAAAUACAAUGAUCUAUUUGGCUUUCCUAAUUAGUUGGCGUUUGCUGGUUGGCUACCUCUUUGUGUAAAGGUGUUUUUGGAAUUGUGGUUGCAGUUAUUUUUUAAAAUGUGUUUUACUCGGAAAUGCAUUAAAAUAAUAUUUUUUUAUUUUAAAAAAAUUAUUUUUGAUAUCAGCAUAUUAAAAUGAUCUGAAAACACAAAAUAUUAAUUUAAAAUAAAAUAAAACAAAAAAAUUAAUUUUUUUUAAAAUAUUUUUAAAACACAAAAAUAAACAGGAUAUCAAUACUAUAUAUUUUUGCCUCUGGAAGCAAUCAUAGGUUAGAUACAUCCAUUUAUUGAUAAAUCUUUUCCAAAAGAUGCAGACGCUAACAAUCUUUCAGUACCAAAUUCCAAAUACAAGAGUGAGUGAGUGUUGGAAACGCGGCAAUAUUAAUUAAUUUAUGGAAAACAUGGAUAUAUAUAUAUAGACUAUGAAGUUAGAGAAUCAGCAUAGGAUCUCUUAUGAAAGUAAAUUAUCCAUAGGUUCUUUUUACUGGAAUAAGUGGUUAUGGCAUUUUAAUGGCAUCACUGUACUGCCUUUGACCUCACCAUUCUCCACCAAGUAGAGUAGCUGAUUUAGUUUUCAGUAUUCUUUGUUUGACAUUGUUAUGGCUAAGUUGACACUGUUAUCCUUUUUCUUUCUGUUUGUUUGGACUUGUGGUUUAGAACUGCAUCCGACAGCGUGCUCCUCUGANNNNNNNNNNNNNNNNNNNNNNNNNNNNNNNNNNNNNNNNNNNNNNNNNNNNNNNNNNNNNNNNNNNNNNNNNNNNNNNNNNNNNNNNNNNNNNNNNNNNNNNNNNNNNNNNNNNNNNNNNNNNNNNNNNNNNNNNNNNNNNNNNNNNNNNNNNNNNNNNNNNNNNNNNNNNNNNNNGAGCAAAGAAAGACUAAUUUGUUCAUGAGCAUGCACAUAAUUGUUAGUAUUAAAAAUGCAUGCACUUGAGGGACUAGCUGCUGUGGUCAAUUGUGUGACUUGUUCCGCCCCCGUCCCGGGUUCGACCCUCUAUGUGCACGCCUGUCACCCCCGCGGUGCCUUACCUGCUCCUGGGCUUGCAGGAUGUCCAGUGGGCCGUGAGGAAUAGUCGUGGUGCGCGUAAGCUGGCCCGAACACCCACAUAAAUAAAAAAAAAAAAAAAGCAACAGAAACAUAAUAUGAAUAAUAAAGUAAAAAUAAAAAGUAAAGUAAAAUAAAAUUGUGCAAAAUAAUGUCCCACUAAAUUGUUGUUUCUACUUUCUAGACGGAUGGAAACCAAGGCAAAGUAAUAAUUACGGCAGCACACAUUUAUCGUUUUUCACGACCCAAAAGUCUUUUUUAAUUAUCCAAAAGUUCCUAUCAACUUUUCCUGUGUACUUGGUUGGUAAUGUGUAUGAUCAGUGUAUUUUUCUUAAAAUAUUUGUUUAUUAUAAAUAUAUUAAAAUGAACUGGUUUGAUCUUUUGUCACUGGGAGAAGCAUUAAACAGAUUUCUUGGCUGGGUGCGGUGCUGACGGACCAAAUCUCAAAUGCAAGAGUACUGUAAUUUGUGGAAAGAUGGAUAUAUAUAAACAAAUUAAUGAAUUUGUGAAAAGAUUAUAAUUUGUAUAAACAGUACGUAAAAUGACAGCUUUCCAGAAAUAUAUUCACUUGGACUUUGCUUUUAAUCACCUACAAGGACAUUGAGCCUGGAAACAAGUUAAAUUCUGUGCUAUUCCUUUGCAGCUCGUCUAUAGGAACUGUAUGUUCUUGGGGACUUUUACCCUUCUCUGCCUUGUUGGCUUAUAAUCUUAAUACUAAUAAGAUCUUCCUUUGCAUGCACUGAUAAAUUAUGCUUGUUAUUGUGAACAAGAACAAGCGGCUGCUUACUUGACGGGUUAAACAAUUUAUAUGUUUCUAAGAAAAAAGGAGCAUUUUAUAGUUUAAAGGAUAGUAAUGCGUUGGGCAAUCCGGGCCAGAAUUCAGGCAGCUGCAAAAACGAUUCAUUGACAAAUGAAACUUCCCGGGAAAACGAAGUUCUUAAUUGUUAAAUGCAAUUCAGAAUGAUUUCCACUCCCUUCAAGUUACUUGUAACACCACUUCAAAAGUUUGGACAACUCACUUCAUCAAUGGGAGCGCAUUGGUUUUAUUUUAUUAGAUUCCAAGAAGCACAAGAUCAGAUGACAUUUGAGUCUUAGAAGCAGCCAUUCUCCGUAAACUGAUGACGCCAACCUCUGGACUUGGAGGGAAUGCUCUUAAAAAUACUGGGAAUGCUAUUUGAUUUGUGCUUAUCCCCUGGGAACAAAGAAAGGAAAGUUCAGGGGAUUCGGGAACUGAACUACCUCCCAUUGUCGGAAAUCAGUUUCCUGUUCUCCUUGAAUGGCCAUGUAGAUGGAUCAGACAGACUCAAUAUUCUUGAAAGACUACCCUUUCUUGGCAUUUGAUCCCUGUUCCUCUAUCAAUAGGUAUCUGCUACCAAAUAUUAUUAUUAUUAUAUAAAUCUGGUUGGCUAUUCAUCUUAUCUUCUUGCCUGAUGUUUGUUGCAUUUGUGAAGGAACUGUAUUUGAUUCUGUCUACAAUUGUUUAAGAAAGAAUGAUUUUGAAGAACUCUCCUCUUUCUAUCUUCUUAACAAUGAUUAAGAAUGUCUUUAAUUAUUUCCUCACUCUUGAGACUACGAAUGGGAACACUAUAGUAUUGUUAGUUAAUUGGUAAUUUUUCUUAUUAUGCAAAAAAAUCAUUGAUCUUUAUAUUAUUAAAACUAAUUAAACAGUCAUUUGAUAAGUGUUAAUCAUGUUUAAUUUCAUAAUAUUUUGUUUUGAAAAUACUUUUUUCGAUCCCCUAUCAAUCCUUCAACAUAUCUACUUAUCUACUCUGGUGUUUUUUUUUAAAUAAAUUUAAAAAAUGGCGAGGGUGUUUGGCAGUGUGGUAGUGAUUGCUUUUCAAAUAGCUUUUCGUGCCGAAAUACAUGCCAAUGAUGUUUUUUAUUUUUUAAAAAUCAUUUUUGACAUCAGCACAUCAAAACGAUCAAAAAAGUACAAACCGCACUCAAUUUUAGCAAAAAAAAAAAAAAAUUGAAAUUCGGUGAAAAGCAGGUUCAACCGCAGAACCAAACAGCCUAAUUAGGCUAGAAGAUUUCAUAGUUGCAAACCAGGGGGGGAUUUUUUUUUUUUUUCACUCCAAAUUAAGAAAGCUCGAAAUGUUUAUUCCUCGGGUGUUUACUUUCUUUUCUUUUUUUCUUUUAAGUUUUAAUAUUAACUAGAGAAACUUUAGAAAAAAAAAUCAUAUAAAAUAAAACCGUUUAUCCAACACAAUUGUGUCUGGAUAGGUUUUUUAAGGAGAAAAAUAAUUUUAAAAAGCAUGUUAUUUCCUACUUUGUUAUGAAAAUAGUUGACAUCCAUUUAUCGGAUGAGCUUUCUAUAUUAAUUAAAUAAAAUGACCUAUCCAGACAAUAUAUAGACUAUGAAGUUAGAGAAUCAAAUUUUCAGAUAAAGCCUUAAUUAAUGAAAUUAAGUUUGAUCUUAAUUCUCCGAUGUGCCUUUUAAUAGGAGCAAAGAAAGACUAAUUAAUUUGUUCAUGAGCAUGCACAUAAUUGUUAAUUAGUAUUAAAAAGGCAACAGAAACAUAAUAUGAAUAAUAAAAAAUAAAGUAAAAAUAAAAUUGUGCAGAAUAAUGUCCCUCUAAUUAAUUGUCGUGUAGACGGAUGGAAACCAAGGCAAAGUAAUAAUUACGCCAAGCAAUGGAGGAGCACUAAUGACUUUGCACAAUUAAAUAUUACGUAAUGUCAUGUAACCUCCAUCAAAAUAUAGAAAUUCUAAAGUUUAGUAUUGACGGUUCAAUCAUAGUAUGGCAAAAUCAACUCACAGUGAUAUAUGGCCCAGACAAACACAAAAACUUAAAAGAAGUCAAGCUAGGAAAGUAUAGCAAAAUGCUUUCCUAGUAGGUCGAAGAACAUAUAAAUUUAUGAAAAUAUUACAAUUACGAAGAAACAUAUAUUCUAAUGACUUUAGAUUACUGAUUAAGUCGUUUUCUAAAUAAACUGAAAAUCUUGUAUUAGAAAGAUCCAAUAGAGAGAGGACAUUACUCAAAUUGGACGAAGGAAAAGAGCCAAUGAGGCCUUCGUUGUAUGACAGAUCCAGUAAUUCAAGGUUUGGGAGGAGAAAGAUAUUACCUGGGAAUUUCCCCUGCAAUCCACAACUCCAAAGGGAAAGAGAUGAAAAGGAAGAGGACAGAUUCGUCAAGGAAUUAAAAAAAUCUUGUGAAACCAAAGACAUAUUUACAUAGCCCAAAUCCAGUUCUCUUAGCUUGGUUAGGUUUUGAACAAUCUUGUGAAAAGAAAUUGGUUCUAGACUUAGAUCGUUGUUGGAAGAGAGACCAAGGGAAACCAACUCGGUGAGUUGCUCAAAAUCAUAUGGAAUUGAACCAGUAAAAUCGUUCCCUCCAAGAUCCAAGUACUGCAGGUGCUUAAAUUUCCCCAUUGAGGAUGGGAGUUUUCCUUUCAAUCUACAGUAAUUGAGUUUGAGCGAUGACAGAGAAGAAGACAGAUUCAUCAAGGAAUCGGGAACAACUAGUGACAUGUUUACCGAACUCAAAUCGAGUUCUCUAUGUUUGGUUAGGUUUCGCACAAGCUUGUCAAAAGAAAUUGGUUCUAGACUCAGCUGAAGGUUAUUGUCAGAGAGAUCAAGUGAAACCAAUUUAGAGAGAUGAGAGAUUUCUGACGGAACUUGACCUGCAAAGACGGAGUAAUUUAGGUUAAGAAGUGUCAGAUUGGAAAACUGGCCAAAUCGAGAAGAAAUAUGGGAGCUAUUGAAAUCAUUGUCAGAGAGGUCUAGCUGUUGAAGAUGAUGCAGGGAGAAGAGGGUGCUAUUGGGAUGGAGGGUGCCGUAAAGCAUGCUGCAAGCAAGGUCUAGUCCAGUGACAUGCCCAGUUUUCAUGUCACAAGUGACCCCAUCCCACGAGCAGCAGUCUGUACCCUCUUUCCACGACUCUGUCUUGGGAUGCUGGCAAUGAUCUGAAGCAGAGCUACGAAUGGAAAAGGACUCUUUGAAUUGGAGCAAAGAAAGACUUUGGUCAAGAGCACAGAAAUGAGAUGAAGAAAUAGUUGAAUGGAAAUGGAAGAGAAACAGAAUGAAAGAGAUAGAUUGAGAGAGGGACAGUGGUGAAAACCCCAUGUUUGGCUGGCCUUACAGGAUUUAGCAGUAUAUUUGGGAGAGAUGAGGAAUGAAGAAAGACAUUAGUUAUAGACAAAGUAAUCUUAGAUUGUAUACAGACUGACAUAGGAUGUGUAAAACAUGUAAAGACGAAAUCAAAUCUCAAGAAACAACAAGAGUGAGUGAGUGAGUGAGUGUUGGAAACGCGGCAAAGUAUAUUAAACAAGAUAUAUAUUCCUUGUUGACUUCAAAUUGUGCAAACUGAAUUGUUGUUUCUUGGCACCAAUGACUUCGCACUAAUAUAUAUAUAUAUAACGUUUCUCAUGAUCCAAAAGUCUUUUCAUUCCUUCAAUUGAUAUACUUUGAUUUUUCCUUUUUCUAUUCUAAAUAAAAAAAUAAUUUAAACUAUGGAAUUAUAUAUACAUAAUUGAAAAAAAAAUGAUAAUUAAAGUCAGUGAAUAUUUCACGCGAGGAGAAGUCCCUUAAUUUACUGACACAUAAUUCACUGACACAAGUUUUAAUAAAUUGCAGAUUUGAACAUUCAUGUUAAUUAAAAAAAUAAAAUAGUUAAUUAUCAAAUAUUUAUAAUAAGAUAAAAAAAAUUAUGCGAAGAUUGCUUUGCCCACUAAAAUAUAAUUUCCAAGAAAUUCAAGCCACAAAAUCGGAAGAAAACUUCUUAAUAAUUUACGAUCGUAGUUUACUCACAGCUUAAGCAAGUGGGGAUGCAGAGUUAAAGAGUCAUCCUCACCUUCUUAUGUCCACUUCAAUCCAGUCUACAGUCAACACGUUCUGGCAAUAGCUUUAUUGAACAGUUGCUAGAAAACUGACAAACAAUGGAGAAUUAAUGGAGUUUGAAGGUUCUUGCCCUCAAGAUACUCUGCGAUUGGUCCUCCUAAAAGGUCUUUCUCUUUCAGAACCAAUCUUCAUAUGGUCUGUCGACCUCCAAGUCUUCGGAUCUUGGAUGUAUAGAUGUUGUCCACUCUUCAUGUGGUGCUGAAUAUGGAACUGAAGGUUCACUUGAAAAUAAUUCCACACAAGAGUGAGCGUUGGAAACACGGCAGUACUAAUUUCCAAACUUGACAUUUUAGCAGCAAGUCUUUGUGCUAACAGAUACAGUUCAUGCUCUAAUUAGAACUUCCUUUGUAGCUCGUCUGAUGGCAGCUGUUCUCGGGGACAUCUACCCCUCUAUUAUUCCUUGCUGGCUUAUAAACUUAAUACUAAUUGGACCCCCCCUUCGCAUGUACUGAAUAGCAAUGAACAUGUGCUAAUAGACAGUUUGUGCUCUUCCUUUGCAGCUCGUCUGAUGGGGGAAGUGUACGUUGCUGGGGACUUCUACCACUCGUCCUCGUCUUCUAUAAAAUUCCAUGCCAACAAAAGACAAUAAUGACUAAACAGGAGUGUUGGAAACACGGCAAUAUUAAUUAAUUUCCAAAAUUAACAUUUUUGUUGAGAUCAAGUCUAUGUGAGUGAUAUGCAGCAAGGCUAUGAAAAUCUGCUAAAAGAACAGCCAUUCAUAUGGUGUUUAGAGCCACUCAAGAUUCUUUAAGCAGGAAGGAAUGUUUCUUUUAGCAUGGGGUUGUGGUGAUGCAUAUAUCACUCAAUAGUAAAUCUUAAUAUUAAUAAAAAAUUUAUAAGAAUUGUUUUAAUUUGCUUGCACACUCGUAGGUUUGUACAGCAAUCUGUUCAUAACUCUAUAAAUCUCAAAAUACUCUCAGAGACAGAGAUUGAUUUAAGUGAUCAAGAAUAAGAAAAUGAACAAAUAAAAAAGGACCCGAAACAUAAUGAUUUUAUAAUUAACACAAACCAUUGCAUGCUUGACCUUUUACAUACAUGGAUUAAAAAAAAAAGAGUAAAGGGAAUCCAUACAAUGAAUCUGCCACUCUAGUAAUGUUUCAAUGUUAAAUCCACUUGAUAUCUUGUGUGUAAUGCAAAAUUAGAAAGGUAAGACUGAUCAAAUAAAUUGUGGAGAAAAUAUAGCCUAACAUAACCUGUCAAUUAUUUCAUUCAGCGAAUAUUUCCACACGAGGAGAGGUCCCUUAAUUCACUAACACAAGUGCUAAUAAAUAAGGUAGAUAAUUAUGAAUUCCGCAUUUUACAUGAAGUAUUUAUAGCAAGAUAAAAACAAUAAAAAAUCGUGACUGCUUAAUUUGAAUGUUCAGAGACGUUUUUCCAAAUUGUAUUUAGCAAUGAAAUUUAUGCGAAGAUUGCUUUGCCCACUAAUAUAUAAUUUCCAAGAAAUAUAUUUUUUGCAUGUGGGCAUGCAGAGUUAAAGAACCAUCGUUGAUGCAUGGAUUUGUGUCUCUAAAACAAUUGUUUGAAUAUAUAAUUUUAAUCAAUUAAUCGAAAAACUUAAACCAUGAGAUUAUGUAUUCAUUCUUGUUCCUGUGAAUAUAUAAUUUUUCUCGUUUGAGUAAUACUCAUUGUUGACGUUCAAUCCAAUCCAGUCACCACGUUCUGGCAAUAGCUUUGUUGAACAGUUGCUAGAAAACUGACAAACAAUGGAGAUUCUUGCCCUCAAGAUACUGUGGGAUUGGUCAUCCAAAAAGGUCUUUCUCUUUCAGCAUCAACAAGGGAGAACCGAUCUUCAUUUGGUCUGUCCUUUACCUCCAAGUCUUCGAUCGGAACUUAAUCUACUAAUUGGACCCCCCUUCGCAUGUACUGAUAGAUUAUUAUUGCUAUUAUUAACAAGAACAGGGGACUGUUUACUUGAAGGGUUAAACAACUUACAUGUUUCUCAGAAGAAGAAGCAGCAUUUCAUAGCAUUUACAUGCUAUUAUUAAGCAAUCUUCAUUUGGUCUGUCCUUGACCUCCAAGGUAGAGGUGGUGAAGUGUCAAUUUUAUACCAAGGUCAGAAAGCAAUAGGCAAUGGUCCAGAAAAGUCUUCAUAUGCUGCUGAGUAUGGAACUGAGGGUUGAAUUAUUCAAUUGCGAAUAUUUCCUUCAACAUUUUUGUUGAGAUCAAGUCCAUGUGAGUGAUGUGGAGCAAGUCUAUCUGCUAAUUAGAACUUCCUUUGUAGCUCGUCUGGCGUUAACCAUGCGUUUUAUAUUUCAACACAUAUAUGUUAGGAACAUGAGAUUAUUGAUUUCUUGUCAAAAAUGAAUUUAAAAAAAAACAUAAAAACAUUAUUUUUAUAUAUUUUUAAACAAAAAAGUACUUUAAAAAGUGAUCUUCACCAUACUAGCAUGCUCUAAGAAUAAAAACACAACAAUAUUGAUUUUCUAAAUGGAUUAAAUAGUGUUUUAGGGGUUGCUAAUUUUUCUUAAAUUAACUAAUCCUUUUAGUAUUAAAAGUAAUUAAAUAGUUAUUUGACCAAUUUUAAUCAUGCUUAUUUGAGUAGGUUUUUUAAAAAAAAAAAUACUUUUCUUGCAAAUCAAUCUUUCAAUUUAUAUACUUUGAUUUUUUCGUUUUCUAUUUUAAAUAAAAAAUAAUUUAACUAUUAGAUUAUGUAAAUAAAUAAUUAAAAAAUAUAUAUACAGUAAAGAAUGAAGAUUAUAAACUUUUUACCUAAAUGGUUUAAUGAGUAUUUAUAGCUCCUGAAUUUUGUUAUUUUGUUGGAGUGGAUGGCCUGGAGAGUCAUUUCCUUCUUAUAGAAAUAAUAAUAAUAAAAAUUCUUACACAACAUUAAACGAGGAAUAAAUAUCUCUUACACAACAUUAAUAAGUAAUAAAUAUUCGUUAUAAAAUAUUAAUGGUGAUAAAAAUAUGAUAGGUCAUUAGAUGAUUUUUAUACUCCUUAGGAUAUAGGAAGAUGAUACUUGAAAUAAAUAUUCGUUACAAAAUAUUAAUGGUGAUAAAAAUAUGAUAGGUCGUUAGAUGAUUUUUAUACUCCUUACGAUAUAGAAAGAUGAUACUUGAAACUGAUGAAUUAAUCCCAAUUAUUGAACAAGAUGAUCAUGAUAUUGACAUCAAAAAGUUGAUUUUUCAAAUCUAAAUUAUCAAUGAUUUGAAAUUUAUCAAACAUUAAAUUGUGCCAAAUAUUUAGAAAGAUUUUUAUAUACACUUGCACAAUAUCAUACCCUUUUAUAUUAAAAGUCAUAUAUAAAAAUAAACAAAUAAAACCUAGCUCAACAUGGGAUCUAUAAUGCUAAUUAGAACUUUCUUUUUAGCUCUCUAGUGGUAACUAUAAAAAUAUUGAAUUGAUGUUUUUUUUAUAUAUUUUUAUAUGGUUUUUAAUAUUUUUAAUAUGUUGAUGUCAAUUUUAUUUUUAAAAACAUGUUAUUUUGAUGCAUUUUUUAUUGAAAAAUAUUUUUUUUUAAAUACUCUACACCGCAUUAUCAAACAUAUACCUAGUGGUAGACUUUUGAACAUGAAAGACUAACCUAUAAUCACAUUCAUAAAUCAUGGACCAGACAAUAAUUUACUUAUAAGUCAUCAAACAUUACAUUGGAAUGAAACUUUGCUAAAAGAACACAUACUUGGUGGUUUUAGCAUCGGGCUGUGGUCAUGCAUAUAUCCCUCAAUAGUACAUCUUAAAAAGAACACAUACUUGCUAAAAGAACAAGUCUAUGUGCUCUUUCUUUGCAGCUCGUGGUCUGAUGGGAACUGUAUGUUUUUGGGGACUUCUACCCAUUCUCAAAAACUGGUUUGUUCGAGUUACUAAUAAUAGAUUUCCUCGGAGAAGAAAGUCUCCAUAUCCAUUUAAAUAACAGAGCUGCCCUGUUUUUUAACAUUAGGGAGCCUAUGCCAAGACCUCCUUACUUCUUAUCACGCAUUACCACGCCAUAAGAAACGUCUGAUGGGUUUGCUGUGAUGUAAGAGAGAGAGAUCAUGUGGAUGGUGGGGUGGGCCAUGGUGGGGUGGGCCUAAGAAAUGGUGGAAAACUUUUUCGGAGUUUAAUAUCAUAUUUAAUUAACCAACUAAAUCAAGCUGACUUUAAUAUUAUAUAUUCUAUAAUAUAGGAAAAAAAAUUAGUAAAUUAGAGUGGGUCAGCAAAAAUUACUCGAUUGGUAAAUAGAAUAAACUACACAAGAAUUUAUAAUAUGAUUGAUUUACUUCAUAUAAUUUAAAUUAAAAAAAAACAUAUAUUUCCUCUGCCUCAAAAUAAAUGAAAAAAAAUACAAAUUAAUUAUUGAAUUCCUAAGUAAUUUUUUUUUUCAUAUAUUCAGACUUUGAAUAUAAUAAUUCCUCAUCUAUUUCUUUUUAAUCGGAUGCAAUAAUUUAUUAUUCCUAUGAAAAUGAAAAAAAAUCACUAUUAUUUGUAUCUCUAUUAUCUAUACGAAGCAUGUUAAAAUGGGAAUCACUUAGCGUGAGUACGCAAAUUAUUCAUUGUUCAUAUUCAACACAAUCUUCUCACUCAUACAAUCAACAAACCAAAUCUCUUUCAUCUUGAAUCCAAUUGAAUGAUUUAUAGAAGCUAAACACUCAUCAAGAGAAUCUGAUCAAACUACAAAAAAAAAAAAAAAAAAAAAAAACAAAACGUCAUGAAUUAUAUUACCUUAUAAGGCUCCUCCUUUUUCUUGCUCCCCUUCCUCUUUCGACCACAGCUUCAAAAAGCACCCGAAGAAUCCAACUUCCUCAAUCAACUACUAACAAGUCUUCAUCAAUCAAUACAAGUAGAUGCAAGCAUAGUUUUGAAACCCGGACCGGACCGGUGGGUUGACCCGGGACCCGGCCGACCCGGGCCUGGGACCGGUCCGGGUCUAAGUAAAAACCUGUCUGGGAGUUGGCCCAGCGAAACCCGGUCGACCCGGUGGGUCGACCCGGAACCCGGGCGACCCGGGUAAACUCGGCUGAGACCUGACCUCUUUUUUUUUUUACACAUGGACGUGAAACGACGAAUGAUGGAGAAUUGCAAAUAGAGAAAAACCUAAUUAAAGAAAAAACAAUUUGAAUCGCGAAGAGCAGAUGAUCAAAAGACUCUUGAUCACUGUUUCAAAUCUAAAAGAUAAGGUUAGACUCUUGUUUCUCUUCGUAGCUCUCCUUCUUUCACUCUCUCUUUUCUUUAUUCUUUGUCUUGUUUUGAACUUGCAGUGUCGGAGUCAAUUAGAGCCAGAACUACGUUUUAUUUAGUGAUUGAUUACUUAUUCACAGAUUUGAAAGAUAUAAUGCAACUUCAACAUUGUAUCUCGGCUGUUGUUGGUUUAGGAUUGUUUCGAUGAUUCUUUGGUAUUUUGAGUAUGCUAAUUUUAACAGCACUGGAAUGAGGCCAUUUCUGUUUUUAAUGUUUUCUAGUCUUGUUGCUAUCUUGCUUAUUAUUUUUUAUCAUGCCAGUUUUUCCAUUUCUGUUUCGUGUCGUUUCAACUUUCAGGAACUUAAAUAAAUUAAUUUCAUCCAGGUGAAAAGAAGUGCUGUUAAGUUGGAUAUCUAUAGGAAGUUCUCAAAUGUAUUGGCUGCUGUAGUGUUUGCUUGUGUUGCUUGGAUAGCAUAUGAGGUAUCAUUUCUGGAUAGAACUUAUAUCUUCUGUUUGUCGGUUCAGUGACCUCACAAAUUUUAUUCUGGAGGUCUUAUAGGCUGUUAUUAUGCCAACACUCUUGGUUGCAAUUUAUACUGGGACAGUUAACUAGCACUUUUUUAAAGAAGAGUAUCUUGAACUGGAUUCUUCGUUUUAAGGUGUGCUCAUUGGCAUUCAAAUAUUAAUAUAACUAGCUGUUAAAAGAUUGGUUGAGAGAGGAAGAUAAAUGUUAAUGAAAAAUACAAACAGGGGGGAUUUAGAUAAUUGGAAGAGGCUCUCUGUUUGCAAAAAUACAGGCAGUUCUUUCAAGGGUCUGCACAGGGGAUUUAGAUAUCUAGAAGGGGGUCUCUGUUUGCGUAUACUCUUUUUCUUCUUCUUUUUUCAAUGGCAUGCAAUUUGACGAAAAUCUGUUUGUGGGUUGAAUUCAAGUCUCAGGCUGUGAGAUUUUGAACUUCCAUACUGGCAUACUAUGUGAGGUUUCGUGGAGGGUGAGGAUGCAGACCUCUGGUUUAGUAAAUGGGAGACAAAAAGAAUAAGCUUUGAACUUUAUCUAAAUUUUGCAAGUUUUUAAAUCAGUUUGGCUUUUUUCAGUGUUAUAUCUCUGUUAUUUUCUUUGAGCAGCAUUGUGCAACUAAUAGAACUUAAUUAUCUUUUGGGUUUUAGAUGUUUUCUAUAGGUGAUUAGGUGUUAUAUAUUUUUUUUUUGGGUUGACCCGGGUUAAUCCGGGUCAAUCCAUCUGACCUGUGACCUGAUCAUUAAACCGAGUCGAUCACCGGAUCGGGUUUUAAAACCAUAGAUGCAAGAGCAUGUAGUUUCCUUAAGAAAGACAACAAAACAUUCAAAUCAAGACAUGGGCACGGGCCAGCCUCUAAGUUGACUUAAGGAAACUCUCCAAGAAAAACAGACGACAGCAGACAAACAUGAUUCGAGGCCUUCAAGAAAAGCCCAAAAACCAUAAAGAUUGCUUCUUCCAAUGCAAUAAUCAAGAGCAAAAAAUGCCAGGCCAAGAGAACAAAAACCCAAGCUUCUUAUAUGGGAAAAAACACAGCAAAUUUUUUUCUUAUUAAAAAAAAACUAAAACUACUCAGUAUUUCAUUGUGUAAGUCUAUAAUGAAACGUUAGGCAAUUUUUUUUUUAUUUAUUUAUUUUUUUCUCAUGUUUUUUUCUCUUCUUCUUUUUCUUUUUUUUUUCGUUUUUUUUGUUUUUUUUGUUUUUUUUUCCCAUUUUUUUCUGUUUUUUUUUGUUUUAAUUUUUUUUUGGUUUUCUAUGCCUUUAUGGGUUUUUUUUUGUUUUUUUCUUUGUGUAUUUUUCUUUUAAUGAAUUUUUUUUUGUUUAAUUUAGUUUGUUAAUGUUAAUUUUUUUAUUUAGUUAUCAAAUUUUCAUAACACAGAUCCCGGGUUUGACGGGUUAACCUAAUUUGACGAGUUAACCCGAAUUUUUUUCUUUUCUUUUUAAUUAAUUGUAACAUAUACUAAAAUGGAUCAGUGUUUUACUGUGGACUGCACAGUGCAAUCCACAGUAAAACACUGAUCCGUUUUUGGUUUUUUUUUUAAGUUGUCUUAUUUUUUUUAGCUGUUUUUUAUGCCUUUCGGGAUUUUUUUUUGCUUCUUUCUUUAUUUUAUUUUCUUCUAACAAAAGUUUUUUGUUUAAUUUAGUUUAUUAAUGUUAAAUUUUUUUUAUUUAGUUAUCAGACUUUCAUGACACGUUUUCCGGAUUUAACGGGUUAACCUGAUUUGACAAGUUAACCCAGAAAUAUAUAUUUUUUUGCUUUUUUUCUUUUUAAUUAAUUUUUUUCAUUUAGUUUGGUUUGUUAAUAUUAAAUUUCUUUCUAUUUAGNNNNNNNNNNNNNNNNNNNNNNNNNNNNNNNNNNNNNNNNNNNNNNNNNNNNNNNNNNNNNNNNNNNNNNNNNNNNNNNNNNNNNNNNNNNNNNNNNNNNACCUGGUUUCGAUUUAACGGGUUAACCUGAUUUGACAAGUUAACCCAGAAAUAUAUAUUUUUUUGCUUUUUUUCUUUUUAAUUAAUUUUUUUCAUUUAGUUUGGUUUGUUAAUAUUAAAUUUCUUUCUAUUUAGUUAUCAGACUUUCAUGACACAUAUCUCGAGUUUCACGGGUUAACCUGGUUUCACGGGUGAACCCAGUUAAUUCUGGGUUGACCCGUCAAUUUUUUUUUUGUUUUUUAUUUUCAUAAUUUUUUUUUGAUUAAUUUAGUUUGUUAAUGUUAAAUUUUUUUAUUUAGUUAUCAGACUUUCAUGACACAGAUCCUAGGUUUAACGGGUUAAUAUGGUUUGACGAGUUAACCCGGAUUUUUUUUUAUUAAUUUUUUUCGUUUAGUUUAGUUUGUUAAUGUUCACUUUUUUUAUUUAGUUACCAGACAUUCAUGACACGGAUCCCGGGUUUAACGGGUUAACCUGGUUUGACGAGUUAACCUGAAAUUUUUUUUUUUGCUUUUUUUUUCUUUUUAAUUAUUUUUUUUUCGUUUAGUUUAGUUUGUUAAUGUUAAAUUUCUUUCUAUUUAGUUUUUUUUCUUCUUAGAGGUUUUUUUUCUUUUAUUUUUUCUUUUUAAUUAAUUUUAUUUAAUUAAUUUAGUUUAUUAAUAUUAAAUUUUUUUCUAAGUAGUUCUCGGCUGAUGCCUUUAGUUUUUCUUUUUGUUUUUUUGUUGUUUUUAUGCAUUUGACUGUGGACUGCACAGUGCAGUCCACAGUGAAAAGGCUCAUCCUUUUGUUUUUUUUUUUUUAAUUAAUUUUUUUUGUUUAAUUUAAAUUGUUAAUGUUAAUUUUUUUUCUAUUUAGUUAUCAAACUUUCAUGACACGGAUUUCGGGUUUGACAGGUUAACCUGGUUUGACGAGUUAGCCCAGUUAAUUCUGGGUUAACCCAUUAGUUUGUUUUUUUUUCCUUUUUAAUUAUCAAACUUUCACGAUGCGAAUUCAAGGUAUGACGGGUUAACCUAGUUUGAAAGGUUAACCCAGUUAAUUCAUAUUUUUUUUCUUUUUCUUCAUUAGUUUUUAUUUUCCUGUUGGUUUUUUUUCUUUGUUUUUUUUCUUUUUAACUAAUCUAUUUAAUUAUCACACAUUUAUGACACGACCUUGCAGCCAGACCCACGUCCAAUGCUAUUGGGUCUGGUAUUGCAGUCAAAUCCACUUAAAUUUAGGCCAUGCAAGUUUAAUGUUAUUAUUAAUAUUAUAAAUAUUACUCUUGAAUUAGGUGUUGCAACUACACCUAAGACUCUUGGGUAUAAAUUUACAAAAAAAACUUAAUAUUUUUAGAUUUUAACUUUUUAUAAAAUAUAAAAAAUAAUUAAUCCGCAGCAUGACAUGUAACUAGUUUAUAAAAAGUUACCCCCGCCCCCCAGCAUUUUCUAUGUACUGCAAAGAAGUACAAGGCAAGGCUGCGUUGUAGUACAACACCUAUCAGAGCUCCAACGACGGCUGCUAUACAUUUGAACAGAUGUCAGGUUCAUAAUUUUGAUCCUCGUCUCGUUGACUUAUCAUCACCACUUUUCACUCUCUCUUCAUCCUUGUAGUGCAGAUAUAGAGAGAAGAAAAGUGGGCAAUCGUAAGCAUAAAAUUGCUUAAAGUGAAAAGCAAGAAAGGGAACUGCUAACUGGCUUGAACUGGCUACUUCACUUGAAAGUGCCUUCCCUUUACAGUCAUAACAUGUGUAUGGAAAGUUAAAAGUGCAUUUUGGUCCCUCCACUCUUAUUUCCCUUAUUUUAUCACCUUUUGUCUUCAUAUCAAUCCCAACCUAACUUGUUUGGAUUAGAACCCAAAGACUGCUUCGUUAAAGAUUGAUAUUUAUUUAAUCAACUAUCGUGAAAAGACUGUUAUUGAUGCUAUAAAUCAUAUAUAUACAUGUUGUAAUUAAAACGUUCUAAUUUUCUUAUUUUUAUAUAAUUUUUUCACUUUUUAUGACAUUUUAAUUUAUUUUUUUUAAUCAACUACGACUAUUAAUUACAUUUGAUGAUAAUGAAUGAAAUGACAUCAUUGUUAUAUAAAGAAUGUGUCAAAAGCUAUUAAUAGUGUUUUAAUAGUGUUUUUGGAACCAAUUUUAUACUAUAAUUCAAUUAUAGUGUUUAAUUUGAAAUUAAUUGAUAAAUAUAUUGAAUUCACAUAUUUAGAAAAUAUAAAAUUUAAUUUAAUUUAUUUUUUAUAUUACCAUCAUAACUUUCAUUUUAUUCCUUCAAAUGUCUUUAAAAAAAUAGGUAGAAUUUCUUAUUUUUAAGAUUGUAAAUCAUAAGGUUUGACCUCUAAUUUAAUUUUUUUGAAAUUAAAUUUUUUGAAAUUUUUUAUAUUUAAAAUGAUUGAGAUUUUAUUGAAAACUUUGAAUUGAAUUUAAUUCAAAAAAUUCUAAAUUAUGCUGCAAGAUAUCACUAAUAGUUAACAGUGAGAACAUUUUGAGUUUAAAGGUAUUAUCAGCAUGUUCUCUUAUCCCACGUUUAAGAAAAAAAAAAUGUUAUGAGGGAUUAAUUGUUAAGGGGUUAUAUUGAAAUAUAAAAUAGUAUAAGGAUCAAAUUAAGAUAGAAUGUAUAAUAGAAGGAUAAAAAAGACAACAUUAGCACAAGGCGUGUGGCCAAAGCAUGUCAAGAUCAGUUAACCAGAGGAGAAAGGCAAGUUUUGAGGCCAAUAGUAUAGAAAUCCCAAAAGAACGAUUGAUGUAAGAGAGAGAGAGAUCAUGUGGAUUGUGGGGUGGGCCCAAGAAAUGGUGGGGAUGGUUUUUGAUGAAUGCUGAUUUUAUCAUACUUUAGGUGGGACCACUAUUUCUAACCAUUAAUUUCUAGUUUAUAAGAUGAUGGGAUAAGAAUCCUUAUUUUUUAAAAAAAUUGUGUUUUAAUUUUUUAAAAAAAAUUAUUUAUUUUUUUAAAAUUUUUGUAUACUCUUAAAAGUUUUUGAAGUGUUAAUAUCAAAAUAAAUUUUAAAAAAUAAAAAAAAUAUAUUAUUUUAAUAUAUUUUUAAAUAAAAAUUAUUUUUAAAAAUAACUUUUAAAAUAAUAAUAUCAAUGCAAUGACUUCGUUUGUUAAAUAUGAUUCUUUUUAUGCUAUUUGAAAUUUAUGCUGGUUUGCUAUCAUAAAAAAUAAUUUUUUUAAAAUAAAAAAUAUUAUUUUAAUAUAUUUUUAAAUAAAAUAUAUUUUUAAAAAUAAUUAUUAUUACCAUAUCAAACAUGUAUUGAAAUUAAUCCUACUAAAUUUAAGAUCACAUUAUUUCAAGAUUUUUUUAUAGAAAAAAGUUAAAACGUUAUCAACUUAUUUACUUUGUUCAGACUUUGCCUGAGCUAAAUUCUAUAUUAAUAGACCACUAGAUUAACUAUCUAACCAGACUAGUUUAAUAUUUAUAGGAAAUGUUUUUAGUAAAUUAGAGUGGGUCAUGAAAAAUUAGAUGGAAUAAACUACACAAGAAUUUAUAAUAUGAUUGAUUUACUUCAUGUAAUUUAAAUUAAAGAAAAAAAACACACAUUUUCUCGGCCUCAAAACAAAUGAAAACAAAAAUACAAACGAAUUAUUGAAUUUCCAACUGAUUUUAUUAUUCCUAUUUUCAAACUUGGAAUGUAAUAAUUCCUCAUCUAAUUUUUUAAUCGGAUGCAAUCAUUUAUUAUUCCUAUGAAAAUGAGAAAAAAAUCACUAUUAUUUAUCUCUUAGUUUACAAAAUAAAAUAAAACAUUUAUUUCAAAGCGUAGAUUUACUAAUUAAUUCAAUUGUUUUCUACCAUGAUCACUUUGUUUUUGGGAUUGAGAGUGAUAAAUUAUCAUCGAAUUAAUUUUGAAAAUUAUCAUCGAAUUAAUCUAGAAGAAGCAUGCUAAGAAGGGAAUCACUUAGCGUGAGUAUAUCUCUUAAUUAAUGGGAGCCGAUCGAGUCAAGAGUGAUAGUUACGUGCAAAAGGGGAACCCUUUCGUCCUUUCGUUCUUUUGCACCAAAAAAGUCAUCGAGAAAUUAUUCCAAGACGAACACCACAGACACCCACCCACCCUCCAGAAGCAAACAAUUAUGCUAAGAGGAAGAGGCAAUAAAUAUCUCCGUUUAAAUCACCUUAAUUCAGUGGAAAAUUAUGUGCGCAUUAUUUGUACAUUAAGCUAUGUGCAUGCAUCAAAGUGUGGUUUGAUUUGAUUAACUACUUGACAUAAAUAAAAUGAAGAGAGUUCUUUGGCAUUUUCUAGAGAAAAAAAAAUUACUUUGUUAUGGGUCAGAAAUGUGUGUGAUAUUUGUUGCUCUCUAACCCAAGUUGUGUGAAUAUGAAGCAGAGAACAUGCAUGUUGAAGUUANNNNNNNNNNNNNNNNNNNNNNNNNNNNNNNNNNNNNNNNNNNNNNNNNNNNNNNNNNNNNNNNNNNNNNNNNNNNNNNNNNNNNNNNNNNNNNNNNNNNNNNNNNNNNNNNNNNNNNNNNNNNNNNNNNNNNNNNNNNNNNNNNNNNNNNNNNNNNNNNNNNNNNNNNNNNNNNNNNNNNNNNNNNNNNNNNNNNNNNNNNNNNNNNNNNNNNNNNNNNNNNNNNNNNNNNNNNNNNNNNNNNNNNNNNNNNNNNNNNNNNNNNNNNNNNNNNNNNNNNNNNNNNNNNNNNNNNNNNNNNNNNNNNNNNNNNNNNNNNNNNNNNNNNNNNNNNNNNNNNNNNNNNNNNNNNNNNNNNNNNNNNNNNNNNNNNNNNNNNNNNNNNNNNNNNNNNNNNNNNNNNNNNNNNNNNNNNNNNNNNNNNNNNNNNNNNNNNNNNNNNNNNNNNNNNNNNNNNNNNNNNNNNNNNNNNNNNNNNNNNNNNNNNNNNNNNNNNNNNNNNNNNNNNNNNNNNNNNNNNNNNNNNNNNNNNNNNNNNNNNNNNNNNNNNNNNNNNNNNNNNNNNNNNNNNNNNNNNNNNNNNNNNNNNNNNNNNNNNNNNNNNNNNNNNNNNNNNNNNNNNNNNNNNNNNNNNNNNNNNNNNNNNNNNNNNNNNNNNNNNNNNNNNNNNNNNNNNNNNNNNNNNNNNNNNNNNNNNNNNNNNNNNNNNNNNNNNNNNNNNNNNNNNNNNNNNNNNNNNNNNNNNNNNNNNNNNNNNNNNNNNNNNNNNNNNNNNNNNNNNNNNNNNNNNNNNNNNNNNNNNNNNNNNNNNNNNNNNNNNNNNNNNNNNNNNNNNNNNNNNNNNNNNNNNNNNNNNNNNNNNNNNNNNNNNNNNNNNNNNNNNNNNNNNNNNNNNNNNNNNNNNNNNNNNNNNNNNNNNNNNNNNNNNNNNNNNNNNNNNNNNNNNNNNNNNNNNNNNNNNNNNNNNNNNNNNNNNNNNNNNNNNNNNNNNNNNNNNNNNNNNNNNNNNNNNNNNNNNNNNNNNNNNNNNNNNNNNNNNNNNNNNNNNNNNNNNNNNNNNNNNNNNNNNNNNNNNNNNNNNNNNNNNNNNNNNNNNNNNNNNNNNNNNNNNNNNNNNNNNNNNNNNNNNNNNNNNNNNNNNNNNNNNNNNNNNNNNNNNNNNNNNNNNNNNNNNNNNNNNNNNNNNNNNNNNNNNNNNNNNNNNNNNNNNNNNNNNNNNNNNNNNNNNNNNNNNNNNNNNNNNNNNNNNNNNNNNNNNNNNNNNNNNNNNNNNNNNNNNNNNNNNNNNNNNNNNNNNNNNNNNNNNNNNNNNNNNNNNNNNNNNNNNNNNNNNNNNNNNNNNNNNNNNNNNNNNNNNNNNNNNNNNNNNNNNNNNNNNNNNNNNNNNNNNNNNNNNNNNNNNNNNNNNNNNNNNNNNNNNNNNNNNNNNNNNNNNNNNNNNNNNNNNNNNNNNNNNNNNNNNNNNNNNNNNNNNNNNNNNNNNNNNNNNNNNNNNNNNNNNNNNNNNNNNNNNNNNNNNNNNNNNNNNNNNNNNNNNNNNNNNNNNNNNNNNNNNNNNNNNNNNNNNNNNNNNNNNNNNNNNNNNNNNNNNNNNNNNNNNNNNNNNNNNNNNNNNNNNNNNNNNNNNNNNNNNNNNNNNNNNNNNNNNNNNNNNNNNNNNNNNNNNNNNNNNNNNNNNNNNNNNNNNNNNNNNNNNNNNNNNNNNNNNNNNNNNNNNNNNNNNNNNNNNNNNNNNNNNNNNNNNNNNNNNNNNNNNNNNNNNNNNNNNNNNNNNNNNNNNNNNNNNNNNNNNNNNNNNNNNNNNNNNNNNNNNNNNNNNNNNNNNNNNNNNNNNNNNNNNNNNNNNNNNNNNNNNNNNNNNNNNNNNNNNNNNNNNNNNNNNNNNNNNNNNNNNNNNNNNNNNNNNNNNNNNNNNNNNNNNNNNNNNNNNNNNNNNNNNNNNNNNNNNNNNNNNNNNNNNNNNNNNNNNNNNNNNNNNNNNNNNNNNNNNNNNNNNNNNNNNNNNNNNNNNNNNNNNNNNNNNNNNNNNNNNNNNNNNNNNNNNNNNNNNNNNNNNNNNNNNNNNNNNNNNNNNNNNNNNNNNNNNNNNNNNNNNNNNNNNNNNNNNNNNNNNNNNNNNNNNNNNNNNNNNNNNNNNNNNNNNNNNNNNNNNNNNNNNNNNNNNNNNNNNNNNNNNNNNNNNNNNNNNNNNNNNNNNNNNNNNNNNNNNNNACUCAAUAUGAAAGGGGACGGUGAGUUAUAGUUUUAAUUCUAGGUGGGAUUACUUUGUUAAAAAAAUAGUAACAUGAUCAAUAUCUUCAAAUCAACUUUAGUGAUGUUCAUAUAUAUAACAUUUUUUGUACAAUAGGAUGUUUGGAUAAGCUUUUGAUUGCACUAAAAAAAACUACAUCCAUGUUCAGACAUAUAUAUUUUUCAAGAAAUCAAUUAUUUUAUCGGAACAAUUCGAGCAUUAAAAUAUAAAAAAAUGGAGGAUACUUAAUAUUUACCAACAAAACUAAGCCUGUUAUAGACUUUAUACGAAUAGAUAUAUAUAGUGACAAAUUAUUUGCCACAUGAAGUUGAAGAUCAUGGCGUUUAAAAUGAAAUUAACGCAUUAUAAGCUAAUUAUAGCUAAUUAUGUGGAUUCCAGCUCAUAAUUAGUUUCAUGUUAAGAGCAUGAUUUCAUGUUUUACUUAAGAAACAUUGAUUAGCACUUAGCAGCCUAUUUUUUUUAAAAAAAACAAAGAAUGGUUGAGUUCACUUUGAGUUGGGAGGUAAUGGAGAACCCUAAUUCUUCAUUUAUAUGGUUACAUGUAAUGUAAAAAGUUUAAAAUUAGGUUAAUGCAUGUGGUGAGUAAGCUAUUAAUUUAUUGUGGUUUCCAACUUCAAAAUUCGAGAAUCAAUUAUAUUGUGGAUUAAUUAGUGAUAAAAUUUAAAAGAAGGAGCAUUCUUGUUUUAAUUUCUUUCAUGUUAAAAGCAUUAAUUACAUGUCUAAAAAACAAAUCAUGAUUAAUUUGCUAUAGCAUACUUGUUUUAACAAACAAAAAAAUAGAGUUAAUCAUGCAUUGCAUGCGUGAAAAAAUAUAACUAUAGGUUCAAACCUAUGUAUCUCGUAUCAAUAUGUUAAAUAAAAAAGUGUGGAAUAUAUCUCAUUUUGUCUAUAACUAGGUAUGUUUCCCGCGUGUUGCUGCAGAUUAAACAAUUUUUUUAAUAUAAAAAAAUAAUAAGUUAAAAAAAAUCCAACAAAAACAACAAAUAAAUUGACAAAAAAAAAAUAGACCACAUCUAAGCUUAUUUGAAUUAUUACACAACCCAAUGUUAACCUAACUAGAAAAAAAAACAAAGGAAACAAAAGAGUCAAACUAAAAAAAAAAUAACAAAAACAUUGGCUUAAAAAAAGGGAUAAAAAAAUCAAGCAAACAUAUGCUAGAAAUAUCGCAAUUAUUGCAAACAAAAAAAUUUCAAUUAAAAAAAUUAGGACCAAACUUGAAGAUUAAAAAAUCAUAGGGGUGAAAUUAAAAAUCAUUUGUAAUAUGAUAGAGUAUUUAUAGAUUUAAAAAUGAUGAGCGUGAAAUAAAAAAAAUUGUCAAGGGCUAACCCAAUAUAAUCAAAUAAAAAAUAAAAUAAAAAUAAAAAAUUAAACAAAAAAGUAAAAAAAAAAAGUAAAAAAAAGGAUAAAAAAUAAGACAACAUCAAUUUAGAAAAAAAAAGGAUAAAUCUCUUAAACCUGAUUUAAUAUCUAAAAGCCGUAUCUCUUGAAUUUUUUACCCAGAUUCAAUCAAGAAGCAUAAUUUUCAACCAAUUUAAUUUUAAAGGAUGAGAUCAGUAUAAAAAUAUUAAUAAAAAACCUACAAAAAAAACAUAAAAAAUAAAGAAAAAAUUUGAUAGAAAAAACCUAAGAAUGAUGCAAUUUAAUGAAAAAAAUAAAAAAUAAUCCCAAAUAAAAUAAAUAUCAAUAAAAAAAUUAGGACCAAGUUAUAAAAAUUAAGAAAAAUCAUAGGUGGUGAGAUUGUAAACAUCUGUAAAAACUAAGUAAACUCGAACAACAUCCUCAACAUGGUCAAAUCUUAAAAAGCUUGCAAUCUAUAAAACCCUGAAUUCAGAUUAUAUCAAUAAGUUUAUUACAAGCCAAUUUAAAAAUAUAAAUUUAAAAAACUUAUUAAAAAGAAGAAGAAGCCUGGAGCGAACCUGACUGACAGCUCGAGUCAAUAAAUCAAACACAUGGUCUAAGACAUGAAAUUGAGAUGACUCUAUAAAUAGAAAAGCUAAAAAAAUACUAACAACAAAUAUAUUAAAAAUGCUUUUAAAAAAACAAAAGUCAAAUUGGGCUAAUCCUUCAUAUCUACUACCUGGGUCAUGAGACUGAAAUGACCCUAUCAAAAGCAUACUUGAUAAAACAAAGAAGUAAGAUUCUUCAUCAAACAAACAUUGAAAGAUGAAACUGAGAAAAAAAAAUAAACCAAAAAAACAUUGUAAAAUAAAAACAAUAGCAACUAAAAAAAAUUAGAACUGAAUUUGACAUAAAAAUUAAAUGAAAUUAAAUAUUUAGGUAAAAAUCAAAUCAAAUUAAAUGUUUAGAGAUGAAAUUGUAAAAAACAAAUCCAUUAAAAAAAUGAUUUAAAAAAUAGCAAUUUAAAAAAUUAAGACCAAAUUUGACAUGAAAAUUAAAUAAAAAUAAAUACAUAGGGAUGGGAUUAGAAAAUAGUAAAUCAAUUAAAAAAAUAAUUAAAAACAAAACAAAUAGAAAUUAAAUUAAUGAGGACCAAAUUUGAAAAAAAAUAAAAAAAUCAAAUGACCAGAGAUAAAAUCAAGAAUAAACUUUAAUUAUAAAUAAUCAAUAUAAAUAAAACAAUUGCAAAUAAGAGAAAAGAGACUGAAUCAAAAGAAGAAAUAAAAUGAAGGGCUGGUUUGCAUUUUACCUAGUAUGAAUUUUUUCAUGGCCAACACGUAAUAUGAGAAAGAAAGAAAAAAUAGAAAAAGAUAGAAGAAAAAUAAAAUUAAUUUCAAGCUAAAUCACAUUGAACCACCAUACAUGUAUCAUCCAGAGAGGAAAAGGGCACCGAGAUAAAUUAAAUGAUGCGGCAGAAUCACGGUUAUAACUGCCUGAGCCAACCGCACGUGCCGCCAGAAGGUGGUGGAGCGCCUGACUUGUGUGAGGCAUGUGUCAAUUGUUGUUUUAUUUUAUAUUUUUUUUGUGAAAAAAAAUGAAAAUGUCUUUUGGACUAAACAAUAUUAACAAACAAACUAUAGUGAAACUACAACCAAGCCCCUAAAGCUAAGGUUAAAAAACUCAAAUUGUAAGGGCAAUGUAUUAAUUUAAUUGUGUUUAUAAAAUAUGAAAAUACAAAAAUGCCCUUGUGUAAAAAGCAUUGAAUAAUUUUUUUUAAGAGUUACAUUAGUAAUUUUUCUAUGAAUUUAAAAAUGCAAUCACCAAAAUAACCCUAUACAAUCAUUAAAAAACAUUUAUGUCAUGAUAAAAAGACUACAUUAUCCUCGAAGAAAAAACAAAAGAUAAAAUAACCAAUGAAAAAAAUAAUAAUUAUACUAUUAUAAUGAAUAAUAAUUUAUAUCUCGAGAUAUAAUAAUGUCGCUAAGGAGAUUAAUGUUUUGGAUAAUUCUAUAAAUAUUCAAGUAUGCAUAUUAUGCUUGUAAAACAAAUAGCAAUAGCGGGGCUAAAUGAUAUAUGUCUCCAUGUACCCUUUUGUUUUAAAAAUAUGUAAAUUUAUUCUAGAAUUAUUCUAGAGAUUGAUUUAUUUUAUAUCUUUUUUUUAUCCCUCCAACUAAACAAGUUUUAAUCCCUUCUAAAAAACUAUAUAAAAAAUACUAACCAAACAUUACCUUGUUUCCUUGUGUAAAUAUUAAUAAACAAAUGUUAAAUGAAUGAUAAAUGGGUCUAAUAUUUUUUUUUCCCUUGAGAUCAAGUUGUUUAAGAAAAUAGAAAAGUGUGGAUUGAAUCCCAGGACCUCUUGGAAAGUCCAUUGUAAUUUUUAAUUUUUUUAUUAUUUAUAAUCUGAUUUCUAUGAAAUUCUAGAAAAUUUUAUGGUACCAUAAAUAAUAUAUAUUUAAUUGAAUUUGGAUAAUAUAGCCUCUUUUAUUAAAAUUAAAUCUGGCAUUAUAUUAUUUCUUUUCAUAAAAGUAUUAUUAUUAUUAUUGUUAUUACUAUUGUUAUUUCAUCACAGGGUUUUUAAGAAAAUUUCAUUAAAUGAAGAAAUAGAAAGAGAGUUUAAAGGAUAUUUCAGAGUGUGAUGGUAGUUGCUUUUUUAAAGUGCUUUUCAUUUCAAAAUAUAUUAAGAUAAUAUUUUUUUUUAUUUUUAAAAAUUAAUUUUAACAUCGGUAUAUAAAAAUGAUCUGAAAAAAUUAAAAAAUAUAUUAAUUUAAAAUAAAAAAAUUAAAAAUUUUAAAAAUACUUACAAAACACAAUAUCAAAUAUAAUCUUAUAAUGCUUUACCCCAAAAUCUAGCGUGUCCUUUCCCACCCCAACCCUAACCACCCAUUACAGCCCAAACCCUGACCACCACCACCACAUAAAUUUGCAAAACCCCAACACGCCACCCAAAAAGAGCACCAAGCAAAGGAUAUUAUUGUACUUUAAACACAAAUACAAAAUCAAUGGGUUCAUCAGAGACAGUUUUUGCAAGAACCAGUGCAGCUUUAAGUUGUUUGUUAUUGUUUGCUGGGCUCCGGAAACCUAACCUGAAUCGCGAAGCAUCAAAGAAAGCCCUUGAACAUAAGAAGGAAAUCGAUAAGCGUUUAGGUCGUCCCUUUAUCCAAACAAACCCUUAUGAGGGGUGUGUGUGUGCGUGUCAAAGUUUCUGUUUUUGUUGAAAAGUUUGGAUUUGUUUUUUGCAUUUUUUGAUUUGAGUGUUUUUUUUGGGAGGGGUUGGAAUCUUGGUUAUAGGGAUAAUUAAUGGAAUAUACGGUUUGUUUUGGUUUAUUGUUUUUUGGAGGAUUUUGUGAAUUUUGGUUAUAUGGUCAGAUAAUGGAACGAAGAAUUUUGUGAAUUUGGAUUAUAGGGUUUAGUUAAUGGCAUAUAGGUUUUUUAUUUAUUUAUUUAUUUAUUAUGUGUUAUUGUUAUAUGCUUAAAUUGUCAUUUACCUACAAAAGUUUGAAGUUUGUGUAUGAUAGUGGGGUUGAAGUUGAUAUUGCAAUGAGGGAUGUGGGUGGUUUAUUGUAGAGAAUAGGGAUUUUGGGGGGGGGGGGGGGGGUUUAAGUGCUUUAGUGCAGAUAGGUGCUUUAAUCGGUGUUUGGGAUAUGGGGGAGUGAUUGCUUGUGCCGAAUGAGAUGAGAUUAAGUUUCCAGUUUUGCUGGGAUGAAUGGAGUUGCUUUGUGGUAGUUGAAACUAAGUUCAUUUCAGAUUGAGUUAUUUGUUGAACUUUUGAACUGGUGGGUUGGAGUUUAGGCCUCUGGGUUAUUGAAAAGUUCAAAUUCUUGUGUGACAAUAGAGAUGGGGGCUAUGAGAUUUAGAUUGCGAUGAGGGAUCCUGGUGGUUUAGUGGGUUAUUAUAGGGAAUAGGGAUUGGGGGAUUUGAGUGUUUUAGUGAAGAUAGGUAAUUUAAUCAGUUUUUGGAACAUGGGGGAGUGACUCCUUGUGCUGAAUAGGGUGUGUUUAAGUUUCCAGUUCUGUUGGGAUGAAUGAAGUUGUUUUGUGUUGGUAGAAACUAAGUUCAUUUCUGAUUGAGUUGUAUAUUAAGCUUUUGUACUGGAGCGCUGGAGUUUAGGCCUUUAGGUCGAUGUUAUAGCAUGCUUGAAUUGUCAUUUAUUUGCAAGAAGUUUGAAUUUUGUGUGAUAAUGGGAUGAGGACCAUGAGGUUAAGACUGCAAUGAGGGAUGUGUGUGGUUUGGUGGGUUAUUGUAGGGAAUCAGGGUGUUUUGGUGAAGAUAGGUGCUUUAAUUAGUUUUGGGGAUGUUGGGGAGUUAUUGCUCAUGCUGAAUGGGAUAUGAUUAAAUUUCAAGUUUUGUUGGAUGGAUGGAGUCAUUUUGGGUUGGUGGAAACUGGAGACCAAGUUCGUUUCUGAUAUAUUGGAACUUUUGUACUGGUGCGUUGACCUCUGGGUUGGUGCUAUAGUACUGUUGUUACAACCAUAGAUAGUUAUAAUAUUUCAUGGUGUCUUCAAACGUGCCAUUUUUUUUCCAGGCAGUCUAUACUUUGUUGGCUGCUACUAUGCAACAAAUACUCAGAGUUUCUAAUAUCAACUGAAUACAUGAAAAUAUCCAUCAUAUGGAGUAGAUUUGAGUCUCUGCGAUAUCAUAAACUAAUGGCACAUGAUUAUUAGUUGCAUUUAUGUGAGUCCACCUUUUUUGAAAAUGAUACGAUGUGAACACUGAUGGCUGCUAUGUUCAGUAAUAGCCUCCUGCGUGACUGACUGGGACAAGUUCAUAGUUGGAAGAAAUUAAACUUGAAGACUUGGCCUUGAACCAAUAUGAUGGCUAUAACUGGAAAAUGUAGAUAUUAGUUCUUUCUAUGCCAGAUGAAAUUUUGAUCGAAAACCAACUUUUCAAUUAUGAAGCCUUCUGAUUGUAAUUGCUUUGUGGAAGAUCUAAACUGCUUUGUAACAAUCAAGACUAUCCUCUAAACACUAUCCAAUGUGGCCAUGUUCUCAUGUUGAAAAUAUAAUUGAUUGGAAUAGAGGCUUUAGAAUUUAUAGUCGGUUUAAUGGUUUAUCAAUAUGCUGCAAUUGUGUAUUUUUAUUUUUGAAUCAAUUGGAGGAUUGGAAUCUAACAAGCAAGCUUUGUAUGAACCGGUGAUUCUUCCUCUGCGGAAACCUGAGCUCUUCUCACAUGGGAAACUUCUUGGUCCACAAAAUGGGGUAUUGUUAUAUGGACCUCCAGGCACCGGGAAGACCAUGCUUGCAAAAGCUAUUGUCAGAGAGUCUGGAGCUGUUUUUAUAAAUGUGAGGAUCUCUAAUCUGAAGAGCAAGUGGUUCGGCGAUGCACAAAAGCUCUGUGAGUAUAGAUUGCGUUGGAAUUGCCUCUCUUGUGCUGGAGCUUUGUCUUGCAUUUAGCAAAACAAUGAUGAUUUAAAAUUAUUGCCUUGUUAUUCUAAAACUUGCUAUCACCCACCGAUUAUGUUGAGUGAAAUUUAGUUUCACUCUGAUAAUGGAAGCAAGGUAGUACUUUGUGAACAUUCUUUACUAAAAUUGAACAUUCCUAACCUGUCCUUAUUGAAGAUCUUUAUUAGCAGCAAGAUUUUGUUGGAUGCUCUAUUAACUUUUAAAAACAGGGCACUGUAGCUUGCUUAUCUAAUGGAUCUUAUUCCGAUGAAUGAGAUUGCGAAAUGAUCAUAAUUUUGGUAUUUUUGUUGCCGUGUGGUAUUUCUAUGCAUCCUGCAUCAGGGAUAUAACAAAAGUAACUGAAUGGCAUGCAUUCUGGCAAUUGUGAAAGUGGUCAUUACUGUAUUUAGCAACUACAUCUUUGUGUUGAAACCAUCCCUCAUUAUAUUCUUUUCUGCAUUUGAAUCCAUGCAAAUCUUGUUGGUUCUGUGCUGGCUAGAAACAGAUUUAGAAGUAAUUAACUAAGUUUUCAUAAUCUAAUUGUUGUUGAUUCUCUUCUAUGCUAUUGUAGUUGCUGCUGUUUUUAGCCUGGCUUAUAAACUACAGAUCAUGAGGCAUGAAGCUUGAGUUCAUGGCAUUAUGGGAUGUAUUUACUACAGAUCGUGAGUUCUUACUCUUGAAACAAGUGCUGCAUUUGUGUAGUCUUUCAAUGCAGUGACUUGCUAGAAUGCAUUUCAUGUAAGAUUUGUGAAAGUGUGAUUUAUUCAUGGGCCUGGCCUGACCAGACUCAUUGAUAAUAUUCUUAUAGAGAAUGCACAAGUGAUGGUACUUGCUGCAACCAACUGACCUUCAGAACUCGAUGAAGCAAUCCUCCAACAUCUUCCUAAGGCCUUUGAAAUUGGGAUACCUGAUCAAAGAGAGAGGGUUGAGAUCCUGAAGGUUGUUUUGAAAGGGGAGAAGAUCAAAAGCAAAAUUGACUUUGACUGCAUAACAAGUUUGUGUGAGGGCUACACUGGUUCUCAUCUGUGAUUUGUUAUAAUCCCAGCUAAUUCUUCAAGGUAUUUUUAUUGAUUUGUAAUAUUUGCAUAGAAAUCCCAUGCAUGCCUGAGGGUGUCAUGGAAAAGUUUUGGUAAUUGUUGCUUGUUGUGCUCUUUCCAAAACCAAUGACUUCCAUUGCAAUGGAUAGAAGAUAGUAUGGUUCCUCAUGAGAACUAGAAGAAAUUAAACAAAGUGUUGUUAUGAACUACAAGGGAUAGCUAUUGGUGUUAAAAAAUAUUAACCGGAGGAUUUUAUCUUUCCAUUGUUUGAGCUUGCUGUGGAUUUUUUAACCCUUUAUUGAGUUUCUUCAUUGGGAUUCUUUCUUAGGCACCAAGGCCAUUGUCCCAGUCAGACUUGCAGAGAGUUCUUGGCACAUCAACUAAGACUAGGGUUGCUGCAAAUGAGUACAGGAGGUCAAGCUCGCAUUCACCUAGGUGGCCAAGUAGUCAGAUGACUAUCAAGUUUAAGCCAUAACUAACGAGCUCUCUAUACUCGUAGUAUCUCAAAUCUUGAAUCUUCAGUCGGAUAAUCAGGACCCUUGAAAUAUUGAUUUGUUUUUUCUUGAUAUCAGGCCAAGAGAAAUUGUAUUUUAAAUUAUUUUCAUGUUUUUCCUAUUCUGAAAUGCUCUAAGUAGAAUAUGUUGUUUUUAGGCGACUUAGAAUUGCAGAUUUGCAGUAACAUAGAGCUCUUAACAUGGUAUUAAUACCUAUCUUGCUUUUCUUUUGCUUUAGAUAUAAACUUGCCAAUCACCAAUGUUGACUGAUUUUGUUGAUGAUUUUGGCUGUGUGUCAAGAGUUGUGGAACAUUGUUUGUCCAUGUUGAUAUGGGUUUCUUACAUUUUUUAAGAGUCAUUUAUGACUUACAAGUUAUAGAAUUACUCUAUUUUGCUUACAAAUAUUGUUGCUGUUGUGAACAGAAUUGCUUUAAUUCUUAUAAAAUUUAAAAUACUCCAAGAAAGGGAGAUUGAUUUAAGUGAUUAAGAAUAAGGAAAUGAACACAUAAAAAGUGACCUAAACAUAAAUGAUUUUAUAGUUUACACAAACUAUUGCUUGCAUACAUGGAAUCUUUUUCAUAGAAGUAACACCCAAUUAACCUUGAUGAAAAAAAAAAAAAAAGAGUAAAGGGAAUCUAAUACUAUGAAUCUGCCACCCAAUUAACCUUGAUGUUGUUUCCGUGUGAAAUCAACAUAAUAUCUUGUUUGUACUGCAAAAUUAGAAAGGUAAGACUGAUCAAAUGAAAUAGUAAAGAAAAGACUUGAUGUGAACAUAAAAUUUGAAAACUCAAAUGCUUGCAAAACUUACUUGAAAAUAUCAAUUGCAUCAUUUAGUUUCUUCUAGCACCAUAUCUGCCAGCAUUCUUCUUUGUUUUUUGGUUCUGGAGAUUCCAUUUAUCUUCAACCAUCCUAAGAAACCAUGAAGGCAUUUUUGUUCUAAACACAACGUAUCCCGUUGCAACUCCAAACACAAACCCGCAUCCAUACCCCACUGUCACAGCUUUCCAUCCAAAUCCUUCUCCAAACAAUGUUGAAUCAUCUCCUUCAUCAAAGCUUGAUGGCGGUAAUGAUGGUGCCUCAUCACCGUAACAUUUUUUUAGUACUUGAGAUCCACAUAAACCCAAGUUUCCUUCAAAUGAGCUUGCAUCAAAGGUGUUGAACUGCCCUCCACUUGGUAUGGGCCCCUCGAGGUGGUUAUGUGAAAGGUUUAGGAUUGCAAGAAAUGUUAGACCUCCCAGCUGCGUUGGAAUCCUUCCGGGAAGCAAAUUGAAGAUAAAUCUAAUGAUUCCAAAUUAGUCAAAUUUUCUAAUGAUGAUUAGAUAUGACCUGUAAGGGAAUUAUGAGAAAGGUUGAGCUGUUGGAGUGCUUUAAGCUUUCCUAUCACUUUUGGAAUCUCUCCGAAGAAAUUGUUAUUUGACAAAUCAAGUACUCUGAUAGUACUUCGGAUCUUUGUAAACUCAAUUUCUACACCUUUCCAUGUCAUUUCUAUGGAAUAGACAUAGCCAGUGUAAUUUGUUGCAUUCAUGUAAAUCAUGUUUUGAUCCGAGGACAUCAUUGCUUCAAGACUAUUGAAAUACCCAGUUGGCAAUGGCCCACUAAAAUUGUUGUCAGAGAUGUCAAGAAUCCGUAAUUUAGAGAAUGAAUUAUUUGCAGUCGGACCCUUCACAAAACCUUGGAAUGUAUUGGAUUUUAGGACAAGAAUUUGGAGCUUUGGAAGCGUUUCUAGAAAGUAGGGAAAUGUAUCCUCAAUCUUAUUGUUGCCAAGAUCAAGAACUUGCAACAUUGUACAGUUGAUGAUAGACCGUGAUAUUUUCCCUUCUAAUUCAUUUCCAUUGAAGUUGAGAUAUUCCAAGCUAUUAUCCUUUGAAAAUGUUGAAGGGACAGUGCCUUGAAGAUUGUUCAUGCCUAGAUGCAAUACUGAGAGCAUGUUGCUGAAGUUCCCCAAACAUUGUGGUGUAGAACCCCUAAAGCUGUUGUUGGACAAGUCCAGGACCUGAAGGAAUCUCAGCUUGCAAAUAGAAGAAGAAAUCUCACCUGUCAAUUUACUAUUGGACGCAAGAAUAAGGGCUGUCAAGUUCUCUUGUUGAAAAUAGAACUUGGGAUUGUACCAUGCAAGUGGUUAUUGCUCAAAUCAAGGUAUACCAAUGAANNNNNNNNNNNNNNNNNNNNNNNNNNNNNNNNNNNNNNNNNNNNNNNNNNNNNNNNNNNNNNNNNNNNNNNNNNNNNNNNNNNNNNNNNNNNNNNNNNNNNNNNNNNNNNNNNNNNNNNNNNNNNNNNNNNNNNNNNNNNNNNNNNNNNNNNNNNNNNNNNNNNNNNNNNNNNNNNNNNNNNNNNNNNNNNNNNNNNNNNNNNNNNNNNNNNNNNNNNNNNNNNNNNNNNNNNNNNNNNNNNNNNNNNNNNNNNNNNNNNNNNNNNNNNNNNNNNNNNNNNNNNNNNNNNNNNNNNNNNNNNNNNNNNNNNNNNNNNNNNNNNNNNNNNNNNNNNNNNNNNNNNNNNNNNNNNNNNNNNNNNNNNNNNNNNNNNNGACGAAGGAAAAGAGCCAGUGAGGCCUUCGUUGUAUGACAAAUAGAGUGAUUCAAGGUUUGGGAGGAGAAAGAUGUUACCCGGGAACUUCCCCUGCAAUCCACAACCCCAAAGGGAAAGAGAUGACAAAGAAGAGGACAGAUUCGUCAAGGAAUUAGGUGCAACCACAGACAUAUUUAAAUAACCCAAAGCGAGAUAUCUUAGCUUGGUUAGGUUUUGAACAAUCUUGUCAAAAGAAAUUGGUUCUAGACUUAGAUAGAAGUUUCCAGAGAGAUGAAGGGAAACCAGCUCACUGAGUUGCUCAAAACCAUAUGGAAUUGGACCAGUAAGAUUGUUCCAUCCAAGACCCAAGUACUGCAGGUGCUUAAAUUUCCCCAUUGAGGAUGGGAAUUUUCCUUGCAAUCCACAGUCAUCGAGUUUGAGUGAUGACAGAGAAGAAGACAGAUUCAUCAAGGAAUCGGGAACAACUAGUGACAUGUUUACCCAACUCAAAUCGAGUUCUCUAAGCUUGGUUAGGUUUCGAACAAGCUUGUCAAAAGAAAGCUUGUCAAAAGAAAUUGGUUCUACACUCACAUAGUCGUUCCUAGAGAGAUCAAGAGAAACCAUUUUGGAGAGGUGAGAGAUUUCUGACGGAACUUGGCCUGCAAGAUCUGAACCACUUAGGUUAAGAUGUGUUAGACUGGAGAACUGGCCAAAUCGAGAAGAAAUAUGGGAGGUGUUGAAAUCAUUCAAAGAGAGGUCGAGUUUUUGAAGAUGAUGGAGAGAGAAGAGAGAAUUAUUGGGAUGGAGGGUGCCGUAAAGCAUGCUGCAGGAGAGGUCCAGUCCACUGACGUGCCCGGUUUUCAGGUCACAAGUGACUCCAUCCCACAAGCAGCAGUCUGUGCCCUCUUUCCAUGACUCUGUCUUGGGAUAUUGAUCAUAUUGAUAGUUUCUAGCAAACCAAAAAGGAGAACUCUGAAUGGAGAAGGAUUGUUUGAAUUGAAGGAGAGAAAGAGAUUGGCGAUGAGCACACAAAUGAGAAGAGGAGGAGGAGGAGUAAUUUGAGGAGAGUGGAGAUGAAAUUGUUGAGUGGAAAUGGAAGAGAAACAGAAUGAAAGAGAGAGAUUGAGAGAGGCACGGUAGUGAAAACCCCAUGUUGGCUGGCCUUACAGGAUUCAAAGUAUAAUUAACUGGGAAUUUAAGAUGAGAAGUGAAGAAAGGCAUUAUUAGUAGUAUUUAUAGACGAAAUCAAAGUGACUGGUUGAAGCAUUAAACAAGUUUCCUUAGCUGAAAGAGAAUCGGAGCAAAGAAAGACUAAUUUGUUCAUGAGCACAUAUUAAUUGUUAGUAUUAAAAUACCUUUUUCAGGAUUUAAUAAUUAAAAAAAUAAAGUAAGAAUAAAAACCGAUGGAAAUAUGCAAUAUAUAUGAAAGGUUCCUAUCAACUUGAUUCCCUGUUGACUUCAAAUUGUGCAAACUGAAUUGUUGUUUCUUGGCACCAAUGACUUCGCACUAAUAUAUAUAACAUUUCUCAUGAUCCAAAAGUCUUUUCAUUCCUUCAAUUGAUAUACUUUGAUUUUCCCUUUUUCUAUUCUAAAUAAAAAAUAAUUUAAACUAUGGAAUUAUGUAUACAUAAUUGAAAAUAAAAAUGAUAAUCAAAGUCAGUGAAUAUUUCACGCGAGGAGAAGUCCCUUAAUUCACUAAUACAAGUGUUCAUAAAUUGAGGUGCCGGACUUAAUUAAAAAAAUAAGAUAAUUAAUUAAAUAUUUAUAAUAAGAUAUAUAUAAAAAAGAUUUAUGCGAAGAUUGCUUUGCCCACUAAAAUAUAAUUUCCAAGAAAUUCGAAGCCACAAAAUCGGAAGAAAACUUCUUAAUAAUUUUGGAUCGUAGUUUGCUCACAGCUUAAGCAAGUGGGCAUGCAGAGUUAUAGUGUCAUCCUCACCUUCAUAUAUAACUGGAGUGUUGGAAACCCGGCAAUAUUAAUUAAUUUCCGAAAUUAACAUUUUUGUUGAGAUCAAGUCUAUGCGAGUGAUGUGCAGCAAGUCUAUGAAAAUUUGCUAAAAGAACAGCCAUUCAUAUGGAGUUUAGACCCACUCAAGAUUCUUUAAGCAGGAAGGAAUGUUUCUUUUCAACUAGUUGAUUGCUAAACAAGAGUAUAAACUAUAAAAACUUGAUAUCGAUAUAAUAAAACGAUGUAAAAACAUAAUAGGAAAACGACAAUAUUGAUUUCUUGUUAAAAAUAAAAUUUAUAAAAUAAAAAAAUAUAAAAUAUUAUUUUAAUAUAUUUUCAAAUAAAAAAUACUUUGAAAAAUAACUUUCACCAAACUAACAUUCUUUAAGAAUAGGAACCCGACAAUAUUGAUUUCCUAAAUGAAUUAAAUAGUGUUUAAGGGGUUGCUAAUUUUUCUUAAAAUAACUAAUCCUUUUAGUAUUAAAAGUAAUUAAAUAGUUAUUUGACAAAUUUUAAUCAUGCUUAAUUCAAUAAUAAUUGUUUUUUUUUUAAAACUUUUCUUGCUUAUCAAUCUUUCAAUUUAUAUACUUUGAUUUUUCCUUUAUCUAUUUUAAAUAAAAACUAAUUUAAAAAUGAGAUUAUAUAAAUAAAUAAUUAAAAAAUAUGGAUGUAAUAAAAAAUAAAGAUUGUAAACCCUUUACCUGUAUGGUUCAGAGAGUAUUUAUAACCCCUGAACCUUGUCAUUUUAAUAGAGUUGAGGGAUUGGAAAGACAUUUCUUUCUUAUAGCACUAAUAAAAGAUAUAUAUCUCUUACAAAACAUUAAGUGAUGAACAAAUAUCCCUUGCACAAUAUUAAUGAGGGAUAAAUAUCCAUUACAAAAUAUUAAUGGCAAUGAAAAUAUGAUAGGUCUUUAGAAAACUUUUAUAUACCUAGGGAUAUAGGAAAAUAAAUAUCCUUAACUUUAACAUCUUAUAUUAAAAGUCACAAGAAUAAACAAAUGAAACUUUGUAGUCUAACAUGGGGCCUAUAAUGAUCGUCAUACCCAAACCCACUUUGGCUUGGCACGAUGCCAAAUCCAAGAGCGGUGGAUCUGGCAGCUCGCUAGAUCUAUAUCUGUUUGGGUUCUACAAGUAACUGAACUCAAGGGUGUGGGGUCUAACAACUUGCUAAAGGCUCAACAAGUAGCUAAACCCGAAAGUGUUGGGUCUGACAGCUCGCCAUACCCAUGUCCACUUGGGCUCAUCGAGUACCUGAAUCCAAAAAUGUUGGGUUUGGAAGUUCGCCAAACUCAUGUCCACUUAGAUUAAACGUGUAGCUGAACCUAAAGAUAUUUGGACUGACAACUUGUCAGAUCUAUGUUAAUUUAUGUUCAACACAUAGCUUAACUCAAUGAUGUUGGGUUUAGCAGCUCGCCAAAUCCAUGUUUGUUUGGGUUCAGUGCAUAGCUGAACGAAGAACGUUGGGUUUGGCAAAUCACCAGAUUUAUUUUUGCUUGGGCUCACCGUGUAAUUGAGCCCAAGAACAUUAGGUCUGGCAACUCUUCGGACCCAUGUCUGUUUGGAAGCUUGUCAAAUCUAUGUCCACUUGGGCUCUACUCUUAACCACGCCGAAGGGUGUUGAGCUUGAAAAUAAACUAGACCCAUGCAUGUCAUCUAGACUUGAUAUUCUAUCAAGCAUUGGGCACUCAGAGCCAGAAUUCCGGCAACAGCAAAAACAAUUCAUUGAUAAAUGAAAAUUCCGGCAACAACAAAAAAAUUUGAGAAAUGCAAUUCGGAAUGUUUUCCACUCCCUUCAAGUUACUUGUAACACCACUUCUAGAGUUUCGACAAGUCACUUCCUCAAUGGAAACACAGUGGUUUUUUUAUAUUGAAGAAACAUCUAGUCUAGGUAAUGAAAAGAUUAGCUGGUUAAAGUUAAGGGAACUUGUGAAGGAAAAAAUAAAACACAUACAGUACUCAAAAGUUGCACUAAAUUCCAUGGAGCACAAGAUCAGAAGAAAAAGAUCAUUUAUGGAUGAUAUGUGAAUCUUANNNNNNNNNNNNNNNNNNNNNNNNNNNNNNNNNNNNNNNNNNNNNNNNNNNNNNNNNNNNNNNNNNNNNNNNNNNNNNNNNNNNNNNNNNNNNNNNNNNNNNNNNNNNNNNNNNNNNNNNNNNNNNNNNNNNNNNNNNNNNNNNNNNNNNNNNNNNNNNNNNNNNNNNNNNNNNNNNNNNNNNNNNNNNNNNNNNNNNNNNNNNNNNNNNNNNNNNNNNNNNNNNNNNNNNNNNNNNNNNNNNNNNNNNNNNNNNNNNNNNNNNNNNNNNNNNNNNNNNNNNNNNNNNNNNNNNNNNNAAUAUGCGAGUCUUGAUAAAGCUAGCUAUCGAUCUGCAAGUAGUCAAAGAAAAUUGUUAGUUUAACUGGAAAGAGUCGAAAGACAUGAUGACUAGGCUGGAUAGUAUAUUCAUUGCUUCAUUAUUUAUCUUCUAAUUUUUUACACUUCAUAGAGGACCUAUAUCAUGAGACUACCUGAAUAAGCUAGCAGAAAACAUUGUAUCACACUGACUACAAACAAAACGCACCUUAAUUCUUAGUCCAUACAAAUUCAAAAUAGCUUUUAGGGAGCUUCGUUGGAUUCUGUAAUGUAGAAGAAAGGUAGCAUUAUUGCUUCAUAAUGAUAAAGUGAAUCACCUCCAUUUUUAUUUCUAUCACCAGGAGAAGAAUCACCUCCAUUCAUAAUGCUAUUUUUAUUGCUUCAAUCGUUCUCAACAGGAGAAGAAUCCCCCAACAUAGCAUUCAUAGCCUCCUCCUGCUGCUUCUCAAUCUCCAUGGUCCAUCAUCCACGAUAAAUUCUUUGCUUCUUCAAUUUGUAAUCCUUUUCCAUAUUCUCCAAACUAUAAAGUGAAUCACCUCCAUUUUUAUUUCUAUCGCCUUGUGGCCGUGGCUGGAUUUUCCNNNNNNNNNNNNNNNNNNNNNNNNNNNNNNNNNNNNNNNNNNNNNNNNNNNNNNNNNNNNNNNNNNNNNNNNNNNNNNNNNNNNNNNNNNNNNNNNNNNNAGGAAAGUGGCCUUUUUCAAUUGAUUUUGAAGUAAGGAAAGCAAUGUUCCAACUGAAAAUAAUUUAGGAGCACAGUGCACGAACCAAAGCUAGCAUCCUUGCAGAUGAUCCUGAGUUCCCUUAUAAUGCUUUAGACUUGUUAGUAUCUGCUGAUCGAGGGAUUAGUUAAUUGGACUAAUCACAGAAAAGCUAGAAUAAACAUUAUGUGGUCCACGCCUGCCAUUGAAGAACUAAAACGGAAUGUGGAUUGUUCAGCCUUUGGAAAACCUGGUAGAGCUAGAAUUGGUGGGGUACUGAGGGAUCAUAAAGGUGUGGUGUUGUGUCUUUUCUCGGCUUUUGUUGGAAUCAAGGAGUCAAAUGAAACUGAAUUACUUGCAGUUUUGAAAGCUUUGGAAUUAGCAGCUUCAAGAGACGAGUUAUGUGGAAAAAGAUUUAUGAUUGAAUCAGAUUCAGCAAACGUGGUUAACUGGAUGAGAGAUAAGUCGAAACGUCCAUGGAAAUUUCACGAUAUCUUCAUAAGAGCUGCUAGAUUUAUGGCAGUGUUGAAACUGGUGCAUUAUGCUCCUUGUAGCAUGGCUCUAACAAAUAUUUUAAUCUAUCUUCUGUCUUUCUUUCUCAGAAAUGAAUUGGGUGAUUUGGUUGUUAUAUUGCAGAAGACACCAUCAGAGGUUGUGGUUGCUAAUAUUACCUGUGUUAUUUUGGUUUGGUGAAGUCAUGAUGGGAUGUGAUGAGAUGGAAUUGGGUGAUGCUGAAGAAUGUUUGAAUUUUAGCUUGGUGUGAUGAUUUGCAGGGUGAAUAUAGCUAGAUCAGCAGUUGGGGUUAUAUUGUGAUGUAUUCAUUAGUUUUUCUGGUUUGUUCUUGCUGGGGUUUUCUUGCUCUCUCAUAUCAGUUAUCUGAUAUGGUGGCUAUUGUUUGUAUCUGUGAUAUGGGAGCAAUCUGGAAGUAUAUUUAAAGAAGAGAAUUGUUAGGAUAUUGCCAUUUAGUGGCAAUACCCCACCACUAAGCAAGUGGUUGCUCCAUUAAUGCCACAAAUGGUGGCAUACUUUAAGGCUUGCUUGUCCCACCUUAUUUGACAAGAGUGCUGGAGAAGGUUGCCAUGUUUGCCUAUAAAAGAGGCAAUUAUUUGAGAGCAAAAUAGAGAGAGAACGUGAGUGUGUGCAAGAGAGUGGAGAGAAAGUGAGCUGCAAUGGCAGCAGCCUUGCUGCCAUUGCAGCAGCUGCAAGUGCAGCAAGAGAGUUGAUGAGUUGAGUAGAGUGGAUGUAAUCCUCCUCCUCUACAUGUAUUUUUGUAUCCUUUCUCUAAUCUCUAAUAAUAUAGACUCUCUCCCGUGGAUGUAGGCAAUUUGCCGAACCACGUAAAAUAUUGUGUCAGUGUGCUUUAUCCUCCGAUGAGCAACUAUCAGUACACCCCCGGUCCGCGCAUGGGUGACGGAUUCCCCAACAAUUGGUAUCAGAGCACAUGGUAGAAAGAGGUGUUUGAUUUUUGCUCAAAAAUGAAAGUUGUCAAAAUUAUGUUUUGACCAUACCACUGUGUAGAGGAGGAAGAGACGAAGCCACUGGUGAAAACGGCGUCAAAAUCGGACGUCGGACAUGGCCGCACUCUCCAUCACUCUCCGGCAAGGCGUCUGCCCACGCGCGCAGACGCGCCCCACGCGUCUUCUUCGCCCGGAUGGGCUGACCCGACCCGAAUACCAGUUGACCCGACCCACAUGGCUGACCCGGAUAUGAAUGACGUCAGCAUGACAUAAUUGUGAUGUCAGCAUGCACAGUAGGCAUGCCAGGGAUGACAUCAGCAUGAUGUAAGUGUGAUGUCAGCAUGCACAGUAGGCAUGCCAUGUCAACAGACACAUCAUCGACCAGUCAGCAGACACGUCAGCAAAGUGGGACCACCUGCCACAUCAUCAGCCGCGAGCCGAGCCGAGUUGAGCCGAGCUGUUUUUAAGCCGAGCCGCGAGCCGAGGGAUAAGAUUCUGUGCAGCAGAGUCUACGUGCAACCGGAUCUGAGAUUGAAUCUGGAUCGCUCAUCAGGCCAGAAUUGUUUUGAUCAAAUCUUAGCCGUCUGAAAUGCGAUUUGGAUGAUUUCAGACUUGUUUCCAGCUAAUUUGAUCGUUCCGGAUGCAAUGGUACGGUCCGAUCAUUGCGAUUUGAGACUGAAAAUGGCAGUGGUGAAUUAACAAAAGAGAUUGCCCGAUCAGGAGGCAUCUGAAGGUCAUCAUGGUGGUCGAUGGAGAUGAAGAAGAACAUGUCACACAUGUUUACCCAAUUACAUGUGCUGAACUGCUAAGUGGAGAGAAAUUUUAAUUGCCUUGAGGAAAGGCAUAAUUGGGACACUCGGACACCCGGUUAUGUUGACAAUUAGAGGUGUAGAGUGAAAAUUGAUUAAGACCAAUCUUAACGAAUCUAAGCACCGGUAGUCUCGCCAGUUGUUGAGAAAUCAUGUAUUAAACCAGUAUAUUCCAGAUUACUUGUAAAGGAAAGCCGCAACAAAGCUAGCAAAUGGUUGUAUAUACGGAAAGACAGUACGAUGGAUAGAUAUGGCCUAAGAAGUUCUGUCUAGGAGAUUGGGUUUUAAGCGGGACUAGUGUGACCCCUCCAAUCUUUCCUGGGAACUUGCUUAGUGGAAGGAUUAUCCAUACGGUACUAUUUUCGUAUAUAUAGCAGUUUGUAAUGAAACAGUUGAAGACUAGCAGGAUGGCGGCACAAGGGAACAGUUGGGUUCCAAAGGUUCAAGGAUCUGAUGGAGUGGUGAUUUCUCCAAAGAAGUUAGAUUCGGUGACUGUGAUUUCUUGAGGGAGAAUUGAUGAAGACCCUAAUAAUGGAAGAGAAAUACAGCAAGGGGAUAAAGAUUGGCACCCUAUUUUGACUUGGACAGGUGUUGUGACAGGAUGAGCUGCUGUCAAACAUAAGCAAGAAAUAGGGAGAAAUCUGGAGAACAGAAAUUGCACGAGAGCACACGGAGAUUGUGCAGGAGUACCCGUAGGAUCCAACGAGGUACUGUAAUGAGACAACAGGUGCAAGGAGAAGAAGUGUUCCCAGAUGAAGCUUAGAGCAGAGACUGUUAAAGUUUGUACAACAAGAAGUCUCUUGUGCUCUGUGAUGAAGACAACAGGCGAAGACCUUUCCAAUGCAUGCAAGGAUGGAAAGAGAGCUGUUGUAGAGGCACCUAAUUGAGGGGGUGCAAACGCCUGUGAUAAAAGGCGACCGCCUAUGAUGAAAGGCAAAGACACCAAAGAGAGUUGGUGUAGGUGGAGCUGUCAAGCAGAAAGGCGCAGAAGCUCCAAACAUAGAAAUCGAGGUGGAGGAUUGCGAGGAGUGUACCGCAACUCUCUCUUUCUAUGUAAGCAGUGGCAGUAAUCUCUCCCAUAGUGCACAUGGUGGUAGAGAAUUUUGGAGCCACUUUAAAGCAUCUCAGCUGAAGGAGGAUGCGACCGCCCCAUGACAACGGGCGAAGACACCUUAGAGAAGGUGUGAGGGCCUUGAUAUAAGCCCAAGAUCAGACCGCCGCAUGACGACGAGCGGAGACACCUCGGGAGAAGGUGUGAGGGUCAUGAUAUGAGCCCAGUUCAGAACGCCCCAGAGCCAAUGUGAUGGCUAGAUAUGAGUGGACAGGUGUAUAGCCAAUGAAGUGGCUAUGAUGAGUAUGGAGACAAAUGCAGGAUUGACUUUCAUGGAUAUUGCCCUCAUGCUAAAGAUCAAUGAGCUAGAAGACAUUUGCCUUGGACAAUAAGUGUGUGACUUGUGGAGCAUUAAGACGCGGCUGCUAUGAAGAAGCAGAAGGGCAUGCGCAGGUUCCGAGAACGAGUUGACUCUUGUCAAGGUGGUGAGCUCGGUAAUGGCAUUGUAAUACUCAGAGUAUGAAGACAGAUAUGGAUCAACCUUUAUGGGCUGCCCCCAUGGUUAAAGGUGGAGAGCUACCUGGACUUUUACGACUAAGAGCGAGAGACUCACGGAGAAGUAAGGCGUGGUUCCUAGGGUGGAACAGAGGGCAGGCGCAACUCCUGGAUGAGUAGACUCUUGGAAGAGUGGUGAGCUUGUGAUCACAUUGAAAUACUCAAUGACUGUCGCACUUGGGAAUAUUCGUUUGAGGGGGUGUUGUAAGCCUUGGUGUAAGGCUUAAAAAAUCAUUCCGGACCGAGCAAGGUUAAUACGCUCGAAGGGGAAUGUUGUGUUGAAGAUGCUCUCAGAAUGGUAAGCUUGGAAGAGCUGCAGAAUGCAAGCUUGUGCUGAAGAAGCAAGAGGACAAUUGCCCACAAAUGGCAAAGGGGGUGAUUGUUAGGAUAUUGCCAUUUAGUGGCAAUACCCCACCACUAAGCAAGUGGUUGCUCCAUUAAUGCCACAAAUGGUGGCAUACUUUAAGGCUUGCUUGUCCCACCUUAUUUGACAAGAGUGCUGGAGAAGGUUGCCAUGUUUGCCUAUAAAAGAGGCAAUUAUUUGAGAGCAAAAUAGAGAGAGAACGUGAGUGUGUGCAAGAGAGUGGAGAGAAAGUGAGCUGCAAUGGCAGCAGCCUUGCUGCCAUUGCAGCAGCUGCAAGUGCAGCAAGAGAGUUGAUGAGUUGAGUAGAGUGGAUGUAAUCCUCCUCCUCUACAUGUAUUUUUGUAUCCUUUCUCUAAUCUCUAAUAAUAUAGACUCUCUCCCGUGGAUGUAGGCAAUUUGCCGAACCACGUAAAAUAUUGUGUCAGUGUGCUUUACCCUCCGAUGAGCAACUAUCAGUACACCCCCGGUCCGCGCAUGGGUGACGGAUUCCCCAACAAGAAGUUGAUACUCUGUUAUUCAACGCUGCGGUUAAGGGAAAGGUCAACGAUGAAGAUCUUGUGUGGCUGGUGUUCUUCAGUUAGAUUGAAGAACAAUACUGAUACAAGUAACCAACCAUCUUGGCUUUUCUUUGUUUGCCUACAAAUUUGAUGUUGCUGAUUUUGCAGCCUAAAAAUUCAUUACUUUCACUUGAAAGGAGCACAGAAAUAGCCAGUUCAAAGACCAGCGUUGGCACUGCUGCUGGGGUAAAGAGCAACUUAGGAAUCUGCCUAUUGUAUAUAGAUUUUUUCAAUUCGAUUUCUAGUUCCUUCAUAUUUUUUUUUAUGGGUAGCUAGGUCCUUCAUUUUUUUAGUAUGAUGGAAAAAAAUAAUAAUUUUAUUAAUGAUAGAAGCCUAGUAAAACUAUAACACUUUCCCUAGCUAUAUAUACAAUGCAAGAACCAUGAAGCACUCGAUUUUUCGGUCUGCUACUAUGUGAUGCCGUCAUUUGUUUAGUGUGAUUUACAAAAAUAAUAAUUUUAUUAGUGAUGGUAACCUAGUUAAACUACAACACUUUCCCUAGCUUAAUUAGCCAAAAAACAAGGCCAGCCAAGCAUGCGUGGAUGCCUCAGUGACCAUCUUCCACGGGCAGAUAGUUUUAUGACUUCCGCCGGCACCUGUACAUGUCUUGUUUUCUCAGCCCUUUUCACUAACUUUUCUUAUAAUGCCCUAAUGCAAUUAAUCAAGCCCUUUAUUUAGCUUUCUUUUUUCCUACACCAUCUCAAAAGGAUUCGAUGCAAAAAAAAAAAAAAAAAUAGUACCAUAUAUAUAGAAUCUAAAACAAAAACAAAAGGGAUUUAAUCAAUCCUCUCUACUCUAAAUCUAACAUAGAGAGGAGAGGCAGAGGCAGAGAGAAUAAAUGGAGGGAGGGAGGGUAAAGAAAUGUUUUGUCUCAUCACAAGCAGUGAUGGGCAUGUUGAUGGUUCAAGUGAUGGCAACAGGAAUGCAAUUGCUUUCCAAAAUCAUAUUGAAUAAUGGAACAUUUGUGCUUGCACUUAUGACCUAUAGGCAUAUAGUUGCUGCCGUUUGCAUGACUCCCUUAGCUUUCUACUUUAAAAGGUAUGUCAUCUUGUCAUUAAUCAAUUUCGUCUCAUUGUCUUUGACACCAUUUUUCUCAAUUUCUUUUUAUUACUGCUGUGGUUGCAGAGGCAUGAUCAAAAGUAAGAUGAAUUGGUCUGUUUUUUUCUGGCUUUUUGUUAACAAAAUACUGGUAGAUAAAACUAAAAAAAAUAAACUGAAAAAAAUCAAUAUUGAUUUCCUAAACAAUUAAAUAGUGUUUUAGGGGUUGCUCAUAUUUCUUAAAUUAACUAAUCCUUUUAGUAUUAAAAAUAAUAAGUGAGAAACAAUAAAGAUUUAAGAAGAAAUAAUUCAUUACUGACAAUAAAAUAAGAUUCAUUACUUUAAAGUGUUUCAACAAGUAAAUAUUUUUUUUAUUUUUAUUUUAAUAUUAAUAUGCAUGCUAAGUUUUUUAAUUUUAUAUCAAUUACAAGUAAUAUGGCAGAUUCUAUGGCUAAACAGAGAUAUGGCUAAACAGGAAGUGCGAAUAUCCAGUGACUUGGUUUUGAUCUAUCAUUCAGAUUAUGUCUAUCAGGAUGCUAAAGGUGUAUCUCUUAAGCGGUUCAGAUACAGUAACGAGAUAAUUGGAGAUUCUUGGAAUUCUCCCCUGGAUCUUUUGCUGAGAUGGUUAGUUUGUGUAGACUUAAUGUUGCUUUCUUAGGCUAAUUUUGUUGUUUUGCUUUCCUGGUCUGGGCCUUUAAUUUCUUCUUUCCGAUGGUUCCUGCAAAAACUGAUAUAAUGCAGGCUCUGUAGUAUUUUCCUUCCGCCAGUCUCUGGCGUUUAAUGAAAUCUUAUAUCUCUAAAAAAAAAAAGUUAAUAUAUAUACUUAAUACACAUGCUAUUCUAUUAUUUUUUAUUUUUUGUGUUGAAAGCAGAACUACUAAUGGAAAAUUACGAUUGUUUGAAUUGAAGUAGAGAAAGACUUUGUAUGCAGAGCACACAAAUGAGAAGAGGAGGAGGAGGAGGAGGAGUAACUUGAGGAGAAUGAAGAUGAAAUUGUUAAUGCAGGUUUUCUAUAUGUUUUUAUAUUUUUUUAAUUGAGUUUCAUAAAUAUUUUUGUCUGAAGUUAGAAAAAUUUAUUCAAAUAUUUUACUACAUAUAAAUUUUAAUUAUAAUUUUUAUUAAAUAUAUAUUUAAAUUCAACUAACUACAACUAAAAACCCUCAACAGUUGUUGCAAAGUAAUAAUUAUGCAAAGCAAUGGAGCACUAAUUAAUGCCUAUGCGUAUAUAUAUAUCCUUUUCCAUGACCCUAAAGUCUUCAUUGAUGAGACUAAGUACAGGAAGACGACUGUAUUUGAUUUCCUAACAGUUUACAGGUUGCUUAUUUUUCUUAAAUUAAUUCAUUCUUUUAUUGUUAAAAAAUAAUUACGCAAAGCAUUAAACAAGUUUCCUUAGCUGGGUGCUGACGACCAAAUUUCAAAUACAAGACUAUCAAGUAGCUCGGUCCCUUUGUUGACUAAAACAAGAGUGAGUGAGUGUUGGAAACGCGGCAAUAUUAAUUAAUUAAUGGAAAUUAAACAUGGAUAUACAUAGACAAUGAAGUUAGAGAAUCAAAUUUUCAGAUAAAGCCUUAAUUAAUGAAAUUAAGUUUGAUCUUAAUUCUCCGAUGUGCCUUUAAUUUAAUCGGAGCAAAGAAAGACUAAUUUGUUCAUGGGCGCACAUAAUUGUUAGUAUUAAAAAUGCAACAGAAACAUAAUAUGAAUAAUAAAAAAUAAAGUAAAAAUAAAAUUGUGCAGAAUAAUGUCCCACUAAUUAAUUGUCGUGUCUAGACGGAUGGAAACCAAGGCAAAGUAAUAAUUACGCCAAGCAAUGGAGCAGCGCUAAUGACUUUGCACACAUAUAUAUUGUUUUUCACGACCCAAAAAGUCUUUCCUACUUUGUUAUGAAAAUAGUUGACAUCCAUUUAUCGGAUGAGCUUUCUAUAUUAAUUAAAUAAAAUGACCUAUCCAGACAAUAUAUAGACUAUGAAUUAAGUUAGAGAAUCAAAUUUUCAGAUAAAGCCUUAAUUAAUGAAAUUAAGUUUGAUCUUCUCCGAUGUGCCUUUUAAUAGGAGCAAAGAAAGACUAAUUAAUUUGUUCAUGAGCAUGCACAUAAUUGUUAAUUAGUAUUAAAAAUGCAACAGAAACAUAAUAUGAAUAAUAAAAAAUAAAGUAAAAAUAAAAUUGUGCAGAAUAAUGUCCCACUAAUUAAUUGUUGUUUCUAGGCGGAUGGAAACCAAGGCAAAGUAAUAAUUACGCCAAGCAAUGACUUUGCACACACAUAUAUAAUUGUUUUUCACGACCCAAAAAGUCUUUUUUAAUUAUCCAAAAGUUCCUAUCAACUUUUCCUGUGUACUUGGUUGGUAAUGUUAAUGAUCAGUGUAUUCUUUUUAAAUAUUUUUUUAUAUUAACACAUAUAUAUAAUUUGUUUUUCACGACCCAAAAAGUCUUUUUUAAUGGUGGAUUGGUAUUUUAGAAGAAUUAAAUGCCAAUUAAUGAAAUUAAGUUUGAUCUUAGAUUUAUUGAAAUUAAAUGCCAAUUAAAGAUAUGAGAAAUGAAGAAAGGCAUUAUUAGUAGUAUUUAUCAUAGUUUUGAAACCCGGACCGGCCCGACGGGUUGACCCGGGACCUGGCCAACCCGGGCCUGGAACUGGUCCAGGUCUAAGUAAAAACCCGCCGAGGAGUUGGCCCGGCGAAACCCGGUCGACUCGGAACCCGGGCGACCCAGGUAAACCCGACUGAGACCCGACCACUUUUUUAUAUAUAUAUACAUAGACGUCAAAUGACGUCGUUUUUGCCUUUUUUUUGGUUAAUAGUCGAAAUUUUAUUAAGAAAAAAGGCUACAAAGAUAAUAGCCUAACUUACAUCAGAUGAACAAGUAGAGAAAAGGAAAGCACAAAAACUGUUGCAUGAAACAUGGGAGAGCAACAAAAAGAGGGACAAACAAAUCAUAAGAAACCACCUCCUCCCGACUAAACAUUCUCUAUAUUAAGCUCUAAAGAGUUGGAAUCAAGCCUCAGCCAUAAAGCAAUACUUUGGCGCACCAUGAAGAAACAGAUUUGAAGGUUAGGGGCAGCGUCAUUAAAAAUAACAACAAAGGUGAGUUUGUUGCACAUUCACUCUAGAAGGGAAAGAGAUGAAGAGUCUUGUAAUGGAGCGGAGAGCCAGAGACAUUAACCGCCAAGCACAGGGUGGUGGGCUGAAGAUGUGGCAGAAUUAGGCAUAGACCUGUAUUGGAGAAAGAUGAUAGCAGUCUAGUUCGAUGGAAAGAUGCCAUCUAGUCUCAUAGGGGAGGCCUUGAAAAUUUACGCAGCUUGAUGGAAAGAUGACAUCUCUCUUUUCUUUAUUCUUUAUCUUUUUUUUUGGGUUGACCCAGGUUAAUCUGGGUCAACUCAUCUGACCCGUAACCUAAUUAUUAGACUGGAUCGAUUACCGGAUCGGGUUUCAAAACUGUGGUAUUUAUAGACAAACUAAUCUUAGAUUGUAUACUGACAUAGGAUGUGUAAAACAUGUAAAGACGAAAUCAAAUCUCAAGUACAAGAGAUAUUAAUUAAUUUAUGGAAAACAUGGAUAUAUAUAGACUAUGAAGUUAGAGAAUCAAAAUUUUCAGAUAAAGCCUUAAUUAAUGAAAUUAAGUUAGAUCUUCUCCGAUGUGCCUUUUAAUCGGAGCAAAGAAAGACUAAUUUGUACAUCAGCACAUAAUUAUUAGUAUUAAAAAUGCAACAGAAACAUAAUAUGAAUAAUAAAAAGUAAAGUAAAAUAAAAUUGUGCAAAAUAAUGUCCCACUAAAUUGUUGUAAAACUUCAAUCCAAUCCAGUACGUUCUGGCAAUAGCUUUAUUGAACAAAAUUUGCUUCUUCUCGUGUAAUUAAUUUAAUUUAAUUAAAAAAUAAAAUUUAUUUUUAAGAAGCUAGAUUUAACAAAGAUCGAAAUUAAAAAGUCCAAGUUAAUCUUUUUUACUUUCAAAACCAUAAAAAAAUUCCAUAGAAAAUAAAUACAAAAAAAUAACAAAAUGUUGGUGGAUAAAACUAAAAAAAUAAUAAACUUAAAAAAAUAAUUAUUGAUUUCCUAAACAGAUUAAAUAGUGUUUUAGGAGUUGCUAAUAUUUCUUAAAUUAAUUAAUCCUUUUAGUAUUAAGAAUAAAAAAAUAGUUAUCUGACAAAUUUUAAAUUACAAAAUCUACCACAGAGCCAAACAGACACGAAACAUUGAUGAGAAUAAGAAUAGGAACACAAUAGUAUUGAUUUCCUAAAAAGAUUAAAUAUUUUUUUCAGGGGUUGCUAAUUGUUUUUAAAAUUAAUUAAUGCUUUUACUAUUAAAAAUAGUUAAAGAGUUAUUUGACAAAUUUCGAUCAUGCUUAAUUUAGUAAUAUGUUGUUUUUUUUUAAAAUAAUUUUCUUGCUUAUAAAUCUUUCAAUUUAUAUAUUUCUUGUUUUAAUUUAAGGAUAACUAAUUUUAAUAUUAGUAUGCAUGGUAGGUUUUUUGAUUUUAUAUCAAUUAUAAAUUCAAAUAUAUACUUAGUAUGCAUGCUAUUCUAUUAUUUUUUAUUUUUUGUGUUGAAAGCAGAACUACUAAUGAGAAAUUACGAUUGUUUGAAUGGAAGGAGAGAAAGACUUUGGUAUGCUGAGCACACAAAUGAGAAGAAGAGGAGGAGGAGGAGUAAUUUGAGGAGAAUGAAGAUGAAAUUGUUGAAUGGAAAUGGAAGAGAAACAAAAUGAAAGAGAGAUAUUGAGAGAGGCACAGUGAAAACCCCAUGUUCACCUUAGAAAUAAUAAAGGCAAUAUAUAUUAAUUUAUGGAAAACAUUGAUAUACUGAUAAAUUGAGCGAGAAUAAUACGUACUUCUCUCAGGAUUUAAAAAUGAAAACAAAAAAGCAAAAAUAUGUAUAUCUUCCCAUCACUAUUUACAGAAAGUAAGGUUCCUAUCAACUUUCCUUCUUGACCCAAAAUAAAAGCAAGAAAGCAAGGCAAAGUAAUAAUUACGCCAAGCACUAAUGACUUUGCACUUAUAAAUCGUUUUUCAGGACCCAAAAAAGAGUACUGAGCGUUGGAAACACGGCAAUAUUAAUUAAUUUCCGAAAUUAACAUUUUUGUUGAGAUCAAGUCUAUGUGAGUGAUGUGCAGCAAGUCUAUCUGCUAAUUCGAACUCUAAGAAUAGGAACACGACAAUAUUGAUUUCCUAAAUGAAUUAAAGGAUAAUUAAAUGAGAUCAAGUCUAUGUGAGUGUUUCAGGGGUUGCUAAUAUUUCUUAAAUUAACUAAUCCUUUUAGUAGUAAAAGUAAUUAAAUAGUUAUUUGACAAAUUUUGAUCACGCUUAAUUCAAUAAUAAUUGUUAAAAAAAAAACACUUUUCUUGCUUGUCAAUCUUUCAAUUUAUAUACUUUGACUUUUCCUUUAUCUAUUUUAAAUAAAAAAUAAUUUAACAUUGAGAUUAUAUAAACAAAUAAUUAAAAAAUAUGUAUACAAUAAAAAAUAAAGAUUGUAAACUCUUUACCUGUAUGGUUCAGGGAGUAUUUAUAACUCAUAAACCUUGUUAUUUUGAUGGAGUUGAAUGGCCGGAAAGUCAUUUCUUUCUUAUAGCAUUAAUAAAGGAUAAAUAUCUUUUACAGAACAUUAAGUAAUGAACAAAUACACCUUGCAUAAUAUUAAUGAGGGAUACAUAUCCAUGGCAAUGGAAAUAUGAUAAGUCUUUAGAAAACUUUUAUAUAUCUAGGGAUAUAGGAAGAUGAAUAUUAUUAACUUUAAUAUUUUAUAUUAAAAGUUACAAGAAUAAACAAACGAAACCUUGUAGCCUAUCAAGUAGCUCGGUCCCUUAGUUGACUAAGGCAGUGUUCGGCACUGCGAUCGGAAAGUACUUUUAAAAAAAUUUGAUUUUUUUUUACUUUAAAUUAAUAUAUUUUCAAUGUUUUUAAUUCAAUUUGAUGUGUUGAUGUCAAAAAUGAUUUUUUAAAAAUAAAAAACAUUAUUUUAAUGUGUUUUGAAAUGAAAAGCACUUUGAAAAAUAACAGCUACUACACUCCCAAACACCUUUUAAAGUAAAAGUGAGUGAGUGUUGGAAACGCUACAAUAUUAAUUAAUUUAUGGAAAACAUGGAUAUAUAUAGACAACGAAGUUAGAGAAUCAAAAUUUUCAUUAAAGUAAAAAUAAAAUUGUGCAGAAUAAUGUCCCACUAAUUAAUUGUCGUGUCUAGACGGAUGGAAACCAAGGCAAAGUAAUAAUUACGCCAAGCAAUGGAGGAGCACUAAUGACUUUGCACAAUUAAAUAUUACGUAAGUCAUGUAACCUCCAUCAAAAUAUAGAAAUUCUAAAGUUUAAUAUUGACGGUUCAAUCAUAGUGGCAAAAUCAACUCACAUGAAAGGCCCAAUGAUAUAUGGGCGCAGAAAAAAGCACACAAAAACUCAAAAGAAGUCAAACUCUGGAAAGUGCAGGAUGUUAAACCUAAUUUUUUUUAGCUCAACUUCGCUCUAGAUCUAAGAUCAUAUAAAUUUAGUAAGAUAUUAGAUCUAAUUUUUUUUGGAAAAAAAUCAGUGAAUCUUUAUUUAUUAAUUACUAAAGACGCAACUCAAUAUCUACAAAGUGCAAUUCUAUUCGUGUCUAAUCUUACAUCAAAAUAUAUUACAAGUCUUUUUAAUACUCUAUAUUAUCCUUUAUCUUUAAUAUAAUAUGGAGUAUUCUAUUUUGAUAAAAUCAAGUUUAUUGAAAUAAUAUAACUUUGAGAUUGUUGAAAUAAUAUAAUGAAAGCAAGGUAGUACUUUGUGAACAUUCCUAACUUGUCCUUAUUGAAGAUCUUUAUUAGCAACAAGAUUUUGUUGGAUGCUCUAUUAUCUUUAAAAAACAGGGCACUGUAUUUUGUUGCUGUGUGGUAUUUCUAUAUAUCCUGCAUCAGGGAUAUAACAAAAGUAAUUGAAUGGCACACAUUCUUGCAAUUGUGAAAGUGGUCAUUACUGUAUUUUGCAACUAAAUCGUUCUGUUGAAACCAUCCCUCAUUAGUCAUUACAUUCUUUUCUGCAUCUGAAUCCAUUCGAGUCUUGUUGGUUCUGUGCUGACCUGAAACAGACUUAGAAGUAAUUAACUAAGUUUGCGUAGUUGCUUUUUUGCUCUUAUUGAAGUUCUUAUAAUCUGAUUGAUGUUGAUUCUCUUCUAUGCUGUUGCAGUUGCUGCUGUUUUUAGCCUGGCUUAUAAACUCCAGCCUGCCUUUAUAUUUAUUCAUGGGCCUGGCCUGGCCGGACUCAAUGACAAUAUCUUACAAAAAAUUAGUUUAUUGUUUUCCGUAUCAAACAUUGUUUGUAUAAACCUAUCUUGCUUUUUUUUGCUUUAGAUAUAAACAAUGCUUUAGAACAUUGUUUGUACAUGUUGAGAUGGUUUUAUCACACUUUUUAAUAGUCAUUCAUGUCUUACAAGUUACCAGAAUUACUCUAAUUUACUUGCAAGUAUUGCUGCUGUUGUGAUAAUAGAAUCUCUUAGUCAAGUGUUCUUUUAAAUUUACAAGAAUUGCUUCAAUAUGUUCAUAACUCUAUGACUUUCAAAAUACUCCCAGAAACAGAAAUUGAUUUAAGAGAUCACAAACUUGUACAUUUAACCUUGAAUUAUGUAAACUACAAAAAAAAAAAAUCCAAUACUAUGAAUUUGCCACCCUAUUGUUGAUCCACUUGAUAUCUUGUUUGUACUGCAAAAUUAGAAAGGUAAGACUGAUCAAAUGAAAUAGUAAAGAAAAGAUAGCCUAACAUAAACUGUGAACAUAAAAUUUGAAAACUCAAAUGCUUGCAAAACUUACUUGAAAAUAUCAAUUGCAUCAUUUAGUUUCUUCUAGCACCAUAUCUGCCAGCAUUCUUCUUUGUUUUUUUGCUCUGGAGAUUCCAUUUAUCUUCAACCAUCCUAAGAAACCAUGAAGGCUUUUUUGUUCUAAACACAACGUAUCCCGUUGCAACUCCAAACACAAACCCGCAUCCAUACCCCACUGUCACAGCUUUCCAUCCAAAUCCUUCUCCAAACAAUGUUGAAUCAUCUCCUUCAUCGAAGCUUGAUGGCGGCAAUGAUGGUGCCUCAUCACCGUAACAUUCUUUUAGUACUUGAAAUCCACAUAAACCCAAGUUUCCUUCAAAUGAGCUUGCAGUAAAGGUGUUGAACUGCCCUCCACUUGGUAUACGCCCCUCGAGUUGGUUAUGUGAAAGGUUUAGGAUUGCAAGAAAUGUUAGACCCCCCAGCUGCGUUGGAAUCCUUCCGGUAAGCAAAUUUGAAGAUAGGUCUAAUGAUUCCAAAUUGGUCAAAUUUUCUAAUGAUGAUUGGAUAUGACCUGUAAGGGAAUUAUGAGAAAGGUUGAGCUGUUGGAGUGCUUUAAGCUUUCCUAUCACUUUUGAAAUUUCUCCAGUGAAAUUGUUAUUUGACAAAUCAAGUACUCUGAUAGUACUUCGAAUCUUUGUAAACUCAAUUUCUACACCUUUCCAUGUCAUUUCUAUGGAAUAGACAUAGCCAGUGUAAUUUGUUGUCCUCAUGUAAAUCAUGUUUUGAUCUGAGGCCAUCAUUGCUUCAAGACUAUUGAAAUACCCAGUUGGCAAUGGCCCACUAAAAUUGUUGUCAGAGAUGUCAAAAAUCCGUAAUUUAAAGAAGGAAUUAUAUGCAGUCGGACCCUUCACAAAACCUUGGAGUUUAUUGGAUUUUAGAAUUAGAAUUUGCAGCUCUGGAAGCGUUUCUAGAAAGUAGGGAAAUGUAUCCUCAAUCUUAUUGUUGCCAAGAUCAAGAACUUCCAACAUUGUGCAGUUGAUGAUAGACGGUGGUAUUUUCCCUUCUAAUUCAUUUCCAUUGAGGUUGAGAUAUUCCAAUAUAUUAUCCUUUGAAAAUGUUGAAGGGAUAGUGCCUUGAAGAUUGUUCAUGCCUAGAUGCAAUACCGAGAGCAUGCUGCUGAAGUUCCCCAAACAUUGUGGCGUAGAACCACUCAAGCUGUUGUUGGACAAGUCCAGGACCAAAAGGAAUCUCAGCUUGCAAAUAGAAGAAGAAAUCUCACCUGUCAAUUUACUAUUGGACGCAAGAAUAAGGGUUGUCAAGUUCUCUUGUUUAAAAAUCGAACUUGGGAUUGGACCAUGCAAGUGGUUAUUGCUCAAAUCAAGGUAAGUUAAUGAAUUGUGUUGGAGUUCACUUAUAUUGCCUAUGAGAUUAUUGUUAUGAAGGUCAAGAUAUUGUAAAGAAGGAAGAGCAAGCAAAAAGGAUGGUAUUGUUCCAUUGAACAAGUUAUUGGAUAAAUAUAGAUACUGUAGAUUUGAAAGGGUAUUUAAUUGAAAAUGGAUAGGGCCUACUAGUUGAUUAUUGGAUAAAUAUAAAUCUGAAAGAUGGACUAGACUACCAAAAGAAUCUGGAAUUUGACCCAUAAAUUUAUUGGAAUCGAGAUACAAGGAACGGAGAUGUACAAGGUUUCCAAGUGAUGAUGGGAUCUGACCACUAAAAUUAUUACCUGAGAUGUCUAAAAAGAUGAGCUGUGUGAGAUUACCGAGCAGGGCUAGAUCUGAACUUAUAAUGUUACAAUUACUAAGAUACAUAUAUUCUAAUGACUUUAGAUUACUGAUUAAGUCGUUUUUUAAAUAAACUGAAAUUCUUGUAUUAGAAAGACUCAACGUAGAGAGGACAUUACUCAAAUUGGACGAAGGAAAAGAGCCAGUGAGGCCUUCGUUGUAUGACAAAUAGAGUGAUUCAAGGUUUGGGAGGAGAAAGAUGUUACCCGGGAAUUUCCCCUGCAAUCCACAAUUCCAAAGGGAAAGAGAUGAAAAGGAAGACGACAGAUUCGUCAAGGAAUUAGGUGCAACCAAAGACAUAUUUACACGAUCCAAAGCGAGAUCUCUUAGCUUGGUUAGGUUUUGAACAAGCUUGUCAAAAGAAAUUGGUUCUAGACUUAGAUAGAAGUUUUCAGAGAGAUCCAAGUAUUGGAGGUGCUUAAAUCUUCCCAUUGAGGAUGGGAGUUUUCCUUGCAAUCCACAGUCAUUGAGUUUGAGUGAUGACAGAGAAGAAGACAGAUUCAUCAUGGAAUCGGGAACAAGUAGUGACAUGUUUACUGAACUCAAAUCAAGUUCUCUAAGCUUGGUUAGGUUUCGAACAAGCUUGUCAAAAGAAAUUGGUUCUAGACUCAGAUAGCCAUUGUCAGAGAGAUCAAGUGAAACCAAUUUGGAGAGAUGAGAGAUUUCCGACGGAACUUGACCUGCAAAGACUGAGAAAUUUAGGUUAAGAAGUGUCAGAUUGGAAAACUGGCCAAAUCGAGAAGAAAUAUGGGAGCUAUUGAAAUCAUUGUCAGAGAGGUCGAGCUUUUGAAGAUGAUGCAGGGAGAAGAGGGUGCUAUUGGAAUGGAGGGUGCCAUAAAGCAUGCUGCAAGCGAGGUCGAGUCCAGUGACAUGCCCUGUUUUCAUGUCACAAGUGACCCCAUCCCACAAGCAGCAGUCUGUACCCUCUUUCCACGACUCUGUCUUGGGAUGCUGGCAACGAAUUGAAGCAGAGCUAUUAAUGGAAAAGGAUUCUUUGAAUUGGAGCAAAGAAAGACUUUGGUGAAGAGCACAGAAAUGAGAUGAAGAAAUAGUUGAAUGGAAAUGGAAGAGAAACAGAAUGAAAGAGAGAGAUUGGGAGAGGGAUGGUGGUGAAAACCCCAUGUUUGGCUGGCCUUACAGUAUAUUUGGGAGAGAUGAGGAAUGAAGAAAGACAUUAUUUAUAGACAAAGUAAUCUUAGAUUGUAUACAGACUGACAUAGGAUGUGUAAAACAUGUAAAGACGAAAUCAAAUCUCAAGAAACAACAAGAGUGAGUGAGUGAGUGUUGGCAACGCGGCGAUAUUAAUUAAUUAAUGGAAACGCGGCAAAGUAUAUUAAACAAGAUUCCUUGUUGACUUCAAAUUGUGCAAACUGAAUUGUUGUUUCUUGGCAUAGUAAUAAUCACGCAAAGCAAUGGGGGGCACUAAUGACUUUGCACUUAUAUAUCGUUUCUCGUGACCCAAAAAUACUUUGUGCGCGCUCGGUAAGGUAUAACAGCUUACAAAUCGUGACAGCUUAAUUUGAAUGUUCAGAGAUGUUUUUCCAAAUUGAACAAAAUCUGUUUCCUGAAAUUAAUUUAAUUUAAUUAAAAAAUAAAAUUUAAUCUUUGUUACUUUCAAAAUCAUUGAAGGAGAGAAAGACUUUCAAAAUAAUUAAAGAGUUAUUUGACAAAUUUCGACCAUGCUUAAUUUAGUAAUAUAUUGUUUUUAAAAAAUAAUUUUCUUGCUUAUCAAUCUUUCAAUUUAUAUACUUUGAUUUUUCCUUUUUAUAUUUUAAAUAAUUCAAGUAACUAUAAUUUCCAACUCAUUUUUCAUAUAAACAAAACUCAUUGUUGGAAUUUUUAAGAUUUUACACUCUUAUGUUAUCUUUAUCUAUUGUUUAUGCUUUGAUUUUCCUUUUAAAUCUAGAGUUUAGAUUUAUUUUAUUGAAAAAUAUUUGAGUCACGUUAUAUUUGGUUUAAAUACCUUAUUUAGAAGUGUAUCUUAACAAAAAUAGUGAGGAGUAAUAAAGCUUUAAAGACAAAUAACUCAUCAUUGACAAUGAGAUAUCCCUUUUAUUUUAAUUUAAACAUAGUUAAUUUUAAUAUUAAUAUGCAUGCUAGAUUUUUUGAUUUUAUAUCAAUUAUAAAUUUAAAAAUAUGCUUAUGAUCUUUUGUGUUGAAAGCAGAACUACUAAUGGAAAAUUACGAUUGUUUGAAUUGAAGGAGAGAAAGACUUUGUAUGCUGAGCACACAAAAAUUAUUUCCAUUCCUUCAAUUGAUAUACUUUGAUUUUUCCCUUUUCUAUUUUAAAUAAAAAAUAAUAUAAACUAUCGGAUUAUGUAUACAUAAUUGAAAUAAAAAAAAAUGAUAAACAAAGUCAUCUUCACCUUCUUAUGUCCCUUAAUUCACUAACACAAGUGCUAAUAAAGGUAGAUAAGUAUGAAUUCCGAAAUUUACAUGAAAUAUUUAUAGCAAGAUAAAAAUACAAAUUAAAAAUUGUGACAGCUUAAUUUGAAUGUUCAGAGAUGUUUUUCCAAGUUGUAUUUAGCAAUGAAAUUUAUGCGAAGAUUGCUUUGCCCACUAAUAUAUAAUUUCCAAGAAAACAUCGGAAGAAAACUUGUUAAUAAUUUACAGUCGUAGUUUACUCACAGCUUAAGCAAGGGGGCAUGCAGAGUUAAAGAGUCAUCCUCACCUUCUUAUGUCCACUUCAAUCAAGUCUACAGUCAACACGUUCUGGCAAUAGCUUUAUUGAACAGUCAACCCACUCAAUUAGAUGCUAUGGGAUUGGUCGUCAACACUUUAUUUUCUGAUCUGUCCGUUGCCUCCAAGUCGUCGAUCGGAACUUGGAUGAAUGCAGGGGCGGAGCCAGGAAUUUUUUCUAUCCUGUGCUAUGAUAUUAAUAUACAUAAAUUAUUUUUUAAGAUUAAUCAUUCACUUAAAUAUAUAAAUUUUUCAAAUUAACAAUAAAGUUUUAAUUCAAAUACAUAACAUAAAAUAUAUAAAAAAUAAAAUUUAAAGUACAUAAAAUUCAAAAUAAAAAUAAAAAUAAAUUAUACUAUCAAAGUUGCACUCUUCGAUGUUUUGUAGAAUAGAAUUCAUCUAUGAUCGAAUCCGAAUCAAUAUCUUCAACAAGCUCUCGUUCAAUGUAAAUCAUCAUAGAAUCUGCUAAGAACUCCUCUUCCAUUUUAUUGCGAAGCACAGUUUUAACAUGUUUCAUAGCUGAAAAUGCCCGCUCUGUAGUGGCAGUGGAAACAGGCAAAGUCAAAACAAGACGAAUCAACCUGUCAAUCAAAUGAUAGUGCUGCGACUUAUUUGUUUCAGCUAAUCCUCGACAUAAUUCAGAAAUGGUAGACAUAUUCUGAAAGCUCUCAUGACGAAUCACAUCAAUCUGAUAAUGCUCUAGCUGAGAUCUCAAAUAAUACAUCUCUUGUUCAUUGAAAUCUUCAGGAUAAAAUUUCUCAGCAAGCUUGUAAAUAGCAUCAACUUUAAAUGAUUUAAAGUUGUCUUUAGGUUCUAAAGCAUAGCUAAGUACAAGGAGUUCCACUGUCUCAUCAUUGAAUCUAGAAUUUAAUUCUUCCAACUGAAAAUCUAUUGUUGAGUUAAAUAUAUCAUAAUGAUAAUGCUGAUAAACUGUCACUGAACCUUGUUGUUGACAUGAACGACCUGUAGCAUUUUUAUACGAAGCAUUCAUAUGUGGUAUGUUAAUCUCAUAUUUUGUGCAAACAAAUUGCACAUUUGCAAGGAGAAGAUCAAAUCCGGCAUCUCUCAAAGUUUGAAGCAAUGCUUUAGUAGUUGAUACAAGAUCCAUUGCAUUUAAGAUGUCAAGAGAUUUUUGCUGCAAAGCUCGACAAAGUAAAUCAGUAAUCCCCAUUAUUUUAUGCAUCAAAUAUAAGAUGAAUAUAAAUUCAAAAGAUUUCAUCACAAUCAAACAACCACCAGCUUCUCCACAUAUAGAAUUAGAAGAUCCUUCUUGAACCAUACUUUCAAGCACAGUAAUAGUUGCACCAUACAUAUCUAUUAAGCUGCAAAUAGAAUCAAAAUGAGAGCUCCAGCGAGUAGUUCCACUUCGAUGUAAAUUACCAAUUUGAUUAGCCCCUCUACCAGUCUCACGUUCUCCAGUAGCUACCAUAUGUGCAAUUUCUAUAGCCUGAGCAUAAUGUAACUCGGUAUGACGUUUGGGAGAAGCACAAAUAAGGUUGAUAAUGGUUGUCAAUUUUGAGAAAAAUAACCAAAUAGAAAUCUCAUUUCCAGCUGUUGCAACUAAUGCCAGUUGUAGUCGGUGAGCAAAACAAUGUACAUAAUAUGCAUAAGGACAAUCUCUGAGAAAUAGAGCUUGUAGUCCAUUCCAUGCGCCACGCAUAUUGCUAGCACCAUCAUACCCUUGACCUCGCAUAUUGAAAAUAUGCAAGUUAUAUCGAGCGAGCACAUCACAAAUUUCUUUUUUAAGUGUUGAAGAAGUAGUAUCUGAAACAUGCACAAUACUAAAAAAACGCUCUCGUACAAAACCCUGAAUGUCAACAAAUCUCAAAAAAAUAGCCAUUUGUUCUUUAUUUGAUGCAUCUUUGGCUUCGUCAACCAAAAUACAAAACUUUGCAUCUCUAACUUCUUCACAAAAUCUCUUUUUGAAUAGUCGGCGAGGUAUACUUUGCAUUUUUCGGAGCUUUUUCUAAGACAACAUCAUCAAUGUCAACAUUCAGUCUCCCCAUAAGUCUUAUCAUCUCCAAAAAAUUACCUCGAUUAUUAGAAGCCGAAGAUUCAUCAUGAACUCUAAAUGCACAUGCUUGUAAGCUAAGCCAUCGAACACUUUCAAUUGUUAUCAUAAGUCUUAACCGAUUUUUCUGAACUUCUUCAACAGUUUGUGCAUUCAACACUUUAUCAAUAUGUCUACUUACUUUCAUUAAAUCUUCAGCAAAUUUCACAGCAUUAUUAUGUGGUGAAGUGGGACUUCCCACAUGCAUCAAAAGUGCACAUCUAACCCCAUCAUUAACCCUCUUCCAACUUCUAAAGCCUUCGGUGGUGAAUGUGAGAUGACGAGGCACUUUGUUUUCAAAGAUAAAGCAUGGAAAACAAAAUACUGCAUCCUUUGAUGGAGAGUACUCUAGCCAAGAAAAUUGAUCAAACCAAGUGUACUGAAAUCGACGAUACUGUCUCCCUGAUUUAGUCCUUGGAUACUCUGCUAACUUAGGUUGAUAUGGACCCAUUUUGAUAUAAGCUCUUCUAAUUUCAUCUUGUUGAUUAAUAGGAUGUCUCCAUACUGGAAUUCGUAACCCAGGAUCUCGNNNNNNNNNNNNNNNNNNNNNNNNNNNNNNNNNNNNNNNNNNNNNNNNNNNNNNNNNNNNNNNNNNNNNNNNNNNNNNNNNNNNNNNNNNNNNNNNNNNNCAUCAAUUUCACUCUUGAGAUUCCUGGAAGGGGGUUGUUCACUACGAUUUGACACAUCAACAUUGGAAGAAGAAUGUCCUUUACUGGUUGAUGUUUGUUCGUUUGGUUUAAAGAAUGAAAACAUAGUUUUUCCUCUCUUGUUUCCUUGAUUUUCCAUUAUAAUUUAUAACUUAUUCAAGUAAAAAGGAUUAGGAAAGUCAGGUGCAAGAUGAAGAGAUACUAAUGCCACAAUAGAAUAUUCAUAAAAUACAGAAUAUACAAGGAUAAACUAGAGAUGCAAACUACUGGGAGAUUUGAAGAACUUAACUUUGAAAUAACCAGUAAAUUAUUAGUACUUGACUACUAGUGUGUUAGCAUGCAUCCAUUUCUAGGGUACAGUCUACUGUUUACUCCACUAACAAUUUACUGUAAUGAAUGUGAAACAUUGAAUUCAAAAUGAAAAGUCAUGACUUAUAAAUUCUUACCUGAUGAUUUUACACUCUUGCGGCUCUCUGUAUAGAUUUUUCUUCAAAAUCCAAGCUAAAAUUAUAUAUUGUUGAGAAGAAAAAUAGCUAAAACUCCAAGUUAUUUAGAAGAUAUGUAAAUUAAUUAAUUAUUUAUAUUUAAAUAGAUUUGCUAUAAAAUAUAAUUAAUUAAUUAGUAUUGAAAGAGAAGAUGGGUGGCUAAUUAAUUAGCAUUGCUGUGGAAAGUAAAGUGGCGGCUGAUUACAAGUAAUUAAUUUCUAUUGCAAGAAAAAGUAGGAUAUUAGGUAUGCUGUAAAAGAUGCGGAAAGUGGGGUGGGACAUAUGUUUGCUGUAAAACUGUAAAAGAGAGGAAAAGUGUGGGACAUAAGCUGUGGAAAAAUUAAAAAGAAAAGUGGGUCAUUAAUUUUUUUUUAACCUGUGCUACAGCCCUCCUUAGAGCAUCUCCAAGGGGAGAUGCUAUUUUAAAGAGGCAAAUUAAUAAAAUAGUAUUUUAAAUAGUAUAUAUAUAGCUAUUUUUACCAUGCAUGUUCCAAUGGAAAAAAGCCAUUUGAAAAGCCAAUUCUAUUAGAGUGGAAUAAACAAGUGUUUUAUUUUUUUUUAAUGAUUUUAAUGUUAUUUUUUUUCCACAUGGCUAGAUUUAAUUGGUUUAUUUUUUUGUUGGCCCCACUUUGUUAGUUUUGGCUCUUUUGAGAGAUAUGUAGGAAUAGCUUUUGUGGGAAAGAAAAGGCAUUUUAACUUCUUGUUUGGCUCUUCCCUUGGAGUAUGAAAAACAAGCAAAGAAAAGCUAAAAUAUUAGUUUUUUAUUUUUUACUAUCCAUUUAGCUUCUCCAUGGGAGAUGCUCUUAGCCUUGUAUAAGGCUCCGCCCCUGGAUGUAUGGAUAAUGUCCAUUCUUCACGUGGUGCUGAAUAUGGAACUGAGGGUUGAAUUUUUCAAUUGCGAAUAUUUCCUCGCGAGGAGAAGUCCCUAAAUUCACUAAAAGGAGAACUGACAAACAAUGGAGAAUGGAGAAUUAAAGUCUUUUUUAAUUAUCCAAUAGCUUUAUUGAACAGUUUCUAGAAAACUGACAAACAAUGGAGAAUUAAUGGAGUUUGAAGGUUCUUGCACUCAAUUAGAUGCUGUGGGAUUGGUCGUCCUAAAAGGUCUUUCUCUUUCAGCAUCAGCAAGGGAGAACCACUCUUCAUUUUGUGAUCUGUCCGUUACCUUACAAAACAAAUUGAAUACAAAACAGUCAUCGAUUCAUUACACGGUGCUUAAGACACGUCAACUGGGAAUGAAACUCGGUUAAGUAGCCUGUGAUAGUGCCAAUAUUCCAGUUAAUUUCAAAGAGAGUGCUGCGCGCAUUCAGCAAAGUUUGAGAGUGCAGCCACUACAAAUCAAAUGCUAGUACUUAAUGCCUUAAAGCCUGCAAGUUAGAAUCCUCAAAAUGAUGAUCUUGCUUAUCAAUCUUUCAAUUUAUAUACUUUGAGUUUUCCUUUUUUAUUUUUCUAUUUUAAAUAAAAAAUAAUUUAACUAUGAAAUUAUGUAAAUAAAUAAUUAAAAAAUAUUUAUGCAAUAAAGAAUGAAAAUUAUAAAUUUUUUACCUGAACGAUUUAAGGAGUAUUUAUAGCCCUUAAAUCUUGUUAUUUUACUAGAAUGGAGGGCCUAAAAAGUCAUUUUCUUCUUAUAGCAAUAAUAAAUUAUUGAUAUUUCUUACACAAUAUUAAAUGAGAAACAAAUAUCUCUUGUAAAAUAAAUAUCCGUUACAAAAUAUUAUUAGUGAUGGAAAUAUAGUAGGUCCUUAAAAGAUUUUUAUAAUACUAGGGAUAUAGAAAAAUGUUAUUUGAAACUAAAAAAUUAAUCCCAAUUAUAAAAUAAGAUGAUCAUGAUGUUGGCAUUAAAAAGUUGAUAUUUCAAAUUUAAAUUAUCAAUGAUCUGAAAUUUAUCAAACAUGAGACUGUGUCAAAUAUUUAGGAAGAAUUUUAUACAUCUAGAGACAAAAUAUCACUUACACAAUAUCACACCCUUUUAUAUUAAAAUUAAUAAAAAUAAACAAAUAAAAUCUUGUAGUUCAAUAUAUGGCUUAUAAUAUUAAUUAGAACUUUUUUUUUUAGCUCAUCUAGCAGUAAUCAUAAAAGCAUCAAAUUAAUAUUAUUUUUAUAUGUGUUUUUUUAUAUAGUUUUUAAUAUGUUGAUGUUAAUUUUAAAAAAAAAAACAUGUUAUUUUGAUAUAUUUUCAAUUGAGGAAUAUUUUUUAAGAUUUAAUAAUUAAUAAAAAAGUAAGAAUAAAAACCUUGGAAAUAUGUAAGGUUCCUAUCAAAUUGAUUUUCUGAAUGGAUUAAAUAUCUUUUCUGGGGAUAGGUUGUUGGAAGAAAAAGGAUAAUUAUUUUCCUUUCCCCCCUUUUCAGCUGAAAUCAGUUGUGCUCAGAAAAAGGAUAAUUAUUUUCUGGGAUUGUUUUUCAUGCGAUUGUUCAUUCUUAAAUGCAAAACUAAGAGUCUGUCGCUGAAGUUUCCUAAAUAUGCAUGGUGGUGUAGAACCGCUCAGACUAUUAUUUUACAAGUUAGACUUGAAGGAAUUUCAGAGCAGCGUACCGGAAAUUAAAACAAUAUUUAGGUUAUGUUUGUUUUCCAGAAUUUAUUUUUUAAGAAAUUACUUUCCAAACUUUCUUGUAUUUGUUUGCCACUAGAAAAGUAGGUCAACGAAAAACACUUUCCAGUCAAAGAAAAAUUUGACUUGAUUUCCAGGAAAGUGUUUUCCUGGAAAAUUUGAGCAGAAAACACUUUCCGGAAAUUGUGAAAAAUUUAAAAAUGUCAUAUUAUUUGCUGAUUAUAUCAAAUUUGGUCCUCAAACUUUUGAUUGCUAUAUAUAUAUAUAUAUUUUGUUUUGAAUAUUUAUUUUUCAAUUUCAUCUCUUAAAAUUUAAUUUUUAUAUUAACUUUAGUCCUCAUUUUUAUAAUUGUUAUUUGCUUUUCCUUAUCAUUUUUUUAUUGAAAUUUUUUAUCUAUCAAAUUUGGUCCUCAUUCUUUUGAUUGUUACUUAUUUUAUUUGAAAUAAUUUAUGAAAUGUUAAUUAUUAUUAUUUUAAUUUCUUCAUCUUUCAUUUUUUUUAUUUUUUAGAUUUGAUCUCUAUUAUUUUGAUUAUUAUUUAUUUUAUUUUAGAUAAUUUAUGAAUUUUUUUUUUUCAAUUUCAUUCUCAUUCAACUUUUUAAUUUGUAAGUUUUGUUUCUCAUUAUUUUAAUAAACUUGAAAAAAAUAAAACAUUAAUAAGUUAUUUUCCAGCUCAUUUUCCAUAAUAUAACCAAACACUAGAAAGUAUUUUCCAAUUUAUUUUCCAUUACACUACCAAACAUCGGAAAAUAAUUCACUUUUCUAAAAUUCAUUUUUCUUGAAUUCACUUUUCAAAAAGAAACUAUUUUCCAACAAACAAACUGGGCCUUAGUGAAAGUUUAGGAAUAACAUUACUGAACCAUUACCGGAAAACAGAGCAGCCUAAAAGAUUGGAGUUUCAAGGUUCUUGCCCUCAAGAUUACCAAGUUAGUGUAGGCCUAAAAGAUCUUUCUUUUCCAGCAUCAACAAGGGAAAACCAAUCUUCACUUGGUAUGUCCUUCUCCUCCUGACCUCUGUCGCACCUGAGCGACGUCGCGGCGAUCGUCCACCCACAAAAUAUAAAAAUGUAAUGUAAUGUAAUGGGGGGAUACAUCUCUGGUCAAUGUAGGGAGACAAGGAAUUCGUUGUCUCUUAGCAGUGAAAAAUGGUGUGGGAGUCGCCACCUAGUAUUUUGGUCACUAGGAACCCUAACUGGUCUCAGAGAUCGGGUACGGGGACUGGUUGCGUAAAGGGAAGGUAUUAGCACCCCAAAUACGCCCUACCUAAGGUAAGCUGCAUCGUUUAAUUGUCUGAUAAAAUUUAAGGUGUUUUCGUUGUGUUUCCUAGUUGUUGGUCCGUCUAUGGUUCAAGAAAAGUCCUCCUCAAUAAGGAGGUCCUUAUCUUAUCGGGUAAAACCUAACCGUUCUAGCGUCUAUGUAAAAAAAACAUAUUUUUAAUUUCAGGAAUACAUUUUACGUAUAAAUUCGUAAUCCCAUAUACUAACAGAGGACAAAAAGAUUUUUUAGAUUUUUUGGAAUAUUGGCCUAGUUCUCAUGGCUUGAAUAAACUGGUUAUUAAAGCCAAAAUGCAUGCUAAUACAUAUAUUAUUUUUUUGAAAUUUCCUUUGUUGUGUGAAAAUAUGAUGUUAUAAUAUUUAUAUAUAUAUGUUGGAGAGACUAGGCCGUAUUUUAAAACAAAACAUUUUUUAAAUAUGUAUUUUGGUACGUUUUGACGCAAAUCGGGUAUUUUAAUACUGGGUUUGUAUCCUUACGGUAUAAAAAUACAACCAAAUAUUAAUCCACUUUGAUAAAAUAAAUGCAGAAAGAUCAACAAUAUUUUCAAAGAUAUUUUAGAAAAUUUUUGAAAGCAAAAGACAUUUUUUGUUUUGAAAAUCUUUGGUUUUUUGAUGAAAACCGGGUAUUUUAAUACCGGAUUUUGUAUCUUUACAGUAUAAAAUACCAACCAAUAUUAAUCAAAAUACAGUAAUAAAAUUAGAACAAAAACACAUAUAAUUUUUAUAAUUUUUGCAUAAUUUUUAUAAUUUUUUCAUAUAUAUAUAUAUAUAUAUAUAAAUAAUACAAAAUAUAAUAUAUAUAAUAUAAUAUAUAAUAUUAAAUGGGCUGGGCUGGUCCGGCCCAACCGACUGGGCCGGACUCAGCCCCAAAAGUGUUGGGCCGAUUUCGGCCCAAAAUGGAUUGGGCCGAUCUCGGCCCUGGGCCGGACUCGGCCCAGAAUACAGGACUGGGCCAGGAUCCGCCUGGCCCAGACCAAAACGGGCGGGGGGAAUUAAUUUCCCCCCACCCCUGCAUGCAGAACGCUAUUCGUUCUGCAUGCAGAGAAGGAACAACAAAUAAAAAAACCCAGAAUAGGGGGGAAGAAGAGUUACCUGGCGCGGAGGUGGUGGCGGCGCUGGUGUUGCUGCCGCUGCUGGAGGCGGUGCUGGUACUGGUGCUGCUGGAGGCGGAGGCGGUUGACUCUGGGACGGCGGCAGUGGCGCUGCUGUUAGCAGCCGAGAGGGAGUUCCUUCCUCCUCCCUUGUCCUUCGUUUCCUUUCCCUUUUGUUUUCUCCCCUUUCUUCUUCUUCCUUNNNNNNNNNNNNNNNNNNNNNNNNNNNNNNNNNNNNNNNNNNNNNNNNNNNNNNNNNNNNNNNNNNNNNNNNNNNNNNNNNNNNNNNNNNNNNNNNNNNNNNNNNNNNNNNNNNNNNNNNNNNNNNNNNNNNNNNNNNNNNNNNNNNNNNNNNNNNNNNNNNNNNNNNNNNNNNNNNNNNNNNNNNNNNNNNNNNNNNNNNNNNNNNNNNNNNNNNNNNNNNNNNNNNNNNNNNNNNNNNNNNNNNNNNNNNNNNNNNNNNNNNNNNNNNNNNNNNNNNNNNNNNNNNNNNNNNNNNNNNNNNNNNNNNNNNNNNNNNNNNNNNNNNNNNNNNNNNNUCUUCCCCGCUGCAUGUUCCCGCUGCGUGAUCGGGGGAAGAAGAUUAACAGUGUCGUUCAAAACGACACCGUUCUGCUCUUUCUUUUUUUUUUUUUUUUGAAUGUAUGAAACGGCGUCGUUUUGGAGAAAACGCGCCGUUUCAUUUGAAUGUGGCGCCAGAACGCGCCGAAUUUCAAGUCAGCCCUCAAUCAUCUUUUUUUCCUUCAAUUGCAUCCCUGCCAAUUUCGGUCUCCGCCCCUCUUGUUGGCCGUGUUUUUCACUUUAGUCCUUGGCCUCUGAUUUAUGCAAUUGAGCCCUUAAUUGAUCAAAAAACUUCUAAUUUCUUCAAUUAGGCCCCUGAAUCAAUUAAUUCCAGCCCCUCCAUUUACGCGCCUCUUCCAAUUUGGUCCCUGGUUUCGAAUUUUCUCAAUUAAGUCCCCAAUUGGCCCUUAAACUUCAAUAUUUAUGCAAUUAAGCCCCUGAUUUGACCUAAUAAAUUCCUAAAAAAUAUAUUUUGGCCCCAGAACUUAAAUUUCUUCUAAUUAAAGCCCAAAUUGACUUAAAGAUCAAUUUUUCUUACAAUCAAAUCUCCUAUAAAUUCAUUUAAAAAUCCAAUUAAGACCAUAAACAUCCAAAUUUGGGCAUUUCUCCUAAAAAUUCAAAUUUUCCUUCUCAACAGGUUUUUCCUCCUUCAAGAAUAUACUGUCAAAAAUCCAAUCUUUGUAUUUUUAACCUCAUUGACCAAUUUUCCAACCAUUUUCUGAGCGCUUCUGCCUCCUGUUAUUUUUCUAACCUCCUUUGGCUAUAUAUUUUUAUAUAUAUUUUGUGGGGACCCAAAAAUGGGUUACAACAGAUGCCCCCUCUUUAUAAUGCUUACGGAGCAGAGGUUUUGCGCAGUAAGUUUUAUAAAGAUAAACCAAAACUGAGCUCCCGAAACUGAUCUAGUCGGAGCUCGAUUGCUCUGAAACUUUGUCCUUACAGCAAUCCUCCUUAACCCAAAAACUAUGAUCAAAAUUUAGUCAUCUCGAGAUCCCUUCUGGUGAUCUCCUUUAACCCCAAAAACUUGGAAUCUCAUCUGGCGAUUCCUUUACCCAUAACCAAAUACAAAAACACGUGUGUGGUCUCAUUAUGACGGGUGACCUGCCCGAAUGGGAAAAGGAAAGAGUGGUCUCAUUAUUAUGGGUGACCUACCCAGGAAAAAUAAUGGUCUCAUUGUAUGGGUGACCUACCCAAGAAAAAUAAUGGUCUCAUUGUAUGGGUGACGAACCCAAGAAAAAUGAUGGUCUCAUUGUAAGGGUGACGAACCCAAGAAAAAUGAUGGUCUCAUUGUAUGGGUGACGAACCCAAGAAAAAUGAUGGUCUCAUUGUAUGGGUGACGAACCCAAGAAAAAAUGAUGGUCUCAUUGUAUGGGUGACUAACCCAAGAAAAAUGAUGGUCUCAUUGUAUGGGUGACUAACCCAAGAAAAAUAAUGUGGAAAACGGUCUCAUUAUGAUGGGUGACCUACCCAAAUGGAAAGAAUGUGAAGUGCGGUCUCAUUAUAAUGGGAAUGGAAAGAAUGUGAAGUGCGGUCUCAUUAUAAUGGGUGACCUACCCAGGGGAAGAAUUCUUAGUAAACUCCAUGCUUUUCUAAGAAAUAGUUUCAAUACGAGGUCCCUUCUAGCGACCUUCCUUGAUGAAUGUCGAAGUACGAGAUCCUUUCUAGCGAUCUCAAAUAACUUGGAAUCCCAUCGGGCAAUUCCUUUUACUAAAGCUAAAACAUGAAGUUCCUUCUGGCGACCUUCAUCGAAAUACAAGAUCCCUUCUGGCGAUCUCCUUUAUCCAAACAACUUGGAAUCCCAUCUGGCGAUUCCUUUUAACCAACAUGUAAUACGAGGUCCCAUCUAGCGACCUCCAAAUAGCGAAACACGAGAUCCCUUCUGGCGAUCUCCUUUAAUCAACUUGGAAUCCCAAUCUGGCGAUUCCUUUUAACCAACAUGAAAUAUGAGGUCCCAUCUGGCGACCUUCAUCAACUUGGAAUCCCAUCUGGCGAUUCCUUUUAUUCAAAGCUGAAAUACGAGGUCCCUUCUGGCGACCUCCUUUGACCAAUAUCGAAAUACGAGAUCCCUUCUGGCGAUCUUCUUUAAUCAAAAACCAAAAAAUCUAUUUUGUAAAUCGGUCAACCUGGAAUCCCAUCUGGCGAUUCCCUUUAACCGAUUGCUCGAUGUCGUUCCUCCUGAUGGCAGGGUUUGAAAAUUAUUAUCUUCUCUUCUCGUUGUUCUAGAAUCAACUCAAUGAUUCUUUCUUCAUCUCCAAUUUUGUUGGAAUGCAUUAAGGUCUCCUCCUGUAAUGAUCCAAAAAAACAUACAUGCAAUGAUUUAUGAUUAGAUGCAAUGCAUGCAUUCGUACCUAGUUUUGAAACAUAGACCCCAUCCUCUUCUUCUAGUUCAUGAGACUCCUUCUUAACAUGAACUUUACUUUUGAAGUCGUAUGCUGAAUUCAUCUCUCGUGUUGCCUAUCGUAUUCUUGGAGAAGAAGUCUUUGACUUUCUUCAAGUAGUCCUUUUCUCAAAAUGUAUGACUUGUAUUUGCCUCUUUGUCAUGCCUUUGUCAAAUGCUUUAGCUUGGUUUUCAAAUCUAUGAGCUUCCAACCAAUUUUAAACACGUAAAACUUUUCAAAAAACAACUCGUUUUGCCCCCAGUGUAGGGGUGUGAUCCUAGUCUGGGCUUUUAUAGAGAAGAAAUUCAUUCAGCCAAUGAUAAACUUUUUUAGUGCGUGAAGGGAUAAUGAUGAUUUUUUUUUUCAAAAUGCACAUUGUUAUGGUUGAUAAAGACAAUUACAGAUGAUUAUAAAGUGACCACUUAAUCAUUUAUCCAUUCAUUACGCUAUCAGAGGUAGGGAUGUACUUUAGGGCUAGCUUUUCUUAAAUUUCAUAUUAAACCAUUUUAUGAUAUAACCACUCAAACUUGUUCAAAAAGUGCAUAAUCUCAUCAUUUAUUAAAAAAAAAGGUAGGCUCAAAGACAAACAUAAAAUCUGGCUGAAAACAUGAGCCCUAAUUGCCCAAUAGAGAAAAUAAAAGCAAUGACAAAAGCAAAUGACAAAAACAUGCUAAGGCAAAUAAAGUUGUUUUACAUUUUGAAAACUACGAGAAGUUCUUGGGUCAACCCGUUCUGGAAAGUCAACCGAGGCAAUGCUUCAUCUUCCUUCCCCACUUGCGUUUCCUUGUCUUCUCCUUCGAUCUCGCCUUCUUCAUUAUUGACGAUUCUUGACCAAGGUUUUCCAACCCUUUAUCCCCUAUUACUUUUAUCAUGACCUGGCAAUGGAUUUGAAUUGAUAUUGGGUGUGUCUUCAAACGACACCCAUCCUAUCUUGAUGAGCUUCAACAACAUGUUCUUGAAAGCGUAGCACGUUUCAAGACAAUGUCCGGGAAUACCAGCAUGGUACUCGCAAGUCAACUCGGGCUUAUUCCAGAUGGGGAAUGGUGGUUGUAGUGGUAAUGUAGGGAUAGGAGCUAUUUGUCCAAUGCUCAAUAGUUUGGCAUACAUUUCCUUCAAAGGCAUGGGUAAUGGCGGUAGUUGUUCUGAGAUGUACCUUGUAUUUGGUCUUUGGUAGUUGUUUUGGUUGUUUGACUGGUUAUUUGCUCGAUUAGAGGAAAAUGGUUUGUUAAAGUUUAUGUGGGCAACAUGAGAGGUAGGUAUUUGUGGGUUGAGUGAAUCCACUAUAUUACCCUUGGACCCACCUUCAAAGUCGUAAAUGUGACCUUCCAUUUUUCUUCCAAUAAAACCCUUCGCCUCCAAUGGCUCAACUAUACGUCCAGCUUUAAUCCCUUGCUCUAUUCUUUCAGCUAUGCGCACCGCAUCGUAGAAAUGCUGAGAUGAGCUACCCAUUAGGUGCUCAUAAUAUGGUGCUUUAAAGGUAUUGGCAAACAAGGUCACCAUCUCCGUUUCUAUCAAAGGGGGUUGCACAUGAGUGGCCUCGUCCCUCCAUCUUUGCGCAUAAGCCUUUACUGACUCUUGGCUUCUCUUUUCCAUUGACAUAAGGCUUGUUCGAUCUGGAGCAAUUUCCAAAUUGAACUUGUAUUGCUUAAGGAAAGCCUCCACUAAAUCCUUCCAUUUCUUAAUCCUGGUAUUAUCCAGCCUCAUGUACCAACUUAGCGCCGACCCCGACAGACUGUCUUGGAAAAAGUAGAUCAGUAACUUAUCGUCAUGAAUCGCCUCAGCCAUCUUAUUGCAAUAAGAUCGAAGGUGAGUGUUUGGGCAUUCCAACCCAGUGUACCUUAUAAACUCCGGUAUCCUAAAAUCUUUUGGUACCAUGAUGUUUGGCACCAAGCAUAUUUUAGACGCUCGUAUGGGGUCAAACCAGUCAUUUCCCUCGACUGCUCUUAACCUUUCUUCCAAGGCUGAUAUCUUGUCAUUGUUCAUAAAUCCAGUGGACCUAUUAUCGGAAGGCCCAUCUACAGUGAUGUGAGCUUGAGGGGGCUGAAUGGGAAUGGCAGGCGCAAAUUGCUGCCCCGUCACUGAAUCUGCCCCCAAGUUCUGAGAUACCCCCGGGACAUGAACUGACGGUGCUCCUAUAGGUGGUUGGGUAGACGUUCCCUCCCCGUUCUUGGCUCUUAAGAGUUGCUCAAGCAGAUUGGUCAGUCGAGAAACUUCAUUUUUCACAGAUUCCAACUCGGUCUGGUAGUGUGACUCUAAGUGAGCUCUUUCUUCGUUUUCCAUUCUUGAUCUGGACCGGGUGUGGUGGACUUUGGAUGUGGGACCUAUGUUUCACGAUCUGGUAUGCGUGGAAAAAUGUAAAUGAAUGUAUGAUAAAGAACAAUGCAUGAUGCAUAUAUAAUGCGAGCUGAAAAGACCUGAAAACCAAAUGUCUUAUGGUUAGGUUUUGUCUUAUGCAAAAAUAUAUUUUAUGGAGCAUACACCCUAUAGCUGGUUCUAAUUCUUUUGUGCUUGACGAGGGUAGGUUGGCUAUUCAGUCUCUAAAAAGGGUCUCUUGCUGUCCCAGUGAUUGCCCUCGUGGAGGCAAUAUGGGGGCUUGUAGGCAAUGAGAUGGCACAUGUACCAACUAUUACCAGUCUAAGCACUCAACGAAGAGUUGGGGUUUACACAAACUUAAACCUUGACUAACAGUCGUAAGGUAAGCUGCUAGUCCCCCACUUAACUUAAAGUUUGUGUGUGCUCUCAAUAAUCAAAGUAUGUGAUGCAUGUGACAGUUCUAUAAGAUGUAUGAGACAGUUCUAUACAAAUGCAUGAACAAUAUGUGUAAAAAUAUUUAAAGCAUAUAAGCAGAUAACAAAAGGAAAGGCAUAUUAACAAUAAACACACGAAAACAAAAACAAAUCAGACAAAAACAAAGCUUAGUCCACAAGGUCCCCAGUGGAGUCACCAUUCUGUCGCACCUGAGCGACGUCGCGGCGAUCGUCCACCCAUAAAAUAUAAAAAUGUAAUGUAAUGUAAUGGGGGGAUACAUCUCUGGUCAAUGUAGGGAGACAAGGAAUUCGUUGUCUCUUAGCAGUGAAAAAUGGUGUGGGAGUCGCCACCUAGUAUUUUGGUCACUAGGAACCCUAACUGGUCUCAGAGAUCGGGUACGGGGACUGGUUGCGUAAAGGGAAGGUAUUAGCACCCCAAAUACGCCCUACCUAAGGUAAGCUGCAUCGUUUAAUUGUCUGAUAAAAUUUAAGGUGUUUUCGUUGUGUUUCCUAGUUGUUGGUCCGUCUAUGGUUCAAGAAAAGUCCUCCUCAAUAAGGAGGUCCUUAUCUUAUCGGGUAAAACCUAACCGUUCUAGCGUCUAUGUAAAAAAAACAUAUUUUUAAUUUCAGGAAUACGUUUUACGUAUAAAUUCGUAAUCCCAUAUACUAACAGAGGACAAAACGAUUUUUUAGAAUUUUUGGAAUAUUGGCCUAGUUCUCAUGGCUUGAAUAAACUGGUUAUUAAAGCCAAAAUGCAUGCUAAUACAUAUAUUAUUUUUUUGAAAUUUCCUUUGUUGUGUGAAAAUAUGAUGUUAUAAUAUUUAUAUAUAUAUGUUGGAGAGACUAGGCCGUAUUUUAAAACAAAACAUUUUUUAAAUAUGUAUUUUGGUACGUUUUGACGCAAAUCGGGUAUUUUAAUACUGGGUUUGUAUCCUUACGGUAUAAAAAUACAACCAAAUAUUAAUCCACUUUGAUAAAAUAAAUGCAGAAAGAUCAACAAUAUUUUCAAAGAUAUUUUAGAAAAUUUUUGAAAGCAAAAGACAUUUUUUGUUUUGAAAAUCUUUGGUUUUUUGAUGAAAACCGGGUAUUUUAAUACCGGAUUUUGUAUCUUUACAGUAUAAAAUACCAACCAAUAUUAAUCAAAAUACAGUAAUAAAAUUAGAACAAAAACACAUAUAAUUUUUAUAAUUUUUGCAUAAUUUUUAUAAUUUUUUCAUAUAUAUAUAUAUAUAUAUAAAUAAUACAAAAUAUAAUAUAUAUAAUAUAAUAUAUAAUAUUAAAUGGGCUGGGCUGGUCCGGCCCAACCGACUGGGCCGGACUCAGCCCCAAAAGUGUUGGGCCGAUUUCGGCCCAAAAUGGAUUGGGCCGAUCUCGGCCCAAAAAUAAAAUUCUCUUCUGGGCCAGACCCGGCCCAGAAUACAGGACUGGGCCAGGAUCCGCCUGGCCCAGACCAAAACGGGCGGGGGGAAUUAAUUUCCCCCCACCCCUGCAUGCAGAACGUUAUUCGUUCUGCAUGCAGAGAAGGAACAACAAAUAAAAAAAACCAGAAUAGGGGGGAAGAAGAGUUACCUGGCGCGGAGGUGGUGGCGGCGCUGGUGUUGCUGCCGCUGCUGGUACUGGUGCUGCUGGAGGCGGAGGCGGUUGACUCUGGGACGGUGGCAGUGGCGCUGCUGUUAGCAGCCGAGAGGGAGUUCCUUCCUCCUCCCUUGUCCUUCGUUUCCUUUCCCUUUCGUUUUCUCCCCUUUCUUCUUCUUCCUUGGUUUUCUUUCCUUCUCUCUCCUUCGUUCUAUCUCUUCCCUCUCUCUCCUCUGUUUUUUUUCGUUUUUCCUUCGUCCGUUCUCCUCCUCCUCUGUUCUCUUCUCUUCCGUUCUCUUCCCCUCUUCUGUUGCCGUGUUGGUUGUUAUUUAUAGAGCCAAGUGAGUGGCUUUUCGCUGUGUAGCAUGGGGAGCAGCCGGCCGGUCGGCCAUUGGGCGCGACUGCCAAGGCUCGGCCCCCCUCACCGGUUUUCUGGCAGGUGCGUGGUGGGUGGUCGGCCAUUGUGUCCAGUCGGUGGGCUCCAGGCGAGAGAGUGGCCGGCAAAAAUUCAAAUUAAAGCAACCCUUUUUCCUUCUUCCCCGCUGCGUGAUCGGGGGAAGAAGAUUAACAGUGUCGUUCAAAACGACACCGUUCUGCUCUUUCUUCUUUUUUUUUUUUUAAUGUAUGAAACGGCGUCGUUUUGGAGAAAACGCGCCGUUUCAUUUGAAUGUGGCGCCAGAACGCGCCGAAUUCCAAGUCAGCCCUCAAUCAUCUUUUUUUCCUUCAAUUGCAUCCCUGCCAAUUUCGGUCUCCGCCCCUCUUGUUGGCCGCGUUUUUCACUUUAGUCCUUGGCCUCUGAUUUAUGCAAUUGAGCCCUUAAUUGAUCAAAAAACUUCUAAUUUCUUCAAUUAGGCCCCUGAAUCAAUUAAUUCCAGCCCCUCCAUUUACGCGCCUCUUCCAAUUUGGUUCCUGGUUUCGAAUUUUCUCAAUUAAGUCCCCAAUUGGCCCUUAAACUUCAAUAUUUAUGCAAUUAAGCCCCUGAUUUGACCUAAUAAAUUCCUAAAAAAUAUAUUUUGGCCCCAGAACUUAAAUUUCUUCUAAUUAAAGCCCAAAUUGACUUAAAGAUCAAUUUUUCUUACAAUCAAAUCUCCUAUAAAUUCAUUUAAAAAUCCAAUUAAGACCAUAAACAUCCAAAUUUGGGCAUUUCUCCUAAAAAUUCAAAUUUUCCUUCUCAACAGGUUUUUCCUCCUUCAAGAAUAUACUGUCAAAAAUCCAAUCUUUGUAUUUUUAACCUCAUUGACCAAUUUUCCAACCAUUUUCUGAGCGCUUCUGCCUCCUGUUAUUUUUCUAACCUCCUUUGGCUAUAUAUUUUUAUAUAUAUUUUGUGGGGACCCAAAAAUGGGUUACAACAACCUCCAAGUCUUCGGAACCUGGAUAUGUUAUCCAGAAUGCAAGUGGUUCCGAAUAUGGAACUGCAGCUUGAAUUAUUGAUCAAUUGCAAAUAUUUCCAUACAAGUAGGUCCCUUUGUUGACUAUGCAAGGAUGUGGAAACACGGCAAUAUUAAUUUCAAAAAUUGACAUUUUUCCAGCAAGUCUACGUACGUGCAAUUUGUGCUCUAAUUAUAACUUCCUUUGUGUCUCGUCUGAUGACAACUGUUCUUGGAGACUUCUACCCCUGAUCUAUGCCUGGUUUUUCUUGGUAUAUAUCAUUGCAUCUUUGAAGUUUGGUUUUCCUUACAAUUUAUUUUAUCUUUCAUUAGAUUUCUCUAUAUUGUAAGAAAUAUUUUUAAGUGGAUCAUGUGCCAUGUCAUGUUUUUAUAAUAAUAUUAAUUGUGUAUAUAUAUAUUUAUAACUUUAUAAAUGAUAAUUAAAUGCUUGGAGUCCAUUGCUCUCUAAUGAUGAUGAACUAAGUACAAUACAUAAUGGAUGAAAGUGAAAAAAAUCAGCAUCCCUAUGCUAGCCAUAUUAAAUAUUACGUAAAAUCAUGUAACCUCCAUCAAAAUAUAGAAAAUCUAAAGUUUGGUAUUGACCGUUCAAUCAUAGUAUGGACUAAAUCCACUUACUUGAAAAACCCAAGGAUAUAUGAGCCCAGAAAAAGAUAGUCCACCCACACAAAAACUCAAAAGAAAUCAAAUCUAUUUUUUUUAAGCUUAGCUUUGUGUUAGACCCAAUAAUAUAUGGGUUUAGUAAAAAGUCAAACCCAACUUUCUUAGCAAAAAAAUCAAUUAACCUUUAUUUAUUAAUUACUAAAGACACAACUCAAUAUAUAUAAAGUGGAAUUCUAUUCAUGUCUAAUCUUACAUUAAAAUAUUAUAAGUUUUGUUAAUACUCUAUAUUAUUCUUUAUCUUUAAUAUAAUGUGGAGUAUUCUAUUUUGAUAAAAUCAAAUUUAUUGAAAUAAUAUAACUUGAAAUUGUAUUAGAAUUCAAACUCUCUCUUUUUUCCUAUUAAAAGGAGCCUAGCAGGAUCAAAUCUUAUAUUUCAAUGCCAGAUAGGUAUGAUAUUAUAUAGAGUUGAUGAUUGUGGUCUUAUUUCUCCAUAUAAAUGAAAGAAAGACUUUCUACUUUAAUUUAGUUAUAUAUAUUCUCUCCAUAUAGAUGAAAUGUCCACAUUUGAUAUUCCCAAGUUACUGUUGGAUCCGAAAAUGGAAAAAAUGAAAAUGAAAAAAAUAAAAUAAAAUAAGGGCGAAGUAAUAAUUACGAGACUAGGAAUGGGAACACCACAGUAUUGAUUUACAUCAUAGUUAAUUGGUGUUUCUUAUUAUGAAGAAAAUUAAUUGAUCGUAUUAAAAAAAAAAGUCAUUUGACAAGUGUUGAUCAUAGUACAAAUAAUCGAAAAUAAUAAAGUCAUAAAUACAAUUAAAAUUAUAGAGAUUAAAUGUAUAGUUUGCAAAACUACGUCCUAGUAUAAAAGUGAAUUACAAUUACAGAGAAACAAAAUAGUAACAUUGUAAUCUGCAUCCAACAGCGUGCCCCUCUGAAAACAGAUCACUUUUAUCCUUUUUCUUUCGGUUUGUUUGGACUUGUGGUUUUGAACUGCAUCCAACAGCGUGCCCCUCUGAAAGCUGUUAGGAAGCUAAAGAUUGCCAUAUCAGACAGCCAUUGAAGUGUCCUUUUUCUUUCUGCUUAUUUGCUAACCUCUUUGUUCAGCAUGUUACGGCCAUGCUUUUGGCAUUUGGCCUGGACUGAGUUCAGUCCAACAGUGUCAAAGUAAUAGUAUUUCACAUAGGUUUUGUUGGAAGAAUAAUGGGUAUAGUAUAAGAUCAAAACAGUAAUGCAAAGUGAAAAAAAAUCUAUUUUUAUUAAGUGUUUUUCUCUAAACUCUCUUAGCUAUAAAAAUAAAUUAUGAAAUUCAGUGCAUAAUAAAUUCAAUAUUAAAGGAUGAAAUUUAAAAAAAAUACAAAGUUUGCAAUUAAAAUUAAAAUUAAAAAAAAUUCUUAAUAUUGCUAUAAUAAAAUACAAAGGUGUUUUAAUAUAUGCUAAAAUCCUAGUGCGGCAGACAUAUUGGUUCCACUUUUCUCUUAACUUUUCUAGCGCAAUACAUCUGCUGGGUUACCUUUGGCCUGGCUGCUUAACUAUUCAUUUCUACGGUGAAGUAUUUUAUAUAUAUAUAUAUAUAAAGGGUGGAUCAUAUAUUAUUUAUUUAUUUUGGAAAAAGAAAAGAAAAGAUAUUGCAUGUUGUUUGUCGCAUAAAAAUUAAUAAUGUUAUCAGUGUAGCUCUCACCUCCAACCUUCAACUAAACCAAUGUGCUGAUCAAUUCAACUACGAAACAAAGAUCUUAUUAAUUGUUUAAUUAAUAAUAUAUAUCAUUUUGUUUUUUUUUAAUAAUUUUGUUGUUGUUGUUUUUCCCGGAAAGAAUGUACCAAAAUGGUGGGGAUAUUCCCAAUCUAUAAUUUGUUAAUAUCACUCCUCAUUUAUUAUAAGUCUUUUUAAUACUCUAUAUUAUCCUUUAUCUUUAAUAUAACAUGGAGUUUUCUAUUUUGAUAAAAUCAAAUUUAUUGAAAUAAUAUAACUUGAAAUUGCUAGAAAUCAAACUCUCUUUUUUUUAAUUUAAACCUUAUAUUUCAAUGCCAGAUAGAUGCAAGAGCAUAUAGUUUCCUUCAGAAAGACAACAAAACAUUCAAAUCAACACAUGGGCAAGGGCCAGCCUCUAAGUCGACUUAAAGAAACUCUCCAAGAAAAACAGACGACAGCAUACAAACUUGAUUCGAGGCCUUCAAGAAAUGCCCAAAAACCAUAAAGAUUGCUUCUUCCAAUGCAAUAAUCAAGAGCAAUAAAUGCCAAGCCAAGAGAACAAAAACCCAAACUUCUUAUAUGGGAAAAAAACACAGCAAAAUUUUUCUUAUUUAUACUAAAUUCAAGCACCACCAGCCCACCCACCAGCAU
rnacentral:lncRNA from 1 species